rnacentral:lncRNA from 1 species
CCCUAAAAAAUGAUUUAAUUAAAAUCUAUUCAUGGAAAUCCGAAAAUACUACCAAAACAACUUAUUCCCACCGUAUUUCUUGAUGCAGGAGUAAUCAUGAGGCAUUACUCUGGGAAAUAUAUCGUGUGUCAAGGCCAUAGGUUUGCUAGAUGCUUCCUUCCGCAUUUGAAGAGCUUCUUUGUUGUUUCCAUGGAUAAAUUCAUAAGGAGGUCCUCUGAUCCCCUGUGAAUUCAUGAUGAACUGUACACGAUGAGGUACCCACAAAUACUCGUGCAAAACAUAGUGCAAAGCUACGAAAAGGCAGAUGCACAAAAAAGCUGUGAAAAGGAUUAGAAGAUUUCCCAUGGCCUCUAUUUUCUUAUCUUCACUGAUGAAUCCACCAAAUUUUGCAGCAGCUUAUAUUCGUCAAAACUCGUUUACUAUUUAUUAUUUGACUAUUAUAUAAUUAAAUAUAUAAUUGUUUAUGUUUUUAUUUUAUUUAUAAUAAUAUAAUUAGUAAAAUGUACGUGUGAUUCUUUUAUAUGUAAAAAUAAGAAAGUAGUUAUUUAUGGUUUGUUUGUUUGUUAUUCAUAAAUAUAUCUUUAAUAAUUUGUGAAUAUGUUUAAUUAAAUAUUCUUGAAUAAGUUUAUUUAAUUUAAAUGAAUGAAAAUGAAUAUACAUAAUUUUUAAGCAAAGAUUUGGAGGUUGGGUUUAGUUUUGAAUAAGUUUAAUAAAUAUGAAUAUGAUUAUACAUACUAUGAAUAUGAAUAAGUUCAAUUUUGGAGGCUGAGUUAUGGGUAUUUUUGAGGGCUUUAUCUCUUCCAUUGAAGCAGGGAUUUAAUAGAGUAUUGAUUAGUACAAAUAGCAUGAAAGCAGUUAAGAUUAUUCAAGACAACAAUUCAAGAAACUUGAAUUCAGCUUUGGCUAGGCGUAUACAUCAGUUGUUGGAAAGGUUGUUGGAAAGGACAGUACAAUGAUGUAUUCAAUAUAUGCCCAGAAAAAAUAAUAAAGUUGAUAAUUUUCUUGCAAAAAUAAAUUGUAGUAAUGAAGACGCUUUACUUAUGUUUGAACAACCUCCUCUAGGUGUUUUAGUUUAAUUCCUUGUGGACACUUUGUUUUGUCUUAUAUUCACCAAAAAAGAAGAAGCAUACACAAACAAAAUUUUGAAACUCUAAACGAACAUGAACACUUUUAAAAAUAAAUAAACGAAAAUGAUCAAAAAUUCAUUUGUUCAAGCUCGAUUCAUUUACAAAUCUAUACUAGGAAAUAACAAAAAUCUUAGAAAUAUUUAAUUAGAAGGUCAACUUUUGUUAUUAGUCCAUAUAAUAUGUGUAAGUUGUUAAUUUAGUACUUAUACUUUAGGUAAUUUUUAGUCUUCACACUUUUAAAUUUUAAAAUUUCAAUCUUGACCCAAAUAAUAGCUAUUAUAUUUGUCGAAAACUCUACUAUUUUUUGUUAUAAUAUUAUGUUAUUAACAUAUUAUCACGUGUAAUACCAUGAAAGUUUGCUAUUUCCACAUAAUAUUUAUAAAGAGUCAAAUUGUUUUAGUUAAUGAAUUUUAAUGAUUGUCAUUUAAAUCAGGAUUGAAAAUUUAAAAUUUGAUAAAGUAUAAAAAAACUAAAAAAAAUGAUGAAAUUAGAGACAAAAAUUAAUAAUAGAGUUCAAAUUAUGGGACUAUUUCUGUUAUAUAUAGAAGAUGGAGAAAUAGUAAAAUUUGACAUAAUUAAAAAAUAACUAAACUUUGUAUUAAAACUGGAAAUCUUUUUGGGUAUUGUAAAAUGUUUUGAAGGAUUGUAAAUGAUUUUUGGCCUAAAUAAGUACUAUAGGCCAAUUUUAUUUUUUAAUUAUUUUUUUAGGUCAAUUUUAAUUUUAAUUAGGAAAAUAGGUCGCUUUUGGAAAGAGUUUGUGAAAUCGCGACCAAUUGAGUGUACUUUCCCUUUAAGUUGUAAAUUUUGACUUUUUAUUAUUAUUAUAAUUAGUUUCUUUAGAUGGAUGGUUAAAUAUUGGUUGUUUUGUCCUUAAGUUCUAAGUUCGAUUCCUCUUCUACUCACAUUUAUAUUUUUUAUUUCAUGUUAUUUUAAACUUUUUUUAAUGAAUGUUUUUAACAUAUUAGCUUCCUUAGUUAAAUGGUUAAAUAAUAAUGCUUUCAUUCUUAAGACCUAUUUUUAAUUAAUAACUCUUAUAUUCAUAAAAUCAAAUAAUAAAUAUGUAAUUAUAUAAUAAAAAAAUACAUAUUAAUAUAUUGUUAUGUUAAAAAAAGAAAAAGACCUACUUCUAAUUAAUAUUAGAAAUGUAUAUUACAUAUAUCAUUAUGUAUUUUAUUGAUCAAUUAAAAUAUUUAUAAAACUUCUCUAAAGUCUCUAUUUCAUUAUGUAUUUUAUUGAUCAAUUAAAAUAUUUAUAAAACUUCUCUAAAGUCUUUAUUUAUAAGCAUAAGAAGUAUAAAUGAAGUAGAGACCUAUUUCUAAUUACUAAUAAAAUUUAAAGUACAUCAAAGCUUAUCUUGAUUUUGAUGGACAUCCACUUAAUAAGAUAUUCAUAACACCCCAUUGGAUGUCCAUGGUAGAUAAUGUGUCUCUUUAAAACCCCACUAAGAUAAAAACCCUGUUAGAAAAAGUUUCCUAGUGAAGGAAAAAUAGUACAAAUAUCUAUAAUACACAUAAUAUGCUGCCUCAUUAAAAACCUUACUAGGAAAACUCAAUGAAACAAAACCUCGGUUAAGGGAAAAAGAGUACAGUGCGUAUUUACUCCCCCUAAUGAAAGCAUCACAUAAUAUCUCAUAUUCUAUAUAUUCAAUCUUGAAUAUUAGAUUUUCAAAUGACCAUUUGAACGUAUUUGCUAAGCAUUUAUAUCAGCAUUCUUUUGAAAGUCAUGAGUGAGGGAAAAUUUUAGGGGAAAUAUAUUUUGAUCUCUUCAAAAGUUUCAACAAUAAUCAUAACAAACCUUAAUCAUGAUCCCUCUAUAAAAAUACAAAUAGGUAUUUUUGGAUGCUUAUGCUUUGAGACAGUUAAAGCUGUAUGAAAAGAAUUAUCCGACGCACGACCUUGAAUUAGCUGCGAUCAUACUGUCUUUCUUUUUCACAAACAGAACAGGAGCACCCCAAGGUGAGAAACUCGGUCUAGCAAACCCUCUAUCGGUCAACUCUUGCAAUUGAGACCUUAAUUCUUUUAGUUCGAUCAGAUCCAUUCUAUAUGGAGCUAUCGAAUUCGAAGUAGUACCAAGUAUUAACUCAAUGCCAAAUUCAACUUCUCGGAUCAGAGGUAAUCCAGGGAGUUCAUCAGGAAACACAUCAGAAAAUUCACAGACAACAGGCACUGAUUCAACUUUCUUUUCUGUCACUUUUGAAUCGAUCACAUAUGCAAAGUAAGCUUUACAACCUUUUCUCACAAUACUUAGAGCUUUCAUCAAAGAUAUCAUAGUAGGUAAUCCAUUCAAAUCACUAGAUUCAAUUCGAACUAUUUCACCAUUCUCGCAUCUCAAAUCAAUAGUCUUCCGUUUGCAAUUCAAAAUAGCAUUGUGCAAAGUUAACUAAUCCAUACCCAGAAUUAUAUCAAACUCUUCAAAGGGUAAUAACAUCAGAUUAGCUGGAAAACAAAUGUCUCGAAACAUUAACGGACAGUUCUUUCAAACUUUAUCAACCAAAACAGAUCUGCCUAGGGGGUUUGAAACUUUAAUUACAAAUUAAGUAGACUCUACAGGAAAAGUCUUACUGUAUACUAAAUUCAUGCAUACAUACGAAUGUGUGGAUUUAGGGUCUAUCAAAGAAAUCACAAAAGUAUCAUAAAGUGUAAAAUUACCCGUAAUCACAUCUGAAAAUGAAGCUUCUUCACGAGCUCGAAUAGCAUAGGCUCUAGCAGGUGUACGAGCCUCUAAUCAAACAACAUUGUUUUUUAUCCUUCUUUGAUUACCAGUCACAUUUCCCAUAUUUCUAGAAGAUCUACCUCGAGAUGCAUUGCCACUUGGCCUCAGAUUUUGUACAAUUUCUUGCUCGAUAGACUCGGGGUAAUCACGGAUAAAGUGAUCCAAAGAUCCAUAUUUGAAACAAGCUCGAUCAUUCAAUCUAUAACUUUCAGGAUGUCUUUUACCACAUUGCUUGCACUCAGGUUGAUUAGAUCGGACAUUUCCAACACUUGCAAUAGAAGUAGCUAGAGCUCGGAAGCUCGAAUGCGAUCUCGUACGAUUUCUACUUGAAUAUCCCACAUUAGCCUUUGAACGGCUAAAAUCAUCUUAGAACUUCUUUGAUGCAGACUAAAAUGAUUUACUUACGAAUCUCUUUCUUACAUCUCUAGCUUUUGAAUCAGCUUUUCUUUUCUCUUUCCUGAGUUCUUCAGCUUUACAUGCUCGCUCAACAAGCACAAUAAAUUCUUUUAUCUCUAAAAUCCUGACUAACAAACGGAUAUCUUAAUUCAGACCAUCUUCAAAUCUUUUGCACAUUAUUGCCUCAGUAGAUACACAUUCUCGAGCAUACUGACUCAGUCUUACAAAUUCUCGCUCGUAUUUUGUAACAGACAUACGGCCUUGUUUAAGCUCAAGAAAUUCUUUACGUUUCUGGUUGAUAAAUCUAUGACUGAUGUAUUUCUUCCAAAAUUCAGCUUGGAAGAAAUCUCAGGUGACUCGCUCACUUGGAACCACAGAUGUUAAAGUCUUCCACCAGUGAUAUGCCGUAUCUCUUAGAAGUGAAACAUCACAUUUUAUGCAUUCUUCCGAAGUCAAUGACAAUUCAUCAAACACUCGUAUCGUAUUCUCUAACCAAAAUUCAGCCUUCUCAGCAUCAUCACUAGCGGUAGCUCAAAACUCUUCAGCCCUAUAUUUUCUAAUCUUAUCAACCAGAUGCUUAUUUAACUGAGUAAUAUUAACUUGUGGCAUAAUAGGGACUUAUUGAGGAACAGAUGGAAUUGGAGGUUGUUGUACAGCCGGAUUAGUUCAAAUUUACUGACUGAACCAAUCAUUCAUCAUCUGAUAGAAGGCUUGUUUAGCCUCAUCAUGAUGGCUACUCGUAGCCGGUCUAGAAUCGGAUGGCACUGUCCCUUAUGGGGGAGCAGGCGCAUUAUUUUUGACAUUGUCAGCUAUAGCUCGUUUGAGAUCUAUUUACUAUAUAUAAAAAUACAUUUUCAUGAUCAGGAUUCAUCACACUAUCGCAUUUCAUAAAUAUGACAUGUAUAGCUAGACUCACAUACGCUAUGGCAGUCCUAAAAUCGACUAAACCAUAGCUCUGAUACCAACCAAAUGUAAUAUCCCUGACCUGUAUCCGUCGCCGGACUAGGGUUAAAGGCAUUACCAGAAAAUCAGAAACAUAUUACCAAAAAUUCACAUACAUCAUCCACAAACAUAGUCAAACAUCAAUAUAGUGUCCCUUAUAUAGGUCAUCAAAACCUUAAACAUGCUUUGGAAAGGGGUCGGGACUAAAUUGAACACAUUUCAAAGUUACAGAGGUCACAUGCCCGUGUGAACAGGCCAUGUGUCUCACACGGCAUUAGAAACUCCUGUGUGAACAGGCCGUGUGCCUCACACGGCAUUAAACACGUCUAUGUGUCAGGCCGUGUCAAAACAGAGCAUACAUUCUGACUUGAUCACAUGGCCAUAAGACAUGCCCGUGUGCCUUGGCCGUGGUCGAAACUGACUUGAGUCAUACGGCUAGCCACACGGCCGUGUGCCUUGGCCGUGCUCAAGACUGACUUAAAAUCGUAGGGAACCCUAGGGGACAUAUGGUCGUGCAACAUGACCGUGUGUCACAUACAGCUGAGACACAUGCCCGUGUCUCUGCCCGUGUAAACAAAAAUAGGCCAUUUGAAAAGCCAAUUUGCCACCCAUUUUGGGUCAAACCUAUAAGCAUCAAAAUCACAUCAUUUUAUACCAAUAUUUCAGCCAAUUUGCAACCAAAACAUAUGUCAUACAAGCAAUAUCAUUACCAACCAAUUAUCAUACUUAUAACCAUCCCAAAUCAUAUCAAUUCACUAGCUCAAUUUCAUACUAAAGCAUAUGUUUCAAAACUCCAAUUCACCUCAUUCUUUCACAUUCCAUAAACUUACCAAUACCUCAAUUAAACACAUACCAAAGCUUAUCAAAAUUGACCAUUUUAUUUGGUCAUUCAAGAGCAUAUCACAUAUGCACCAUUUGCAUCACAUAUCAUAUACCAUAAUCAAGCCAUAAGUUCAACCAUAAUUAAGCCAUAUCACAUGGCUAAAUAUAUAUAUCACAAUACAUAGUCAAAGACUUCUAGCCUAUACAUGCCAUACUUCAAUAUUUACACUUUCAAAAUGUACCAAAAUCAAGUUCGAUAGUGUUGUGACAAUCCUUGACGAUCCCCGAGCUUCCGGUAGCUUCGAUAUCUAUAAAACAGUUGAAAAACACACAAAGUAAGCUUUCAAAAGCAUAGUAAGUCAUAUACAAAUAAACUUAUCACAAAAUACAAUUAUAAUCUAAUUCAGUGGCAUAAAUCAUGGCAUAUCAUAAUGAUAAAUUCACAUUUAUCAUUUAACUUAAAGGCUCAUAAUCAAUUGCUUUUAUAUACAUAAUUCACUUAUACCAAACAUAUCUCAUUUUCACAUACUUCAUACUUAUUCCAUAAGUUGACAUAUAUACAUAUGCUUUGUACUUACCUUAUUCUCAAACAUAAUGUACAUUUCAAACGUACCUAAAUCGAAUACAUAUUCACAUAGUCAUUCAUUUCUCAGAAUGCCCGUUGAACCAUUCAAAAUCAUAAGGAUACGCGGAUAACUAAAAAAACUCAUACAAUGCCAACGCCCAAAAGGUGGUCUUACAUGUAAUCAAAUAUCGAUGCCACUAACCCAGACAGGGUCUUACAUGAAAUCAAAUAUGAUGCCAACGUCCCAGACGUAAUCUUACACGUAAAUCAUAAGUCGAUGCCAAUGUUUCAGACGUGGUCUUACAUGAUAACACAUAACGGAUCUUAUUUCAUGACAUAUGUAUCCUAACUAUUCCUAUGGUUCGUACGGGGCUUUUCGGAAGUUAGAACUUUGUCUAUACUUUCUCGGAUGUCUCGUAUUCAAGGCAUAAAACCAUUCAUCAUAUUUCAAUAACAUGUAAACAUAAAUAAACCAUUUCAAAUACAUUUAUUUGUAUAUAGACUGACCUUGUAAGUAUUUGAACGAACAGAGUCGAUUACUCUACGACUUUCGACUUCCUCCGAUCUAAUUCCGUUUUCUUUUGUUCUUGAUCUAUAUAAAUUCAAAUUUAACCCUUUUAUUCACCAAAUCAUAUAAAUCAAUCCACAAACACAUAUUUAGGGAAUUUUACAAAUUAACCCUCAUAUUUUCACAUUUUGACAAUUUAGUCCCUAAUCACACAAAUCACAAAAUACUCAAAAUUUUCUUUUACACAAGCUUAGCCAAAUUUACAAGGUGUUCAUAUAAGCCCAUAUAUUUCAUUUAUUUCACAUUUUAGUCCCUCAAAAACUCCUUUUUACAAUUUAGUCCAUUUUACUUAAAUUCAUCAAAAAUUCAAAGACAAAACUUAGUAAUCUAACACAUAUUUUCCAUUUACUAUAAUUUAACUUCACAAAGCUCACAUUAUCAACAAUGACAUAACUCAAAAUCACAAUCAAAUUAAGAAAUUAGAGCAUGGGCUUGAUAGAUUACUAAGCAACAAUUACAAAAACGUAGGAAUUAUCAAAAACAGAUAAAAAAUCACAUACCUAAUUGAUCUUCAAAUUGCUGAAUGUUUUUAUGCUUCAAAACCUUAUUUUAUUCUUCAAUUUCAGUGGCCAUUAAGAUGAAUGAAUCAAAUUUUGUCUUUUGUUUCUUAAAUUGUUAACUAAUUUACACAUUUACUAAAUUAACCUUAUUUCAUAACAUUAAAAUUCUACAACAUUAGGCUUGUGUCCAUCCAUUAUUCCAAUGGUCAAAUAUCAAUAUAAGGACCUCAUAAUUAAUAAUCCAUGUCAAUUCAACACUUAAUCAAAUAGAAGGCCACUUUUACAAUUUACGCGAUUAAGUCCUUUUAUCAAAUUAAACACACAAAUGAUAAUUUUUUAGUACGGAACUUUCACACAAGCUAAUUCACAUAUCAUAAGCACAGAAAAUAAUAUUAAAAUAUUUUUUGACUCAGAUUUGUGGUCCUAAAACCACUAUUCUGAUUAGGGUAUAAACCGAACUGUUACAGAGAUUCUUUGUUCGAAUCCCUGCAUGAGCGUGGUAUUAUUUUUGCUCUGUUAUAAGACAAAAUUUUGGUUGAACUAAAAGUCUGAGGAGUGGAUUAGUGGGAGAAAAUCAAGGGAUGUGAUCAUAUUUUAUUUAGACUUUUAUUUUUAUUAUCUUUAUUUUUAAAAAAAAUUCUCUCUCAUCUUCCAAAUUUUCAAUUUGACAUUCUCUUCAAUUUUCUUGCUGGGAUCUAGCGUUUUUCUCUUCCAAUAAAACUUCUUUUCAUUUUUUUUCCUUUCCGACUGUGCUGGUGGUGUUAUCGUUAGAUUGUGUCUAGGUUUUUGAGUUUCUAAUCGGUUGGUAAGUAAAUUUUGCACUCUUGUGAUUGUUGGUUUCGAAUUUUGAGCAAUGGAAAUUUAUAGUAAUUGAUGAGUGUUAAUUCCAUUUAGGAUCAGAUUGUAGAGCAAGGAAUUGCACCUCUUCGGUUUAGUGUGCUUUUGGCGAUUUAUCAUCGGGGGUAAGUCGGUUCUAUUUUGAUUCGAAUAGUGAGAUCGUUAAAGCAAGUUACUAAAUCGAGGUUGGAUGCUCUGUUUAUAGGUUUUGAAAGGCUUGGGAGUGGUUUCACAUCGAAUCGAUACCAAGUGUGUGCCCGAAACGUAGAAAUUGAGUUUUCGGUAAAAGCUGAAAAAGGCCACUGUCAACACCACACGGGCAUGUAGUCACCUGUGUGGUAGGCUGUGUGCAACAACACGGCCGUGUGAUCAACGAAGGCCAGGCCAUGCGCUAGGCACCAUCUUGUGAUGGCCGGGGUGUGGCCAUGUGAGCCACACGAGCGUGUUGGCAACACGGGUAGUUCAUAAAAGAUUAUAACAACAACCAAGACGCAAGUUAAAUCUUUUAUGAACUAUUAGUUUAAUAAUAUAUCUAAAGUUUAUUGCAUCCACCACAAAAGAAUAUUAUAUCUUUCAUAAUCAAUGUCAGGACUUAGUAAAAACUUCAGAUUUUAUUCUAUUUUACAAAACUACUUUAUAUAUACCAUCACUAGCUUUAUACCUUUAGAUAUUUGGACUACUGAUCCAAAAACUCCACAAAUUUAAUUAUUCUUGAGUUGCAUCUUUCUAUUUUGACCAGUUUAUUCCAUAUCUAUAUUUCUCAAUAGAUUUAUUCAAGAUCUUUCUUUUAUUUCAUUAUUUCAACAAUAAUAUUACAUGCAAAACCAUUGUCGACCACUUUUAUUAUCAGUUCAACAUUUUCUCAAAUUGACAUAACUUACCGAGAUCUCUUUUUUUUCACUAUUUUAAUCUUCAGUUUCAGGUACCUGAAUCUCUUUUGGAGUUUUACUUAUUAGUUAUGUCUAGGGUCUCUUUUAGAGCACCCGCCUUCACUAUAUGACCAUCUAGAUUUAUUAUUUUCUUUUAUGAGAAUUUUCAUAUUCGGAACUUGUAACAGCCCGUUUUCAGUGAAAUCAGAACAGUGGUUUCGGGACUACAAAUCCGAGUCCGAAAGAAAAAUAAUUUUAAUAUUAUUUCAUGGUUUGCAUUAUGAUUGAAAUAUCGUAUGAAAAUUUUUUUAAGAAAAUUUUACCGAUUUCAUGUUUAAUUUGAGGGAAAUGACCAAAUUGUAUAAAGUGCAAAAGUUGAAUUCUAGUAGUUAAAGGGGUUAAAUAGCUAUGGAAUUCAAAAUUUAAGGUUCUUAUAUGGAAAAUAGACCAUUAAGAGAAGUUAGUAGAUAAAUAUGAUUAGUCAACAAGGGAAAAUUUGAUAAAGAAAAGGAUAAAAUUGGAAAGUAAAAGAUAAAAAGAUGAUAAAUGAUUAAAUAAUGAAAAGAUCAUCUUAUUGUCAUCUUUCCCAAAUUAUUUUUACAUGGAAACCCUAGUUAGAAGAACUUGAAGGUAGCAAGCUUAUUUGGAUUAAUUGGGUAAGUAUCUUUGUCCCGUUUUUAAUAAUUUUCAUGUUUCUGAGAUCGUAAUAGCUUAAUCUAGCUAUAUCGGGGAUUAAUUUGUAAAGAAUUCAAAGUAUUAGGGUUUUUUCAUGGAUGAAUAUAGUAGAAUUAUGGAUUUUUAUGGUAGAAAAUAAAAGAUUGUUGAUAGAUAAACAACUUUUGUUAAGGGAAUUUUGAUGAAAUUAUGAUUUAGGGACUAAAAUGAAAAGAUAUAAAAUUCAUGAAAAAAUUCUAAAUUUUAUGAAAUACAUGGGUUGCUAUUGUUACAUGUAAAAAUCGGCUAGGCUUGGAACAAUUAUUAAAUUGCAUGAAUUUCAUUUUCCGAGCCUGGGGACGAAAUUGUAAUUAAUUAAAAGUAUAAGGGCAAAAUGGUAAUUUUGCCAAAGAUGUGAAUUGGAUUGGAUUGAAUAUAAAUUGAUGUUAAAUUCAUUCGUAUAGAUCAAAUACGGAGUUAAAUCGAGGAAAAGAGAAAGUAGCGAAUUAGUAGCUUUUGUGUACACGAACAUUGUUGAGGUAAGUUCGUGUAACUAAAUUGUAUAUUUACAUGUUUGAAUUAAAUGUUGUGUAUGUGAAUUGUUUAAUUACCAUGUAUGAAAUUAAUAACAUAACCAACGAUGACUGAUAAGUAUUAAGUCCAAUUUGAAUAAAUGAAAUUCGAUUGAUACAAGGUUUCCGAAUUGGUUGUGGUCCUGCAUGUGUUUCGAACACACCACAACUUGAAAGAGAGUCUCGUUAUUAGCUCUCAUGAGCUUCUCGUCAUAUGGUUCUUGCGAGCUUCCCAUUAAUAUCUCUUCGGAGCAUCCCGAUUGGUUGUGAUACUGCAUGUGUUGUGGACACACCGCAGCUCUUAUGAGCGUCCCGAUAUAUGGCUCUUCGGAGCUUCCCAAUAUUGGCUCGCUUGAACUUCCCGAUAUUGGCUCAUAUGAGCUUCCCGUUAAUAGCUCUCCAAAGCUUCCCGUUAUAUGGCUCACAUAAACUUCCUGUUAUAUGGCUCGAAAGAGCUUUCUGAUUACAUGCUUGUAUGGGUAAACAUGAAUAUGAAUUGACAGAUUACCAUUUUGUACACUUAGUAUGUACUACCUAUGUAUCCAUCGAUAUUUUAAAUGCUUCAAUGGGAAAAGUUCUGAUAUGUGACUGUAAUGACCCGAAUUUUUACAGUUAUCAAAAAAGUGUAUUUUCGGGUCUCCGUUUCUAAAAAAUAGAUUUGUAAAUAUUUAUUAAAAAUAUUUACGAAGUUAAGAGAGUGAUUAAUUAAAGUUUAAUGAAGCAAAUUAGCUUAAAUAAAUGAUAAUUAGAUAAAAGGAUUAAAUUGAAUGAAGUGUGAAAGUUUAAUUAUAGAAUAAAGAAAAUUAAAAGGACUAAAUAAGCAAAUAAACCAAAAAGAGUGCCAAGUGUAUGGCAAAAAUAAAAUACAAGUAUAAUAAAUAUAAUACACACAUUUGUAAUACAUAUAUUUAUUUGCUUAUUAUUUAAGUAAAUAUUAAUGUAUUUAUUAUUAUUAAAUUAAUAUUAUAUGAUAAAUAAAUAAAAAGUUGACAAAUAUAUGGUAUGUAUAGUGACAUGUGUGAUACUAAUAUACAUACAUUUGUAAAAUACAUGUAUAUUUACUUAUUAUAUAAGUAUAUUAUUAAAUUAUAUAUUAUUAUUAAGUAAAAGAUAUUUAUAUAAUAAAUAGAUUAAAGAAAGACAAAUGUAAUAAUAUAUGUGUAUACAAAUGUAAAAUAGAUAUUUGAUAUUAAAUAGAUAUUUUAUUAUAGCUAUUAUGAAGUUAUUAUAAUAUAUAUAUAUAAAGUAAAAGGGAAUAAAAAAAAGAAAAAAAAGAAUAGAAAAAGAAAGAAAGGAUGAAACGAAACUGAGAGUAGGGGAAAGAAAGAAGGAAGGAAAAAAAAGAAAGAAGGAAAAAGGGAAAAAUUGGGAUUUCAAGGCUUGAAAGUUAAAUAGGUAAGUCAAUUUAGCCCUUUUUACUUAAUUUUGAUGUUUUGGAAGCUUUGAGACAAGGUUUUGAUGAAAUUAAGUGAAUAUUUUGAAAGUUAUUUGAUUUUUAAAUAUUGUUCAUGUUGAGUAAAAAGAUGAAUUAGGGGUUAGAUUGAUAGGAAUUCAAGUUAGAAAUGAAAUAAGGAUUGAAUUGUAAAUUAAUUAAUAAGUUUUAUGUUGUAGGGACUAAAUUGAUGAAAUUUCAAAAUUAGGAAAAUAUGCUGGAAAUUUAAUAGUUAAAUAUGAGUUUAGUUAAAAAUUGAGUAGAAAUAAAGUAUGAAUUAAUAUAGAAAAGUAAGUGAAUUUAGUUAGGAUUAAAUUGAAAUUAAAAGUAGAAAAUCAACAUUUUGCACUAAGACUAUUUUCGACAGCAGCAGUAGUCUAAGUUUGAAAAAUCACCAAAAAUUGUAGAAAUUGAAUUAGAGGAUUAAUAAAACAUGGAAUUAAAGCUAUUGAGUCUAGUUUCUUAUAGAAGAAAUGAUGUAAGCAAUUGAAUUGUAAAUUAUGAGAUAUAAUGAAUUUUGUGAGACAAGGUCAGAAUGAAUUUGGGUUCCCCUGUUCUGACUUUGGAAAAUCACAAAAAUUUUGAGAAAAAUAAUUAGAGGCUAAAAAUUAUAUUUUUAGAAUCCUUAAUGAGUCUAUUUUCAAGAUAAACCAACGAGAACAUUAUCUGAGUUCUGUACUGUGAGAUAAUUAAUUUUAAGUGAAGAGAGGUCAGAACUAUCGGAUAAUGAAACAGGGGAAACUUUAAUGAAUAAACUGUACUAAUUGGCUAAACCAAAAAUUCUAAAAAUUUUAUGGUGGAAAGAUAUGUGAGUCAAAUUUCAGGGAAAAUUUACAGAUCUUAAUUUGGAUCUCUGUAGCUCAAAUUAAAAAUAAUUUAGUAACUAAGACAUGAAUGGACAGCUUUAAAUAAAUUUAUAAGUAAAUAGUGAGAUCAUAGAUAAUGUUACUUAUAAGAAUGCUAUAUAUAUUUAGGAUGUGGAAUGGAGAGGAGGAGGAGGAAAAUAAAUAUAUGAAUUUUCAGCUAGCAAGGGUUUUGUUGGGUUUUUCACACAAGAAAAAAAAUAAUAACUAAGUUAUCCGGAUAAAAUAUGAAGCUCUUGUUAAAGCUAGAGCAACAAAGUAAUUAUUCCGGAUGAAAUAUGAAGCUCUUAUUGAAGUUAGAGCAACAAGGUAAUAAUUCCGGAUGAAGUAUGAAGUAAGUUUCAGAUUCAAAGACUUAGGAGUUGUAACCAAACGAACAGAAGCAAAUGGGAUAAAAAAAUUUAGAGAAGCAUUUCAUAUUUCAUCUGGGUAAUAUACAUACUGUUGUUUGUUGCCACCCUUAAUAGGUUUACGUUUAAAAUAGAUAAUUUGUAUGUUUUAGACUCAGGGACUAAAUUGAAUAAAAGAAAUAAAACUGUAGGGGCAAUUUUGUAAAAAUGUCAAAAAUGACCAAAAUGAAGAAAAUGAAUUGUUUUAUUAUUUAAAUUAUAAAAUUUAAUGAAACUAUUAAUUUAGAUCAAGAUCGGGUGAAAACAUGUUUUGGGGAUUAAAUUAAAAAGUGUUGAAAUUGUGGAAAAUUUUGUUAUUUUAUAGAAUUUAUGGGUUUUUAUCAAUAUAUAUAAGAACAAUUAGGUUCGAAACAAGGAUUUAAUUACAAGAACUUUAUUUUUCUUUGUCUAAGGAUGAAAUCGUCAUUAAUCAAAAGUUUAAGGGUAAAAUGGUAAUUUUGCCUAGAGAUUAAUUGAAUGUAUUAGAAUAUGAAAUAAAUAAAAAUGAUGAUCAAAUUUAUUUAUAAAAAUCCAGGUGGCUCAAAUAUGAGACUUGAACGUGAAAAAGAAAAAGUUUUCGGAUUAGUAAAACUAUAAAUACGAAUAAGCAAUGAAGUAAGUUCGUGCAACUUGAAUUGAGUUAUUGAAUGUUUAAAUUAUACAUUUAUGUGACAUGAAUGUGAAUUGAAUGUUUAAAUGUAUGUUUUGGGCUUUAAGGGCCCAAUAGAGGGACAUUAUGAUUAUUUUCAGAAUAUGAAUAAUAAAUUAUUCAGAAUUAUCUGAAAAUGCUCAGCAAACUCUGGUAAUGCCUCGUACCCUAUUCUGGCAAUGGAUACGGGUAGGAGGUGUUACAGUGACAAUCUGAGUUCAAGAUGAAUUAUUACGAAAAUAUACUUGAAAUACAUGGAUAUAAUUGUAUUUGUUACAGUGAUGCAUGAUGAGGAAAGUGUAUGAAUAUAGAAAAUUGAUUAUUUGUAGACUCAUACAUGUUUCUUGAUAUUUAUAUGAAAUACAUGACUAACAUGAUUGUUGAGGAGAUGUGUUUAGGCUUUUGGCCAAGUUGUUUGAAAUAUGUUUUAUAUGCUUACCUUAAAUGUGAAAUAAUGGUAAGCUAAAUUCCAAGUCAUACGGGCUUACUAAGCAUUAAAUGCUUAGUCUGUUUUAUUUCCUCUAUUUAUAGUACUUCGGAAGCUCGUUGGGUUGAAAGCUUGGUGGAGAUAUCUCACACUAUUCAUCAACUCAGUUUGGUAUAUGUAACAAACUAAAUUUUGAGUAAUAAUAGCAUGUAUAGGUUAAAUUUGACCAAUGAUGGUAUGUAUGUGUUGCGUUGUGACUAGCCAUUGGAAUGACUUGAGUUAGACAUAUUUUGAUAUGUAUAUAUGUGUGGCCUUAUCAUGUUUGUUGUGUUUGAUAUGGUUGAGUGAUGAGUAAUUUAUGGCUAUGUUGAUGAAUGGUUUGAGGUAACAUGAUUGGUUAAAUAUGCAUAUAUGUUUAUGUGGUUAAUUAGGUAAGAUUGAAUACUUGGACAUAUAGGGUGUUAUGACAUGUAUUAAACUUGAGCUUGGCUUGAAUAGAAGGUCUUAUUUGACUUGUGAUUGUAUAAAUUGUUGUGUUUAGGUUGAUAUCAAAAUUGGGUGAGAAAUAUGACUUGGAAAUAGCAUAUUUUCUACCAGACGGGCAGAAACACAGGUGUGUGUCUCAGCCGUGUAUAAUACACGGCCUAGCAAAUGGGCAUGUGAUUUGGUCGUGUGUCCCCUGCAUCUUAAAAAUUGAGAAACAGAAUGCUCAAAAUUAUCCACAUGGCCUAGUACAUAGUCGUGUAGCUUGGUUGUGUGAUCCCUGCACCUAUUUAAUGCAAGUCAGUAUGCUCACACAGCCUAACACACGGGCGUGUAGCUUGGCCAUGUGACCCAAGUCAGUGAGUACCUUAAAUUGGACACAGUCGUGUGUCCCUACUUCGAAUGCCUAUACAGUCUGAGACACGAGCGUGUCACUUGACCAUGUGAGCCACACAGCUUGGCCACACGGGUGUGUGUCCUCUGCACUUUGAAUUGUUUUUUUAUAUUUUGCGAAAAAUUCUCUAAGUCUAGUCCCGACUUGUUCCUAAUGUACAUUUUGAGCUUCGAUGGCUCAUAUAAGGGACAAUAUGAUUGAAUACGAUUUGAUUUCUGAUUUGAAAUGUUUGUAUUUGAUCUGUAAAUUUUGAUAAUACUCCGUAACCCUAUUCCGGCGACAGUUAUGGGUUAAGGGUGUUACAGAACUUGUAAUGAGUUAUCCUUAUUGAACUUCUAGUUCAAAUUACUCUCCCCUCUAACUCAUUACAAGGUAUUCUUUCUCUCCCCCUAAUAUUGGGAAAACUAUUGAAUCAAAAUAGUAAUCACAAAUCAUGUCAUAAUUAAAUCUCCAAAACAUUCAAAACAUCUAAUAAUACAAGGACUUGUAAUUAAUAUAUACUCCAAAUUUUUUUUGAGCAAUUGGAACAUAUACACACAUACAAAAAUUCAAAGAUGAAAAAUAUAUAGCCAUUGACUGACAACCAAUUGUACUGGGGAGUAUUUAUAACUUAUUGGCUUGAUACGUACAAUACGUAAAUUAACAUAAUCUCAUGUUGAAAUAGGAAUUUUAGUUCUUAUAAGUAAUGGUUUCGAUAUUAAUCAGAAGAUUCAAUCAAUAAUUUCUCUAAACUAUCAAGCGCAUAAAUAACAAGCUUUUACAAAAGUUUUUCAAACUCAAUCAAUAGAAGACUGAUAUAUAAACUCAUCAGUUUUAGCAAGAUGAAUUGUCUUAAUUGCAUAAUAUGAAAUUAAUUAUUUAAGCAAGCAAUCUUGCAAGCGACAUGUUACAAAUUGAUAACACAUAUGUGAUUAUUUUGUAGAUGCAUCUACCAAAAUCAUAUAAUAUCAAAAUCAUCCACAUGGUGGAUACAUGGACUCAUAUUCAUUUUAGAAAUGCAAGACAUUAAAUUUAACUUUAGCUAGUGAGUUUCUAAAAAUCAAUUUUCAUUGAGAACAAGCAACAAAUGAGAAUACUUUAAUUUAAAGAAUCUUCUGAUUUUUUAAUGAAUGUCCAUAUGAAUUCUCAAUUAAUUUUUCCAUCAUAUAUAAUCCAGGAUGGUCUAAUUGGUCACGCUAAGUAGGAAAUGCAUUUGUAUCAAUAAGCUUUUAGUUACUUUAACAUGCAUUUCAAUUGUACUAAUAAUGUCAAUAUAAAUUGUGGCAAAUUAAUAAUUUUAUUUCCAUUCCUUUUACUUUGUAUCCACAUAUAAGUACUAUUAUGACAUUUAUUAUUGAAAAUUUCUAAAUCAAUGUGAAGUCUAAAAUGUCACUAAAUCAACAAAAUAAAUAUAAUUUUCAAAUAUUUAUAUGCAAUAUUCGCUUCAGGGAAUAUGCCAAAAUCUUCAAAUGCAGAUCAUUUGGUCUAAUGGUAUGAUUCUCGCUUAGGGUGCGAGAGGUCCUGAGUUCAAUUCAAAAAACUUUUAAAACUUUUUUAAUAAAAUUUUUCCAUAAUUAGUUAACUACUAAGAAUAAUUGCCUAAGUCAUGUAUAGAAACAAGCCUAUAUUAAAUAUAUUAAUAAAAUUCACAUAAACGUAAAAAUAUUAUAUAAUGAAAAACUAGCAUUUUUUUUCAUAUCCAUCAUCAUAAAAAUGCAUGAAAUUUAAUUCAAAAUCCAAUCAUUCAUGCUCAUAGAAUUUUUCAUUUAUAAUUGCUCAUGUCAUUUCUCUAAAUAAUUAACAAAUGGAAUAAUAUAAAACGUAUGAACUACUACUUUUAACAAUUUUUUGAACUAAAUCAAAUCCAAAUAACCAUAAAAUUCAUUGGUUUAUUAACGCAAAUUUGCAUACUAGAUAUGUUUUAAUCAAAUAUAUUAUUUAAUUAUAAAACAUAUUAACAAAUGAGAUGCUUAAAACAUUAUGUAACCCAUGUAAUCAAAACUUAAAAAAAAGACCAUCCCAAAUAUUUAAAAUCAUAUAUCAAGUUGAUUUAACAUUUAAAGAUAUACCAUUUUUUUCUGUGUUGAGUCUUGACAAUUUUAUCAAGAAGUAAAAAAAUUAAACUCUAGUAGUAGACUUUGAAUCCAAUUAAAAUCUAUUAAUAGUAUAUUUUAAGAGUCGGUCUUAUUUUCCAAGUAUACAAUAGGUACAUAACCAAUGACUUUUCAUGCAUAAGUUUUCUCUCUUGCAAGUUCUCAUCAGUAAUAUUUUUCCACGUAAUUUUAAUUGAGAACUUAUUCUAAAUAUUGUAAAGUUAUACUCACAGUUUAAAAAAAAAACUUACAAUUUCAGGUGCAUCCAACCAUAACGAGCUUUAGAUAGAAUUACCAUAUUCUAUUGCUUAUAAAUAUUUCAGAUUCAAAUAUUUUGCUUUCAACCCCUUAAUGGGGAUGAUGACAAAAUAUCACAAAGAUAGUCACAAUCAAUUCAAUUUAAUAACAAGAGAAAUCAAUAACUCAAUCCUCCCUUUUUUUUAUCCUUUCAAAAUAUAUAUUUAUAGCAAUAAUGAUUCAUAUGAAAUAUAAUAUUUUCUUCAUUCAUAAUCUCAAUAUGAUAUCCAUUUAUAAUGAACAUCUUUUAAAACUAAUGCAUUAACCAUCACAAAUUUUGUGUGUUUUUAAAUAUUGAUAUAUUAGCUCUUCUGGAGCUUUCAACUAAUUUUGACUAUCAAAUAUUGGAAUAAUAUUUGUUUGUUUCAGUAACAAAUACGAUAAAUAUUUUAUAUAUGUAAUGAUAGAAUUCAUUACUAGAUUUUCAUAUUCUUCCUGGAAGAAUAUUAACAAAAAUAAAAUAUUUGGGCAUAUGCCACAUAUGUUGCCAAUAAUCUUUCAUAUCACAUUGGUAACAUAAGUUAUCUUUACCCUUUGAAAAGUUAUCUUGAGAGCUUUCAUUGUUCUCUUAUUUAUUGCUAUGUUCCCACUUUUAGUGGUUCAUGAUUACAUCUUUUAUUUUCUUUAUAUUUGCAUUCACUUAGGGGAAUGCAACAAAUCUAGUAGGACAGACUUCUAAACGCCUCCAUUGAUUCUUUAUUUCAUAAUCACCAUUGCAAACAUACGUGGAUUUCAAAUUAAAAUCUAUCUAUUCAUAUUGUCAUGAUUAGUCUCCAAUUAUAAUAAAUAUGAUAUAAUAAAUACAUCAUAGUUAAAUAUACCUAAAAUUCUUUAUCAUCAUCAUUAUCACCCUGACUGAAUGGUUAAAGGCUCUUAUGAUUACCCAUAGCGCGCAGGCCUCAAUUGAGAUGACAACAACUAUAAGAGGCAAUCAACAAUAGUAAAUUUUAGAAUAUUUUUGUGACUUAUAGAGAAAAACAAUUAAAAGAGAAUCGUGUUGAUAACGUGUUCUAAAAUAAAAAAUAGAGAAUAAAGAACAAAGAGAAUGAGAGAGCAAAGAGAAAGCAUAUUUUAUUUGUAAUGGCCUGAAAGUCAAUGGUACCAGAAAAUCCUGUUUUGAGACUGUUUCUGUAAUCAAAUGUUGUAAAUAUUUUUAUUACAUAUUUACGAAGUUAUGUUCUAGGUGAAUUGAAUUUCGAUUAGAUAAUUUCGUUCAUUUAGUGCUCAAUUUAAGUAUAGGGACUAAAUCACGUAAGUGAAAAAAAAGUGUGAUUGUUAUUAAAUUAAAAGCUAAAUUAUAACUAAGGGAUUUAUCUAAUAAAUAAACCAUUAUAUAAAUGGUUACUAUAGUGACCGGUUAUGACUUACAUAUGUGUUUAUUAUAUUAUAAAAUUUAAGUUAAAAUUUUAUGUUAAUAUCUAAAUGAAACAACCCAUACCCGACUCGAUCACCGAGUCCGAUUUACAGUCUGCUACAUUCGUUGUUAGGGCAACUACAAUAAUUUUAGAUACAAUCACACAUCACAAUCUACAUAAACUUACUUAUGAGCAUACAAUAACACUAUUAACCAAAUUUAAUAACUACUAAUUUGAUUCUCAAGUUCAUAUAAACAUAAAGUUAUACUGUCAGUGACUCAACUAGAUAGGUACAUGCCAACUAAAAUACUAAAAGUUUCACCAACCUGAUUUGUGCAGGAUUUUCUAAUGGAUGUUGAAAACAAUAAUUGUACAUGAUUAACAUAACCUGCACACGGAAAAUAAACCGAACGUUGAGCAAUCAACUAUUUGCAUUCCCAUAACUAAUAUUAUAACAUAACAUAAAUUAUAUAAGGACUUAAAUAAAAUAAAAACAAAAGGUUCGUAAGCAAUUUAAUAUGUCAAAUUAAAUUAUAAGAACAUAAUCCUUUCAUAUCGCAUUUGUAGUCAUACCAACUGAUUGUCACAUAUUCACCUUCAAACUCCUCACUUGAAAACUUCAAAAUUCAAUUAAACAUUGAAUAAUCACUUACAUUCACAUAAAUCAUACUUUAAUUGGCACCAAGAUACACCAUUCAAAUAUAAUAACCCAAGAAAUUCUAAUUAGCAUUACAAGCUUCUCAACCCAUAACAAUAAACCAAAUUCUAACGAUAAAAAAAAUACACAUUCUAAUCGUUAAGAACAACAGACAAGCAUCUAAUUCGAUUAACAAUUUAAUGCAUUAAUUCAGUAGUUUCCUAGCUACUCACUUCCGAGCAACAACUUCAUAUUUAUUCUUAAACAAUAGCAGAUUUAAUUUUUAAUUUCAAUCAUUAAUUAAAACAAGUUGUUUCGAACAACAUUUUAAUACAUUUAUUCGAACCACACCAUUAUGCACAAAAUGGACUGUCUGUUUAUACACAUCGAACAACAUUACUAUGUUAAAAAAAAAGAGUCAACAUUAAUGCCACAUAGAGCAACAAAUUGCACAACUUAAUAUACUCAAUACAUUAGCAUAAAUAAGAUCACAUUGAACAAUGAAUUUAACACAUUCGAAUAGAUCAAUUUUAAGGUCACUAACGGUUAAUUUAGCAUGUGAACAACAUAUACAUGUUUUGCAUUUACAGCAUGGUUUAAUCAACUUUAAGCAGGAAAUUAAAUGCUGCAAAUUUCCAGCACUCAAACUCAUAUAUGGACAACAUUAAUAUGACAUUUUCGAGUACCUUAAAGACACAUUUGGAAAAUUUGAAGAACCAUUCGAACAGCCACAUUCGAACAUAUUAAAGACAACUAAAUUUUGUCUUGUUUUGGACAACUGUAUAGGUCAGCAAGGCAUGUAUUAAACCACGCCUAACAUGUUUAUUUCAUCAUGCUUUGAACAACAAUAAAAACCAUUAGGAAUUAUAUUAAAUCAACUCUUUAAUACAUUCGAACAACUUAAAAUACAUCAUUCGAAUAUCAUAAAUCACAACUUUCAGACACUAUAAAUUGCAGCAUUUAACACUAUUCGUAUCCAUUUGGACAUCAUUAGUUAACAUUUAACAAUUUAGUUUCACAUUGUUCAGACCAUUUUAAUUUCCUAAUCACUUGGAUGAUCUUUAAUUAUUAUUUGGACAACAAUAAACAACCAUCGAUCAGACCACCUAAAUUGGUAAGAAAUUAAACAGCAUGCAUGCAAACUGCAUGCUUCAGCAGCUCCCUCGACAGCUAAAAAUUUCACUAAAAUUUCACUUAAUUCCAUCACUCAUACUAGCAUAAAGAUGCAACAAAACAACCAAGAAAGAAAAGGUAAAGAACCCACUAUCAUUUAUUUAAUUAAUUAAAUAACAUAUGCAAUUGUUGCAUAUUUGGCAAGUUUAAAACAUCUUUAAACAGGGAAAUUAAAUGCUGAAAGUCCAGCAUUUGGGAUAGAGGCCAAAGUUGGCAUUUAACCUCUCAUAAUUCCCUAUUAUUUCAAUCAGUAGCAGUCCAUCUCCUCAACAAAUUUAAGUAUAUUUAGUUUAGCAAUUUCAUACUUAAAAUUGAGCAUUCUUAAGAACGGUCAUCAACAAUUAACUCAACAUUUAAUCUCUUCAGUUUUUAUUUUAUCCUGAAUAGCACAUACAUUAAUUUCAAACGAAAGGAAAGGUCUAAGAAUUUAGGAGAAUACCAAGCUCCAAACGAGCUGUUGAUCAAGUCUGUCAAGCUAAAUUCAUUUAUCCAAAAAAAAAAUAUAUUUAGUUAUCCAAAUACCAGCUUCAGACAUGAUAAUUUGCACCAUUUAAAUGCCUAAAGUUUCAGCAGCCAGAUAAUAUGGUUUACAACAUAUAACACUCUAAGUUUCCAACUUUCAAACUUAAUAAAUUUCAGCAUUUGAACAUCAUCUAUUUACCAUUCAGACAUCAUAAUUUACAGAAUAUAGCACUCCAAAUUUCUAGAUUCCAAAUAUAACAAAUUUCAGCAUUUAUUCAAUAGCAUAUGCAAACUUUAAAAAUUUCAACUGACUGUUUUCACACAUCAUGAAGUUCAUUCAUUUGCACCAAGUUAAUUACUGAUAAAUUAACUCAAUACUGCAAUAUUUAAUCAUCAAUCUAAUAGCCACAAACAUCAUUUUCUUUUUUUUGAAUUUCUCUAGCUAGCAGCAAUUUAAAUUUCAUACAAUUUAAUUCCUUACUUCCCUUCGACAUAUAUAGCCUCUUUUUUCUUUUUAGCUUCAACAUUAAUGUUGAAACAUUAAAAAACCUGAUUUUUUUACAGCAUUAUGAUCAUGAUGAACAGUCUUAAAUCUCCAUAUUUAAACUCCUCAACAAGCUCAAAUCGAACAGCGUGCAUGUUAAAUUCAACCAUCUUUUUAUUAUGCUUAUUUCACCACAAUGCAAUAUACACACAAACUGAACAAUAGCUCCACUUAAAUAAUAUCAUUAAAUUCUCUUUAUCAAUUGAAUAACCAAGGUAUAGUUCCAAUAAACUUCAAGCCAAAAUCAACAAUUUUGAAGUAAUGGAAUGCACAAAAAUUUUAAAGAUUUGGAUUCAAGAACUCACCAAAAAUUCAUUCAAUUUGGUAGCUAACUAAUAAAUUCAUUCCUUCCCUUCUCUAUAGUUGCUAUCCUUCCCAUCCUUAACGUUUGUUAUCAAAAUAUAUAUGCUUAACAUGCAAUAAUGGCAGCUCUCAAAGUUAUUCUACUUCCCCAUUUUUCCCUAUCGAACACCUCGGAGAAAGAAGAAGUCUCCUUAUUUUAUUUUAUUUUUCAUUUUAAUUUCACUUACUAGCCAAAAAGAACAACAAACUAACAAGAAUGAAGAUGAAAUAAACUUACCAGCCAAAUUCCAUAUCAAGCCUAACCUUGCGUGAGCUCCUUUCCUUUCUUGUUCCUGCCUUGUCCUUCUCCCUUAACAAGUUUAUUGAGGAAAUCGACCCCAAAUAAAGUUUGAAAGCUUAAACUCCCAUUACAGUUUCGUCUUCUUCCUCUCCCUCUUGUUUCCAAUUUUGCAUGCUCUUUCCCAAAAGAAACUUUCCCUUUUUCCUCCACUCAAAUUUUUCUUACCUUUUGUUUAUUUAUUUAUUUUAUUAUAUUAACAUAAAAUUUUAACUUAAAUUUUAUAAUAUGAUAAACACAUAUGUAAGUCAUAACCAGCCACUGUAGUAACCAUUUAUAUAAUGGUUUAUUUUUAGAUAAAUCCCUUAGUCAUUAUUUAGCUUUUAAUUUAAUAACAAUCGCACUUUUUUUCACUUACGCAAUUUAGUCCCCGUACUGAAAUUGAGCACUAAAUUAACGAAAUUAUCUAACCGAAAUUCAAUUCACCUAGAACAUAACUCCGUAAAUAUUUAAUAAAAAUAUUUGAUACAUCUGAUUACAGAAACAAAGUCUCAAAAUAGGAUUUUUUGGUACCACUAACUUUCUAGUCGUUACAUUAUUGAUCAAUCGAAAUAUUUACAAAGUUUCUCAAAAGUCUUUAUUUAUAAGCAUAAGAAGUAUAAAUGAAGUAGAGCUCUACUUCUAAUGACUAUUAGAAUUUAAAGUGUAACAUCCCAAAAAUCGGAUUAGAAGAAAUUAGGUUAACGAAACCAAGAGUGGUUAUGUUUUGAUUUUGAGUUAGGAUUUUGAAAAUUCUAAAAAGCAAAUUGAUUUGGUUCAAUGGUUAAGUGCUCUGGAUGUGUACCAGAGGUCUUGUGUUUAAAUCUUUUCUUUGUAAUUUUUAUUAAUUUUGUCUUGACCCCUAUCCCUGAUCGUCUAACAUAAAUAAUAUUUUCGACCAAUUGAUAUCAAGAAUGAGCCGUUGGUUCAAUGGUUAAAUUUUUGUAUACCUUCUGGUCCUAUGUUCGAAUCCCUGCGAAAGAUAGGUUACCUUGUGAAAUUGUUUUAUUUUAUUUUAGUUAUUUUAAAAUAAGAUAACUAAUUUAUUUUAGUUAUUUUAUUUUAAAAUAACUAACUCCUUUUAAAAAAAACUUCUUUUCUUAAAAUGUUUGUUGUUGUUGUUGUUCUUCUUCUUCUUCUUUUGAUUUUUUUUUCUUUCUGAUAACUCCUUAUCUGGCUUUGCUGAAGAGAUUGUAUAUUUCGUUGUUUUGACAAAAAGGUUAACAGCGUAAGUUUGUUGUCGAAUUUCUGCCAAUGUUCGCUCUCGUUCGUUAUUUGUUAAAAUUUAAAUUGUUUUGCUCGCUUUGUCCGAUUUUGUUUUUGAGGGUUUAGUUGGUUCUCUUUCUUAGGUGAAGGGAUUGCAUAUCAAGAUUCUCUACCGAGUUAAGUACCUGUUGUAACACCCCUAACCCGUAACCAUCGCUGGAAUAGGGUUACAGAGCAUUAUCGGACUUAUCUCAUAAACAAUCAUACAUUUCAUAUUAAAAAAAAUGUCAUUCAAAUUUAGUCAUAUAGUCCCUAACACGAACCUUCAGUGUAAUGGCCUAAAUUCAAGGUUAUCGGAACAGUGAUUUCGUAACCACAAAUCUGAUUUAAAGAGAAAUUUAUUUUAAUAUUUUUGCAUGAAUAUUGAUAUGAUAGGAAAAUCGUAUGAAAAUAUCGAUAGAAAAAUUUUACCGAUUUAGUGGUUAGUGAGAAAAAAAUUAUUGAAGAAAUUGGGUAAAAGCAAGGUAUCGAGACUAAAUCCUGUAAAACUAAGUCAAAAAUAUUUUUAUAAAUAUUUAUAAAAUGUUAGUGAUAUGGUAUUAAAAUUGCGUUAGAAAAAUUUUACGUUUGGGUAGUUAAUUAAGUAAAAAGGACUAAAUUGAAAAGAGUAUAAAAGUUACUAAAAGGAUUAAAUAGCUCAAUUGUUAAAUGAGGAGGGACAUAAAUUGAAAAUAAGCCCAAAAGGAGAUAUUUUGUACAGCAUAGGCUGAGAAAAAUCAGGAGAAUUGGUGAAAUAAGGGCAAAAUGGGAAAAUAACAAAAUUUACUAAAAUAAAAAUGAGACCAAAUUGGAAUGUCUAGAAUUCUCUUCAUAUUUUCUUUAUUAUCAUCAGCCAAAAAUGUCCUAAGGGUUUAUUAACCUGGUAUUUCAUAAUUUUUUCACCAAGUGAGUUAAUCCUUGCCUUUUUCUUAUAAUUUUUUAAGACUUUUACAACUAGGUCCUACUAUUUAAUUCAUUAGUUUUUUAUUUCAUGGACGAAAUUGAAUGUCACCAUGGUUGAGUGCUGUGAGUUUAUGAUGAAAUAGCAUGAAAUUGAAGCUUUAAUUUGUUUAUGAGUUGAUUUUAUUAGGUAAUUUCAAUAGAAAUUGAUUUUUAGGACCUAAUUGUGAAAUAUUUGGAAUUAAAGUCUAGUGCUGAAAUUCUGAUUCCCAAAGAUUAAAAAGUAUUUAAAGUGAUAGAAUAAACCGUUAAUUGAGAAAAAUCAGCUCAUUUGAGAGGCUAAUUGAGUUGGGACGAAAUUAUUAUUUAUUAAAAGCUUAGGGGAAAAAUGAUAAUAAACAUUUUGCACUAAAACAGUUUUGGACAACAUCAGUAGACUAACUUUGAAAAAUCACCAUAAAUUGUGGAAAUCAAAUUAGAUGAUGAAAAAAAUAUGCAAUUAAAUCUUAUUGAGUUAGUUUCUCGUAGAAGAAACGGUGUAAGAAAUGGAAUUAUAAAUCAUGAGAUAUAAUAAAUUUUGUAAGACAAGGUCAGAAUGAAUUUCGGGUUCCCCUGUUCUGACUUUGGAAAAACAUCAAAAAUUGAAUAAAAAUAAUUAGGGGUUAAAAUUUACAUGUUUAAAUUAUUAAUGAGUCUAUUUUAAAUAGAAACAAACAGAAACAUCAUCCAAAUUUUUAACUAAGAAUAAUUAAUCUUUAGCAAAGAAAGGUCGAAGCUGUCAGACAGCAGGACAGGGGUAAGUUUGAAGAUUUUACUGUACUUAUUGGCUAAACCAAAAAUUCUAAAAAUUUUAUGGUAGAAAGGUAUUUGAGUCUAGUUUCAGAAAAAUCAAGCGGUUUUUAAUUUGGAAUUCUGUAGCUUGAGAUAUAAAUAAUUUAAUGAUUACGACUCAAGUAGACAACUUUGAAUGAACUAUAAAUAAUAGUGGAAUUAUAGAGAAUGUUACAUAUGAACAUGAAAUGUAUUAAAUUGAUGAUUAAAUUUAUUUAUUUAGAUCCAGAAUAUUCAAAUACGAAGAUAGAUUGAGGAAAAGAAAAAGUUCGGGAUUAGUAGAUUUUUGUAUACGAACAAGUAUCAAGGUAAGUUCGUGUAACUUGAAUUAUAUUCUUAAAUGCUUGAAAUGUAUGUUAUUGAUGUGAAUAUGAUUUGAAUGUUCAUUGUAUGAAAAUUGAUGAAACAUUGAUAUAUUUGAUAAAAGGGGAAGAAAUCCUGGUUGAAUGAAAGGAAAAUUCGAUGGAUCUCUGAAAAGGAAUUGAUGGUAAAAAAGAUCUAGCCCAGACGGGUGAUCCUACCCUGAUAUAGCCCUCCCGAAGAAUAUGUGUAAAAUGGAUUUAGCCCGGACAGGUAAUCUGAAUUAGGGUCUGAAUUUAGCCUAGAUUGGUAAUUCAGAUCCAAGCUCAUUAGAGUAAUUAUCGUUGCAGGGGAUUUAGCCCAGACUGGUAAUCCCGACAAUACUAUAUGAGUUUAUAUUACAGGGGAUUUAGCCUAGACUGGUAAUCUCACUGUAAGGUUAAGGUUCGCAGGAGUGUGCUCUCUGAAAUGGAAAUGUGCGCACAUGAAUAUGAAUUGACGGACUCGAAAUUGUACACUAAAAGUGUACCUUUGAAAAUCCAUCAAAAUUUCGAGAAAUUCAACGGGAUAAAUAUGGAAAAAUAACGAGGGAAUGGAAAUCAUGUUAUUGAUCAGCUCAUCAAUCAUUGUAUGUAUUAUUGAUACAUUGAAAUUAUUAGACUAACUUGAAUGUUGAGUUUGUGCAUUGUAGAGUAAUAAUGCAUUGAAUAGAUAUAUGGAUGUUUAUUGCAUUGUAUUGAAAAUAUUAGGUAAGUAUAAUUCUUGUUAUAUGAGCUUACUAAGCACAAAGUGCUUACCCUAUUUCCUUUUCCCCUAUUUUGUAGUGUUAAGAGCUCGGAGGUCAGUUUCGGUCGGAGACACAUCACACUAUCAACCUCAAGACUUCAGUAUAUAAAGAAACUUUAUUUUGGAAAUCAAUGGCAUGUAUAAGCUAAUAAAGUAAAUGUUAAUGUGAAAUGAAUGUAAGGUUAGCCAUUGGUAUGACUAACAAAUCUUGGUUUUGGUAUGUGAUGACGUUAUCUUAUAAAUAUGCAUGAAUCUAUCUUGAAAAUAUGUUGAAUUGUAUUGGUUGAUGUGGAUUGGUCUCGGUUUAAAAUUGCAGAGAAGGUUAGAUAUCUAUAAAGGGGUUAUAUUGAGUUAAAAAAAAUUAAUUCGUAAACUCCGGUAAUGUCUCGUACCUUAUUCCGGCAACGAAUACGGGUAGGGGGUGUUACAUUCGGGGAUUAAAACAAGCAUUGGAAAUGCUUCGAGACUAAUAGAGUACUUAAGAAAUUUUUAGAAAAACAUGGAAAAUUUUCAAAGUUUAGGGGACACACGCUCGUGUGGCCAGGCCAUGUCCCAUCCCGUGUCUGACCCCGUGUAACUCACUGGCUUGGGUUACACGACCAGACCACACGCCCGUGUGCGGGGCCGUGUACCCUUCGAAGUGGCCUCACAGACCCGUGUGCCAGGCCGUGUGCUAGGCCGUGUGAAGCUACUGACUUGAUUUCUAAAGAAGUAUCAGGGGACACACGGCUAUGUUACCUAGCCGUGUGUCACACACGGCUGAGACACACGCCCGUGUCUCUACCUGUGUGGACAAAAAUAGGUCAUUUUCCAAGCGUUAUUUCUCACCCAAUGUGGUACUAACCUACACAUACCAAAUAACAUAUACCUAUAUCAUCAAUAUGCAUUCAAACCAACCUCAACCAAGUCCAAAUUAUGCAAUACCAAUACCAACAACCAUAAUGAUCAUAAGCAUCACAAUUUGCCAUUCAAAAACAUACCAAUAUCACUUUCAAAAAUUCACCUAAAUGGUCAAGUGCAUAAAUUCACUUUUGUGCCCAACACAUAACCUAUAUGCCAUUUCCAAUUUCAACUAUAUGGAACUCUACUUACAUAAUCAAAAGUUAGGCAUUUUCAAGACAUUCAAUACAUCAUGAAGUUAACCACACAUAUAUACAUAUAUAUAUCAAUCCAUAACAAUUCAAACUACAUUAAAAUGGCCAAUUACAAUAUCGAAACAUAUUGGCUUUCACUAGCCAAAUAACCUAUACAUGUCAUAUAACCAAAAUACAUUAAAUUCAAAAGUACCAAAUAAGAGUUCAAUAGUGUGAUGCAAUCUCCGACAACUUCCAAAAUGAGCGAGCUUCCGAAUCACUAUAAAACACGGAAAAGAACUAAACAAAGUAAGCAAUUAAGCUUAGUAAGUUCGUGUAACACCCCAAACCCGACCCAGAGGUUAUGGCCAAAUCUAGCGAUGUCACAUGAUAAGGUGUUUGAAAACUAGGUUUCUACAAUAAAUCCACUUUCGUUUAAUUACUUUUCUUAUCUCUUAUUAAAUUCCAAAAUCCUUACUUGUUAAAUCGAUUAGUGUAAGCAUAAUUCGUUGCGGAAGCUUUUAAAACCAUUUUGAAUAAAUCGUUUGUUUAGAGAAAACUUUGCCUUUUUGAAAACUGAGUUUUCCUACGUCUAGCAGUUAUAAAUCCAUAAAAAUAAAUAAAAACCAAUUUAAGCAAAAGUCCCCAAGUUACAUCCAAAUAAAUCACGGUAAAUAAAACCAUAAAUCACAAAUUAUAAAUCGUAAAAGUCCCAAAAAAUAUGGUCACCAUCGAGUCCUCCACCGCCCGAUCCAUCUAGGUCUGGGGAUUACCUGUGCACAUUAAACAGAGAGAGGUGAGUUUACGUAAACCCAGUGUGUAAUCCCACAGAACACGAACAACAGUAAACACAGUGCACAGUCAAAAACAGUCUUGGGUUUAUGCCCCUUUCAGUAUCAGUAACGGUUUGGCCUUAGCCCAACUCAGUAUCAGUAUCAAUAUGCACAAGAGCCUUAGCCCAUCACAGUAUUAGUAACAGAUAUACAGUAUUCAGUAACAAAGCCCUACCCAACCAGCCUCUACACACCAUCUCCGUCCAACCCAACAUUCCAUGUGGGAAUUAAAUCAACCCACCUAUCCCUACACUCCAGGUAGUACCGAAUGUGGCACAAAACAGUAGUUUGCAGCUAGGCUGCUAGUAUAUUAGGCUUAAGAGCCUUUCAGUACACUUUUUCCAAAUAAAAUUAACCCAACCCCAUACAAUACCGCUUUCAGUCGGUCCCGAAUCAAUCUGACCUUGUCCUCAGUCUUAGAAACCAACUCAGGACCCAGAACACGUCGUUCACCCAACUCAGUCUGUAACACCCCUUACCUGUAUCCAAGGCUGGAACAAGGUACGAGGCAUUACCAAACUUAACCAUACACAUAGAUGAAAAUCGGGCCAUAAAAUUUCAUUUAAUUAAAAAAUUUUCAAACAUAUGCAUCGACUCAUAUUUAAAGACAUAUAACGUGGCAUAAAUGAGCACUUACACAUCCAUAAUCAUGCAAUAACAUGUCAUUCACUUUAAACAUAUUUGCUUACCAUCCUGUAUAUAAUAUACAUUCUUACAUUAGCUAGAACUAGACAUGCUAAAUCUUAUUCUCAUUUUAUACCAUCAUAAUGUAGUUACCAAUUUGUCCAUUAAACAUCCAUAUUCAAGGCAACAUUACUCAUUUCCAUUCAAUUCAUGGUCUACUGGCCUGCAUUUAACUUACUUGAUGUAUUACCAAUCAUGCAUAACAAACAAAGCUAACUAUAUCAUCACAUCAAAACAUAGGACAUGGCAUGAUUAAUUAAACUUAUAAACCAUAAUGGAUAAGGACCACAUCUCAUGAUCAUAUAUGAUAACUUAAUGCAGAUUGAUUCAUAUGGUCAAAGUCAUAAUAAUAAUACAUAUCACAAACCAACUUCCUAUACAUGCCACUCACUUGAUAUUUCUAAUAUUUGAAUUAAUUCUCCCAAAAAUGAUAGUUUGAAAGUGUGAUUUUGCCUCCGACAAUCUCCAACCCUGAGCCGACCUGCCAAUACUAAAGAAAUGGAGAGGAUGGGUAAGCUUUACUCUUAGUAAGUCCAUAUGAAAUUAAUAAGCAAUUACUAACAUGCUUUUCAAGAUAAAACACUAUAAUUGUACAAUUACACAUGUUCAGGUUAAGCUAUUUUAUCGAGUUACAGUUACUAAAUCAUUCAUAUCUAGAGCUACAAAACUCCAAAUUUAGUUUCAUUAAUUUUGCUUGAAAUUGGACAGAAUUUUUAGUUUAGCCAAUUAGUACAGUUUAUUCAUUAAAGUUUCCCUUGUUUUGCUAUCCAACAGUUCUAACCUCUCUUCACUAAAAAUUAUUUAUCUCAUAUUUUGAGACUCGGAUGAUGUUCCCAUCCAUUCCUCCUGAAAGUAUACUCAUUGAGGAUUCUAUUCAUAUAAAUUAUAACUCAUAAUUAUUUUUUUACAAUUUUUAACGAUUUUUCCAAGUCAGAACAAGGGAUCUCGAAUUCAUUCUGACACUGUCUCACAAAAAUUAGAAUAUCACAUAAUAUAGAACUCUUUUGCUCCCCCUGUUUCUUUUAUAUGAAAAUAGGCUCAUUAAUAUUUAAUUUCAUAAUAUUUUUGAAAUUUAAUUCAACUUACACAAUUUUUGGUGAAUUUUCAAAGUCACGCAACUGCUGCUGUCCAACACUAUUUUACUACUAAAAUUCACUCUUACAUAAUUUCACUUAAUCCAUUUUGUCUUAUCGAAGUUCACUCAAAUAUCGAGAACAUUGCUCAUAAUUUUCAUAAACAUAUACCUGCACUUACUCAUCAUAUAAUCAUGUUUACAUGUAUUUUUACUUAAUCAAUUUUCCCGUUGAACUCUUCGGAAUAAUAACUGAUACUCAGUUGCCUGCACAUAUUUUCACACUUGUAGACAAGGCUAUCUGGUACGCAUAGUAACCUGCACUUAGUACUACACAUGCGACCAAUUAUCCGGUACACAUAGUAGCCUGCACUUAGUACUACACACGUGACCUAACCAUCUAAUACACGUAGUAGCCUGCACUUAGUACUACACACCUGAACAAAAUUAUCGGGUACGCAUAGUAGCCUGCACUUAGUACUACACAUGCGACCUCACAAUAGAUCAUUCGUAUUGUUUCUAUUCUGAAGGCUCAACCGGGAAAUUCCUCACUUUCCAACAUGUUACAAAUUUAUUCAUAGUCCUUUUUCAAUUUGCAAUUUACAACAAAUAAUCAUUCUACAGGGAGCCACAUUUCAUAUGAUAACAAAAUAUAAUAAAAUAAAUAGAAUCGAUAAAUUAUUUACAUACAAACUUGUCGAAAUCUCAUCAGGUACAACCCAUGUAAUAGUAAUUUAACAUUCAAUUCAUGUAACAAUAAUUUGCCAUUCAAUUUCACAUGACACAACAAGCAUCACAUUUUCCGUAUCAUACACACCAUCCAUCAACUUCUCCUAAACAUAUUAAAUCAUACAAUUUAUGCCAUAACAAUAGAAAAUUACAAUUCAAGUAUGGUAUUUCAUUAUUAUUAACACACGAACUUACCUCGUAUACGAAAAUGACCAUUUUUACCAUUUUAUCCACAACUUGGUAUUUUGCUGAUUUUAGCCCGAAUUUCAAUUUUCCUUGCUCUAUCAUUACAAAUAUAGCCUAAUUAGGACUCACAUUAUUCAAAUUGACCCAAAAUCAUAUUUUGGAAAAAUUACAAUUUUGCCCCUAAACUUUGUCAAAAGUACAUUUUUCCCCUAGGCUCGUAAAUUAAACUUCAUCCUAUUUUCUUAUGUUUUAUGACAUGCUGAUCAUUUUUCCCUUCUAUAGCAACAUCAAAUUCACACUCUUAACAUGUACUUAUGAACAUUAGGUAUUUUUACCGAUUAUGUCGUUUUACUCGUUUUCACGUAAAAUCGCUUAGUAAAAGUUGUUUAACACAAUUUCAAGUUUCAUAUUCUACCAUAAAACAUCAAAAUAAACACAUUUCACCUAUGGGUAUUUUUCCAAAUAUAAACCCUAGGUUAAAUAUAAACCAAUUUACCGGGAUUUCAAAAAUGUAAAGAACUUUAAAAACGGGGCUAUGAAGCACUUACAAUCGAGCUUGGGAGUUUGAACAAACCUUAACCAUGGCUGGUUCUGGUAGAAACAGUUGAAUGAAGAAGAUGAUAGCUAAUUUGGCUUAUUUUCCUUUUUAAUUCUUUUAAUUAUUAUUUUACCAAAAUACCCCUAACUUAAAAAUAUUUUAUUACACCCAUUUCAUGUCUAUUUUUGUCCAGCAAUUAACCAAUGGUCUAAUUACCAUUUAAGGACCCUCAAUUUAAAAUUUCAUAACAAUUGGACGCCUCUAGUAUGUAGAACUCAACUUUUUCACUUUUUACGAUUUAGUCAUUUUGACUAAAUUAAGUGCCUGUAUGUCAAAAUUUUCGAAUGAAAUUUUCAUGAAAUUAUUCUGUGAAAUCGUAGACCAUAAAAAUAUAAUAAAAAAUAAAAUUUUCAUCGUCGAAUUUGUGGUCUCGAAACCACUGUUCCGACUAGGCCCAAAAUCAGGGUGUUACAUAGUCCAAUACAAGGGAGUACGACAUUUACAACCAUACAGAGCCUCAUAAAAUGCCAUCUGAAUACUAGAUUGGAAAUUGUUACUGUAAGCAAACUCCGCUAGCGGUAGAUACUCCUCCUAACUGUCUCAGAAAUCGAUAACACAGCUCCUCAACAUAUCUUCCAAUAUUUGAAUCACCCUCUCCGAUUGACCAUCGGUCUGAAGAUGGAGUGCAGUACUGAAAUCCAACUUUGACCUCAGAGCCUCAUGCAGCUUCUUCCCAAAUGGAUACGUAAAGCGAUGAUCCUUACCAAAAAUAUAAAGCUUCCCCAUGCAGUCUCAUUAUCUCAAAAAUCUAAAGCUUUGCCAGUUUCUAUAGAGAAUAAUCAGUCCUAACUGUAUAAAGUGUAUAGAAUUAGACAAUCGAUCCACGAUGAUCCAGACAGAAUCUUUUUUAGUGGGUGUCAAAGGCAACCCACUAACAAAAUUCAUCGUUACUCACUCCCAUUUCCAUAACGGAAUCUUAACCGUCUGCAGCAAACCCAAAGUCAACUGAUGCUCAGCCUUAACCUGCUGGCAUGUCAGACACCUAACCACAAAAUCAAUAACCUUUCGUUUCAAUCCUGGCCACCAGUAUAACUCACGAAAAUCUCGGUACAUCUUAUUCCGGCCAGGAUGCAUAGCAUAAGGGCUACUAUGCGCCUCUCUCAAAAUAGACUGCCUCAGAUUAGUGUCGUUCAAUACGCAUAUCCGACCACGAAAACACAAUACACCUCCAGACUUCAACCCAAAGUCCGUAGUGCUACCAUUCUCAAUAUGUCGGAACCGAAGACCCAAAGACUCAUCCACCAGCUAUUUACCCUUGAUCUACUCGAUCCAAGUUGGUUUGGGUUGCAGCUCAGCCAACAAACUCCCAUCGUCGAACAAUCUAAGUCGAGCUAACAUCGUUCUUAGAUCAGUCAUAGCCCUACGGCUCAAUGCAUCAGCCACUACAUUACCCUUGGCAAGAUGACACUCAAUGGUACAAUCGUAAUUUUUAAGCAGCUCAACCCAUCUACGCUGCCUAAGAUUCAACUCCUUCUGAGUAAGGAGGUACUUAAGGCUCUUAUGAUCAGUGUAGAUGACACACUUCUCACCAUACAGAUAGUGCCUCUAGAUUUUCUGUGCAAAAACCACAACAGCCAAUUCCAAUUCAUGUGUCGGAUAGUUUGCAUCAUGCGUCUUAAGCUAACGAGAUGCAUAUGCCACGACCUUACCAUCUUGCAUUAGCACGUAAUACAAACCAACAUGCGAUGCAUCGUUGUACACUACAAACUCCUUUCUAAAUUCGGGCUGUAUCAGAGCAGGAGCCUUAGUCAGUACGGUCUUGAGCUUCUCGAAGCUCCCUUACUGUGCAUCAGUCCAGACAAACGGUACACCCUUGAUUGCGUGAUUCGUAACAAGUAAUAAAUAUUUAUAAUGAAGAUCAAACCUAGACUAACUAUUAUCACGAUGAAAAGGCAAGCUUACCUAUCGAACAAUAGUAUAGUAAUGGCAAGACCGGGAUAUUGAACCCAAGGGAACCAAAAGUACUAGUAAUAACUAUCUUUUUAUUAUCUAGCCUAAGAAUAAAAGGGUUUGUUUAUUAAACUAAUUAUCUAAACUAUUUAACUAAUUUAAUUAAAGCGAAGAGAAAAUUUGGAAAAAGACUUGAAGAAAAGCAAUUGAUAAAGACGACAACCAAGGAGGUAUCAAUUAUAGAUUUCACUUGUUAUCUGACUUUAAACCAGACGAUUUAUUCACUUGACUUGAUCCGUGAGACUCCCUAACCUAUGUUAUUAUCCCUUUCGAGACUAAUAAUGUCUAACCCUUAGUUGAAUUAAUCAAAAUUUCUUUCUUGAUUAAAACUCCUAGGGAAGCAGUAAAUCACUCCAUGGACUCCCAUAUUAGGUUUCACCCUAAUCCAGCAAAAUCUCGUAACUCUAUUUCUAGGCAUUCGAUCAAAUCCGCUUAAUUAUGUCAAAUCUACUCUUAGGCAGUGUCUAUCCCUCCUCUGCAUAAGCACAUCAAAUCAUGAAUUAACACCCGAAAUAUCAACUCAAACAUUAAGAACACAUAAUUAAUAACAAAUUAAGUAUUUAUCAUACAGUUCAGAUAAUAAUAACAAGAUCCAUCAUAGGUUUUAUCCCCUUUAGGUAUCUAAGGGGUUUAGUUCAUAAUAAAAUAAGAGUACAUCUCAAAACUAUAAAAAUAACAAAACAUGAAGAAAACUCUAAAACCCCUGAAGGAAUUCUGAGAGAGAUAUUCAGUCUUGGAGUAGCUCCGGCUUUUAGGAUGGAUCGUCUGUCUUCCUUCAAGUAAUUCCUGGCGUGUGGUUUUGUAUUCCAGAAAAGUUCUGGAAUUGGGCCCCUUUCUAGGUCAUACUUAGGGUGUUUAUAUAGGCUUUGGAUUGGCUUUCUUCCUCCCUAAGUACCCUUUUCCGUGUAAAAUACAACUCUUUGAAAAAGGGACACGCCCGUGUGCCACGGCUGUGUGACGUGAUUGCCAGGUCGUGUUCGAUCCGUUAAAUUGCCACGGCCGUAUGGGCUCAACGACCAGGCCAUAUGAAUUGUGUAAAUCGUGGUCUACACCCCCGAAGGACACGGGCGUGUGAGAUGCCCGUGUAGCAAGGCUUAGGCAGUGUGAUCUUCUCGAUUUGGUCCAUUUUGUCCCCUUUUAGCUCAUUUUUGGCUCCUUUUGACUCUUAGUGCUCUCCUAAGUACAAAACAUGAAAUGACCGGAUUAAAGGCACCGAAAUUCACAAAUCUAGUAGUAAACAUCCAUAAAUAUGCUAAGUAUUUGGGGUAAAACUAUGUAUAAUUUGGCGUUUAUUAAAUACCCCCACACUUAAGUAUUUGCUUGUCCUCAAGCAGAACUCUCAUUUACUGCUAUAAUUCAUUCUUUUCAAUCACAUGAUCAGUAUUGAUAAUGUUACAAACUAUUCCACGGAAAAUCAUACAGUGAGAAUUUAACUAUAGGGGCAUUAAAAGCCUUAAACAAUCUAAAUCGAAUAUUUUGAUAAUAAAAUCAUAGGUAAUCUCCUUCCUCUAAGUAAUUAAAUUUAGUCCUAAAUAUACAAGAGAUGACAUCCUCACUAAAUAUUCACUCAAAUCAUUCAAAGUGUUUAGGGUUCAAGAUUAAGCACUGGAUUGUCUAACAUGAAAAGUUAUUACCAUAGGCUUGCAUGAAAAUCAAAUCUCCACCACUUGUAAAUGAUAUGAUACACUAAUCAAAAGGUCUUUGCAUGGUUGUAAUGGGGUUUAGGUUACAGGUAUGGAUACAAGCUGAAGAACAGGGGUUAGAAUCGAGAUAAUUUCAAUAUGUUACCCCACUAUCAAAAACUUAAUUACUGAAUCACAAAAAAAUAUCUAGAACUAUAUUACAUGAGCUCAUGACAACUUUAGCUUGCUGAGGAUUACAAUAAUACUGAGUUUUUUUUCUUCUUUUUUUUAAGAACAAAUCAAGUCAACACAUUAUAGAAAUCAUACUUCACGAUUCAAUAACAAAAAAUGGUGAAUAUAGUGAGGUAACAAUAUUAAAUGUAAUCUCGAUAAAAAGGGUUAAAUAAUAGGAUUUCAACAAUAAUGGGUUAAUGGGUUAAUGAUGAGGGUUAAUCAAUAAAAAGGAUUAGUAGGCUCAAGGGGGUUCACUAAUUGUUUAAUUAUGUGGGAAGGCUUUUUAUGGAGUAAAUAGGUUAAAUCCUAAGUGCCUUUAUCAUCUCAGUAUAUCAAAUCAUACGUGUGAUCUCGACAUGUAUAAUCGAACCAAGUUCUAGAAUAACAGUUCAAUGUUGACACACUCAAACCACAAAAGAAGUGAGCAAGAAAGAAAGCUAUAUGUUCAAUAGGCUCAAAAAUCUCACCAAAAAGCUGGGUUUUUGAUGUCAUUCCUGUAUACUUAAGAUUUCAAGAUAAUACCUCAAUUUAAAAAAAUAGUCUAAAAAUUUUAUUUCUCAAAAUAUCAACUUAUCAUGCUCGAUUCUUUAAGUUCCUAUAAUCAAAUAAUCAUGCACAAUUCCCUUGGUCUAAUUCACGACAUAUCAACAAUAAUUAUAGAUCAAUCAGAAUUCAUUCUAUCAAUAUUAUGAGAAAAUCACUUAAACACAAGACCAAAUUCAGGGAAAAUCACUUAAACACAAGACCAAAUUUAGGGGUUUGAGAAUAAUGCAAAAAAUUAGGUUUCAUGUUCACCCCCCAUACUUAAGAUGUACAUUUCCCUCAAUGUUCAAAGAUAGAUUAUUCAAAAUAAAGAAAAUCAUAAGAGGAAAGGAGGUGAAACUCCCUGUUAUAUGGAUGUGGAGCUUGAUUCUGAGGAUGGAGUGUUCGGGGAAAGUGGUAGCUGCCAUUGUUCUUGGCUAGAUGAAGAAAUUGGGUCGUUGAACAUGGCACUCGUGAGGGAUUAUUUCCCAUUUGUUUCCUCAUUCCAUAAAAUAUUCCUAGCAGUUUUUCUUGGAAGUCUGUAGAAUCAUAAAGAGCUUAUUAAGAGUUGGUGUGGAAGAGAACGUAGUGGAAUUACUUGUUAGAAAUACCAGAAAAAUGAAGAAAGUAAAAUUUACUAAAAUAAGUCGUUCAAAACAAAAUAAUAAAGUUGAAAUGAAAAUAGAAAUAGAAAUAAAGAGAAAAAUAAAAAUUUACUAAAAUAAGUCGUUCAAAACAAAAUAAUAAAGUUGAAAUGAAAAUAGAAAUAGAAAUAAAGAGAAAAAUAAAAAUAAAAAUAAAAAGAUAAAAAGAUAAGAGGAUUCAAUGAUCCUCGUCAGUGGAGCGCUCAGGUGGUGGCGCUGGAGUGGCGAUGUGAAAGUGCUGGCACAGCUGCUGCAUCAUGGCCUACAUGUCAUCCAUCUGUCUGUCACGUCGCCGUUCUCAGUCGUGAAUCAUCUCGAAAUGUAUAGUGCAAUACUGCUCGAAGUGAGCGAGUCGGUCGGAAAGGUGUGCCAAUGAGGCAGUUGCAUGAACUUGUUGUUCCCUAGGUGGCACGGUAAAAGGCUCCUCAUGCUGUGGGGGAACAUCAUCAGGGAUGUCCUCAAGAUCUUCCUCGUCAAUGGCAUGUGAGAGACGGUACUGAGGAGGAUCGGUCCCACGUCGACGCUCUAUCAUCCUCAUGUGUAACAUAGUCGUGAUGCCCUGUGAGGACAUUUGACCUAUCAGGGUAAGCACUGAUGACUGGACUGCAGUGUUGAGGAGGCCAAAGUGUCUGACAAGAGAUCACUCCCUUCCUAUGCCACUCGGUCUAAUAGCGAAUGGCGAAAGCAAUGAAGUAUGCCAGGUCAGUCACGUGUGCAUUCGCCAUUCACCAUAAAUAGUAGGCGUCGUGGGUGUUGACGACGCCAGUGCUUUUUCUCCUCUCAGUUAAGGUGUGUGCCAAUAUGGCAUGGAGAUAGUGAAGAGAGCUGAGGCCUUCGAAUGGCUGGGGUCGUAGGUGGAAAAGAGUGGUGCCAAAACCUUCCAGCACAAGGAGGGGGAGAUAUAGAUAUUGCGUGGUAGUGCAUUCAUGUCCUCCUCCUCUAUAAACUCAUCUGUUUAAUGUCCCAGAGCAACUCCAAAAUCUGGGACACUCAUCGCACGAACUAGACCGCCUAAUCGGAAGUGAAUGGUGCCUAGGUCGUCAUUGUUCUUCAUCACCACCUGUAAAUGAAAAAUAGAGCAUAAUUCUAAAGUUAGCUCUAAAUAAGUGGGCUCAGUAAUAGCGAAGAACCAUUCCCAUGGGUCUGUUGACAGGAGGGCGCGGAUGGCAUCAACGAGCUGGACUUACUCUACAGCAGCCCAGUCGAUGCAGUGACCUGUUGUGAUGGGUUGUGCGCGUAGUAUCUGAAAUAGCUCCUCCUGCGAAGCUUGCGAAAAUUCAAGAAACGAGUGUCGAACUUCAGCUGUAGCACGUACCGAGGAAGAACCCUGUCCCCUUCGUCUCUUUGAGGAUGGGACCGUGGCCUUCUUGCCUCUCGAUGAUGACAUAAUGUACCUGAAAAUACAUGAGCAUUGAUAGAACCCAAGAUACAUCAGUAGUUAAGCAAAAGGCCUAAAAUUAGUAUAUGCUAUUUAAUAGCUUAAACAAUUCAAAUAUAGAAAAUUCUAAAGAAAAUUCCUAACUUGUCUAAAACAUAUUUGUAAUAGUAAUAAUAUCUAUGCAAAGCAUGUAGAAUACUAAUGUAGCAACACAAAUUGGAAAAAUAAGGUUGAGAAAGUGAACCAAAGGUUGUUGUAAGGCGGUGCACAGGCGUGUUGGACGCGAGCACGGGUGUGUGACGCGGGGAUGAAUUCGUGUGGUGGGAGAAUGGAUGGUAUAGGGAGGGGAAAAUGGGGAUUAAUGCAAGGGGAGUGGAUUUGAGGGUGGUUUGGGGGUUAGGGAAGUGAGAAUCUAGGGAAUGAUGGUCGGAAUAGGGAUUAGGGGUUGGGGCAGGGUAGAUUUCGACUUGGGUUUUGAAAGGAAGAGGAAGAUGAAUAGUGGUUUGUUUAUAUAGGGAAGGGCCACACGGCCUAGGGCCACGUCGGUGUACUUUGAGGGUGUGCUCGUAUUUUUUGAAUUUUGCGAGUUAGCUUGUGCCCGGUUACUAUCACACGCCCGUGUGUCUUAGGCGUGUGUCAAACACGGCCAUGUCGCACGGACGUGCCUUGCUUUGUUCGCUUCUCCCACGCCCGUGUUUUAUGGUAGCACCCCUGUGUGUUGUUACACAAGGCUGGACAGCACGGGCAUGUUGCACGCCCGUGUCAAAGAAAUAGAAUCGAGCCUUGUCCCUGGCAUGCCCGUUGUUUUCUAUCCCCAUGCCCGUGUUUAUCCUAUCAAGUUCACCCACGUCCAUGUCGCACGGCCGUGGGGAUUUAUCGCACCCCGUGUUUUGGGGAAAUCAUGUCCUGCUUCAACACGGCCAUAUCGCAAAGCCGUGUCUCUUCCCUUGUUUGGCCACGGCUUUAGGCACGCCCGUGUGCCUGGCCGUGUGUGCUGAAAAACUUUGCAAUUCAAAGACUAAGUUAAUGAUUCGAAGUGUUAGAAAUUAAAAAUAAAGAAAUCAAAAUAUGUCAGUGCUCGGGUUGCCUCCCUAGAAGCGCUUAUUUAUAGUCUAAGCUCGAUUUACCUCUCAAGUGAAUGGUCAGGGUGGUUCGAGGAGUUCAUACUCCUCAUUCCUGCUAUCAAUCUUAUCAAAAUAAGGUUUUAAUCGGGAAUUGUUUACCUUAAAAGUGCCAAACUUGGGAUGACUCACCUCAACCGUACUGAAUGGGAAAAUACUAAGUACCGUAAGAGGGAUUUCCUCAUUCAGUGUGGUAGUGACAAUGUGAGGAUCUGUGGCUUCUAGUAAGACUUUAUCGCCAACCUUAAGUUGAUUUGGAGAAGUAUUGAACUCAUUCUGGCGUAAUUUUGGUUUAUCGUGUGUUCUUGGUUUAUGUACUCUCCACUCGUCUAACUCCUCUAUCCGAAGCCUUCUUUCCUCAUUGGCAUCUUUGUUUUCUACAUGAUAGUAGUGCACUGUCUCUAUUGUCUUGGUUCGAGGAGGUUCCUGCAAGGAUGAUUGAAUAUUAGUUUUGUCAUUGACAGGAUUUAUAGCAUUAUCUUGAGUCUUAGUGGUUUUGACUGAGUCGCGUACUUGAAGUGUUACUGCAUCGUCAGCUGCACGAAGUGUUAGCUCUCUUGUACCUACAUUAAUAAUGGUUCUGGCAGUUGCUAAAAAGGGUCGUCCUAAAAUUAAAGGUACCUCGUUAUCCUCAUCCAUAUCUAAGAUGACAAAGUCUACUGGGUAAAUAAAUUUAUCAAUUUUAACGAGAACAUCUUCAAUAAUACCCUUAGGAAAUCUAACUGUUUUGUCAGCCAAUUGUAUGCUCAUCCUAGUCUGUUUGGGUUUACCAAGACCUAGUUGUUUAAACAUUUUAUAUGGCAUAAUAUUUAUACUAGCCCCUAAAUUAGCUAAAGCAUUAUUCACAGAUAGACUACCAAUUAAGCAAGGAAUUGUAAAACUCCCUGGAUCUUUCAAUUUGUUAGGUAACUUAUUCUUUAGAAUAGCUGAGCGAAUCGCAUUGAGUUCCACAUGUGAUGUAGCAUCUAAUUUUGUUUUAUUGGUCAGAAGUUCCUUUAAGAAUUUUUCUGAGUUGGGCAUCUACGAAAGAACUUCAAUAAAGGGUAAGUUAAUAUGUAAUUUCUUUAAGAGUUUGACAAACUUACCGAAUUGUUCUUCUGUCCUGUCUUUUUUCAUGGCUUUAGGAUAUAGCACAUGAGGUUCAUAAUUCUUACUUACCUGUUUAGGAUCAUUAUCGUUUACCUUUUCUCGACCUUUGUUCAUCGCGUUGUCUUACUGUAAUUCUGGCUCAGGUGCAAUGAAUCCUUCCUUAUCUUAAGUAUUAAUUGCAUUGAUGUGUUCCCUCGGAUUAGGUUCAGUAUUACUGGGUAAGCUACCUUGUGGUCUUUCAGAGAUUAGUUUGGAUAGCUGGCCUAUCUGAGUUUCGAGUCCUUGGAUCGAUGCUUGUUGAUUCUUAAGUGUUGUCUCGGUAUUUUGUAAACGGGUUUCUUCCACCGAGAUGAAUUUAGAAAGCAUCUCCUCAAGGUUUGGUUUAUUCUCUUGUUGAUAAGGUGGCUGCUGAAAACCCUGAGGAUUUUGUGGCUUUUGAUUUCCUUGAUCACCCCAGGAGAAAUUUGGAUGGUUUCUCCAACCUACAUUAUAAGUAUUACUGUAUGGGUUAUUUUGAGAUCUGAAUUUAUUGUUACCCAUAUAGUUGACUUGUUCCUUUUCAGUUGUGGGAUGAAGGAUUGAUAUUCUGUAUGCACACCUCCUCCACUUGAGUCACAACUCAUUACUGGAUGUACCUGCAAUGAACCAAGUAAACCGUUAAUCUUUUUAUUGAGAAGUUCUACCUGAUUAGAUAGCAUAGUGACCGAAUCGAUGUUAUAAACGCCGGCUGUUUUUGUUGUAUUUAUCCUCAUAAUUUGCCAUUGAUAGUUAUUCAGUGACAUCUACUCUAUAAAUUCAUAGGCAUCUUCCGGUGUUUUAUUGUUGAUGGUUCCGCCAGCAACUGCUUCAACCAUUUGCCGAGUUGAGGGAUUCAAACCAUUGUGGAAUGUUUGUACUUGAAGCCAAAGCGGUAACCCAUGGUGAGGGCACCUUCUCAGUAAGUCAUUGUAUCUCUCCCAUGCAUCGUAAAGUGUUUCUAAAUCCAUCUACACAAAAGAAGAGAUAUCAUUACGUAAUUUAGCCGUUUUAGCCGGCGAAAAAUAUUUUAGUAAAAAUUUCUCGGUCAUUUGUUCCCAAGUAGUGAUAGACCCUCGUGGUAACGAGUUCAACCACUGUUUAGCUUUGUUUCUCAGUGAAAAGGGAAAUAACCAAAGACGAAUGGCAUCAUCAGAAAUGCCAUUGAUUUUGAAUGUAUCGAAAAAAUUCCAAGGAAUUUGCUAAGUAAGUGUUGGGAUCUUCAUCCUACAAACCAUCAAACUGAACAAACUGCUGUAUCAUCUGAAUAGUGUUAGGUUUUAAUUCAAAAGUAUUUGCAGCUAUAGUAGGUCUAACUAUACUAGAUUCAGUUCCUGUUAAAGAAGGUUUAGCAUAAUCGUACAUAGUGCGUGGAGCAGGAUUUUGAUUAACCGCAAUUGCUGGAGGUAGCUGAUUGCCUUGGUUUUCAGCCAUCUCUUCCGUUGGGGGUUGAGUAUCGUCUUCUUACUCGUUCUCCAUGUAUCGUAAACUGUGCCUUAUCUCUCUUUGAUUUUUACGAACUGUACGAUCAAUUUCUUCGUCAAAAAGUAAUGGUUCCGACAGGUUUCUUCUAGUCAUAAACUAUAAAAACCUGCCAAGAGAAAGAAUAAGUAUAGAUAAUAAUAAUAAAAUUAAAUUAUAUUUCAAGAAAAUUAAAUGGCUAAAGUAAUAAAAAUUUAGCGUUCCUAAUAUUUUAGAUCCCCGGCAACGGCGCCAAAAACUUGAUCGCGUGUUUCGUAAUAAGUAAUAAAUAUUUAUAAUGAAUAUCAAACCUAAACUAACUAUUAUCACGACUAAAAGGCAAGUGCACUUAUCGAACAAUAGUAUAGUAAUGGCAAGACCGGGAUAUCGUACCCAAGGGAACCAAAAGUACUAGUAAUAACUAUCUUUUUAUUAUCUAGCCUAAGAAUAAAAUGGUUUGUUUAUUAAACUAAUUAUCUAAACUAUUUAACUAAUUUAAUUAAAGCGAAUAGAAAAUUUGGAAAAAGACUUGAAGAAAAGCAAUUGAUAAAGACGACACCCAAGGAGGAAUCCACCUAGAUUUCACUUGUUAUCUGACUCUGAACCAGACGAUUGAUUCACUUGACUUGAUCCGUGAGACUCCCUAACCUAUGUUAUUAUCCCUUUCGAGACUAAUAACGUCUAACUCUCAGUUGAAUUAAUCGAAAUUUCUUUCUUAAUUAAAACCCCUAGGGAAGUAGUAAAUCACUCUAUGGAGUCCCAUAUUAGGUUUCACCCUAAUCCGGCAAAAUCUCGUGACCCUAUUUCUAGGCGUUCGAUCAACUCCGCUUAAUUAUGCCAAAUCUACUCUUAGGCAGGGUCUAUUCCUCCUCUGCAUAAGCACAUCAAAUCAUGAAUUAAUACUCGAAAUAUCAAAUCAAGUAUUAAGAACACAUAAUUAAGAACAAAUCAAGUAUUUAUCAUACAGUUCAGAUAAUAAUAACAAGAUCCAUCAGAGGUUUUAUCCCCCUUAGGUAUCUAAGGGGUUUAGUUCAUAAUAAAAUAAGAGUACAUAUCAAAAGUAUAAAAAUAAAAAAACAUGAAGAAAACUCUAAAACCCCUGAAGGAAUUCUGAGAGAGAUCUUCAGUCUUGGAGUAGCUCCAGCUUUUGGGAUGGAUCAUCUGGCUUCCUUCAAGUAAUUCCUGGCGUGUGGUUCUGUAUUCCAGAAAAGUUCUAGAAGAGGGCCCCUUUCUAGGUCAUACUUAGGGUGUUUAUAUAGGCUUUGGAUUGGCUUUUUUCCACCCUAAGUACCCUUUUCCGUGUAAAAUACAACUCUUUGAAAAAGGGACAUGCCCGUGUGCCACGGCUGUGUGACGUGAUUUCCAGGUCGUGUUCAAUCUGUUAAAUUGCCACGGCUGUGUGGGCUCAAUGGCUAGGCCAUAUGAAUAGUGUAAACAGUGGUCGACACUCCCGAAGGCCACGGGUGUGUGAGAUACUCGUGUGGCAAGGCUUAGUCCGUGUGAUCUUCUCGAUUUGGUCCUUUUUGUCCAUUUUUAGCUCGUUUUUGGCUCCUUUUGACUCUUGGUGCUAUCCUGAGUACAAAACAUGAAAUAACUGGAUUAAGGGCACCAAAAUCCAUAAAUCUAGUAGUAAACAUCCAUAAAUAUGCUAAGUAUUUGGGGUAAAACUAUGUAUAAUUUGGCGUUUAUCAACCCUUACGUAGUAGCUUAGUUAAAGGUGCUGCAAUUAGUAAGAAACCUUCCACAAACCGUCGAUAAUAACCUGCCAACCCCAAAUAGCUACGGAUCUCAGACACAUUCUUAGGCUGUUUCCAAUCCAGUACAGCCUCAAUUUUUUGAGGAUCGACACGAAUCCCCUCAGCAGAAACCACGUGCCCCAGAAGUGUUACCUCUCAUAACCAAAAUUUGCACUUGCUAAAUUUAGCAUAAAGCUAAUUUUCCCUCAAAGUCUGAAGAACAACUCUAUGGUGCUCAUCAUGCUCAUCCUCAGUCGUCGAGUAAAUCAAUAUGUCAUCGAUGAACACUGCUACAAACUGAUCUAGAUAGCACUGAAACACCCACUUCAUCAGAUCAAUGAAAGCUGCUAGUGCAUUAGUCAGUCUAAAUGGCAGCACUAGGAAUUCGUAAUGACCAUAACGAGUCCUAAUUGGCAGCUCGGGGGUGCAAUCUAGAUCAUCCAUAAUCUUCUCCAUGGCCCAAUCCAGUAUUCGGUCACAUUAGGGGGGACCCUAGUGACACCUCUGAAGAGCUCAGCUCCAUUGGACAGGAGUUGUUCUAUAACCAACCCUCGGCCUCCAGAACUUGUAUUGGGCCCAGCGACCCUUUCCAAUAUCCUUAACAUAGCCUGGGAUAAUACGUUCUUCCCCAUCCAUGUGAUCUUGAGAUCCAAUCUCAGUAGCAGGUGACACUAGCGUCUCACUCGUCUCUAAAUUCAGUAUACUACCUAGGGAAGAAGACUCAGCUCGAACCCCUCUACGGCCUUUACUUUGGCCUUUAGUACCUCGUUCGUGGAUACCUCAUGUGCUCAUGUCUAAUUGGAUUUAUCUAUAUUAUGAAUUUUAUGAAUCAUUCACAGUUUCAGUAUUUAUUAACAGAUGUUUUAUGUAAAGCAAUAUCAUAAGUUCAGAGUUUGUUUUUGUUUGUCACAGUCUCCAGUAGUUACUAUAGUUUUGGUUUAACUACAGUUUCCAGUAGUACUAACUAGAGUUUUCUCACAGUUUACUACCUACAGUAGUUUCAGAAUAUCAUAACAUUUUCAAUUUUCAAUUUAAACAAAAAUCAGUUUCAGAAUACUUAUAGGAUCAGCGUUGGAUACUCGGUGUACCGCAUACUCAGUCAAAUCAUUUCAAAUCAUUUGAAAAUCAAUUCUCAAAACAAGGUUUACAACCCAAAAUCCACAGCCGAGUUUUGUAACCUGUCUUUGAUACCACUAAAUGUAACACCCCGAACCCGGCCCAGAUGUUAUGACGAAAUCUAACGAUGUCACAUGAUAGGGUGUUUGAAAACUAGGUUUCUACGAUAAAUCUAUUUUCAUUUAAUUACAUUUCUUAUAUCUUAUUAAAUUCCGAAAUCCUUACUCGUUAAAUCGAUUGGCGUAAGCAUAAUUCGUUGCGCAAGCUUUUAAAAUCGUUUUGAAUAAAUUGUGUAUUUAGAGAAAACUUUGCCUUUUUGAAAACUGAGUUUUCCUACGUCUAGCAGUUAUAAAUCCAAAAAAAUAAAUAAAAACCAAUUUAAGCAAAAGUCCCAAAAAUUCCACAAAUUACACCCAAAUAAAGCACGGUAAAUAAAACCAUAAAUCACAAAUUAUAAAUCGUAAAAGUCCCAAAAACUGUGGUCACCAUCGAGUCCUCGGCCGCCCGAUCCGUCUAGGUUUGGGGAUUACCUAUGCACAUUAAGUGGAGAGGGGUGAGUUUACGUAAACUCAGUGUGUAAUCCUACAAAACAUGAACAACAGUAAACACAGUGCACAGUCAAAAAUAGUCUUGGGCCUAAGCCCCUUUCAGUAAUAGUAAUGGUUUGGCCUUAGCCCAACUCAGUAUCAGUAUCAGUAUGCACAAGGGCCUUAGCCAAUCACAGUAUCAGUAAAAAAUAUACAGUAUUCAGUAACAAAGUCCUACCCAACCAGCCUCUACACACCAUUUUCGUCCAACCCAACACUCCAUGUGGGGAUUAAAUCAACCCAUCCAUCCCUACACUCCAGGUAGUACCGAAUGCGGUAUAAAACAGUAGUUUGCAGCUGAGCUGCCAGUAUAUUAGGCUUGAGAGCCUUUCAACACACUUCCUCCAAAUAAAAUCAACCCAACCCCAUGCAAUGCAACAUACAAUACUUGACAUGCUAUCUCAUGAUAUCAGUACAUAUAACUAGUAAAUGUAUACAUGCAUACUAUUAUCAUACUUAAUAUAUAUCCAUCAAUCAGUCCGUUCACACAAUUAGAGGUCUAAAUAAUGCUUAUUGACCCUACAGUAGGUUCACAGUCGACUUGGGCAACUCGUGCAACCUUAGCAAUCAAUUCAGUAAAAUAGGCUCACACGCCUAUGUGGCCUGCUCGUGUGGGCCUACACGACCCAAAUUUACCUUCGCCGUGUCAAUCACAUGGCCUAGCCUAGAAUCUCACACACCCGUGUGGACAACCCAUGGGCGUGUAGGCCCGCACGGCCCAAAUCACUCUAAUCUAUGUGUCGCACACGGCCUACCUGGCCAUCACAUGGCCGUGUCAUGCGCGCACGGCUUGGCCUCAUCGAACACAUGCCAGUGUUAGGGCACACGGCCUACCACACGGACGACCACAUGUCCGUGUGGCGUCAACAGUGAGGUUUUUGGCUUUCGCUGAAAUCUUAUUUUCUGUGCAAUCGAAUACACACCUGUUAAAAAUUCGAAGCAAAAACACCUUCGAGCCUUCCAGAACCUAUAAUCGACAUACAAUGCUCCAAAACCAGUCACAAUUCUCGAUUUAAACUAAAACACAACAUCGACAAUAAUUCAAAAAGGGCAUUCAACACUUACCCCAACUAUCUUGAAAGAUUGCGUUCAUGUUUCUGCAUAUGGAGAGUUCCUUACUUCUUGAUUUGCUGAUGUCAAAACAACGAAUCAGAUUCCAACGGAAAGAAUCCAAAAAUUUAGAAAUGAACAACAAAAGAAACCCUAAACGAGCCGCAUUCAAUGUUAAUUUACCCACGUAAAACACAAUACCGAAAAGGAAAAACAAAUCUUACUGGAACGGAAAAGAAAAGAAAAGAUUUUGUUCAAAAAGAAAAGGGAAAACGGAAGAGGAAAAAAAGUGAAGGUCAAUUUUUUUCUGCAUAAGAGAUUUUUGGGGAAAACUCAUUUACUCAAAUCCCACUACCUACACUAUCUCAACCACCUACUUCUCAGAUUCUCGGUACAACUCAAACUCUCAACCACCAAAUCGAGCAAAAAUAAUCUCUUUUUCCCACGUAGGGAUUCGAACACAGAACCUCUAGCAGACUGACACUCCACUUAACCUCUAAACUAGCAGGUCCAUUCUGUUAUAAGCUUACCAACAAUUAAAUAUACGCCGGCUGAACUAGGAUCAGGCUUAAUUCCAAAAUAACCCAAAAUUUGUCAAAAGCAAGGCUUGAACUUGGGACCUCACACACACGCUCGAAACAUUUAACCAUUGAAGCAGAUACACACAUGUCACAUUUUCACAAUAACAAAAAACAUAAGAAUUUUGGGGUGUUACAGUUUGCAUAACUGCAAAUAUAACUUACCAAUCAACCACAAUUAAGCAAGUAAUUUAAAUCAUAAUGCAAUUCAAUUUAAUGCCAUUAGCUUUACCUAUAACCACCAACAAAGUUAAUUAUGAAAUCACAAAUCUCAUUGAUUCAAUUUCCACAUGAUUCACGUACAUGCCUGUACUGGUUCCUAUCAAACUCAUAUACUCUCGUAAUACUACUGUGCCUGUUGAACCAUUUGGAAUAAUAUCAGAUGCUCGAGAAUCUUGCACACAAAGUUCCAAUACAUGAUCGUAACCAUCUCUAUCUCAUAUCUCAUAUAGAUGCUCACUCUUAAAGCUAUCAUUGGGUCUGCUCCUACAAGCUAACGGUCAAGACAUACCUACAUAAUGCUGCUCACACAAGCUGAUGUGUAACUACAACACAUGCCAGUAAACUCAGCCACUGGUAGAACGUAUGGGACUAGCACCCAAAACACGGUAACCCCUAAUGACAUGUCAUUUGUAUCCUACCUAUUCCUAUGGUUCAACCGGGAUCUAUACAAUUAUCGAUAUCUCGUCGAGAAUUUUCUAUAAUGUUGUAUCAUUCUAAUUAUAUUAAUUAAGCAUGUAAACACAUAUAAUUUAAAGCUUAUUAAUAUACGAACUUAUCUCGAAUUAAUACGAAGAAAAUCGACCGAUCAAUCUACUACUUUGUUUUUCCCCCGAUCUAAUUUCGAACGUGGCUUUUCUUGAUAUGUAUAAUCAAAUUUAACCACUUUAAUAUUUAUUUUAUUCAAUUCAAUCCAAUUUCAUGUUAUGGUAAAGUUACCAUUUUGCCCUUGAACAUUUGACUACUUUACAAUUUAGUCCCUAGCUCAUAAAAAUGCAAAUUCAUACAAUUUAACCCACACUCAAGCUAGCCGAAUUCUAUAUAGACCUAUAGCAGCCCAUACAUUUCAUCAUUUCACACAUUUACCACAUGAUUUUCACAUUUCUCAAUUUAAUCCCUAUUUGACUUUUUCAACCAAAAUCACUUUACAAAACUUAUUUAUCUAACAACAACCAUUCAUUUUCUACCAUCAAACAUCAAAAAAGAUACACAUUCAUCAAUGGUAAAACCUUAAUACUUUAACAGUUUCAUAAAUUAGUCCCUAGGUUAGCUAGAUUAAGCUACAAUGACUCUAACAACAUAGAAAUCAUUAAAAACUGAGGAAAAAGACAUACCAUGCAUUCAAAAAUACCAUGGCCGAACUUAGCAAGGUUUAAUGGCUUUCCUUCCUUUACAAAACGGUGGAAGAAGAUGGAAAGAGAUGUUGACCAUGUUAUUUUUACUUAAUUUGUCCUUAUUUACUAAAUUACUAAUUUAUCCUUUUAAUUAACCAUUAAAAAUCACUUAUAUGAUGUCCAUAUUUGUCCACGAUUAAUGUUAAUGGUCUAUUUACCACAUAAAGACCUCUACAUAAAUUUCUAUAGCUAUUAGACACUUUUAGUUAAUAGAACACAACUUUUACACUUUACGCGAUUUAGUCCUUUUUAUCAAUUAAGCAAGCAAUUGAUAAAAUUUUUUAACAAAAUUUUUAUAUGACUCUAUUAUCAUGCUAUAGACAUUAAAAUAAUAAAAUAAAUAAUUUGACCUCAAAUUUGUGGUCCCAAAAUUACUGUUCUGAUUUCACUAAAAACGGGCUAUUAUAUCUCUCCCCCUUAGGAAUUUUCGUCCCCGAAAAUUUUACCAGAGAAUACGUUAGGGUAUUGCUUUCUUAUAGCUUCUUCAUGUUCCUACGUAGCCUUUUCAAUGCCGUGACGAUGCCAAAGAACCUUUACUAGUGUUAUACUUUUAUUUCUCAACAAUUUGAUCUCUCGAGCUAAAAUUUUGAUCGAUCUUCAUUAUAAGAUAUGUCAGGCUGAAUUUCAACUUCUGCCGAAGAAAUUAUAUGUGAAGGGUCUGAUUUGUACCGUCGUAACAUAGAUACAUGAAACACGUUAUGAAUAUUUUCAAGUUCUGAUGGUAACUUAAGUUGAUAAGCCAUUGGCCUAUUCUCUCGAUAAUCUCAUACGGUCUAAUAAACUACGGACUCAAUUUCCCUUUGCGACCAAAUCGGAGAAUCUUCUUCCACAGUGAUACUUUCAGAAACACUCUAUUACUGAUUUGAAAUUCAAUAUCCUUACGUUUCAAAUCCGUAUACGAUUAUUUCCGAUCUAAAGUUGCUUUUAACGAAUUACUUUCACUUUUUCUUCGGUCUUUUUGAUCAAAUCAACCCCGUGAAUCUUUUUCUCACUAAGCUUGGUCUAGUACAAUGGAGUUUGGCAUUUACAACCAUAUAAAGCUUCAUACGGUGCCAUCUUUAUACUCAACUGGAAAUUAUUAUUAUAUACAAACUCAAUCGACGGUAAAUAUUUUUCCUAGUUGCCUUCAAACUCUAAAACAAAGAAAUGAAGCAUAUCUUUGAGAAUUUGAAUCACUCUUUCAGACUGAUCAUCGGUUUGAGGAUGAAAUGCAGUGAUAAAAUGUAAUUUUGUACCCAAAACUUCUUAAAUUAUUCCAAAAUCGUGAUGUAAACCUCAGAUCUCUAUCCGAAAUAAUAGAGACCGGCACUCUGUGCAAUUUGACAAUCUCUAAAAUGUACAAUUCAACUAAUCUAUCAAGUAAAUAAUCUAUACGUACCAGAAUGAAAUGUGCAGAUUUCGUCAAACGAUCAACAACAACCCAGAUAGCAUCUUUCUUUUUCGAAGAUAGGGGUAAUCCCGAUAUGAAAUCCAUCGUAACUCUAUCCCACUUUCACUCAGGUAUCAUUACUGGUUGUAAUAAUCUCGAAGGCACUUGAUGUUCGGCUUUAACCUAUUGACAAAUCAAACAUCUCGAAACAAAUUCUAAAAUGUCACGUUUCAUGCCCGACCACCAGUACAUCUAUUUCAGAUCACUGUACAUUUUAGUACUCCCCGAAUGAACAAAUAAGCAACCACUGCGUGUUUCAUGCAAAAUUUUCUGUAUAAGCUCUAGAUUCUUUGGUACACAAAUUCUACCUCGAAACAAUAAACAAUUAUCGGUUCCAAUCUGAAACACUGAAUCAGGAGUCGACUCACAUUGUACUCAUUUAGCUUUCAAUUCAUCGUCACAUUUUUUAGCUUUUCAAAUUUGCUGAAGAAAUACCGGUUUAGUUUUUAACUUAGCUAAAAUCGAGCCAUUAUCAGAUAAGGUCAAUCAUCUAUUCAUCGCCCUCAAAGAGAUCAAAGAUUUUCUACUUAAAGCAUGUGCGACUACAUUCGCUUUCCCCGAAUAAUAAUCAAUAACUAACCCAUAAUCUUUCAACAAUUCAAGCCAUCUUCGCAGUCUCAAAUUCAGAUCUUUCUAUAACAUGAAAUACUUCAAACUCUUGUGAUCAGUAAAUAUGUGGCAUUUUUCACCAAACAAAUAGUGUCGCCAAAUUUUCAACACAAAUAUAAUAGCAGCCAACUCUAAGCCAUGUGUCGGAUAAUUCUUUUCGUGCGUCUUUAACUGUCUGCAAGCAUACGCUAUCACUUUGCCCUCUUGCAUUAAAACACACCCCAAACCGUUUAAGGAUGCAUCACUGAAAAUCACAAACUCUUUACCUGACUCAAUCUAAACCAAAACUGGUGGUUCGGUUAACACUGCUUUCAACUGAUUAUAACUUUGUUGACAUUUGUCAGACCACUCAAACUUCACAUCUUUCUUAGCAGUCGAGUCAUUGGUGUAGCAAUCAUUGAGACCCCUUUUAAAAAUCUUCGGUAAUAGCAACUAAUCCCAGAAAACUUCUGACUUCGGAUAUAUUUCUUGGUGGUUUCUAGUCAACAACUGCUGAAAUAUUACUCGGAUCAACUUUGUUGCCUUCUGCUGAAAUAAUGUGUCCCAAAAAUCAACUUCUCGAAGCCAAAACUAGCAUUUGUUGAAUUUAGUAAAUAAUUUUUUAUCUCUCAAAGUUUGUAACACAAUCCUCAAAUGUCCGGCAUGUCCAAACUCAUCUUGAGAGUAGAUCAGAAUAUCAUCAAUGAAUACAACAAUGAAUCUGUCUAAAUACGGUCUGAAAAUUCUAUUCAUCAUAUCCAUAAAAAUUGCAGGAGCAUUAGUUAACCCAAACGGCAUAAUAAGAAAUUCAUAAUGUCUGUACUUGGUCCUAAAUGCAAUUUUCAGUACAUCUGAAUCUUUAACCCGUAAUUGAUAAUAACCAGAUCACAAAUCAAUUUUAGAAAAUACGGUGACACCUUUUAGCUGAUCAAACAAAUCAUCAAUUCUCGACAAUGGAUACUUGUCUUGAACGUAAGUUUAUUGAGCUGUCGAUAAUCGAUACAUAAUCUUAUCGAUCCAUCUUUCUUCUUGACGAACAGAACUGGUGCACCCCAAGGCGAGAAACUAGGUCGUCCAAAUCCUCUAUAUGUUAUCUCUUGCAACUGAGAUUUCAACUCUUUUAACUCUGUAGAAGCCAUUCUGUACAGAGCUAUCAAUAUCGGUGAUGUUCCAGGUACAAAUCCAAUAGCAAACUUAACUUCUCUAACUGGUGGUAACCCAGGUAACUCUUCUGGAAAAACAUCUGGAUAUUCACAAACCAUUGGUACUAAUUUAAUAUUCAAUUCAGACACUUUUAUAUCAAGUACAUAAGUAAGAUAAGCAUCGCAACCUUUCCUCACAUAUUUCUAAGCUAGAUAGCCGAUAUCACAAUAGGCAACCCACUGAAUCAUCAGAUUCAAUACAAAAAAUUUCACUAUUCUGACAUUUCAACUUAAUAGUCUUUCGUCUAUAGUUUACAAAAACAUCAUGUAGAGUCAACCAAUCCAUACCCAAGAUCACAUCGAAUUCAUCAAAUGGUGAAAUAAUCAAAUCAGCCAGAAAAUAGUAACCCCGACAUCACAGGACAAUUCUUACAAACUUUAUCAACUAGGACAUAUUGGCCUAAGGGGUUCGAUACUUUGCCCAAACCAAAAUAACAAGGGCGUGUUUGGUCUAGGCCUCUAAAGAUCACAAGGCCAUUUUGGUUUAUAAUCAUAAUUAUUUAUAGCGCCGGUGAUAACAGCUGGUGCCAAUGCAUCCUUGCGAACACGAAUAGCGUAAGCUCUGGCUGGUGCUCGAGCCUUGGAUCUCAUAGUAGAAUCCUUUGUUGCACCUUUGUUACUAUUCACAUUUCCAGUAUUUCGAGGUGGUCUCCUCCUGGCAACUGUAUUACUCGGCCUUGUAGUCAGAAAUUUAUCUUUCUCGGGUAACUCAGGACAAUCAUGAAUAAAAUGCUCUUGUGAGCCACAUUUGAAACAGGCUUUAUUAUUCAUCCAACAAUCUCUAAAAUGCCGUCUUUCACAUUGUUGACACUCAGAUUUAUUGGCUUUGACACUACCAAUGCUCGAUACUGAAGUGGCUUGAGCUUUUGGACUAGUGUGUUGCUUCCCACGAUCUCUGUUGGAAUACUCUACUGAAGCAAUCGAACGGUUUUACGAAUCCCUUGCUUUCUUUGACGAUGAAUGAUACGAUUUACCCAUUGACCUUUUUCUCAAAUCUCUAGCAUCAGAAUCGACUCUUCUCUUUUCUUUAUUAAGCUCCGCGGCUUUGCAAGCUCUAUCGACCAAAACAACAAAUUCUUUCAGCUCCAAAAUUCUGACUAAAAGCUUAAUAUCCUCAUUCAAUCCGUCUUUGAACUACUUACACAAAAUAUUUUCAGUGGAGACACAUUCUCGAACAUACUUUUUCAUAUUCAGUUACUAUAAUAUGACCCUAUUUCAACUCUAGAAAUUCCUUGUGUUUCUAAUCAAGAAACUGUUGACUUAUGUACUUUUUCCUGAACUCAGCCUGAAAGAAUUCCCCUAUGACCCGUUCUCUCGGUACAACAGAUAUCAAGGUAUUCUGUAAUACUCCUAUCCCAUAAACAUCAUCGGAAUGGGUAAGGGACGUCACCGGACAGACAGAACAUUACCAAACAAUACAGUAUCAUUGAUAUCAUAUAAUAUCAAUACAUAGAUAUUCAUUCACAAUUCAACCUUUAAUAUAGUCUACGAGACCUAAAACAUACAUUUAGGAAAGACUGGGAUUAAACCGAACUCAUUCAGAAUUUUCAGAACUUAACCAAAUAUUUCAAAACUAUCAAAGCCACACGCCCGUGCGUCCAGGACGUGUGCCUCACAUGGGCAUAAGCCAUGCCUAUGUGAUCUAGCCAUACCAAAAAGAGGUCCUAUACUGACUUUUUCACACGACCAACAAACACUCCCGUGUGCUACGGCCGUGUGAUACUUAGCUAGCUACUAACUUAAGCCCACGGCCUUAUGACACGCCUGUGUACUAUGGCCGUGUGAAACUUAAGAGGUUACUGCUUUUCUUACACGGCCAUAAGGCAUGCCCGUGUGGCACAAUACAGGCUUGGUUUAAGCCAACUUGCCACCCCUAUAUGGGUCUUUUCUACUAGCAAUGUUAAGCAACAUUCAUACAACAAUUUUCAGCCAAUUUCAUGCUCAAAACAUGCUUCAUUACAGCUAUAUCAUCAUCAUUCAACAGCCCAUUCAAAACCACACCAAAACUUAACACAAACACACCAUUUGCUAGCCAACUCUUAUGGCAUAUCAUAUCUAUAUAUACAAAUUAAAGCUUAAAUACAUAAACAUUCUAGCCUAUACAUGCCAUAAUUAUAAAUAUGUACACUUCAAAAGUACCAAAAUGAGUUUGAUAGUGUGGUGACAAUCCUCGACUAUCCCCGAGCCUUCAGUAGCUACGAUAACUGUAAAAUAGGCAGAAAUCAAACUGAGUAAGCUACAAAGAGCUUAGUAAGACAAAUACAAUUGGUCUAACUACUAAAGCAUAUAAGUACAAUUUAAUCAUAAAGAUUCAUAACCAUUUCAUAGAAUAAUUCAUAAACUUAACGAUGCUCCUUUAUUUGCAUGUAUGACAUGCUUCAUUUCCAAUUCCAUACAUAUUUCACAGAGACAGAGUUUUUCAUAUUCCAAAAUUUAGUACGACACAAAUGUACCUGCAUAGGUUGUACAUUUCAUAUACUCAUUCUCAUAUUCAUACGCUAUCAUCAGAUGGUUCCGAAGCAAUACAGAUACUCAAACAAGUACAAUGCCAACAUCCCAGACGUGGUCUCACAUGUGAUUCAAUAUCGAUGCCUCUGUCCCAGACAGGGUCUUACACAAAAUCAAAUACGAUGCCGAUGUCCUAGAAAUGGUCUUACACGUAAAUCUCAAAUCGAAGCCUGUGUCUCAGACACGGUCUUACACGAUAUUUCAGAUCAAAGUCAACGUUCCUUUGGAACCAUAUAGAUACUUUUCAGAUACUAACAUAUUAUCAGAAUCUACUCAGAGUUCAUUCAUCAGGCUCUCAAGGCCAUCCAAUACAGAUUAUAACAAAUAUACAUAUAUAACAUUUAGUCAAUUAACACGAAAUUGUAUUUUGACUUACCUCGUACGGAUUUUGGAUGUAAACGAGUUGACUACUCGACUAAUUUGGACUUCCCUCAAUCUAAGUCCGAUUUUCUUUGUUCUUGAUCUAAUACAAUUCAAAUUCAACCAUUCAAUCAUUCAUUUCAUUCAAUUUAAUCCAUAUACACAUAUUUAGGGCACUUUACAUUUUAGCCCUUAUAUUUUCAUACUUUGACAAUUUAGUCCAUUUUUCACAAAAUCACCAAUAUGCAAAAUUCACUAAGACUAUAGCUUGGCUGAAUAUACAUGGCUUCCAUACAAUCCCAAAUAACAUAUUUAAUUCACAAUUUAGCCAUUCAAAACCUCAUUUCCACAAUUUAGCUCAAUUAGUUCUAUUUCAUCAAAAUUCAAAGACAAAGCUUAAUAAUCUCACACAUAUCUUUCAUAAUCCAUAUAAAAACAUCACAAAGCUCAUAUAAUCAACAACGGCAUUUCAUGAAAUCUUUAACAGAAACAUAAAUUUAGACAUGGGCUUUGAAGAACACGAAGCAACGAUUACAGUAACGUAGAAAUUAUCAAAAACAGACAAAAAUCCAUACCUUAAUCAAGGAUCAAAGUUCCAAAAUCUAGCUUGUUCUUUUCCUCUCUUUUUAUUUUGUAUUUUCGGCAAGGAUAUGCAUGAAUGAACAAAUUUUCAUGCAUUUGUUUUUUUUAAUAACAUAUAUUACCUAAUUACCUAACCAUCCUUUAAAAAAUUAUCUAUUUACUAUAUUGCCAAACCAUGUCUCCCACUAUCAUAUAAUGGUCUUAUUGACAUGCAAGGGCCUUAAAUUUAAUAAACCAUAGCACUUAGGCACUUUGGCAACUAGAAGGCAACUUUUACAACUUACGCGAUUUGGUCCUUUUUGCAAAUCAAGCACAGAAACAGACAAAUUAAAUUACAGAAAUCUAGCAGAUAUAAAUUCACAUAUCAAAGACAGAAAAUAAUAUUAAAAUAUUUUUUGGACUCGAACUUGUGGUCCCGAAACCACUAUUCCAACUAGGGUCUAAACAGGACUGUUACAAUUCUCCCCCCUUAGGAAUUUUCAUCCCCGAAAAUCUUACUAUUAAACAGAUUUGGAUAUUUUUGUCUCAUUGAAUCCUCAAGCUCCCACAUAGUCUCUUCUACUCCGUGUUUAUGCCAUAGCACUUUAACUAACGAAAUUCUUUUAUUACGUAAUUCUUUAAUCUCACGAGACAGAAUACGAGUCGGCUUUUCUUCAUAAGUCAUACCAGAAUAGAUUUCAAUAUCAGACGGAGAAAUUACAUGCGAAUGAUUAGAUCUAUAUCGUCAUAGCAUCGAUACAUGAAAUGCAUUGUGAGUCUUUUCUAAUUUAGAUGGUAGUUUCAAUCUAUAUGCAACCGGCCCAACUCGCUCAGUGAUUUCAUACAGUCCAAUGGACCUUGGACUCAACUUCCCCUUUUUACCAAAUCGGAAUAGUUUCUUCCACAGAGAUACUUUUAGAAACACUUUAUCACCGAUCUCAAAUUCAGUAUCUUUUCGUUCUAAAUCUGCAUAAGAUUUCUGACGAUCAGAGGUAGCUUUCAAACUAUCUCGGAUUACUUUCACUUUCUGUUCUGUUUCUUUGAUCAAAUCAACUCUAUGAAUCUUAUUCUCACUGAGCUCAGACCAGUAUAAUGGAGUUCUACAAUUUCUACCGUAUAAGGCUUCAUACGGUGCCAUUUUGAUACUCAAUUGAAAACUAUUAUUAUAGGUGAAUUCAAUCAAAGGUAGAUACUGUUCCCACGCACCUUCAAACUUGAGAAUGCAACAUCUCAACAUAUCCUCAAGUAACUGAAUAAUCCAUUCAAAUUGGCCAUCCGUUUGCAGAUGAAAAGCAGUGCUAAAAUGCAAUUUAGUACCCAUAGCAUCUUGCAAUUUCUUCUAGAAUUACGAUGUAAAUCUCGGGUCUCUAUCAGACACUAUUUACAAUGGCACACCAUGCAAUCUCACAAUAUCAGAAAUAUACAACUCAGCUAGCUUAUCAAGUGAAUAAUCAAACCGAAUCGGAAUAAAAUAUGCUGAUUUCGUCAAACGAUCAACUACAACCCAAAUUACGUCUUUCUUUUUAGGAGACAUAGGCAAACCUGAAACAAAAUCCAUGGUCACUCGAUCCCAUUUCCACUCCAGAAUCAUAAUCGAUUGUAAUAACUCAGAUGGCACCUAAUGCUCAGCUUUAACUAGCUGGCAGAUCAAACAUCUCGAAGCAAAGUCAGAAAUAUCUCUUUUCAUUCCCGGCACCAAUAUAGUUGUUUCAAAUCAUUAUGCAUUUUCGUACUUCCUGGAUGUAUAAAAAAUCUACUACUGUGGGCUUCACUCAAAAUUAUUUGAAUUAAAUCUGGAUUUCUUGGAACACAAAUUCUAUUUCUGAACCUUAGACUGUCAUCAACAUCUAUCCGAAAUUCAGAAUCAGAAUUAAAAUUACACUGAGUUCGUUUAGCCAUAAUCUCAUUAUCAACCUUCUGAGCUUCAAUAAUCUGUUGUAGAAACAAAGGUCUCACUUUUAAUUCAGCUAAAAUUGAGCAAUCAUUAGAUAGAACUAAACAAGAAUUCAUUGCAAAUAACGAUUUUCGACUCAAAGCAUCAGCAACCACAUUUGCUUUUUCUAGGUGAUAAUCAACCGCAAGUUCGUAGUCUUUUAACAGUUCUAACCAUCUUCUCCGUCUUAAAUUCAAAUCUUUUUGCGUCAUUAAUGUAAUAGCCCAAAAUUGGGUCUAGUUGGAACAGAGGUUUCGGGACCACAAAAUUCGAGAUAGAAAUAAUUAUUUUAUCAUUAUUUUGAGUCUAUGAUAUGAUUUCAUGAUUGUGUGAAAAUUUCGUGAAGAAAUUCUAUGCAUAAAGUGCUCAAUUUGAAGUUAGGGACUAAAUUGAAUAAGUUGCAAAACCUGCAUUCUAGAAGUUUCUAGUAUGAAAUUGCUUUGAAAUAUUAAUUAGGAGGUCUUAAAUAGAAAUUUGACCAAUUUCUAAGUGAUGGACAAAAAUUGGACAUGGAUGGAAUUUUUGAAAGUUUAGUAAGGAAGGGCAUUUUGGUCAUUUGGUAAUUAAAAGAAAUAAAAAGGGCUUAAUCGGUAAAAAUACCUAAUAGUCAUAAGUAUAUGUUAGAGUGAGAAUUUGAUGUUACCAUAGAAGGGAAAAGUGAUCAGCAUGUCAUAAAACAUAAGAAUAAGGGAUGAAGUUUAAUUCCCGAGCCUAGGGGCAAAAGUGUAAAUAUGCAAAAGUUUAGGGGCAAAAUUGUAAUUUUUCCAAAGUUUGAGUUAAGGACUGUUUUGAAUAGUAAAUUAAUUAAAUAAGUAAAAUAUGAUGUUUUAGAUCCCGGAAAACGAGAUUUGAACCUAGAAUGAGAGAAAAAUCGAAAAUUGGAAAAGUUGGUAAAAUAGUCGUUUUAUUAUCGAGGUAAGUUCAUAUGUAUAAUAAGCAUUAAUUUAUGCAUGUUUCAAUGUAAAAUUGAUAUAUUUAUUAUAAUUUUCAAGGUAUUGAAAGUAUGUAAGUUGGUAUGAUAAUAAUAUAGUAAUAAUGCUGUAAUUUAUAUUUGAAAGUUAAAUUUAGUGAAUUAAUUGAAUUAUGUUAAAUUAAAUGAUUAUGGUGCCAAGUUUAUGAAUUGAUUUAAAAAUAUGUCUAUGGUACAUGAAGUGCAUUGAAUUAUCAUACAUAAAUGUGAUUUCUACGAUUAUGGAUAUUAUGGGAAAUUGUAAGUUCAUAUGAUUUUUAAUAAGGCAAUGAUGUAAUUUAAUGUUAUUGCCUUGAUAUUAAAUGAGAUGUAAGUUUAUAUGUAAGUAAUACAUCAAUAUUACUUGUAUUAUGAUAUUUUAUAAUAAUAUUGGAAAGAUGUUUGUGGAUAAUUACUUGAUUAGUGAAAUUGUUGGAAAAGAGAGAGAAAUCCCGGUUGAACCUUCGGAAAGAUUGGAUGAUACAGAUAGUAUGUAGCUAGGUCACAUGUAUGGUGCUGGGUGCACAUCAUGUGUACAAGAGAGCUACAAGACAUUAUUAUGUAGCUAGGUCGCAUGGGUGAUACCAUGUGUACACCAUGUAGACAAGAGAGCUACGGGGUAUAUGUAGCUAGGUCGCAUGCGUGGUUCCAGGUGAAGGACACCAUGUAGACAAGAGAGUUACGAGAUAAAUUGGCUAGGUCACAUGGGUGGUACUGAGUGUUCACCAUGUGUAUAAGAGAGCCGAACUAGAUGAUGGGUGGAGCUAUGUGCUGAAACCACCAAGUAUCGAGGAUAGAUCCGAAGUGUUCAAAGGGAGACUCUCUAUGUAUUGCUUUGUGAGUUUUGUGAUGAAUAAGUGCAGGAACUUGGUUAUGUGAAUGAUGUGUUCAUUAAGUGACCAGGAUGUGGUAAGGUUACAAACAAGUAAGUUAUACAUGAGGAUGAUUUCAUGGUGACCUUGUGAUCAUGGGCCUAUACUUGUGAUGUAUGAAAUGUGGUGAAAAUGAUUUGUGAUAUGUAUGUUAAAAUGAGGUUAAUACAAAGAAAGUGUGAAAGAGUGAAUUAGCAAUAAAACUGUUUUGGACAGUAGCAGUGAUGUGAUUUUGAAAAAUCAUCAAAAAUAGUAGAAAUUGAAUCAGAGACUCAAUGAGAUAUCAAAUUAAAUAUUAAUGCGUCUAUUUUCAUAUAAAGGAAACAGAACAAGAAAAGGAGUUCUAUAUUUUGAGAUAUUUAUGUUUUUAUGAGACUGGUUCAGAAUGAUUACGUGAUCCCCUGUUCUGACUUUGGAAAAUCAAAACAAUUUGGAUAAAAAUAAUUAGAGGAUUAAACUUAUAUUUUUUAAAAUCCCUAAUGAUUCUAUUUUCAGGAUAAAUCAACAAGAACAUUAUCCGAGUUCUGUACUGUGAGAUAAUUAAUUUUUAGUAAAGAGAGGUCAGAACUGUCAGAAAGUGAAAUAGGGGAAAUUUUAAUGAAUAAACUGUACUGAUUGGCUGAACUAAAAAUUAUGAAAAUUUUAUGGUGGAAAGAUAUGUGAGUCUAGUUUUAGGGGAAAUUUACAGAUCUUAAUUUGGAGCUCUGUAGCUCGAAUUAUAAAUAAGUAAGUGACUAUGACUUGUGUGGACAGUUUGAUGUUAGCAUUUAUUAGUAAAUUGUGAAAUCGUACUUACAAGAAUGCUAUAUACAUUAAGGAUGUGGAAUGGAGAGGAGGAGGAGGAAAAACAUGGAAACUAUGGUAUAUGAAAUAUUGAUAUAAUGAAAUAAAUGAUAUGUGUUUAAAAGAAAACAGAAAGAGAAUGAUAUGUAUCAUGACAUGUAUAUAUAUAUAUGACUAGUCUCAAUGUAAUGCUUGUUGGGUAUGGAGUUGAAUUGAAAUGUUUCAGGCGAACAUGUUAUUUUGCGCAUCUGAAUUGUGGUAUUUUAUAAAGAUAUGAUCUAGUUUUAAAUAUGAAUGCUUGAUGAUUAAGCUGAAGAUAUUUGGUAAGAUGAUAAUCUUGGUAUAAAUGUAUAAGUGAUACUAUAAUAAACAAGGUAAAAUGAGUAUGAGAGACACAUGUAUGAUGACAUACAAAUGCUAUGUUUGUGGUUUAAUUGAGAAUAUUUAAUCAUUAAAUGAAUAUCAUGUUAUAUGCUUUGGAUUUUGUAUAAGUGUGUAAGAGAUUAAGGUUGACCAAAGCUUGGAAAAUACCCUAGGUACAUUCCACACAGGCAGAAACACGACCAUGUGUCUCAGCCGUGUAUGGAACACGACUUUGGGACACGGGCGUGUGGAGCCUUAAAGCAUGAAAUUUCCAAGAUUUUCGUAAGUUCUCAGUUUAGUCCCGAACCCUUUCUAAAGUAUGUUUUGGGCUUCGUAGACUCAAAUAAGGGACUAUGUGUAAGUGAAUGAACGUUUUGAAAUAUGAAUGAAAUUUUAUGGCCCAUAUUUUAGUUUAAUGUUUGUAUGUUUGUCCGAUAAUGCCUCGUACCCUAUCCCGGCCUCGGGUACGGGUAAGGGUUGUUACAAUUAAAUACUUUAGACUCUUAUGAUCAGAAAACACAUGACAUUUCUCACCAAACAGAUAGUGACGCCAAAUCUUCAAAGCAAACACAAUGACAGCUAACUCAAGGUCGUGUGUCGGAUAGUUCUUCUCAUGCGACUUUAAUUGUCUCGAAGCAUAAGCAACAACUUUUCUUUCUUGCAUUAAAAUGUAAACAACGAAUUCUUUACCUGACUAAGGCUGUACCAAUAUUGGAGCUUCAGUUAACAGAGCUUUUAACCAAUCAAAACUUUUCUGACAUUUCUCAGACCAUUCAAAUUUCACAUCUUUCUGAAGCAAUUUUGUCAAUGGAGUUGCUAUUGCAGAGAAAUCUUUUACAAAUCAUCUGUAGUACCGGCAAGUCCCAAAAAAUUACGGACUUUAAAUGCAUUUCUCGGAGGUUUCCAAUCCAGAAUUGUGACAGCCCUAAUGUGACCCUAGUCGAAAAGUGGUUUCGGGACCACAAAACCGAGUCAUAAAAAUAAUUAAUUGUUAUAUUCUAUGCUUAUCAUGUGUGUACAUGCAUAUGUGGAAGUUUCAUUCCCUAAUUUUUCCAAUUGCAUUAGGAAUUAUUAAAUCGGGAUCAACAUGAGACAUGGUGAAAUAUGAUAGGCUAAUUUUAAAGGGCUUAUUAGUGCAUGUCAACACAAGGGUGGACUUGCAUGUCAAAUUGCCCAAUUCCCUUAUAGUGGCCGGCCAAGAUAGAUUGAUGAUGGGCAAUAUAUUUGUUUGAAUUAGAUAUUAUAAUAAGAAAUUGGGUUAUUGGAGAUAAAAUAAAUUAAAGAAAUGAAUUAAAAAGGAAAAAGAUGAAUAAAAUAAGGGAGGAAUGAGUGUUCAUCCUUUUCCUUGUUACAAUUGCCGUGAGUAUAGAAAACAAAGGUGAAGGAAGGCUCAUCUUUCAUCUUCUUCAUUUGCCGAAAUUGAGAAAGGAAAGAUUGAAAAAAAGAAACCAAGGCAUUCGGCCAUGGCUAUUUCAAUGGAAAGGUAUGCAUUGUGAUUUUUAUUCUAAUUGAUAUUGAGAUUUAGUUGAUAUGGGUAUAGUCUAGUUAACCCAUGGCAAAAUUCAUGGAUUCAUUAUUGGGAGAAAAGAAUGGAAGUUGCCGUAUGUAUGGGUAUGUAUGUACUUUGGAAAGGAGAUUUUUGUGUCAUUGAGUUCUUGUUGUUAUGCGUGUAUGUGCAUGAGUAUUCGUCCAUGCUAUAGCAUUCAUGUUGCAAAAUGAUUAAUGCUUAAUGUGAUAUAUAAUUGUAUAUGUGAAUGAACUUGAGAAUAUCUAAAUUAUUGGUUGGAGGUGCCGAAUGUGGUCUUGGAUGAGUUUUAAAGAAUAAAAAUUUAGGUGACUAGAGGUCAAGGACAUUCGGUCAAAGGCUUGUGUGCUAGCAAAAUCGGCCUAAAUGUCGUUUUGAUGUGUUGAAUUGAGUAAGCUAGAUGUUGGAACCCAUAAGGAUUCGGCCUUCUAAAACAAUAGAGAUAAGUGUAUGAAAGGCUAAGUUUAAGUAGUAAGGCCGAAUAGGUUGUAGAUAAGGCACUUGUGAGUUCUUGGCCAAGCAAUUGACAAAUUAAAUUAGAGUUCUUGUGACGUAUAAUGUCAAGUCUAACUUGGUAUAUUCGGCCACCUAAUUAAGUACAUAGGUGGUGUUGAAUUUAAUCUUGCACAUUCGGCCAUAUGGGGUAAAAAUGGGUCAAGUGUUCAUGAGAUGAAAUUUUGUGAUUUGAUGAAUUAUAGGUGAUAGUAUAGAUAUACAUAUUCGGCCAUCACUUGGGAGCUUAUGUGAUGUUGAGUUUAAAAUUAGCAAGGUGAUUGCCGAAUGUCCAAGUAUGCAUAUGCAUGUGUGAUUAGAUUAUUGAAAGUAUGGUAAUUGCAUAAGGUUAUUAGCCGAAUAGCUAAGAACAUGAGGUAGCAAGAUAAAAAUUUUACCAUGCCGUUCCGUAUGUCAUAAAAUCAUUAAAAUGUGAAUACCAAUAUAUGUAGCAAAGCGGUUGAAUGAGUUAAUUUAUUUGUUUAAGCUCAAGAUCCUAAAGGAGAGGCGUCCAACAAGGGGAAAUCGAAGGUCAUCGAGUAGCCGACUUGGAAUUAUUUUACCCAACACAAGGUAAGUCAUUAAGCAUAUAGUUGGUAUUGAUUUAAAUGAUCGUAAUACCUAUGCAAUUGUGUUUAAUGAGAUGAAAUGUAUACAAAUGUAUAUGUAUGUAGAGAUGAAAUUGUCGAAUGUAAAAAGGCAGUGAAGCGUAUAGAGUGGUUGGUUUUCGGCACUAAGUGUGCGGGCAAUAAGUGUUCACGGUUGUGAGAUUGGCACUAAGUGUGCGGGCUUAAAAUGCAUGGCACUAAGUGUGCGAGUUUAAAUUACAUGGCACUAAGUGUGCGUGGUUGAUUAUUAAGCACUAUGUGUGCGAACCCACUAUAUAUAUAUUUUCUAUCAAUUAUUUAUAUUAAGGGUGCGACCUUACCGAGUCGAUUUCGGACAGCGGAAAGGGGUAAGUACCUUGAGUUCAUGGCUAAUAGGCGCUAUGUUUAUAUUUGGAGUUGAGCUUGGUAAGUUUUGAACCUAUGUGACAAUUAUAAUUGAAGUCACGUGCAUAAGGUUCAUCGUGGAAUAGGUGAAAGGUCAUUUAGUUGUAUGAUUGUAACGAAAAUAAAAUGAUGUAUGAAAAUGCCUCAAAUAUCCUAUUGAUUAGUAUAUGGAAUGUGAAUGUAUGACUUGGUAUGAGAUUGAACCGAAAGGUCUAAGGAACUAUGGUAUAGUUCGGUUUGGAUGGAGUAAUUAGCCUCAUUCCAUUUUGUUUCCUCUUGUGAUAAUGUUAUUAAUGGAUGGUAGUGCAUUGCUUAUGACUUACUGAGUUAUAUACUCAUUCGGUGUUUGCUUGUCACCUAUUUUAGGUUUCUUGGACUCGUCUUUUUUGCGUGCUCAGACCGUCAUCGAAGUCAUCACACCGGCUAGCAACUUUUGGUACUUUCUUCUUAGUUGGUCUAGGAGAACAUUUCGGCAUGUAUAGGCUAUUAUGUUUUGUUUGAAAUUUGGUAUGUAAACUUUUAGCCAUGCGAAAAUGGCAUAAAUGUUCGUUUGGAUUUGGUUCUAUGAUGCUUGGUCACAAGUCUUGGUAAUUCGGUUGUGGUUGAGUAUUGGUUGAGGUCUACUCGAUUAUUACGCCAUAUGUCAUGGCUAAUUUAUUUUCGGUGUUAAAUUCAUGAUUUGGUAAUAGUGUAGUGGGGAGAUGCUCGGUGAUGAUUAGUCUUUGGCAUGGCUAGUCAUGGUCAUAAAUUGUGACAUGUAUGAUGAAUUAUUAGUUAGAUCAAGGAAAAAUCACGAAAUAGACAUAGUCUGCUUUAGUAACAGAUGCUGACAGCAGCAGUGUUGUGAGAUUGAAAAAUCACUAAAAAUAGUAGAAAUGGAAUUAAAUAAUGAAUAAAUUAGGUAAUCGAAGCUUGAUGAGUCUAUUUUCAUAUGGAAGAAACGAAACGACCAUAUGAACUUUAUGUUAGGAGAUAAUUAAAUUCUUGUGAAACAGUGCCAGAGCGAUUUCUGGAUCCCCUGUUAUGACUUAGAAAAUUCACCGUAAAUUUUAUCGAGAUAAUUAGAGGUCGUGCCUUACAUGUACAGAUUCGUUAUCGAGUCUAGUUUCAUUAGAGACAAACGGCAUAGGCAUUGAAGCCCUUUACAGGGAGACAUUUAAAUCGUAAGAUACAGAUGUCAGUGUAGUCGAACCUUGUAAUAGGGAAAACUUUAACAAAUAAACUGUACUAAUUGGCCCAACCAAAAAUUCUACAAAAAUUCCACCAUAUAGAUAUAUGAGUCUAGUUUCGUUUAAAAUUUACGGAAUUAGAUUUCGAGUUUCAGAACUCAAAAUAUGAUUUUUAAAGCGACCAUGAUACAGUAGCCAGCUUGCCUGGAACAAAAAAAAUAUAGGGGAAAUAAAUGAAGUAAGCCGGUAACACCUCGUGUUCGAUUUUCCGGUAACGGCCAUGAGUUCGGGGUGUUACAUUUUGAUUUGGUAUCAGAGCUAUGGUUUAGUCGGUUCUAGGACUACCAUAGCGCGUAUGAGUCUAGCUAUACAUGCCUUAAUGUUAGUGCUUAAUAAUGUGAUGACUUCUGACGGUUAAAAUUUUUGUUCUGAUUAGUAAAUGGAACCCGGGGUAGAGAGACCCUUAGCGGAUGACGUUGAAAGUGUAGCGGCUGCUCCUGCGCAAGGGACACCGCCUGUUGAACCUCAGCCAUCUGCAAAUAAUCAAGAUGAGGGGGCAAAACAAGCCUUCUUCACCAUGAUGAAUGAGUGGGUCGCGUAAUAUGCCCGAACCAAUCCGGCUGUCCAACCAUUCCCGAAUUUGAAUAAUCCACCCCAAGAGCUCGUAAUGCCAUCAGUUACUGAUCCUGUGAGGCUGAGUAAACCACCUGUAGACUUGAUUAGGAAGCGCAGGGCUGAGGAGUUCAAGGCCAUAGUUACUGAUGAUGUCGAAAGGGCCGAGUUCUGGCUUGAUAACACCAUUCGGGUGUUUGAUGAACUGUCAUGCACACCCGAUGAAUGUCUAAAGUGUGCUAUAUCCUUGUUGCGAGACUCAGCUUACUAUUGGUGGAGGACUUUGAUUUCCAUAGUCCCAAACGAACGAGUUACUUGGGAUUUCUUUCAAACGGAAUUUCGAAAGAAAUAUAUUAGUCAACGGUUCAUCAAUCAAAAGCGUAAGGAAUUCUUAGAACUCAAGCAAGGCUGUAUGACAGUAUCUGAAUACGAACAUGAGUUCGUAAGACUCAGUCGGUAUGCCCGGGAGUGUGUGGCUGAUGAGGUUGCUAUGUGCAAGAGAUUUGAAGAAGGAUUGAAUGAAGAUUUAAAGCUACUAGUGGGUAUUUUGGAGAUAAAAGAAUUUGUAACACUAGUUGAACGAGCCUGCAAGGCGGAAGAACUUGGAAAGGAGAAGAAGAAGGCUGAAUUUGAAGCUAGAGACUAUCGUAAAAGAUCGACUGGUAAAGCUCCGUCCUCGGCUGUAAAGAAGUUCAGGGAGGACACUAAUAAAUCGAGGACGACUGCGGGAAUUUCCAUUAGAGCACGACCAUCGACGGACUCCCGAGCUACUUUGGUAGCUAGUGUGGGCAAUAAUCGUCAAGAGAAACCUGAAUGCCCCCAAUGUGGAAGACGACACAUAGAUGAAUGUUGGGGUAAGUCUACUAACAGGGCCUGUUACGGAUGCGGUUCGAAGGACCACUUCAUUAGAGAUUGCACGGAGCUUGAUGAGAAGAAUAAGAUGCAAGGUGCAAGACCUAGUGGAAUGACAGCUAGAGGUAGACCACCGAGAAUUUCAGGAGGUAGGGGUGGUAGUCAGAGAAGGGCCUCUGAUACGGCUGUUCGAACUGAGACCCGUACUCCUGCUAGAGCAUAUGCCAUUCGCGCACGAGAGGAGGCAUCCUCCCCUGACGUCAUCACUGGUACUUUCACUCUCUUUGAUACUAAUGUGAUUGCAUUGAUCGACCCUGGCUCUACUCAUUCAUAUGUAUGUGAAACCUUAGCAUCCGGUAAGACUCUACCUGUUGAUUCUAUUGAGUUCGUAAUUCGAGUGUCAAACCCUUUGGGUCAAUACGUACUUGUUGAUAAAGUGUGUAAGAGAUGCCCUCUAAUAAUCCGAGAAUCCUGUUUUUCGGCCGAUUUGAUGCUUUUGCCGUUUGACGAAUUUGAUGUUAUUCUUGGUAUGGAUUGGUUGACCGUACAUGAUGCAGUGGUGAACUGCAAAAGAAAAACCAUCGAUUUGAGGAGUGCAAAUGAUGAGGUAGUCCGAGUUGAGUCUACCGAUUUGAAGGGGGUGCCAGCGAUAAUAUCUUCAAUGACCGCUCAGAGAUAUGUGAAAAAGGGGUGUGAAACAUACCUUGCGUAUGUAUUUGAUAGCAAAGAGACGAAAAGGAAACUUGAAUCAGUACCAGUGGUUUGUGAGUAUUCAGAUGUUUUUCCUGAGGAGUUACCGGGGUUGCCACCAGUUCGAGAGGUGGAAUUCGGCAUCGAGAUUGUACCUGGUACCACGCCAAUCUCAAUAGCCCCGUAUCGUAUGGCAUUAACAGAAUUAAAGGAAUUGAAAGUUCAAUUGCAAGAAUUGAUGGAUAGAGGUUUCGCUCGACCGAGUUUUUCUCCAUGGGGCGCACCCGUAUUGUUUGUGAAAAAGAAGGAUGGAACCAUGAGAUUGUGCAUCGACUAUCGUCAGUUGAAUAAAGUGACCAUAAAGAAUAAAUACCCGUUGCCACGUAUUGAUGAUUUGUUUGAUCAAUUAAAGGGAGCCUCAGUAUUUUUCAAGAUAGAUUUGAGAUCUGGUUAUUAUCAGUUGAGGGUUCGAGACUCGGACAUACCCAAAACCGCUUUUAGAACGAGGUACGGUCACUACGAAUUCUUAGUGAUGCCAUUUGGGCUCACUAAUGCCCCUGCGGUAUUUAUGGACUUAAUGAAUCGAGUAUUCAGGCCAUACUUGGAUCGAUUUGUGGUUGUGUUUAUUGAUGAUAUUUUAGUUUAUUCACAAGGUGAAGCUAAACAUGCCGAGCAUUUGAGACUAGUAUUACAGAUUUUACGAGACAAGCAGUUAUACGCAAAAUUCAGUAAAUGUGAAUUUUGGUUGAGAGAGGUUAGCUUUUUGGGACACGUGGUGUCCGCAUCGGGUGUCAGAGUGGACCCGAACAAAAUUUCGGCCAUACUCGAUUGGAAACCUCCAAGGAAUGUUACUGAAGUUAGGAGCUUUUUGGGACUUGCCGGAUACUACCGACAUUUUGUAAAGGGCUUUUCGAUGAUAGAUGCACCGUUGACAAAACUACUUCAAAAAGAUGUUGAGUUCGAAUGGUCAGAACACUGUUAGGAAAGUUUCGAUCGACUAAAAACCUGUUUAACCGAGGCCCCAGUGCUAGUACAGCCGGAGUCCGGCAAGGAGUUUGUUAUUUACAGUGAUGCAUCCUUGCUUGGGCUAGGUUGUGUGUUGAUGCAAGAAGGUCGAGUUGUGGCUUACACGUCGAGACAAUUAAAGCCGCAUGAGAGAAACUAUCCGACCCAUGACCUUGAAUUAGCAGCCAUAGUGUUCGCCUUGAAAAUAUGGCGACAUUACUUGUUUGGAGAGAGGUGUCAUAUUUAUUCGGACCACAAGAGUCUUAAAUAUUUGAUGACUCAAAGAGAUCUAAAUCUGCGACAAAGACGUUGGCUUGAGUUGUUGAAAGACUAUGAACUUGUCAUUGAUUAUCACCCGGGGAAGGCUAACUUGGUGGCCGAUGCUUUGAGUCAUAAAACACUGUUUUCUUUGAGAGCGAUGGAUGCUCACCUAUCCGUUUCGCCCGAUGAUGUGCUAGUAGUUGAAUUAGAGGCCAAACCAUUAUUAAUUCAUCAAAUACUUGAAUCCCAGAAAGUCGACGCUGAAUUGGUCGCUAAACGAGCUGAAUGUGCCUCGAAUGAGGAAUCGAAGUUUCGGAUUGACAACAAUGAUUGCUUGACGUUCAAGGGUCGAUUAUGUGUUCCAAGAAAUUCAGAACUUAUUUCGAUGAUUUUGAAUGAGGCUCAUAGUGGCCGAAUGUUUAUCCACCCGGGUAGUACUAAAAUGUACAACGAUCUGAAACGUCAAUUUUGGUGGCCGGGUAUGAAACGAGACAUUUCUGAAUUUGUUUCAAGGUGUUUGAUAUGUCAACAAGUAAAAGCGAAACAUCAAGUGCCAUCGGGAUUACUUCAGCCAAUCAUGAUACCCGAAUGGAAAUGGGAUCGAGUGACAAUGGACUUUGUAUCUGGGUUACCUUUGACUCAGAGUAAGAAAGACUCGGUCUGGGUUAUUGUUGAUAGAUUGACCAAGUCUGCUCAUUUUAUCCCUGUCCGUACAGAUUUUUCGCUCGAUAAAUUGGCAGAAUUAUACAUCUCCCAAAUUGUUCGAUUGCAUGGGGUACCUAUUUCUAUCGUGUCGGAUAGAGACCCAAGAUUUACAUCGCGAUUUUGGAAGAAGUUACAAGAAGCGUUGGGUACUAAGAUGCAUUUUAGCACCGCAUUUCAUCCCCAGACUGAUGGCCAAUCUGAACGAAUAAUUCAGAUACUCGAGGAUAUGUUGAGAUGUUGCGUCUUAGAGUUUUGUGGUUCAUGGGAAAGAUAUUUGCCUUUGAUUGAAUUUGCUUAUAACAAUAGCUUUCAAUCAAGCAUUAAGAUGGCACCUUACGAGGCUUUAUACGGUCGCAAGUGCCGUACCCCAUUAUUUUGGACUGAACUUAGUGAAAGUAAAAUCUUUGGGGUUGAUUUGAUUAAGGAUGCUGAGCAGAAAGUUCGAGUAAUUCGUGAAAGUUUGAAAGCCGCUUCGGAUCGUCAAAAGUCGUAUGCGGAUUUAAGGAGAAAAGACAUUGAAUAUCAGGUUGGGGACAAGGUAUUUCUCAAAGUUUCACCCUGGAAGAAGGUGCUUAGAUUUGGCCGUAAGGGCAAAUUGAGUCCGAGGUUCAUCGGUCCGUAUGAAGUAUCCAAACGAGUUGGGCCAGUCGCAUACCGGUUAAUUUUACCCCCUGAGCUUGAAAAGAUUCACAACGUUUUCCAUGUCUCGAUGCUUCGACGAUAUAGGUCCGACCCGUCUCACGUAAUCACUCCAUCUGAGAUCGAGAUUCAGCCUAACUUGAGUUAUGAAGAAGAACCGAAUCGCAUUUUGAUGCGUGAAGUUAAAAAGUUGCGAAAUAAGAAAAUCCCAUUAGUGAAGGUGUUGUGGCAUAAACACGGGAUUGAAGAAGCCACUUGGGAACUUGAGGAAUCUAUGAAGGAUCGAUAUCCAAAAUUGUUCACCGGUAAGAUUUUCAGGGACGAAAAUUUCUUAUGUGGGGGAGAGUUGUGACAGCCCUAAUGUGACCCUAGUCGGAAAGUGGUUUCGGGACCACAAAACCGAGUCAUAAAAAUAAUUAAUUGUUAUAUUCUAUGCUUAUCAUGUGUGUACAUGCAUAUGUGAAAGUUUCAUUCCCUAAUUUUGCCAAUUGCAUGAGGAAUUAAUAAAUAGGGAUCAACAUGAGACAUGGUGAAAUAUGAUAGGCUAAUUUUAAAGGGCUUAUUAGUGCAUGUCAACACAAGGGUGGACUUGCAUGUCAAAUUGCCCAAUUCCCUUAUAGUGGCCGGCCAAGAUAGAUUGAUGAUGGGCAAUAUAUUUGUUUGAAUUAGAGAUUAUAAUAAGAAAUUGGGUUAUUGGAGAUAAAAUAAAUUAAAGAAAGGAAUUAAAAAGGAAAAAGAUGAAUAAAAUAAGGGAGGAAGAAGGAGUGUUCAUCCUUUUCCUUGUUACAAUUGCCGUGAGUAAAGAAAAUGAAUGUGAAGGAAGGCUCAUCUUUCAUCUUCUUUAUUUGCCGAAAUUGAGAAAGGAAAGAUUGAAAAAAAGAAACCAAGGAAUUCGGCCAUGGCUAUUUCAAUGGAAAGGUAUGCAUUGUGAUUUUUAUUCUAAUUGAUAUUGAGAUUUAGUUGAUAUGGGUAUAGUCUAGUUAACCCAUGGCAAAAUUCAUGGAUUCAUUGUUGGGAGAAAAGAAUGGAAGUUGCCGUAUGUAUGGGUAUGUAUGUACUUUGGAAAGGAGAUUUUUGUGUCAUUGAGUUCUUGUUGUUAUGUGUGUAUGUGCAUGAGUAUUCGGCCAUGCUAUAGAAUUCAUGUUGCAAAAUGAUUAAUGCUUAAUGUGAUAUAUAAUUGUACGUGUGAAUGAACUUGAGAAUAUCUAAAUUAUUGGUUGGAGGUGCCGAAUGUGGUCUUGGAUGAGUUUUAAAGAAUAAAAAUUUAGGUGACUAGAGGUCAAGGACAUUCGGUCAAAGGCUUGUGUGCUAGCAAAAUCGGCCUAAAUGUCGUUUUGAUGUGUUGAAUUGAGUAAGCUAGAUGUUGGAACCCAUAAGGAUUCGGCCUUCUAAAACAAUAGAGAUAAGUGUAUGAAAGGCUAAGUUUAAGUAGUAAGGCCGAAUAGGUUGUAGAUAAGGCACUUGUGAGUUCUUGGCCAAGCAAUUGACAAAUUAAAUUAGAGUUCUUGUGACGUAUAAUGUCAAGUCUAACUUGGUAUAUUCGGCCACCUAAUUAAGUACAUAGGUGGUGUUGAAUUUAAUCUUGCACAUUCGGCCAUAUGGGGUAAAAAUGGGUCAAGUGUUCAUGAGAUGAAAUUUUGUGAUUUGAUGAAUUAUAGGUGAUAGUAUAUAUAUACAUAUUCGGCCAUCCCUUGGGAGCUUAUGUGAUGUUGAGUUUAAAAUUAGCAAGGUGAUUGCCGAAUGUCCAAGUAUGCAUAUGCAUGUGUGAUUAGAUUAUUGAAAGUAUGGUAAUUGCAUAAGGUUAUUAGCCGAAUAGCUAAGAACAUGAGGUAGCAAGAUAAAAAUUUUACCAUGUCGUUCCGUAUGUCAUAAAAUCAUUAAAAUGUGAAUACCAAUAUAUGUAGCAAAGCGGUUGAAUGAGUUAAUUUAUUUGUUUAAGCUCAAGAUCCUAAAGGAGAGGCGUCCAACAAGGGGAAAUCGAAGGUCAUCAAGUAGCCGACUUGGAAUUAUUUUACCCAACACAAGGUAAGUCAUUAAGCAUAUAGUUGGUAUUGAUUUAAAUGAUCGUAAUACCUAUGCAAUUGUGUUUAAUGAGAUGAAAUGUAUACAAAUGUAUAUGUAUGUAGAGAUGAAAUUGUCGAAUGUAAAAAGGCAGUGAAGCGUAUAGAGUGGUUGGUUUUCGGCACUAAGUGUGCGGGCAAUAAGUGUUCACGGUUGUGAGAUUGGCACUAAGUGUGCGGGCUUGAAAUGCAUGGCACUAAGUGUGCGAGUUUAAAUUACAUGGCACUAAGUGUGCGUGGUUGAUUAUUAAGCACUAUGUGUGCGAACCCACUAUAUAUAUAUUUUCUAUCAAUUAUUUAUAUUAAGGGUGCGACCUUACCGAGUCGAUUUCGGACAGCGGAAAGGGGUAAGUACCUUGAGUUCAUGGCUAAUAGGCGCUAUGUUUAUAUUUGGAGUUGAGCUUGGUAAGUUUUGAACCUAUGUGACAAUUAUAAUUGAAGUCACGUGCAUAAGGUUCAUCGUGGAAUAGGUGAAAGGUCAUUUAGUUGUAUGAUUGUAACGAAAAUAAAAUGAUGUAUGAAAAUGCCUCAAAUAUCCUAUUGAUUAGUAUAUGGAAUGUGAAUGUAUGACUUGGUAUGAGAUUGAACCGAAAGGUCUAAGGAACUAUGGUAUAGUUCGGUUUGGAUGGAGUAAUUAGCCUCGUUCCAUUUUGUUUCCUCUUGUGAUAAUGUUAUUAAUGGAUGGUAGUGCAUUGCUUAUGACUUACUGAGUUAUAUACUCAUUCGGUGUUUGCUUGUCACCUAUUUUAGGUUUCUUGGACUCGUCUUUUUUGCGUGCUCAGACCGUCAUCGAAGUCAUCACACCGGCUAGCAACUUUUGGUACUUUCUUCUUAGUUGGUCUAGGAGAACAUUUCGGCAUGUAUAGGCUAUUAUGUUUUGUUUGAAAUUUGGUAUGUAAACUUUUAGUCAUGCGAAAAUGGCAUAAAUGUUCGUUUGGAUUUGGUUCUAUGAUGCUUGGUCACAAGUCUUGGUAAUUCGGUUGUGGUUGAGUAUUGGUUGAGGUCUACUCGAUUAUUACGCCAUAUGUCAUGGCUAAUUUAUUUUCGGUGUUAAAUUCAUGAUUUGGUAAUAGUGUAGUGGGGAGAUGCUCGGUGAUGAUUAGUCUUUGGCAUGGCUAGUCAUGGUCAUAAAUUGUGACAUGUAUGAUGAAUUAUUAGUUAGAUCAAGGAAAAAUCACGAAAUAGGCAUAGUCUGCUUUAGUAACAGAUGCUGACAGCAGCAGUGUUGUGAGAUUGAAAAAUCACUAAAAAUAGUAGAAAUGGAAUUAAAUAAUGAAUAAAUUAGAUAAUCGAAGCUUGAUGAGUCUAUUUUCAUAUGGAAGAAACGAAAUGACCAUAUGAACUUUAUGUUAGGAGAUAAUUAAAUUCUUGUGAAACAGUGCCAGAGCGAUUUCUGGAUCCCCUGUUAUGACUUAGAAAAUUCACCGUAAAUUUUAUCGAGAUAAUUAGAGGUCGUGCCUUAUAUGUACAGAUUUGUUACCGAGUCUAGUUUCAUUAGAAACAAACAGCAUAGGCAUUGAAGCCCUUUACAGGGAGACAUUUAAAUCGUAAGAUACAGAUGUCAGUGUAGUCGAACCUUGUAAUAGGGAAAACUUUAACAAAUAAACUGUACUAAUUGGCCCAACCAAAAAUUCUAAAAAAAUUCCACCAUAUAGAUAUAUGAGUCUAGUUUCGGUUAAAAUUUACGGAAUUAGAUUUCGAGUUUCAGAACUCAAAAUAUGAUUUUUAAAGCGACCACGAUACAGUAGCCAGCUUGCCUGGAACAAAAAAAAAAUAUAGGGGGAAAUAAAUGAAGUAAACCGGUAACACCUCGUGUUCGAUUUCCGGUAACGGCCAUGAGUUCGGGGUGUUACAAGAAUAGCUGAAAUCUUGCUCGCAUCAACUCGGAUACUGGAAGUUGAUACAAUAUGACCCAGAAAACCAACUUCUCGCAACCAGAAUUCACAUUUACUAAACUUUGCAUACGAUUGUUUAUCUCAUACUACUCUCAGAUGCUCGGCAUACUCAGAUUCAUCACGUGAAUAAAUCAAUAUAUCAUCAAUGAAUACAACAACAAAUUGAUCUAGAUACGGUCUGAAAAUUCUAUUCAUUAAAUCCAUAAAGAUAGCAGGUGCAUUAGUUAGUCCGAAAGGCAUAACUAAAAAUUCAUAAUGCCUGUACCUUGUUCUAAAAGUAGUUUUCGGAAUAUCAAAAUCCUUUACUCGCAACUAGUAGUAACCUGAUCUCAUAUCCAUCUUAGAAAACAAAGUAGCACCUUUCAACUGAUCGAAUAAGUCAUCAAUUCUAGGAAGAGGAUAUUUGUUCUUUACAGUCACUUUAUUAAGCUGUCUAUAAUCAAUACACAUUCUCAUUGUGCCAUUUCCUUUUUCACAAACAAAACAGGAGCACCCCAAGGUGAGAAACUCGGUCUAGCAAAUCCUCGAUCGGUCAAUUCUUGCAACUGAGAUUUUAAUUCCUUUAACUCAGUUAGAGCCAUUCUAUACGGAGCUAUCAAAAUCAGGGUAGUACCAGGUACUAAUUCAAUGCCAAAGUCAACUUCUCGAAUCGAAGGCAAACCAGGUAGUUCUUCAGGAAACACAUUAGAGAAUUCACAGACAACAAGCACUAAUUCAACUUUCUUAUCAUUCACUUUUGAAUCUAAAAUAAAACAUAAGCUAAGUAGGCUUCACAACCUUUUUUUACAUAUUUUCGUGCUUUCAUUGCAGAUAUCACAACUGGUAGUCCAUUCAGAUCACUAGACUCAAUUCGGAUUAUUUCAUCGUUCUUACCCCUUAAAUCAAUGACUUUUCAUUUGCAAUUCAAAAUAGCAUCAUGCAAAGUUAACCAGUCCAUUCCCAAAAUUAUAUCAAAUUCAUCAAAAGGCAAAAGCAUCAGAUCAGCAGGAAAACAGAUAUCCCGAAUCAAUAACGGGUGAUUCUUGCAGACUUUAUUAACCAUAUCACUUUUACCUAAGGGGUUCGAUACUCUAAUUACGAAUUCAAUAAACUCUACAGGCAAAGUCUUACUGUGCACUAAUUUCAUACAGAUAUAAGAAUGUAUUGAUCUAGAGUUUAUCAAUGCAAUCACAGAAGUAUCAUAAAGAGUAAAAGUACCAGUAAUCACAUCUGGUAACGAAGCUUCCUCACAAGCUUGAAUAGCAUAGGCUCUAGUAGGUGCUCCAGCCUCAGAUCUAACAGCAGUAUCUCCAGUAACUCUUUGACCACUACUUACAUUUCUUGCAUUUCUGGAAGGUCUACCUCUAGCUGAGGUGUUACUCGAUCUCAGAUUCUGGACAUUUUCUUACUCAGUGGGUUCAAAACAAUCUCUUACAAAAUGAUCCAGGGAUCCACAUCGAAAACAGGCUCGGUCAUUCAAUCUACAAUUUCCCGGAUGUCUUUUACCACAGUGUUUACAUUCAGGUUUCUCAGAUCAGACAUUUCCAACACUUGCAACAGAUGUAAUAGGAGCUCUGGUGUUCAAAUACAAUCUAGUUCGAUCUCUGUUCGAAUGUCCCACAUUAGUAUUUGAAUGGUUCUGAUCAUCUCAAAAUUUCUUUGACCCAAACUGAAAUGAUUUACUUGAAGAUCUCUUUCUAGCAUCUCUAGCUUCAAAAUCAGCUUUUCUUUUCUCUUUACUUAAAUCUUUAGCCUUACAUGCUCGCUCAACGAGCACUACCAUUUCUUUAAUUUCCAAAAUCCCAACUAACAGACGGAUAUCUUCAUUUAGUCCAUCUUAAAACCUUUUACAUAUUAAUGCUUUAUUCGAUACAGAUUCCCGAGCAUACUGGCUCAAUCUCACAAAUUCAUGUUCGUAUUUAGUAACAGACAUACGGUCCUGUUUAAGCUCGAGAAACUCUUUACGUUUCUGAUCAAUGAAUCUCUAACUAAUAUAUUUCUUCCGAAAUUUAGCUUGAAAGAAAUCCCAAGUGACCCGUUGAUCAUGAUUUUGUGUGAUAAGUUUUAUAAAUUUAUAAUGAAUCAUUCUUGGAACUAACUAUUAUCACGAUGAAGGCAAGUGUACCUAUCGAACAGUAGUAUAGUUUUAGCAAAUUCGGAUUGUCGAACCCAAAGGAACUAAAAGUACUAGUAAUGAUUGUCUUUUUAUUAUCUAACCUAAAAAAAAUGGGGUUUGUUUUAACUAACUAAUUAACUAAACUAAGAAAUCACAGAAAAUAGAAUUGGGGAAUGACUUUUAGAAAACAAUUGAAUUAAGACAAUACCUACGGAAAAAUCCACCUAGACUUUACUUGUUAUUCUGGCUUCGAAUCGGACGAUUUAUUCAUUUAAUUUGUUCUGUAAAGAUCACUAAGUUAUGUUAUUAUCCCUAUUCAAGACUAAUAACGUCUAAUCCCUAGAUUGAAUAAUUGAUAUUUUUUUCUAAUUAACACCCUAGGGUUGCAUUAACUUGAUUUAUGGAUCCUCUUAUUAGGUUUCACCCUAAUCUGGAAAAAUCUUGUCACCCUAUGUCUAGGCGUGCAAACAACUCCGCUUAAUUAUGACAAAUGUACUCUUGGAUAGGGUCUAUUCCUCCUCUGAAUAAGAGCUUAUCUUGAAUCAGUAUCCUGGGAUAUCAAAAUAAGAAUUAAGAACACAUAAUUAAGAACAAGUUAAAUAUUUAUCAUACAAUUCAGAAAAUAAUAACAAGAUUCGUCCUAGGUUUCAUUCUCCUUAGGUAUUUAGGGGAUUUAGUUCAUAACUAAAAAGGAAGACAUCUCAGAAGAAUAAUGAAUACAAAACAUAAAGAAAACUCAAAACUCCUGAAGGGAAAGUAAGAGGAGAUCUUUAGUUUCGAUGGUGACUUCGGCUUCUGAGAUGGAUCAAUCGGCCUCCCUUGAGUAGUUCCCUGCCUUCUUCUCUCUCUGUAUGUCUUUUCCUCUUCCUUUAGAGUGUAUUCAUAGGCUUUGGAAUGCCCGUGUGGUUUGCCCGUGUGAAGAAGUCCAUGCUGUGUUGAUUUCAUACUUUGGCCUAUUUUCUCAUUUUUUUGGCUUGUUUCUCGUUCCUUUGGCUCUCCUAUGCUCACCUAAGUAUAAAACAUGAAAUUAAGGCAUCAGGAGCAUCGAAUUCACCAACAUUCCAAGUUGAGUAUUUAAUCAUGCAAAACUUUAAGCAUCUCCCAUUAUCAAAGUGGUUACCUCGAUUCGAAAUCUCACGGAGUUUAACAUCCUCACUAAAGAUUUAGUCAAAUCACUCAAAGUGUUUAAGGACAAUGUAAGUAGCACUCAUCAGUCAAUAUGAAAAGUUAUUAAAAUAGGCUUGCAUGAAAAUCACAUCUUCACCACUAUAAUUUGAGAUGAUCCAUUAAUCAAAAGAUCUUUAGAGGGUUGUAACGUGGCUUUGGUUAGGGGGUGUGGUCACAAGCUGAAAGAAAUGGUUAGAAUCGAGAUUGAAUUGAAAAAUCACUUAACUAGAAAAAGAUUUAAUCAUCGCUUGCAUAAAACAGAGCUUUUCUCAGAAUAUGAAAUUUAACUUCUUUAGCUUAGAAGAUUACUACUACUAAUAUGUAUACAUUUUUUUUAAGAACAAGUUAAAUUACAAAAUAGAAUAAAACAUAGUUAAGGAACUAUUUCAAUUUAAAUCUCGACAAAAAUAGGGAUCAAAUUAAUUUAGGAGAUUUCAACAAUAAUGGGUUAAGGGUUAAUAUGAAGGGUAAUACAAGAAAUGGCUUGUUAGCUCAACGGGGUUUACUAAGGGUUAAUCGUGGAGGUAGGCUUUUCAUGGCAUGAGUGGUUUAAUCCUAAGUGUGUUUCUCAUUUUGACAUAUCAAAUCAAAUAGUGUGGUCUUGACAUGCAUAAUCAAGCAAGUUCUAGAAUAACAGUUCAGUACUAAUGCACUCAAAGCAAUAAUAAAAGUGAGCAUGAAAGAAUUAGUAGAUGCUCAAAAGGCUCAAAAAAUCUCACAAGAAUUAUGGCUUUUUGAUGUUUAAAACUUGUGAAUUCCAACUCAAAGUAAUACCUAAACUUUAAGGAAACAACCUAAAUUUUUAAAUUCUUAAAAAUCAACUUAUCAUGCUUGAUUCUCUAAUAUCUUAAAGUUUAAAAAAUCAAUGCAUAAAUGCCUAUGUUUUAAUUAAAGAUAUAUCAAUCAAAAUCAUAAAUCGAUCAAAAUUUAUCCUAAAUAUGAUAUGAGAGCUUUUCAAGAGAACAAAGGAGUCAUUCAGGGAUUUUUCUGAUAGUAAAAUGAAUACCCCCCACACUUAAGAUGUAUAUUGUCCUCAAUGUACAAAGAUAGAUAUAAGAAUAUAAAAAUAAGAUAGGGAGAGGAGUGAAACUUCCUAAGUGAUGAAUGAAUUUCCUUGAACUGGAGUAUUGGAGAAUAGUCGGCGUGGGGAUAGAGGAGGAUACUCUGGCGGUGGUGGAGGUUCAUUAGUCCAUAAGUCCUGCGCCAAAAGAAUAUUAUAUCUGAAGUUGGUUAUGAUCGUGGACGAGCAGGACAUGGCAGUCGUGGAGAACCUUUCCCAGUGGAGUUUGGAGUUCCUAAGUAAUAGUGAGUUGUGGAGCUCUUUAUAAAUCACUAAAUGGUUCGCGAGGUGGGGGUGGCGAUGAGAUGUGGAGGUGCUGACAAAUCUGCUGUAGAGUAGCAUCAAUGUUUUCAAAUCAUUGAAAACACUGCUACUCGAAUCGAGUGAGGCACUCAGAGAUGUCAGCAUAUGAAGUCACCGUAUGAACUAGACGAGAGGGUGGUGGUGGCUGAGACAGCGGGUCCUCGUGCUAUGGGGGGACAUCAUCAGUAAUGUCCUCGGGGGCUUCCUCCUCAGUAGAUUGGGUGAGACGAUAUUAAGGAGGGUAGGUUCCUCGGCACUUUUCGAUCAUCCUCAUACUAAGCAUGCUCGAGAUGCCUUGUGGAGACAUCUGGCCAAUAGGGUUAAGGAUGAUUCCUGGGCCACGGUGCUAAGGAGCUCGAAGUGUCGAGCCAAUCGCGUCACAUAGGGGCCAAUGGAGAUGACCCCCUUCCUAUGCCGCUCCGUUUGGUGUUGAAUCGUGAGGGCAAUGAAAUAGGCAAGGUCGAUGACAUGCCCGUGCGACAUACAUCAUAGAAAGUAGGCGUCGUGAGUGUUGACGAUGCCAGUGCUCUCUCGCCUUCCUGUAAUCAUGUAGGCCAAAAUGGCGUGUAGGUACCUCAGGGAUGGAGGGAGAGUUAAUGCCUUGGAGCGGCUAGGAUUGUAGGUGGCCGCGCCUGGUACUAGUGCGUCCUAGCAUCAUGAAGGAGAACGAUGAAUGUUGCGGUUGGGAGCAUGUAAGUCAUUCUCCUCCUAGGCAAAUUCCUCCGUAUAUAAACCCAGUGCAGUACCGAAUUCUGGGACGCUGAGCUAGCGGACUAAUCCGCCUAGGCGAAAUUGCACCGUGCUGGGAUUAUCGUAGUUCGUCAUCACGGUCUGGAGAUGAAAUAUGGAGUAUAACUCCAUCGUAAGCUCAAGAUACGUCGGCUCGAUGAUCCCAAAGAAAAGCUCCCAAGGGUCAGUGGUUAGGAGGGCCCGAAUCGCAUCAGCCAAUCGAACUUAUUCUAUUGUAGCCCAAUUGAUGCAGCGGCCUGCAAUUAAAGGUCGGGCCCGGAGUAUUUGGAAAAGUUCUUUUUGGGGCUCGAUGGGGAAUUACAGGAAAGGGUGGCAAAUUUUUGCUGUGGGACCCGAUAAAGAUGACGCUCCCUUCCUUUUCUUUGAAGCAGGGACAAGGUUUUCUUUCCUGGUGAAGACGACAUUAUAUACCUACAAGCAAAACCAUUAUUUUGUCGUGAAGAAUGUUCAAGGUAAUACAAAAGCAAAUCCAAAAAGGCAGAAGUCAUAAAUUAGAACUAAUAAUCUCAGUCACAACUACUAGCAAACUUAAUCAAAAAUAAUUUUAUGGUGUAUCAUUACCAUGACAAUAGUAUGAGUUUCCUAAAAAAAAUAAUGGCAAAUAAUUCUAUGUCAGUGCAUUUUAUUGAUGGGGCAUAUCAACCCAAAAGCCAUGAGUAUUUUCACUUUAAACUAAUAAAAUGUAUCAGAUAAAUCAUGCAACGAGGAAAAACUUUAACAUGAAAAGAUAAUAACUACUUUAGAUAUGAAAUGUGAGUGAUAAAGAGAUGAAAUGAACAUAAAAAAUGCAUAGUAUUAUGAUAACUUAACCUGAAAAAUGGAUGAAAAAGAUAUAAUAAAGAAAGCCUAACAGGAGUAGUAUCCCAGAGGUUGACCAACUUGAAAACUGAAUCCUAAGCUAUCGUUGGUCCUCUCAAGGGAUUUCACCAAAGGAACCCCAAACAUAGUGAACUCGAGAAGAUUUCCAAAAUAAAUGCUAGAAAAGGGAGAAUGAGCGUCAAAAAAGGAGUUGGAGGCGGCACACGGGCAUGGUGGGGGGUGUGUGGACUUGCAGCGGCUAGGGUUAGGGUUUUUGGGUGAAGAAAACAAUGAAUAGUGAAGCCUAUUUAUAUAUUUUGAGGCACACGGCCAGGGAACACGCCCGUGCUCUCUGAUUUUUACCUGUGUGAUUCGCGAAUUUUGAAUUUGGGAACGUCUGAUAAUUUUCCCACGCUCGUGUUCCUUGGGCGUGUGGGUGCACACGGCUGUGUCGCACGAUCGUGCCUGGCUUCGUUCGUUUCUCCCACGCCCAUGUAUAUAAGUCCACGCCCGUGUUAAUUUAACAGGUUCGUCCACAGUUGCUUGGCACGGGCGUGUCGCACGCCCCUGUUAAUUUGACAGGUUCGGCCACAGGUUAAAGGCAAGGGCGUGUCGCAUUCCCGUGUGUUUUUGGUAGGUUUGCCCACGACCAUGUCGCACGGUCGUGGCGAUUUAUCGCAGCUCGUGUUUGGGGAAAUUUUUUCCCUAUUUCUACACAGCCUAAGGUACGCCCGUGCGCUAGGCCCUGUCUGUGUGGGAAACCUGUGUUCAAAAGCUCCGUUAGUAAGUUAGGUGGUAAAUACUAAAAUUUAAAGAAGUUAAUACAGUUAGUGCUCGGGUUGCCUCCCGAGAAGCGCUUAUUUAUAGACUAAGCUCGACUUACCUCUCCAUUGAAUGGUCAUGGGGGUUCGAGGAGUUUAUACUCCUCAUUCCUGCUAUCCAUCUUAUCAAAAUAAGGUUUUAGACGAGUAUUAUUUACCUUAAAAGUGCCAAACUUGGGAUGACUUACCUCGACUAUACCGAAUGGGAAAAUACUAAGUACCGUAAGAGAGGUGUUUUCAUUUGGUUUGGUAGUGACAAUAUGAGGAUCCCGGCAUCUAAUAAAAUUGUAUCUCCAACCUUAAGUUGAUUUGGACAUGUAUUGAGCUCGUUUUGGCGUAGUUUUGGUUUAUCGUGUGUUUUCAGUUUAUACGUCCCCCAUUCAUCUAGCUCCUCGACUUGUAGCCUUCGAUCUUCAUGAAUAGGUCCUCUACUAUUGCUUGAGAAUGACUCAUGUGCUUCCUUCAGACUCAUUUCUUGCAAAGUAGGUUGCACUAUAUUGUCAGUUUUAGUAGAAUGGUUUAGAUGAUUACCUUCAAUUUUCGAUGUGUUGCCAGAAUUACGAGCUUGAAUGGUGAUUGUUUCGUCUCCCACACGGAGUAUGAGCUCACCUGUGCCAACAUCAAUAACCGUUUUAGUAAUUGCUAAAAAGGGCUUUCCUAAAAUCAAAGGAGUGUUGCUAUCCUCCUCUAUGUCUAAAAUAAUGAAGUCAACGGGAAAUAUAAAUUUAUUGAUUUUAACUAGCACAUCUUCAAUAAUACCCCUAUGAAAUCUUAUAGUUUUAUCUGCUAAUUGAAUGCUCAUCCUAGUCUGUUUGGGUUUCCCAAGACCUAAUUGUUUGAACAUUUUGUAGGGCAUGACGUUAAUACUAGCCCAUAAAUCAGCUAAUGCAUUAUUAACAUCUAAACUAUCAAUUAAGCAAGGAAUCGUAAAACUCCCUAGAUCUUUUAGUUUGUUGGGUAGUUUACUUUGUAGAAUAGCGGAGUAAACUGCGUUUAGCUCCACAUGCGACACCUCGUCCAACUUCUGCUUAUUUGCUAAAAGCUCCUUUAAAAUUUUCAAUGCUUUUGGCAUCUGCGAUAGAGCUUCAAUAAAUGGUAAGUUAAUGUGUAAUUUUUUUAAGAGUUUAAGGAAUUUACCAAAUUGUUCAUCUGAGCGGUCUUUCCUUGUCGCGUUGGGGUAUGGCACACGAGGUUUAUAUUUGACAUUCACUGAUUUGUUUUUAUUAUGACCUACCUCUUCUUGAUCUCUGCUCACCACAGUUUCUUGCUUCGGUUCUGGCUCAGGCUCAGGCUCAACGAAUUCUUCUUCAUUUUGAACAUUAAUCGCGUUGAGCUGUUCCCUUGGGUUGGGUUCAGUAUUACUUGGCAAGCUACCUUGUGGUCGUUCAGAGAUUAGUUUGGAUAACUGGCCUAUCAGUGUUUCGAGCCCUUGGAUCGAUGCUUAUUAAUUCUUAAAUGAUGUCUCGAUAUUCUGGAAAUGAGUUUCUGACACUGAUAUAAACUUUGAAAACAUCUCUUCAAGGUUCGGCUUCUUUUCCUGUUGGUAGGGUGGUUGUUGGUAGCCUAGAGGUGGUCUUUGAUUUUCUUGGCCUCCUCAUGAGAAAUUUGGGUGGUUCCUCCAACCUGCAUUAUAAGUGUUACUAUAUGGAUUGUUUUGAGAUCGAGAAUUAUUACCCAUGUAAUUUAACUGCUCGUUAUCCAUGUUGUAGCCAUAAGGUUGGUAUUCCGAAUUGCUUGAUCCACCUCCACUUGCUUCGCACUGCAUUACUAGGUGAACCUGUGAAGAACUAAGAAAACCAUCAAUUUUUUUUAUUCAAGAGUUCUAACUAAUUAGAGAGCAUGGUGACCGAAUCGACGUUAUAAACACCGGCUAUUUUUGUUGGCUUUGUCCUCAUGACUUGCCACUGAUAGUUAUUCAGUGACAUCUCCUCUAUAAACUCAUAAGCAUCUUCAAGUGUUUUAUUAUUGAUGGUUCCGCCAACAACUGCGUCAACUAUUUGUCGAGUCGAAGGAUUCAGGCCAUUAUGGAAUGUUUGAACCUGAAGCCAAAGCGGUAACCCAUGGUGAGGGCACCUUCUCAGUAAGUCCUUGAAUCUCUCUCAUGCAUCGUAAAGAGUUUCUAAGUCCAUCUGCACAAACGAAGAGAUAUCAUUACGUAAUUUAGCCGUUUUAGCCAGCGGAAAAUAUUUUAGUAAAAAUUUUUCAAUCAUUUGUUUCCAAGUAGUAACUGACCCUCGUGGUAACGACUUCAACCACUGUUUAGCUUUGUUCCUCAAUGAAAAAGGGAAUAACCAAAGAUAAAUGGCAUCAUCAGAAACACCAUUAAUUUUAAAUGUAUCGCAUAGUUCCAAAAAGUUUGCUAAGUGAGAGUUGGGAUCCUCAUCCUACAAACCAUCAAACUGAACAAAUUGUUGUAUCAUUUGAAUAGUGUUAGGUUCUAGUUCAAAAGUAUUUGUAGCUAUAGCAGGUCUAACUAUGCUCGAUUCAGUUUCUACUAAAGAAGGUUUAGCAUAAUCAUACAUAGUGCGUAGAGCAGGAUUUUGAUUAUCCGCAAUUGCAGGAGGUAGCUGAUUGUCUUGGUUUUCAGCCAUCUCUUCGGUUGGGAAUUGAGUAUUGUUCUCUGGCUCGUUCUCUGUGUAUCUUAAGUUUCGCCUUAUUUCUCUUUGGUUUUUGUGAACUGUGCGAUUGAUUUUUUCGUCAAAGAGUAGUGGUCCUAACGGGUUUCUUCUAGCCAUAAACUAUAAAAAACUUGCCAAGAGAAAGGAAAAGUAAAUUAAUAAAUAAUAAAAAUUAAAUUAAAUUAAAUUGCAAGAAAAAUAAAUGGCUAAAGUCAUAAAAAUUGAGUGUUCCUAAUAUCUUAGUUCCCUGACAACGGCGCCAAAAACUUGAUCGUGAUUUUGUGUGAUAAGUUUUAUAAAUUUAUAAUGAAUCGUUCUUGAAACUAACUAUUAUCAUGAUAAAGGCAAGUGUACCUAUCGAACAGUAGUAUAGUUUUAGCAAGAUCGGAUUGUCGAACCCAAAGGAAUUAAAAGUACUAGUAAUGACUGUCUUUUUAUUAUCUAACCUAAAAAUAAUGGUGUUUGUUUUAACUAACUAAUUAACUAAACUAAGAAAUCACAAAAAAUAGAAUUGGGGAAUGACUUUUAGAAAACGAUUGAAUUAAGACAAUACCUAAGGAAAAAUCCACCUAGACUUUACUUUUUAUUCUGGCUCCGAAUCGGACGAUUUAUUCAUUUAACUUGUUCCGUAGAGAUCCCUAAGUUAUGUUAUUAUCGCUAUUCAAGACUAAUAACGUCUAAUCCCUAGAUUGAUUAAUUGAGACUUUUCUCUAAUUAACACCCUAGGGUUGCAUUAACUCGAUUUAUAGAUCCCCUUAUUAGGUUUCACCCUAGUCCGACAAAAUCUUGUCACCUUAUGUCUAGGCGCGCAAACAACUCCGCUUAAUUAUGACAAAUGUACUCUUAGACAGGGUCUAUUCCUCCUCUGAAUAAGAUCUUAUCUUGAAUUAGUAUCUGGGAUAUCAAAACAAGAAUUAAGAACACAUAAUUAAGAACAAGUUAAAUAUUUAUCAUACAAUUUAGAAAAUAAUAACAAGAUUCGUCUUAGGUUUCAUUCCCCUUAGGUAUUUAGGGGAUUAAGUUCUUAACUAAAAAGGAAGACAUCUCAAAAGAAUAAUGGUACAAAACAUAAAGAAAACCCAAAACUCCUGAGGGGAAAUUGAGGGGAGAUCUUCAGUCUCGAUGGUGACUCCGGCUUCUGAGAUGGAUCAAUCGGCCUCCCUUGAGCAGUUCCCUGCCUCUUUCUCUCUCUGUGUGUCUUUUCCUCUUCCUUUAAGGUGUAUUCAUAGGCUUUGGAAUGCCUAGGAACCCUUAAAAUUAGCCUUUUCUGAAUUGGACUCAACUUGGGCUCGGCAGGGACAUGCCCAUGUGAAUCGUGUUUCGAUUCUGCCAAAUUGGCAUGGCUGUACGAUCUGCCUGUGUGAGGAAGUCCAGGCUGUGUUGAUUUUGUACUUUGGCCCAUUUUCUCAGUUUUUUGGCUCGUUUCUCAUUCCUUUCGCUCUCUUAUGCUCACCUAAGUAUAAAACAUGAAAUUAAGGCAUUAGGAGCAUCGAAUUCACCAAUUCUAAGGAAAAAUCAUCCAUAAAAUGCGUUAAGCAUGGGGUAAAAAUAUGUAUAAAUUACGAUUUAUCACCCAUUCACUCGGAACUACAGAUAUUAAAGCUUUCCACCAAUGAUACGCUCUAUCUCUCAGAAGUGAGACGGCAUAUUUUACACAUUUCUCAAGAUUCAGAGACAUUUCAUCAAACACUCGUAUUGUAUUCUCUAACCAGAAUUCGGCUAUUUCAACAUCAUCACUCGUUGUAGCUCGGAAUUCUUCAGCCCCAUACUUCCUAAUCUUAUCAACCGGUGGUCGACUUAGCUAAACCAGACUCACCGAGGGCAUAACAGGAAUUUGAGAAGAAUUAACAGGGGGUGAAGGUUGUUGUACAGUCGAAUUGGUUCUAAUAUACUGAGUGAACCAGUCGUUCAUCAUUUGAUAGAAGGCUUGCUUAGCCUCACUAUCAUAGCUACUUAUAGCUGAUCGUAAAUCAUUUUGCACCGUCCCUUGCACGGGAGCAAGCGCAUUACUGUCAACAUCGUCAGCUAUAGCUCUAUCGGGAUCCAUUUGCUAUAUAAAAACACAUUUUAAUGUCAGGAGUCAUCACACUAUCACAGAUUCAGAUAUAUGGCAUGUAUAGCUAGACUCACAUACGCUGUGGUAGUCCUAAAACCGACUAAACUAUAGCUCUGAUACCAAUAAAAUGUAACACCCCUAUCCCGUAACCAUCACCGGAAUAGGUAAGGGAUGUCACCGGACAGAUAGAACAUUACCGAACAAUACAGUAUCAUUGAUAUCAUAUAAUAUCAAUAUAUAGAUAUUCAUUCACAAUUCAACCUUUAAUAUAGUCUACGAGACCUAAAGCAUACAUUUAGGAAAGAUCGGGAUUAAACUGAACUUAUUCAAAAUUUUCAGAACUUAACCAAAUAUUUCAAAACUGUUAAAGCCACAUGCCCGUGUACUAUGGCCGUGUGAAACCUAAGAGGUUACUGCUUUUCUUACACGGCCAUAAGGCGCGCCCGUGUGCCUUGACCGUGUGGCACAAUGCAGGUUUAGUUUAAGCCAACUUGCCACCCUUAUAUGGGUAUUUUCUACUAGUAAUGUUAAGCAACAUUCAUACAACAAUUUUCAGGUAAUUUCAUGCUCAAAACAUGCUUCAUUACAACUAUAUCAUUAUCAUUCAACAAACCAUUCAAAACCAUACCAAAACUUAACACAAACACACCAUUUGCUAGCCAACUCUUAUGGUAUAACAUAUCUAUAUAUACAAAUUAAAGCUUAAACACAUAAACAUUCUAGCCUAUACAUGGCAUACUUAUAAAUAAGUACACUUCAAAAGUACCAAAAUGAGUUUGAUAGUGUGGUGACAAUCCACGACUAUCCCCAAGCCUUCAGUAGCUACGAUAACUGUAAAACAGGCAGAAAUCACACAGAGUAAGCUACAAAGAGCUUAGUAAGACAAAUACAAUUGGUCUAACUACUAAAGCAUAUAAGUACAAUUUAAUCAUAAAGAUUCAUAAAUAUUUCAUAGAAUAAUUCAUAAACUUAACCAUGCUCUUUUAUUUGCAUGUAUGACAUGCUUCAUUUCCAAUUCCAUACAUAUUUCACAGAGAUAGAGUUUUUCAUAUUCCAAAAUUUAGUACGAUACAAAUGUGCCUGCAUAGGUUAUAUAUUUCAUAUACUCAUUCUCAUAUUUCAUACGCCAUCAUCAGACGGUUCUGAAGCGAUACAGAUACUCAUAAACAAGUACAAUGCCAACAUCCCAAACGUGGUCUCACAUGUGAUUCAAUAUUGAUGCCUCUGUCCCAGAUAGGGUCUUAUACGAAACUAGAUAUUAUGUCGAUGUCCCAGACAUGGUCUUACCCGUAAAUCUCAAAUCAAAGCCUGUGUCCUAGACACGGUUUUACACAAUAUUUCAGAUCGAAGUCAAUGUUCCUUUGGAACCAUACAGAUACUUUCCAGAUACUAACAUAUUAUCAGAAUCUACUUAGAGUUCAUUCAUCAAGCUCUCAAGGUCAUCCAAUAUAGAUUAUAAAAAAUAUACAUAUAUAACAUUUAGUCAAUUAACACGUAAUUGUAUUUUGACUUACCUCGUACGGAUUUCGGAUGUAAACGAGUAGACUACUCGACUAAUUUGGACUUCCUUCGAUCUAAGUCUGAUUUUCUUUGUUCUUGAUCUAAUACAAUUCAAAUUCAACCAUUCGAUCAUUCAUUUCAUUCAAUUUAAUCCAUAUACACAUAUUUAGGGUACUUUACAUUUUAGCCCUUAUAUUUUCACACUUUGACAAUUUAGUCCAUUUUUCACAAAAUCACCAAUAUGUAAAAUUCACCAAGACUAUAGCUUGGCCAAAUAUACAUGGCUUCCAUACAAGCCCAAAUAACAUAUUUAAUUCACAAUUUAGCCCUUCAAAACCUCAUUUCCACAAUUUAGCUCAAUUAGCUCUAUUUCAUCAAAAUUCAAAGACAAAGCUUAAUAAUCUCACACAUAUCUUUCAUAAUCCAUACAAAAAUAUCACAAAUCUCAUAUAAUCAACAAUGGAAUUUUAUGAAAUCUUAAACAUAAAUAGAAAUUCAAACAUGGGCUUUGAAGAACACGAAGCAACGAUCACAGAAACGUAGAAAUUAUCAAAAACGGACAAAAAUCCAUACAUUAAUCAAGGAUCAAAGUGCCAAAACCUAACUUCUUCUUUUCCUUUCUUUUUCUUUUGUAUUUUCGGCAAUGCUAUGCAUGAAUGAACAAAUUUUCAUGCAUUUGUUUUAUUUAAUAACAUAUAUUACCUAAUUACUUAACCAUCCUUUAAAAAAUUAUCUAUUUACUAUAUUGCCAAACCAUGUCUCCCACUAUCAUAUAAUGGUCUUAUUGACAUGCAAUGACCUCAACUUUAAUAAACCAUAGCACUUAGGCACUUUGGCAACUAGAAGGCAACUUUUACAACUUACGCGAUUUGGUCCUUUUUGCAAAUCAAGCACAGAAACAGACAAAUUAAAUUACAGAAAUCUAGCAGAUAUAAAUUCACAUAUCACAGACACAGAAAAUAAAAUUAAAAUAUUUUUCAAACUCGGCUUUGUGGUCCCGAAACCACUAUUCUGACUAGGGUCUAAACUGGACUGUUAUAUAUUCCACCACUAAUAAGUUGUAUCCUCAGAAGAGACACAGCACAUUUAACACACUCAGACGAUGUACAAAAUAAUUUAUCAAAAAAUCGAAUCGUAUUCUCAAGCUAAUCGCGUGAUUUCGUGAUAGGUUUUAAAUAUUUAUUAUUACUCAUUCUUGAAACUAACUAUUAUCGCGAUGUAGGCAAGUGUACCUAUCGAACAGUAGUAUAGUUUUAGAAAACCGGAUUGUCGAACCCAAAAAGAACUAAAAGUACUAGUAAUGACUAUCUUUUUAUUAUCUAACCUAAGAAUAAAAAGGUUUUGUUUUAAUUAACUAAUUUUCUAAACUAAGAACUCACAGAGAAUAGAAUUAGGAAUUGCUUUUGGGAAAAUCGAUUGAAUGAAGGCAAUACUUGAGGAAAAAUCCACCUAGACUGCACUUGUUAUUCUGGCUCCGAAUUGGACGAUUUAUACAUUUAACUUAUUCCGUAGAGAUCCCUAAGUUAUGUUGUUAUCCCUAUUCAAGACUAAUAACGUCUAAUCCCUAGAUUGAAUAAUUGAGAAUUUUCUCUAAUUAACACUCUAGGGUUGCAUUAACUCGAUCUAUGGAUCCCCUUAUUAGGUUUCACCCUAAUCCGGCAAAAUCUUGUCACCCUAUGUCUAGGCGCGCAAUCAACUCCGCUUAAUUAUGAAAAAUGUACUCUUAGACAGGGUAUAUUCCUCCUCUGAAUAAGAGCUUAUCUUGAAUCAGUAUCCUGGGAUAUCAAAAUAAGAAUUAAGAACACAUAAUUAAGAACAAGUUAAAUAUUUAUCAUACAAUUCAGAAAAUAAUAACAAGAUUCGUCUUAGGUUUCAUUCCUCUUAGGUAUUUAGGGGUUUUAGUUCAUAACUAAAUAAGAAAACAUCUCAGAAUAAUAAAGAAUACAAAACAUAAAGAAAACCCAAAACUCUUGAAAGGGGAAUCGAGGAGAGAUCUUCAGUCUUGAUGGUAAAUUUGGCUUCUGAGAUGGAUCAAUUGGCUUCCUUGGAGUAAUUCCUUACUCCCUAUUCUGUGUCCCUAUUCUUCCUCCUCUAGAGUGUAUUUUUAGGCUUUGGAAUGCCUAAAAGCCCUCAAAAUUAGCUUUUUCCGAAUUGGACUCAACUUGGGCUCGGCAGGGACAAGCCCGUAUGUGAUUACUUCAGGCCGUGCUCGAGCCUGCCAAAUUGACACAGCCAUGUGAUCUGCCCGUGUGAGGAGGUUCAAGUCGUGUUGAUUUCGUACUUUGGCCCAUUUUCUCCGUUUUUGGCUCGUUUCUCGUUCCUUUUGUUCUCCUAUGCUCUCCUAAAUAUAAAACAUGAAAUUAAAGCAUUAGGAGCAUCGAAUUCUCCAAUUCUAAUGGAAAUCAUCCAUAAAAUGCGUUCAACAUGGGGUAAAAAUAUGUAUAAAUUACGGUUCAUCAAAUACCCCCACACUUAAGCAUUUGCUUGUCCUCAAGCAAAAUUCUCAACUCAAAAUCAAAAUAAAUUCUUCUCAACUUAUAAUUUCUAUCGAUAAUAUCUCAAAUUAAUCCAUAAGUAAUCAUACAUAGAGAAUUCAACUAAAAGAACAUAAAAGUUUCAAACAUUCCAAGUUGAGUAUUUAGUCAUGCAAACAUAAGUGCCUCCCCUCGUCUAAGUAAUUACCUUUGAUUCAGAAUAUCACAGAGUUUCACAUCCUCACUAAAGAUUCACUCAAAUCACUCGAGGUGUUUAAGGACAAUAAAUGAAGCACUCAAUAGCCAAUAAUGAAAAGUCAUUACCAUAGGCUUGCAUGAAAAUCAAAUCUUCACCACUAUAAUUUAAGAUGAUACAUCAAUCAAAAGGUCUUUAGAGGGUUGUAAUAAGGCUUGGUUAGGGGGUGUGGUCACAUGCUGAAAGAAAGGGUUAGAAUCGAGAUUGAAUUGAAAAAUUGCCUAACUAGAAAAAGAGUUAAUCUUCACUUGCGUACAACAAAGCUUCUUCUCAGAAUAUGGAAUUACUAAUAUGUAUACAUAGUUUUUUUUUAAGAACAAGUUAAAUAACAUAGACUAACUAUUAAGAACAAGACAUAGCUAAGCAAUUUAUUCAACUCAAAUCUCGACAAAAAUAGGGAUUAAUUUAGGGGAUUUCAACAAUAAUGGGUUAAGGGUUAAUAUUAAGGUUAAUACAAGAAAUGGCUUAUUAGGCUCAAAGGGGUUUACUAGGGGUUAACCGUGGAGGUAGGUUUUUCAUGGCAUGAGUGGGUUAAUCCUAAGGGCCUUAAUCAGUUUGACAUAUCAAAUCAAAUGGUGUGGUCUCGACAUGCAUAAUCAAGCAAGUUCUAGAAUAACAGUUCAAUACUGACACACUAAAAGCAAUAAUAAAAGUGAGUAUGAAAGAAUUAAUAGAUGCUCAAAAAGCUCAAAAAUCUCACAAAAAUUAUGGUUUUUUGAUGUUUAAAAACUUGUGAAUUCCAACUCAAAGUAAUACCUAAACUUUGGGGAAACAACCUAAGAUUUUAAAUUCUUAAAAAUUAACUUAUCAUGCUUGAUUCUCUAAUGUCUUAAAGUUUAAACAAUCAAUGCAUAAUUGCCUAUGUUUUAAUUCAAGAUAUAUCAAUCAAAGUCAUAAAUCAAUUAAAAUUUAUCCUAAAUAUAAUAUGAAAGCUUUUCGAUAGAAUAAGGCAAUCAUUCAGGGAUUUUUCUGAUAAUGAAAUAAAUAUCCCCCCACACUUAAGACGCACAUUGCCCUCAAUGUACAAAGAUAGAUAUUAGAGUAUAAGAAUAAGAGAGGGAGAUAAAUGAAACUUCCUGUAUGAUGAAUUCCUCGAAUUGGAGUUUUGGAGAGUAAUCGGUUCGAAAGUAGAGGUGGAUACUUCGGCGGUCGUAGAGGUUCAUUAGUCCAUAAGUGCUGUGCUAAAAGAAUAUUAUAUCUAGUGGUAGUUAUGGUCGUGGUCGAGCAGGACAUGGCAGUCGUGGAGAACCUUUCCCGUUGGAGUUUUAGUUCCUAUGUGAUGAUGAGCUUAAGAGCUCUAUAUAACUGUGAAAAAAUCAGGAACUUUUUAGGGGAUAUUAGGAAGAAUAAUUACUCAUAAAGAAAUAACCGAAAUUAAUAACUAAAAAUAAAAUUCUAAAAUCUAAAAAAAUAAAAGUAGUUUUAAAAAAAUAUAUAAAAUUAUAAAUAAAUAUUUUUAAACAUCUUCAUCGCUGGAUGGUUCGCGAGGUGGCACUGGUGAUGAGAUGUAGAGAUGCUGACAAAUCUGCUGUAGAGUAGCAUCAAUAUUGUCAAAACAUUGAAAACACUAUUGCUCGAAUCAAGUGAGGCGCUCAGCGAUGUCAGCGUAUGAAGCCGCCGCAUGAACUGGAUGAGAGGGUGGUGGCGGCUGAGUCGGUGGGUCCUCGUGCUGUAGAGGGACAUCAUCGGGAAUGUCCUCAUAGGCCUCAUCCUCGGUAGAUUGGAUGAGACGAUACUGGGGAGGGUAGGUUCAUCGGCGCCUCUCGAUCAUCCUCAUGCUAAGCAUGCUCGAGAUACCUUGUGGAGACAUCUGGUCAAUAAGGGUGAGGGAUGAUUCUUGGGCCUCAGUGUUAAGAAGCCCGAAGUGUCGCGCCAGUUGAGUCACAUAGGGGACAAUGGAGAUGACCCCUUCCGAUCCCGCUCCGUCUGGUGCUGAAUCGCGAGGGCGAUAAAAUAGGCAAGGUCGAUGAUGUGCCCGUGCGACAUGCACCAUAAGAAGUAGGCGUCGUGAGUGUUGGCGACGCCAGUGCUCUCUCGCCUUUCUGUAAUCGUGUGAGCCAAAAUGGAGUGUAGGUACCUCAUGGAUGGUGGAAGAACUGAUGCCUUGGAGCUGCUAGGAUUGUAGGAGGCUACGCUAGGGGCCAAAGUGUGCCAGCACUUCAAGGGAGAGAAAUGUAUGUGACGAGUGAGAGCAUAUAGUUCAUUCUCCUCCUUGAACUCCUCUGUAUAUAAGCCUAGUGCAGCACUGAACUCUAGGACGCUUAGCUGGCGGAUUAACCCGCCUAGGCGAAACUGGACUGUGCCGGGAUCAUCGUAGUUCGUCAUUACGGCCUGAAAAUGGAACGUUGAGCAUAGUUCCAUCGUGAGCUCGAGGUAUGUUGGCUCGAUAAUCCCAAAGAACAGCCCCCAAAGGUCAGUAGUUAGGAGGUCCCAAAUCGCAUCAGCCAGUUGAACUUGUUCUACGGUAGCUCAGUCGAUGCAACGACUCGUAAUUAAAGGUUGGGCCCGAAAGAUUUGGAAAAGUUCUUCUUGAGGCCCCCGGGGGAACUGCAGGAGAGGGUGACAAAUUUUUGUGGUUGGACCCGCAGAAGAUGACGCUUCCUUCCGUUUCUUGGAAGCAGGUACUGCAGUUUUCUUUCCUAGUAAAGACGACAUGGUACUUGCAAUCAAAACCAUUAAUUGAUCUUGAGGAAUUAUCAAAGUAAAAUGAAAAUAAUUUGGAAGUAACAAUCAUAAUUUUAGUAACUACUAAGACUAACAAGUUAAUCAAGGCAAUCAAUUGUAUGGCAUAAAAAUUAGCAACGAAUUUCAUGGAAUGCAACAUGUGUGACGGAUGAAAAGUGUUAACACUGAAGGCAUGAGUAUGUAUAUUGAUCUAAUCAUGAAUAUUUACUCCUAACUAAUUAAAUAAAGUAGAGGAAUCACAUAAAGAGUAAGAAUUUGAUCAUGAAAACAACAUAACUUGUGCUAUGAGUAAAAUGUAAGUGAUAGAGAGAUGAAAAUAAUCAUGAAAAAUGCAUAGUACUGUGAUAACUAACAUGAAAAAUGAGUGCAAUUAAAGGGGGAAAAGUAAACAAACACUAGAAGGAGAGAAAUCGGGCAUCAAAAAUGAAGUGGGAAGUGGCGUACGGGCGUGGUAGGAAGGCCGUGUGAACUUGCAGCGGCUAAGGUUAGGGUUUUUGAAUGGGGAAGAAAGUGAAUAGUGCAGGGUAUUUAUAGAUUUUGGGCCACACGGCCAUGGCACACGCCCGUGUUCCCCAAUUUUUUCUCGUGUGUUUGGUGUUUUUCCUAUUUAGGAGCGUCUGAAAUUCAUCCCACGCCUGUGUACCUUGGGUGUGUGGCACGGCCGUGUCGCACGACCCUGUCUAGCUUCGUUUGCUUCUCUCACGUUCAUGUAUGCAAGCCCCAUGCCCGUGUUAAUCUAACAGGUUCGACCACGGGGGUUAGACACGGGCAUGUCGCAUGCCCGUGCUGUUUUAACAGGUUCGCCCAUAGUUCUUCCACACAGGCGUGUUGCACGCCUGUGUUGUUUUGGCAAGCUCGACCACGGCCAUGUCGCACGACAAUGGCAUUUUAUCGUAGCCCGUGUUUGGGGAAAUCCUUGCCCUGUUUUCACACGGCCAUAAGCACGCCCGUGUGCUUGGCUGUGUCUCUGUGGAAAACUUGUACUCAAGAGCUCUGUUAGUAAGUUAGAUGUUGAAGACUAAAUUUUAAAGAAGUUAAUACAGUUAGUGAUCGGGUUGCCUCUCGAGAAGUGCUUAUUUAUAGUCUAAACUCGACUUACCUCUCCGUUGAAUGAUCAUGGUGGUUCGAGGAGUUUAUACUCCUCAUUCCUACUAUCAAUCUUAAAAUAAGAUUUUAAACGGGUGUUGUUUACCUUAAAAGUGUCGAACUUGGGACGACUCACCUCCACCGUACCGAAUGGAAAGACACUAAGUACUGUAAGAGGGAUUUCUUCAUUUGGUCUGGCAGUGACAAUGUGAGGAUCUACGGCAUCUAAUAAGACCUUAUCUCUAACCUUAAGCUGAUUUGGAAAGGUAUCGAGCUCAUUCUGGCGUAUUUUCGGUUUAUGUGUUCACCAGUCAUCUAGCUCCUCUAUUUGCAGUCUUUGUUCUUCAUGAUUAGGUCUUCUACGAUUGCUUGAGAAUGACUCAUGUGCUUCCUUCAAGCUCAUUUCCUGUAAAGUAGGGUGUACCCUAUUAUCAGUUUUAGUAGAAUGUGUUAAAUGAUCACCUUCAAUUUCCGAUGUGUUGCCAAAAUUGCGAGCUUCAAGGGUGAUUGUUUCGUCUCCCACACAGAGUGUGAGUUCACCUGUGCCAACAUCAAUAAUCGUUUUAGCAAUUGCUAAAAAGGGCCUUCCUAGAAUUAAAGGAGUGUUGCUAUCCUCCUCUAUGUCUAAAACAAUGAAGUCAACGGGAAAUAUGAAUUUAUCGAUUUUAAUUAGCACAUCUUCAAUAAUACCCCUAGGGGAUCUUAUAGUUUAUCUGCUAAUUGAAUACUCAUCCUAGUCUAUUUGGGUUUCCCGAGACCUAGUUGCUUAAACAUUUUAUAAGGCAUGACGUUGAUACUAGCCCCUAAAUCAGCUAAUGCAUUAUUAACAUCUAAACUACCAAUUAAGCAAGGAAUCGUAAAACUCCUUGGAUCUUUUAGUUUGUUCAGUAGCUUAUUUUUCAGAAUAGCUGAGCACACUGCGUUUAGCUCCACAUGCAAUGCCUCAUCCAACUUUCGCUUAUUUGCUACAAGCUCUUUUAAAAAUUUCAUUGCAUUUGGGAUCUGCGAUCGGGCUUCAAUAAACGGUAAGUUAAUAUGUAAUUUUUUUAAGAGUUUAAGGAAUUUACCAAAUUGUUCAUCUGAGCGGUCUUUCCUUGUCACGUUGGGGUAUGGCACAAGAGGUUUAUAUUCGACAUUCACUGAUUUGUUUGUAUUUUGAUCUACCUCACCUUGGCCUUUGGUUACCACAGUUUCUUGCCCCGGUUCUAGUUCAGGCUCCACAAAUCCUUCUUCAUCUUGAACAUUAAUCGCGUUGAGCUGUUCCCUUGGGUUGGGUUCAGUAUUACUUGGCAAACUACCUUGUGGUCGUUCAGAGAUUAGUUUGGAAAGCUGGCCUAUCUGAGUUUCGAGCCCUUAGAUCGACGCUUGUUAAUUUUUAAGUGCUGUCUCGGUGUUCUGAAAAUAGGUUUUUGACACCGAUAUAAACUUUGAGAGCAUCUCUUCAAGGUUCGGCUUCUUUUCCUAUUGGUAGGGUGGUUGCUGAAAACCCAGAGGAUGUUGUGGUCUUUGAUUUCCUUGGCCUCCCCAUGAGAAAUUAGGGUGGUUCCUCCAACCUGCAUUGUAAGUGUUACUAAAUGGAUUUUUUUUAGGUCGAGGAUUACUACAUAUGCAAUUUAAUUGCUCGUUAUCCAUGUUGUGGCCAUAAGGUUGGUAUUCCGAAUGGCUUGUUCCACCGCCACUUGCUUCGCACUGCAUCACUAGGUAAACCUAUGAAAAACUAAGAAAACCAUCAAUCUUUUUAUUUAAGAUUUCUACCUGAUUAGAGAGCAUGGUGACCGAAUCGACAUUAUAAAUGCCAGCUAUUUUCGUUGGCUUUGUCCUCAUCACUUCCCACUGAUAGUUAUUUAGUGACAUCUCCUCUAUAAACUCAUAAGCAUAGUCAGGUGUUUUAUUAUUGAUGGUUCUGCCAGCAACUGCGUUAACCAUUUGUUGAGUCGAAGGAUUCAGACCAUUAUAGAAUGUUUAAACUUGGAGCCAAAGCGGUAGCCCAUGGUGAGGACACCUUCUCAAAAGAUCCUUGUAUCUCUCACAUGCAUCGCAGAGUGUUUCUAAAUCCAUCUGCACAAAAGAAGAGAUAUCAUUAAGUAAUUUAGCCGUUUUAGAUGGCGAAAAAUAUUUUAGUAAAAUUUUUUCAGUCAUUUGUUCCUAAGUAGUAAUUGACCCUCGUGGUAACGAGUUCAACCGCUGUUUAGCUUUGUUUCUCAAUGAAGAAGGGAAUAGUCGAAGACGAAUAGCAUCAUCAGAAACAUCAUUAAUUUUAAAUGUAUCACAUAGUUCCAAGAAGUUGGCUAAAUGAGCGUUAGGAUCUUCAUCCUGCAAACCAUCAAACUAGACAAAUUGCUGUAUCAAUUGAAUAGUGUUAGGUUUUAAUUCAAAAGUAUUUUCAGCUAUAGCAGGUCUAACUAUGCUUGAUUCAGUUCCUGUUAAAAAAGAUUUAGCAUAAUCAUACAUAGUGCGUAGAGCAGGAUUUUGAUUAACCGCAAUUACAAGAGGUAGCUGAUUUUUUUGGUUUUCAGCCAUUUUUUUCAUUGGGGGUUGAGUAUCGUCUUUCUGUUCAUUCUCUGUGUAUCUUAAGCUUCGCCUUAUUUCUCUUUGGUUUUUACAAACUGUGCGAUUCAUUUCUUCGUCAAAAAGUAAUGGUCCUGACGGGUUUCUUCUAGUCAUAAACUAUAAAAACCUGCCAAGAGAAGGAAAAAAAGUAAAUUGAUAAGGAAUAAUAAUAAAAUUAAAUUGCAAGGAAAAUAAAUGGCUAAAGUAAUAAAAAUUGAGCGUUCCUAAUAUCUUAGUUCCCCGGCAACGGCGCCAAAAACUUGAUCGCGUGAUUUCGUGAUAGGUUUUAAAUAUUUAUUAUUACUCAUUCUUGAAACUAACUAUUAUCGCGAUGUAGGCAAGUGUACCUAUCGAACAAUAGUAUAGUUUUAGCAAGACCGGAUUGUCGAACCCAAAAGAACUAAAAGUACUAGUAAUGACUAUCUUUUUAUUAUCUAGCCUAAGAAUAAAGAGGUUUUGUUUUAAUUAACUAAUUAUCUAAACUAAGAACUCACAGAGAAUAGAAUUGGGAAAUUGCUUUUUGGAAAAUCGAUUGAAUGAAGGCAAUACCUAAGGAAAAAUCCACCUAGACUGUACUUGUUAUUCUGGCUCCGAAUUGGACGAUUUAUUCAUUUAACUUGUUUCAUAGAGAUCCCUAAGUUAUGUUAUUAUCCCUAUUCAAGACUAAUAACGUCUAAUCCAUAGAUUGAAUAAUUGAGACUUUUCUCUAAUUAACACUCUAGGGUUGCAUUAACUCAAUCUAUGGAUCCCCUUAUUAGGUUUCACCUUAAUUCGGUAAAAUCUUGUCACCCUAUGUCUAGGCGCGCAAUUAACUCCGCUUAAUUAUGACAAAUGUACUCUUUGACAGGGUCUAUUCCUCCUCUGAAUAAGAGCUUAUCCUGAAUCAGUAUCCUAGGAUAUCAAAACAAGAAUUAAGAACACAUAAUUAAGAACAACUUAAAUAUUUAUCAUAUAAUUCAGAAAAUAAUAACAAGAUUCGUCUUAGGUUUCAUUCCUCUUAGGUAUUUAGGGGUUUUAGUUCAUAACUAAAUAAGAAAACAUCUCAGAAUAAUAAAGAAUACAAAACAUAAAGAAUACAAAACAUAAAGAAAACCCAAAACUCUUGAAAGGGGAAUCAAUGAGAGAUCUUCAGUCUUGAUGGUGAAUCCGACUUCUGAGAUGGAUCAAUCGGCUUCCUUGGAGUAAUUAAUUACUCCCUAUUCUGUGUCUCUAUUGUUCCUCCUCUAGGGUGUAUUUAUAGGCUUUGAAAUGCCUAAAAGCCCUCAAAAUUAGCCUUUUUCGAAUUGGACUCAACUUGGGCUCGGCAGGGACACACCCGUGUGACACGCCCGUGUGCGAUUACUUCAAGCCGUGCUCGAGCCUGCCAAAUUGAGACGGCCGUAUGAGGAGGUCCAGGCCGUGUUGAUUUCGUACUUUAGCCCAUUUUCUCCAUUUUUGGCUCGUUUCUCGUUCCUUUUGCUCUCUUAUGCUCUCCUAAGUCUGAAACUUGAAAUUAAAGCAUUAGGAGCAUUGAAUUCACCAUUUUAAUGGAAAAUCAUCUAUAAAAUGCGUUACGCAUGGGGUAAAAAUAUGUAUAAAUUACGGUUUAUCACAAGCCAAAACUCAGGUCUCUCAAGAUCAUAAUCAACUGUAGCUCUAAACUCUUCGGCCCCAUACUUUUGAAUUUUAUCAACAGGUGGUUUGCUUAAACGUACGGGUUCCAGGACUUGAGAAGCUAAGGGAAUUGGUUAGGGAAUAGUUAGAGGUAGAGGUUGUUGUGCAGGCGGAUUUGUUCGGACAAACUCAGAAAACCACUCAUUCAUCAUUCGGAAGAAUGUUUCCUUAGCCUCUCCUCCCCAACCCUCAGAUACGGGUCUUAAACUAGACGGCACUACUCCGUGAAUGGAGGCUAGUGCAUUACUUUCUACAUCUUCGAAGUCUAUUCAAUUGGAAUCCAUUAUUAUAUGAAAACAUGAUUUAAAAAUUGUUAGAAGAUAUCACACUAUCAUAAGUUAAAUAUGGCAUGUAUAGCUAGGCACACAUACACUACAUUAGUCUUAAAAUUGACUAAACCAUAGCUCUGAUACCAAUAAAUGUAACACCCCUAACCCGUAUCUGUCGCAAGAAUAAGGUUACGGAGCAUUACCAGACUUAUCUCAUAAACAAUCAUACAUUUUAUUCCCAAACAAAAGUCAUUCAAAUUUAGUCAUGUAGUCCCUAACAUGAGCUUUCGAGGCUUAAAACAAGAAUUGGAAAUGAUUUGGGACUAAUUCAAGUACUUAAGAAAUUUUUAAAAAACAUGGAAAAUUUUCAAAGUGCAAGGGACACAUGCCCGUAUGGCCAGGCCGUGUGUCUCACAUAGCCAAGAGACAUGCCCAUGUCACAGGUCGUGUAGACAUUCGAAAUGGGAUCACAUGGCCAUGUCCCAGCCCGUGUCUGACCCCGUGUAACUCACUGACUUAGGUCACACGACCAGACCACACACCCGUGUACCAGGCCGUGUACCCUUCGAACUGGCCACACACCCUCGUGUGUCAGGCCGUGUGCUAGGCUGAGUGAAGCUAUUGACUUGAUUUCGAAAAAAGUAUCAGGGGACACAUCGUUGUGUUACCUGGCCAUAUGUCACAAACGGCUGAGACACACGCUCGUGUCUCUACCCGUGUGGACAAAAACAGGCCAUUUUCUAAGCCUUAUUUCUCACCCAAUUAUGCAAUACCAAUACUAACAGCCAUAAUGCUCCUAAGCAUCACAAUUUUCCAUUCAAAAAUAUUCCAAUAUCACUUUCAAAAAUUCACCUAAGGCUUUGUUUGGUUGGGUGUAAUGGCUAAUCCAUUACACCUCGAAUCGGUGGCCCCACUGAAUACAGCGUUUGGUUCGCUGUUUUCUCUAAUACUGUUCUAAUCCGUUGCGGACGGAUUCCACAUUUUGGCUGCUUCACCACCGAUUUGUAAUCCCUUGCAACAGCAAAGAUUAGCUAAUCGGUGUCUUAUUUACCCUCCCCUUGCCGAAAUCGCCUCCAGCCGACCCUCUCCCUCCCAACAUAAACAGAACGUGCCAGCGAACCAAACCUCUACUCGCUCCCGAUUUCAGCUUUGCAUCCUUAUCCGAUUCGACGGUGUCAGAUCUCCGGACGGCUUGAAUCAGUAAUCUCCGUCAAACUUAACCUAUUUCUUUCCUCUCUGCAUGCGAUUGUUUCAGUCCUUGGUAAAUCGGCGUUUCGUUUCUUGCCGGUUAUGGUUUUUUUUUCCAUUGUUUGUUUGUUUGUCCUGAAUUACAGGUUCUUUGCUCCAACAUUUUUCAUAUUCUGUCUGCUUUAUGUUUCUCUAUUUUCUGUUUCUGUACCAUGUUUUGUUUCUCUAUUUUCUGUUUCUGUACCAUGUUUUGUUCCUUUAUUUUCUGUAGUGGUUUUUUGUUUCUCUAUUUUCUGUUUCUGUACCAUGUUUUGUUCCUCUUGCCAUUUUUGCUUUUGUAGCUUAAUUUAUUAUCAAUGAUCAGCAUGUUCUCUUGUGUAGCCAUUUUAUUUAGCAUGUUUUGUUUCUCUAUCAUUUACACACUGCUGUUACUGAAAAUUAAAUCUAAAUUCAACCGAAUGACAUGGAAUUAUACAACAACUAACUUCAAAUAAAAACAUGAUUUUAAUCCAUUAUUAGAAGUUAAGAAUCCUUUUCCUCACUUAUAAACCAUGAACGCAUAUAAGUAGUGGGACAUUUGUAGAGAAAUUAACAGAUCUGUUCCAACUGAUAUUCCUAGAGGUCUCAUAUUCUUGUUUGUGUUCCAACUUGUCAAGGAAAGGCUAGAUUUUGUAUUUCCAUUUAAAUAAUCUUCUUGACCUUAAUUUGUUUGUCAUUUGGCAUUGUGCAUUGUUAAAGGCUUGUUGUCAGUAUUUCAUAAUUUUCCUUAUAAUUUUCCCAUCCAUUAAUUUUUUGUUUUCUAUAAUUCUUUAAUAUUGUCUCAAGUUCCCAUCUGCAGUUUAAUAUAUUGAUUAUGUAAUCCACACAUCAUUAUCUAUCAAACUAAAGCAGUAGAGACAAGAUUGUGAAAUAUUAAAACCAGUGCAACCAGCUCAUGAUAUUGUUAUGAUGAAAGUACUUGCUGUGCAUUUUUCUUAGUCAUUUAAAUCAAUAAACUCAUUUAACAAUCUUGUGCUUUUCCAUGACAGAAAUAAGAAUAUUAUUUAUCUUUUGUAAUUAAAUUAUCUUUGAAAGGCUGUAUGAGAAUAUGUAUGUAAGCAAACUCUAAUUGCACUGGUAUUCCAUUUUCAUUUUUGUGAAAACAUGUUUAUUUUUCUAGUCAAAUGCCUAGAUGAUGGUUCUUGUGUAGCCAUUUUAUUUAGCAUGUUUUGUUUCUCUAUCAUUUACACACUGCUGUUACUGAAAAUUAAAUCUAAAUUCAACCGAAUGACAUGGAAUUAUACAACAACUAACUUCAUUGUUUGUUUGUUUGUCCUGAAUUACAGGUUCUUUGUUGCUGCAGUUCAUCAUCGGUCUCCUCUCCGAUUUCCUCAUUACAGGUUAGUUUCCCCCGUUUGCAGUGGCUAUACAAUUGUUUGCAGUGGCUAUAUAAUUUAUUUGCAGUGGCUCCAUCUGCUUGAUCAGUCAGAAAUGAAAACAAAGGACUAUGAAUGCUCAUGUCCUGUUUGGAUUUGUAUGCUUUUUGAGAUUUUUGUUGAAUAGAAACACUCUGAUAUUCUUUCAUGGCUACUGCAAUGUUGAACUGCAUAUAAUGAGCUCUAGAAUGUCAUGCAUAGUCCUGGUGCUGUUAAUUUGGUACUGUUAAUUUUGAAUGCUUUGAAAUGUUUGAAAUGGCUUUGUUAAUUUGGUACUGUUAAUGCUUUGAAAUGUUUCAAAUGGUGCUGUUACUACUUCAACUUUGAAUGCUUUGAAAUGUUUGCUCACUGAUAAAUGUUUCAAAUGGUGCUGUUAAUUUGGUACUGUUAACUUUGAAUGCUUUGAAAUGUUUGAAAUGAGUUAACACCCAAGUACAUUUACUGCUAAUUUAAUCUCCAAGUUGGUGUGGAAUUAUGAAACUAAGAGAGUAUUUUCCUAUAUGUUGCUUUUACGUUUCACUCUUUCUGAAAUAAUUAGCUGAUAAGGUCUCCUUCUACUGUAUCUGCUUCUGGCCAUAUAUGAGAAACCAAGAAAACCCUUUCUUGUUCGGCUAUAUAUAUAUAUUGAAGUGAAAAUGAAGCCAUGACCUGUACAGUUUUAAAUUACCCAAAGCUUUCUUCAUUACCAAAUCUAUCAUCUUACUUUUAAAAGUUUUAAAUUAUCUGUCAAACUUAUAAUCUGUCAAUAUAUCAAACAUUAACCCAUUUUUCAGUUGUGGAUGUACUUCCUUUCUUUCCAAACAAUAUAUAAUUUGGUCUCACGUGGUUGCUGCUUUCACUUGCUCUCUCUCCUCCACCUUCCAUUGUCCAACUUUCAAGCAAAUCGUUGGAAUUCUAGGAUCUUUUGAAGAUUAACAUGCAACUGUCGAAUAUUUAUGGUUAUAUGUCUACCUUAAAAGAUGUUUUAUAAAUUGUUUUCAUUCAUUAAAAAACCAGGUUAUGCUUAUGAUUGCAAAUUGCAUGUGAGCACACAUCUGAUUUGUACUUGGAUAUCAUAUGUUAUAUUCCUUUGUCCCCAAAACCAUUAAUGAGUACUAUAUAAUUUAAAAAGGGCAUCAAACUUUAGUACCAAUUCUUGUAUUAAAAAGGAAAUUCAUGGACAAAAUGUUGUUAUAAAAAGGAGCAAUAUAUAAUUUGGUACUUGUGUUUUUUCUUUUUUUAAUCUAUUAUUUGUAUUUGAUAAAUAUUUUGAUACUUAAAGAUAAUGGUGUACCAAUUCUUCGUUAUAAUUUAAAAAGGACAUCAAACUUUAGUACCAAUUCUUGUAUUAAUAUCAAUUAUGAUAAAAAUAUAACGAUUUUGAUACUUUCAAAGAUCUCGUUCAAAUUUAAUCAUUAUUAAAAUAAAUUGUGCUAACUUUAAGCUGAAAUAAAAAUUUUAUUUAUGUUAUUUAAGGUAUAUUAAAAUAUAAUUAAAAUCAUUAUUUAUUAUUUAAUAUUUUUAAUUGAAAUAUAAUUAAAAUCAUUUUGAUUAUAUAAUAUUAAUAUAAAACUAUACAUUUAAAUUGAAAAUAUAAAUAAAACAUGGCAUAACAAUUAAAAUUUAAUAUUAAUAGAAAAACAUAUUUAUUAUUGAUAUUAAUAAUUCAAAUUUUUUUUCCAUAAUAUUUUUUACAUGUGUGUUAUAAAUUAUUUAUUACUUAUGGAGUGUUUACCUCUUUAUUAUUAUUUGAUUACAAAAUAUUAUCAUUUUAUUUAUCUUUAAAAUAUUAAAUUUGUUAAUAGCUAUCAAUCAUUUAUGCAAAUUUUUACUAAUAAUUUUACUAAAUAAAAAUAAACACGUGCCAUCUUGAUUCUUUUAGAUUCAAUGUUCCUUCCUGUAAUUUCUUAUAAGCAUUUUUGUUUGAGAAGCAACUUGUCAAGUUAUCCCCCAUAUAAUCCUAUCAACUCCCCCAAAAUUAAUAACCUAUUUGCUUUCAUUUUUAAUUUGUUUGUCUCUCAAUUAUUUUUAUAAAAUUUAAUUUGCAUCUUCAAUUCUUUGAUAGUUUGUUGAAAAUUAAUAUUGUUUAAUUUUUUUUAUAAUGUGUAAUUGCAACUUCAACUCUUUGAUAGUGUGUUCUAAUUUUAAUAUGUUGCAGUAAUGGCUCGUCUGCCUUUAAUUGCACAAAGUGUGAGGCGAAAAAGAAUUGGUAUUGCAUUGACAUUAUGGUUGGAACUCUGUAGAAUUGCGAUUUGGUUCUUAUUUAGAAUGGGUGCCAGCCUUAGCCUACAUACUUAUAGACCAAGGAUUAGGUCAUAUACCUUAGAUUUUUAUGCAAAACGAGAUUAUGUGAAAAGGCUUGUAUAUACUAGUGACGAGAGUCACAAAGAAGCCUCUUAGUUCAGACAUCGUACUUUCCCUUACUACAACCAGCUUACUGCGAUAUACGCAAGAGAUCGGGCGACUGGGAAAGACACUCAAACAACUGCUGAUGUUCUUGAAGAAAUACAUGCUGAGGAUGAACGUACUAUAGAUAUGAAUGAAGAGAGAAACACAUUCUAUGACUGCGAAGCUGACGUCUGUUUAGACGACAUGGAUGUCUCUGGUACAGAUCUGCGAGGAGAUAGAGACCAAGGGGGUUCCUCAUCUUCAAACAAGAGAAAGAAGAAAUCUGAUGCUCGUGAUAAUGUGUAUGCUUCAUUUGAGGAGGCUGCCACCUUGUUGGGGGAAAAAAUCGAGGCCGUUGGCGAUAGAAUCAGUAUGAGUAUUGCCUCCGAGGUGGUAGUUCAGCAGAAGUCUGAAGAAAAGAUGGAAGAGAAAGCUUCAACUUUAUAUUCAGCCUUAUGGUCAAUUGAAGGUUUAACCGACGAUCAGCGGUAUGAUGCUUUGAGUAAAAUUCCAGAUCAUCCAACUCAAAUGAUCGUUUUCUUCAGUUUACCUUCUGUUGCCCGAUUGGAAUGGGUCAGAAGAUUUCUUUCUUACCAUUAAAUAUCAAUGUUCAAACUUUUUGAUGUUGUAAAACUUUUGAACAUAUGGAUUAUGAUGUACAAUUUCAUUUUCAUCUAACUUUUUCUUAGUAUAAGUUAAUUAUGUUUAUGCAGAAUAUAAUUUUCAAGUUAUAUAUUUAAUAAUUAUUAUGUUAAUUUAUAUUUUACAGUAUCAUAUAUUAUGAUUUCAGUAAAUUAAUAUAAGAAUAUUAAUUAUUAAGAAUUUUAUUAAAUUAUAUAUUUUAAUUAAAAUAUAUUUAAUAAUAAUUAUGUUAAUUUAUAUUUUGCAGUAUCAUAUAUUAUGAUUUCAGUAAAUUAAUAUAAGAAUAUUAAUUAUUAAGAAUUUUAUUAAAUUAUAUAUUUUAAUUAAAAUAUAUUUAAUAAUAAUUAUGUUAAUUUAUAUUUUACAGUAUCAUAUAUUAUGAUUUCAGUAAAUUAAUAUAAGAAUAUUAAUUAUUAAGAAUUUUAUUAAAUUAUAUAUUUUAAUUAAAAUAUAUUUAAUAAUAAUUAUGUUAAUUUAUAUUUUACAGUAUCAUAUAUUAUGAUUUCAGUAAAUUAAUAUAAGAAUAUUAAUUAUUAAGAAUUUUAUUAAAUUAUAUAUUUUAAUUAAAAUAUAUUUAAUAAUAAUUAUGUUUAAAUAUGAUUAAAUUAUUUAUUAUUGAUAAUAAUAAUCUUAUUAUAAUUUAAAUAACAAUAACAAUAAUCAUUUACCAAAACAAAUUUAUGCUAAGGGUAUUCUAGUCAUUUUAGUUUUUUCCAUUAUGCUAUUACACCUCUAUUCCAUUCAACCAAACACAAGAUUACUAUUACGCCUCUAUUCCAUUACAUUCAACCAAACAGUUGAUUUGCUAUUACACCUCUAAUCCAAUACACCUCUAAUCCAAUACAUCUCUAAUCCAAUACACCUCUAAUCCAAUACAGCGAACCAAACGCACCCUAAAUGGUCAAGUGCAUAAAUUCACUUUUGUGCCUAACAAAUAACCUAUAUGCCAUUUCUAAUUUCAACUAUAUAGAACUCUACUUACACAAUCAAAAUCUAGGCAUUUUCAAGGCAUUCAAUACAUCAUGUAGUUAACUACACAUAUAUACAUAUACAUGUCAAUCCAUAACAAUUCAAACCACAUUAAAAUGGCCAAUUAUAGUAUCAAAACAUAUAGGCUUUCACUAGCCAAAUAACCUAUACAUGCCAUACAACUAAAAUACAUUAAGUUCAAAAGUACCAAAUAAGAGUUUGAUAGUGUAAUGCAAUCUCUGACAACUUCCAAAACGAGUGAGCUUCUGAAUCACUAUAAAACACGGAAAAAAAAAACAAAGUAAGCAAUUAAGCUUGAUAAGUUUGAAAAACUACAAAUAUAACUUACCAAUCAACCACAAUUAAGCAAGUAAUUUAAAUCAUAAUGCAAUUCAAUUUAAUGCCAUUAGCUUUCCCUCUAACCACCAACAAAGUUAAUUAUGAAAUCACAAAUCUCAUAGAUUCAAUUUCCACAUGAUUCACGUACAUGCAUGUACUGGUUCCUAUCGAACUCAUAUACUCUCGUAAUAUCACUGUGCCCAAUGAACCAUUUGGAAUAAUAUCGGAUACUCGGGAAUAUUACACACAAAGUACCAAUACAAGAUCGUAACCAUCUCUAUCUCAUAUCUCAUAUAGAUGCUCACUCUCGAGCUAUCACAAGGUCUACUCACACAAGCUGACAGUCAAGACGUAGCUACACAGUGCUGCUCACACAAGCUGAUGAGUAACCGCAACAUAUGCUGGAAAACUCAGCCAUUGGUAGAACAUAUGAGACCAGCACCCAAAACACGAUAACCCCUAAUGACAUGUCAUUUGUAUCCUAUCUAUUCUUAAGGUUCAACCGGGAUCUAUACAAUUACCGAUAUCUCAUCGAGAAUUUUUUGUAGUGUCGUAUAAUCCCAAUUGUAUUAAUUAAGCAUGUAAACACAUAUAAUUUAAAGCUUAUUGAUAUACGAACUUACCUAGAAUUAAUACGGAGAAAAUCGACUAAUCAAUCUAUUACUUUGUUUUCCCCCGAUUUAAUUCCAAACGUGGCUUUUCUUGAUCUAUAUAAUCAUAUUUAACCACUUUAAUAUUUAUUUUAUUCAAUUCAAUCUGAUUUCAUAUUAUGGUAACAUUUGACUACUUUACAAUUUAGUCCUAGCUCAUAAAAAUGCAAAUUUAUGCAAUUUAACCCACACUCAUGCUAGUCGAAUUCUAUAUAGACCCAUAGCAGCCCAUACAUUUCAUCAUUUCACACAUUUACCACAUGAUUUUCAAAUUUCUCGAUUUAAUCCCUAUUUGACAUUUUCAACCAAAAUCACUUUACAAAACUUAUUUAUCUAACAAUAGCCAUUCAUUUUCUACCAUAAAACAUCAAACACAUAUACAUUCAUUAAUGGUAAAACCUUAAUACUUUAACAGUUUCACAAAUUAGUCCCUAGGUUAGCUAGAUUAAGCUACAACGACUCCAAAAAAAUAGAAAUCAUUAAAAACAGAGUAAAAAUACAUACCAUGCACUCAAAAAUACCAUGGUCGUACUUAGCAAGGUUUAAUGGAUUUCCUUCCUUUGCAAAAUUAGUGGAAGAAGAUGGAAAAAGAUGAUGACCAUGUUAUUUUUACUUAAUUUGUCCUUAUUUACUAAAUUACUAAUGUAACCUUUUAAUUAACCAUUAAAAAUCACUUAUAUGAUGUCCAUCUUUUUCCAUGAUUAAUGUUAAUGGUCUAUUUAUCACAUAAGGACCUCUACUUAAAGUUAUAGAGCUAUUAGACACUUUUAGCUAAUAGAACACAACUUUUACACUUUACACGAUUUAUAACUUUUUUAUCAAAUUAAGCAAGCAAUUGAUAAAAUUUCUUAACAAAAUUUUUAUGUGACCUAUUUUCAUUUUGUAGACAUUAAAAUAAUAAUAAAAUAAAUAAUUUGACCUCGAAUUUGUGGUCUCGAAAUCACUAUUCUGAUUUCACUGAAAACGGGCUGUUACACCUGUAUUGCUGGAUACGAGCGAGGGUAAUAUCUUAGUUACUAAAUGGUUAUAGAAAUCAUUUGAUUGAGUUUUGAUUAUUAUUAAGGUUGGGAAUUCAUCUUUGCUGCUUUUGCAUCAAAUUCGUAUCAAGUGCAUAACGAAAACUCGAAUUUCUACGAAUGUCAGAAAUUAGAAUCGAUGGUCGUGUGAGCCACACGGCCGUGUAACUCGCUAUUUUAGAAUUAGAGUCACACGGGCCAGGGACAUGGGCGUGUGUCCAGGCUGUGUAACUCACUAUUUUGGAAUUUGAGUCACACGGCCCAGGGACAAGAGCAUGUGUCCAGGCCGUGUAACUCAACUUUUUAGAAUUAGAGUCACACAAGCGUGUGCUUGACCGGGGACCACACGGGCCAGCCACCCAGGCCGUGUGAAUCCACACAAACAUGUGGACCAAAAAUCAGGAUUUGUUCCCUAAGGUCGUAGUCGUCAUUCGAAGCGAACAUAGGCCAACUAUAGGGCCCGUAUGAUCUAAAACAAGCUAUAAAAUUUGAUAUUUGAUGAUCAAUUGAUGUGUAAUCUGUUAUCUGUACGUAUGUUUGAUAUGUUAUAAGCUAAGCAAGUAUGAUUUGUUAGCGUAUACUGUGUUUUGUUAGGACAUGUGUAAGGUAUGUGAUUUAUUCAUGUAUGAUCCAUGCUUUAUUAAUUUUGAUGAUUCGUUUCUAUAAUACUGAGCUGGAUUAGAACAUAUGAUAUUCGAAUAUAAUGUUGUGACUGAUACUAAUUCUAAUAAGUAACCAUGCAUGUGACUUCAUUUGAUCAAAUUGUCUUGCAAAGCGUGGAAUCCCAUGCCUUUUGUUUCUAUAAUUGUACGACAGCAUGUCCUACAUAGAUGUGUGCAUGGGUCGGGCCAGGUUUGGGCUGAGCUCAACUAAAAAUUUAGGCCUAUCCCAAAAAAUGAGCCUAAAAUUUUUCCUAAGCCUGACCUAGAUAAAAAUGUUAAAAUCCAAACCCGACCCAGCCACACAUAUUAAUUUUUAUAUUAUUUUUAUAUAAUUUUCAAAUAUAUAUAAUACAUCAAAAAUACUAAAAACAUCAAAAUAAAUAUUUUCCAAUAAAUUGAAUAUAAUUUUUUUUAAAAAAAUAUGUAUACUUAAAUAAUAUUAAGAUAGAUGCAACUUAACAAGCAAAUACCUCUAAAAUAAUAACAAAAUUAACAAAUGUCUUUAAAAUAAUAACAAAAUUAACAAUAAAAUAAGUUUUAUACAAUAUCCAAACAAUAACAACAAAAUAGUAGCAAUAUAAUAGUAAAAUGGUAGCAAAAUAGGGAGAAAACAAUAAGAAAACAAUAUUAAAAAACAAAAAAAAUAGAUUUUUUUGUCCUUUAGUGAAUUCAGGCUGGGCCGGGCCCAGGCCAAAAAUGCCUUACCCAAGGCCUGGCCUAUUUUUUAAAUGGGCCUUAUUUUUUCGUCCAAGACCAUUUUUCGGGCCUAUUUUUUUGCCCAAAUCCUCCUAUAUUUUGGGCGGGCCUUCGGGCCGAGCCGAGUGGCCAAACCCAUGAAUAGGUCUAGUCCUACAUGCUUAUCAUUCUGAUUUUGAAUAUGCAUGCCAUGACACAUUGCAUGGGGUUCAGGAUAAUGUGAAUGGAGGAAGUUUCUGGUAGUUUAAUGAUCUACAUUAUUUGGUGGUUUAUCCACAAUUCUGUCUCGUAGCUUGUCUGCAAUUCUGGUAGCAUUGUCCAUAAUUAUCUGUUCGUGUGAUUUGGUUGGAUGAGUUCUGGGGAACUCUAUUUUAGUGUGUAACGGAGUUGGGUAUGAUGUUUUCUGUUAAUUUGCAUUCUGGUUUUCCAAAAAACACCGCAUUGGCAUCAUCAUACAUCUUCUAUUUUGUUAUCCAAUCGUUAUGAAAAUCUCUAUGAUACUUUGAUUUGUUCCGCUUUGGUUAGAUGAUCGUUAUGAAAUUCUUUGCAUUACUCUGAUUUGUGUAUUGUGUUUUGCUUGAUCUUUGUUCGAUUUUAGUUACACAUUGAGCUCUAUAGCUCACCCAUUUGUUUUGUCUUUGUCUAUUCAGGUAAACCUCUGACUUAGGACCAGACAUCAUGUGGGAGCUCAAAUUAUUUUUUCACUUAAUAUAAAUAUGGUGAAUUUCAUAUUUUUUUUAAUCUUUUGGGUUGUAAUAUGUUUCUGAAUUUGUCUUGGGUUUUUUAUUAACUCGUCAGUAAUUGAUAUUUUUAACGCGAGACUGUAAAAUCCCUUAAGUCGACAAAACAGACUUCGGUUUUCAAAACUAAAACUCCGGAAAAAGUUUUUUGUUGCAAAAUUAAGUAAUUUCUUAAGUGUUUUCUGGAAGCGAACAAAUAGCUUUCUAAUGACUGUUUGCAAAAGUUGUACUUCCUAAAUAGUUACUGAAAUCAGUUUUCCAAACGAGUUGAUGUAAUUUCUCCAGAUUUGGUCAUUACUUCUAGGUUGGAUUUGGGGUGUUACAUAAAGUACAUCAAAACUUAUCUUGAUCUUGAUAGACAUUCACUUAAUAAGAUAUUCAUAUAAAUUUUUUAUAUAUUUUUCUUUAUAUAUAAUAUUUAUAUGUCAAAUAUUUAUUUUCUCCACGUAUAUUGUAGGUGUCGAAACCACCCUUUUUAUUUUAAAUUUUAAGGUUUAAUGAAAAACGGGCAAGGAUCGACUUUUUGAAAAUAAAACGUGGAGUCGCCACCGAUCUUUUUGUUUAGGUGAGAUCGGAUCACCUAAGAAUUUGGUUAUUUUAAUAAAACAUUUUAGGUUUACUAAAACAACGAUUCUGGUCUACGAAAAUAGGAGAAAAUGGGCUCGGGAGUCAGUUACGUAUGAGGAAGGAUUAGCACCCUCACUACACCCAAAAUUGGUACCAAAUCGAUUAAAUACUGUCCUUAUAUCUAAAAUUUAAAUAUGUUUUUGAAAUGUGGUUCUUUUUUAAUAACAUUCGAGUAACCCGAGUUGGUUGCCAAAACCUUCUUAUUUCGACGUCCGAAAGCUUAUAAUUCGAAAAUUACAAAAGGAUGCCCAACUAUUAGGUCCAACGAAAAACCGAAACCCAGCACAGUAAGGCACGAUUCCUUGAAUUUCCAAACAUUGGACAUUGCCUCACCUUAUAAAAUACGAGUGAAAUUCCAAAGAGAUAUUCGAUUAUUUUGACCAAACGGGAAAUUGCUACCCAGCACGAUAGGGUACUAUUCCCCGAAUUGCCAAACAUCGAACACUUCUUUCGUUUUAAAUGGCUUUUAGAAAACGUGAAUGAAAUUCCGAAGGGAUCUUCAAUUGUUUAGACCAAAUGAAAAAAAAAGCGCAACCCAGCACGAUAGGGUACGAUUCUCAAAUCGCCAAACAUCGAACAUCCUUUGUUUUGAAAAGUUUUUAAUAAAUAUGAGUGAAAACCUAAAGGAAUAUUCGAUUGUUUUGAGCAAACGAGAAAUCACAACGCAGCACGAUAGGGCAUGAUUCCCGAAUUGUCAAAUGUCGAAUAUUGCCUUCAUUUUAAAGAAUUUUUCAAAAGGCAUGAGUGAAAUUUUGAAGGGAUAUUCGAUUAUUUUGAGCAAACGCGAAAUUGCAACCCAACACUUUAGGACACUAUUCCGCGAUCGAAUUGUCAAAUAUCGAAUCUCGUCUUCGUUUUAAAGGAUUUUUAAAUGAAUACUUAUAAAACUAGCUUAAAACGUAUUAAUGCAUUUUUUGAAAUGAGACGAAAUUAAUUGUAAAAAUUUGAAUUUAUAAAACCACAUUUCAUAAACCAAGUGGAAAACAAUAAUAUAGGAUAACGUACACACCUAAGAUACAAUACUUGAUGAAUGAAGACAAUGUGUCUUAUUUAAACAACUAACAAAACAAAUAAUUAAAUAAAACUAACCAAAAAUAUAACCUAAUUUCAAAAAUGUACGGAGAAUAAUUAAUAUAACAAUGCAAAACAAUGAAUAAAUAAUAUGCAACAACAAUGUAUGGCACCAUAUAAAUCAAUCAACAAAACACGUACAAAACAAAAUGGAGUUUAGAAGUUGGUGUGGUAUACAACAUUUUCCAAAAUAAUGAUGAAUGAAUGAACACAUAAUAUAUAAGUUGACAAAUUUGCAUAAAGACUAGGGAUAUAUAUAAUUAUUGAAAUAGAUAUUAUAGAAUAAGAGCUUGAAUCAAAUUAUAUGCAAAAUAUUUUAAAUACAAAUUCAUUUAAAAAUCGACAGUGUACAUGAUAACUAAAAUAAUAUAUAUAAUAUGAAAGAACAAUUAAAAAUACAUGAUAAGAUAUAUAUAAGAAAUAAGUGGUAAAUAAAAUGAAUAUAUAUAUGGUUUAAGGUAGAUAUAUAUAUAAAUAUAUAAGUAUAAGAUACAUAAUAUGAAAGAGGAAUCUUAAAAUGGGUAAUAAAUAAAAAAUUUUAAAAUAAAUAAAUAAAGUUUAAGAAUAUAUUUAUAAUAAAAUAUAAAUAGUUUAAAAUAUAAUACAUAAAAGGAAAUCUGAAAUAGGACACUGUAUAUAUAAAAAGGUUGAUAUAUGAAUAAUAUAUAUAAAAAAGUUAAAGAUAGAUAAUGUUAAUAUAUACAUAAAAGUUUAAAAUAAUAAUAUACAAAUAAUAAAACUCACAACAAAUAAUAAAACAAUUUUUAAAAUGUAUAUGUAUAAAAAAAUAUGUAAAACAAAAUGUAUAUAAAACUAUUCAAAAUGAGUGACAUGAAACAGUUUAAUACAAAGUUUAAAAUAACUAAAAUGGUUUUAAAUAAAUAAAAAGGUUUAAAUAUAUACGAACAAGGGCUUGAUUGACAAAUAGAAUGCAAUUUUAAGGUCCAAAUUCUAAAAAGGCGAACACAAAUAUAUAAAAAGGGACUAAAUCCAAAUCCAAAUAAAAUUUUAAAGGAGAAUUUGGGUAUAAAAAUGUAACAAGGGACCGAUUUGAAACAUGUGAAUAAUGAGUAAGGACUAAAGUGGGGAAUAACACGCCCUCCAAAACGCGCGGUUUCAAACGGACCUCAUUGAAACUGAAAUGAAAUUCAAAGGCAUAAAUUAAGAAUAAAAAACAACUGAAUUAAAACAUAAUAAAAUGUGGAAGGACUUGAUUUGAAAAUAACCCAAAAAUCAAAAACGCGCAGAUCCCCUGGCGGGUCGGGUCACGCACAUGGAUCAUGGCUUAAAACGACGCCGUUUUAAGGCCAUUGUAACUGACCCAAAAUGACAUCGUCUGAUCAUCCUACAAAAGCAAAAAUUUUCUGAAAAAUAUCAAUCUUCUACCCCUUUAAAGAAAAAAAAUUGAAACGCCCCUAAAUGCUCUCAAACCCCUUCGUCUGAAUGCUGAUUCCAGCAAGAAAAAGGGGGCACCACGGUGGCAACGGGCAAAACCUAGGUGAGAUCUUCGUUCUCUCUUUCUCCCCCUCCUAUAUUUCUUUCUUUUAAUCCCUAGAAAAAAAAUAGAAAUCGAUGCAAAAAAGGAAUGAAUAAAUUGAAGGUAAAGGCACCACCUUUAGAAACUUUUACUUUUCUGAUUGCUUUGUAAAUCUAUUUUUUGUAUUCCAGUAUGUUUAAUAUACGCGUAUUGCCUCCUCAUUACAAUGAAAAUAAGGCUUUUAUAUAGCCAGAAAUAAAAAAUAGAAAAAUACAAAGAAUUUCCUCUCUAUUGUUUUUCUCCUUGCUGAUUUUUUUGCUGUGUUGUUCUUGUCUUCAUGCAGGUACGAAUGUACGGAGCUUGGUGGUCGUACGGUGCUGUGCUGGCAGUGAGGACAAAGGGCUUCUUGGUGGCUACUGCAGCGCGCCUUGCUGCUUAGGGUUUGCUGUUUGGCUAAACCUAUGUUUAGGUUUUGGGCCAUUGGGCCAUUGGGCCACAUUGUAAAUGGGUAUUUGGGUCUUGGUUUAGUUGGGCUAUUUGUAAUAGUUUUGGACUGUUAUAAGAUUGAAAUUUUGGUCUUGUAUUUGGGUUAAUAUCGGACUUUUAUUAUUGGGUUUUUAUUUUUUGUUUUUGGUUUGUUUGUAACGGGCCGGGCAAAUUUGGCCCACUACAGCUGCCCCUCUUUGCUCAUUGUUGUGUAACGAGAAUAGAGCAAAGACUAUAAAAGGGCCAAAUUUGCCGAGACCUACUGAAUCCAGACUUCCCUUGGCACUUCUUUUCUUUUAGUAUCCUCAAUGUGUUCCACUGCAACUUCGGGGGUAAAAUUUGUGGAUUUAGUCUAUGUUUAUGCAAUUAGCUUGAUCUGUUCUAUCGCGGCUUCGAGGAGAUAAGACCUACAAUCUUCAGCCUACUCCACUACAACUUUAGGGAGCUAGGAUGGUGGAUUAAAUCUGCUUCACUGCAACUUCAGGAAGCCAAGAUUCGUCGUCUUCGAUUUGCCCCACUGCAACUUCAGGGAGACAAGAUGUACAAUAUUUAGCCUACUUCACUACAACUUUAGGGAGCUAGGACUUGCUUAAAUCUGAUUCACUGCAACUUCAGGAAGCCAAGAUUCGUCGUCUUCGAUUUGCCCCACUACAACUUCAGGGAGACAAGAUCUACAAUAUUCAGCCUACUCCACUACAUCUUUAGGGAGCUAGGACUUGCUUAAAUCUGCUUCAUUGCAACUUCAAGAAGCCAAGAUUCGUCGUCUUCGAUUCACCCCACUAUAACAUUAGGGAGACAAGAUCUACAAUAUCCAGUCUACUCCACUACAUCUUUAGGGAGCUAGGACUUGCUUAAAUCUGCUUCACUGCAACUUCAGGAAGUCAAGAUUCGACGUCUUUGAUUUGCCCCACUGCAACUUCAGGGAGACAAGAUCUACAUUCUGUUUCAUAGGCCUAUGCUUAUGCCAAAUAAUUAAGAUGCUAUGAUCAACAUGAAUCAAUUUUUCCUAACUGGAUGUGAUGUUUAUGUCAAAUAAUUAGAAUGCUAUGAUCGAAAUGAAUCAAAUGCUCCUAACUAGAUUUGUUAUGAAUGAUAUAUGAAUGCGGAAAUGAAAAUGAUCCAGGUAUCAUUGCUCGUUCAUCAGGACAUUAUCACUGACGUAUUACGCGGCCAUCUUGUUCAGCUGGUAUUCUUAACGGAAAACCCAAAGAAACAAUCUCAAUCUGCUCGGCAAGCUUGCCCUACUGAAACUUUAUGAAGUUUUUGCUUAUCCAAUCCACUGCAACUCAGGGUAUAGGAUCAAUUUGAUUUGUUACAUCAUUCUUCGGGUGUAAUAACCCUGUGUGCAUGUCUGAUAUUUGCGUGAAUGCAGAAUAUCAUCUUUCUUUUCCUGAGAAUGAUCCCCUCUUACACUUGGAUUGACAUUGCUCGUCAUUUUUCGAGGUUGUAUCACCAAAGAAAUAUCUUACCUUUUUGUUAAUUGAUACCUUUAAUAGAAAAUUCAAAGAGAUAGCCACAAUUUAGACUCCCCUUUCUCAAACAUUUCCAUCCAUUGGGUUUGGUGAGUUCUCAACAACAGUCCUGUUUCAGGUUCUUGUACUAUUUAGAAGCCUCCCGAGUAAUAUGCAGAACUUUUUUUAUGAAAGUAUUAUUGGUCCAUUAAUCGUUAUUUCAAUGCAAAAUGCUCGAAAAAGAUCAAAACAAUAGACAAGAAGGAAAUUGGGUAAGAGCACAGCUCAAAACAAAUAAAUUAUUCAAAGAUCGCAAAUGCAAUAAGUAGGCAAUUAACUCAACAUGAAUAAGUUAAUCAGAGAUAGCAAUGCAAUACGAAGGAAGUUUAUUUGGAGCAUAUUUUGAAACGAAUAUAGUAAUCAAAGAUAGUAAAUUCAGUGUGGGUAAGAUGAAAACUAGGUGCCCCAGAUAUCGCAGCCCGAGCUUCUCUGUACAAACUUCUUGAGGUCCAUUUUGAGCUCAAUACGUAUUUAGGGGAUCCGGAGUACUUUGUCGAUGCCUCGAGACGUAGCAUACUUUUUAAUUGUUAAUUUAGGCAUAGCAAGACUGUUGUGUGCCCCACUUUGAUCCAAAUUUGAGCCGCCCUUUCCAGGUUUUCGACUCAAAUCCCCUUUGGUUUCAAGGCGCCCUUUGUGGGUUUUCGCCUUGGCCUCUCCUUUUCUUUUCUUUCCUUCUUAUUUUUCUUCUUCUUCUUCUUCUUCUUUUUUUUAAGGUCUCAAAGCAUCUUUUGAGGGUUUUCGCCUUGGCCUUUCUUUUUUUUCGAAGUCCUUUUAUGUAAAAAGGAACUUUUCAACGCCAGGUCCCUCUCGUGGAAUUCUCUAGGAAGAACCUUUGUAACGUAAGCUUGCAUCAUUCAUUUUAGGUACAUUGGGCCAUGGCAUAUGGCUUUCAACCUCCUUUCUUCAAAUUCAACUGAUCAUAUCGGGAUUGGAUCUAUUUUUCCUAAUCUAACUUCAGCUAAGACUUGGCCAAAAGAAAUCUUAUUUUCAAAACCGUUUCUAUCCCAUUAAGCAGACGAACAAUGUAUUGCCCCGGCAAAGGUUCUGGCUGACGUUCAAUAAGUAUAGAGGGUAAAUGGUAACUUAUUUACGCCAAUCUCUACAAGCCUCAAUUAUCUUCCAUGAUUUUUGCUGCGUCAUGAUAUGGCGUCUGAUGUUUGAACAGAUUGUCAACUUUUGACAUUGAAUCUUUCUGAUGUUCUUUAUCGGCACCUAAUCUCCCUUUUUUCUUUUUCUUUUUUUUUCUUUUUUUUUUGAAGUUCGAUGACUAUCGACUUAGUAACAUUGGCAUAUGAAAUGGCUUUUACCCAUUCUAUGAAGUAAUCGACAACCUCAAAGAUGAAUCGGUAUUGAUUAGAAGCUUUUGACGGAAUCAGCCCUAUAAUUUCCAUGCCUCACAUGUAGAAAAUCUUGUGAAGAAAAUGAGGAAGCCUAAAAUUCUUGUCUUCUUUCGUUUGGCAUUCACAGCCUGACUUAUACAAUCCCCUUCCAUGGUGGAUUAGCAGCACUCGAACCUCAUGAUUAGCCUAGCUAACGUAAAACCAUUAGCACGCGUCCUCCUGACAUUCAUAUGGACCCCUUUUUAGCAUCCACAGACCAUAGUAGCCUAGGCAUAUCUUAAUAUGAUCAUGCAAAAAAUAUCUUUGCAUUCUUGACAUCUUACUUUGUCUCUGUGGUGUUAUAUACUCUACUCUUUAUCUAUUUCUCUUCUCUCAGGUUCGCGACGUCCAUUGUCUCUUUGUAAGUUAAGAUCUAUUUCUCAUCUUGUUCUACCAUCCUUAACAAAUUAAGAGAUAGGCUACAAUCUCUAUCAUCUUCAAGGUCCUAAGAUCCCUCUAGAAACAUAUCUUGCUUAAAAAGAGACUCGAAAUUAGUGACAGCGUCGCUCACGUCAUUAAUAUCUGGAGACCUAUUGUAGGUACGAAGGUAUAUUCCAAAGAAUGAUUCUAAGGAUGAUUAUUUGUAUGGUAUGAUCAUGAAUAAAAGAAUCUAAGGAUAAUCAUUUGUACAGUAUGAAAUGAAUAAAAGAAUAUUUACUUAAGAUAAUAACAAGCAUGCAUUUCAUUGAAAUAAAGAUUUUGGGUACAAGCCUAUUUCACAAAAGGAUCCUUGUUGCUUCUAGGCUUUAAACAACAAGUGUGUUUUGAAUAUUACUCUAGAUUAGAUCUAAAAAUACAAGGAUAUUUUUUCACAGUCCCAUUGUUUAAAACUCCCUAAGUACGUAAGGGCAGAAGCUUGAAAAAGUCUACUCCCUAGUUUCUUCUUCUGAUACGUCGUUAAUGUUUGGAUUCCCCAAUACCAGGUCUUACAUUAGAGUCCUAAGCUCGAUGUACCCUUAAAUCUCAUGCCUCAAUCCAUCUUAGAACUCAUAAUGUCCACCUCUUUAAUAGAAAGGUUGGAUAACAGAUUUCUCGCUCCAGAGGGACCAUCGAAUUUCACAAUACCCAAUUUAAUAAAUCUUUCGAUUAGCUUUUUAAAAGCGGUACAGUUCUCGAUGGAAUGCCCUGUGAUUCCCUCAUGGUAUUCACAUUGACCGCUUGCAUCGUACCAUUUAAGGUAUGGGGGCAGUAUAGGUUUCAUGUAAAAAGAAGAUACAACAUGUGCGUCGAACAGAACGUGGUACAACUCUCUGUACGUGAUUGGAAUGGGCGUGUAUUGGGGUUUUUUUGAGUUUGGUCUUCGAUUAUGUUCUUGCCUUGGGGAGGCCUGAUGGCUGGUGGUUACCAUCCUUGGCUAGCUUACUAUAAUCGGCUCCGAACGACCCCUGCCAUACCUACUCGUGCUAUUUGCUUUCUUUUCCUUCUUCUUCGGGGCCUUUAAAGUUCACUCUCAUUUUUCCUUCGUUUCCGACAGAACAAUUGGCUUGGCUCGAUUAUCUUCCGGGUUAAAACCUGAACCCAUCGAGAAGCUCAACAAUGCCGAUGUAUCCUUCUAAUAUUGGGGUUCGAUAACAAAGGGUACCCCUUGCAUGUCUGGUUAGGUCAGGACACUUAUUGGGGUAAAACCUGGGGAAUAGAUGAUCUCUUCAUUAUCAUCCUCGCUAUUGAUCACUGGGCCACUCCUUUUUUCAAAUUCUCCGGCCAAUAACUGGGUUAACUGGCCCAUCAUAUUUCUUUGGAGCUCUAGCAUUUCUCGCAUAUCUCGUUGAAUUUUGACCAAUUGCUCUUGCAUCUGUAUUUGCCUUUGCUCCAUUCUCUUCAACUUUUGGUCCAUAUCCUUUGUCGGUUCUAAAAUAAUUUUACCUAAUUAAGGUCAUUUUGGGAAACUCUAAUCAAAUGAUGCAAUGUAAUGCAAAUGAUGCAAUGCAAAUGCAAAUGCAUGGGCUGAAUGCAAAGGAAAGAAAGAUGUUGAUUUUGAAUUCAAUUCCUUUAGAACAACUUUUCUAUAAAACAAAUUCUUUUUCAUAAAACGGAUUACGUAUACGGCCUUGCUUUCGUAUUCCAGGCGAAGGCACUGAUCCCCUUUUUUUGUGAAAGUCAAAUCUCGCAAGCUUCCAAUGCAUGCCUCUACUAGCUCCUUUUUGCUUGAUCCAGGCCACGAAUUACUAUCCUCGCAAUGUUGAUUAACUCCUUUAAGAAAGUCGGGAUGCGACGGCUUUUGGAUAAUCUUUAUCAGCUUGAAUCCUUAGGUAAAGUUUUGUUUUCCUCCAAGAACUGUUAGCCUUCUUCUGUCGUGUUCACUUGGACCAAAUUCGGACAAUCGUAUUAUAAUCCGCGUUAUUAAGAAAUUCAUUUUUUUAUGAAAAGCUGUUCUAUUUAGCAAUUGAGUAUGAAUCAACGCCUCCUUUCUAUGAUGAUGUAAUGCAAUGCAGUCAUGAACAAACAAAAAACAAAACACGUUAGUACAGAAAUAAAUAACCAACAAAGUACCUAAUCGGGUGAUCACUAGGGGUUCGGAGUGGCUCUACCUAGGGUAAGCUCCUAGAUCUCUCUAUAUAUGGCUCGGUUCUAGAGUAAGGGUACCCGAACCAGCAGAUUCCUCGAUCCUCACCCAUUAUAGGCUGAUACGGAUCGAGUUCAGUUCAGGGGAAUACAUUUUCCUAUGACCAUGCGGAGAUGAAAAUCUCACGAAAUCAUAGGUACGGAUGUAUCCCGGAAGUAAUCCACUAGCCCAUGCGGAGGUGAAAACCUCACGAAAGUAUAGUUUCUUACUCCCACUUAGAAGGUGUGACCACAGCGAUCAUGAAAUGCAGUAUUAUUCUAAAAGCUCGAACCAUAACAAUUAUACGAACAAAUGCAAUCAUGAUUUUCAAAACAAAUUUUCAGUUUUUGACAAAAUAACAGCAAAUAAUCAAUUUUAUGGCUUGACUCUCUCGAUAGUCCCCAGCGGAGUCUUCAAGCUGUCGAAACCACCCUUUUUAUUUUAAAUUUUAAGGUUUAAUGAAAAAUAGACGAGGAUCGACUUUUUGAAAAUAAAAUGUGGAGUCGCCACCAAUCUUUUUGUUUAGGUGAGAUUGGAUCACCUAAGAAUUUGGUUAUUUUAAUAAAACAUUUUUGGUUUACUAAAACAACAAUUCUGGUCUAUGAAAAUAGGAGAAAAUGGGCUCGGGAGUCGGUUACGUAUGAGGGAGGAUUAGCACCCUCACUACGCCCAAAUUUGGUACCAAAUCGAUUAAAUACUGUCCUUAUAUCUAAAAUUUAAAGAUGUUUUUGAAAUGUGGUUCUUUUUUAAUAACAUUCGAGUAACCCGAAUUGGUUGCCAAAACCUUCUUGUUUCGACGUCCGAAAGCUUAUAAUUCAAAAUUUACAAAAGGAUGCCCAACUAUUUGGUCCAACAAAAAACCGAAACCCAGCACAAUAGGGCACGAUUCCUUGAAUUUCCAAACAUUGAACAUUGCCUCACCUUAUAAAAUACGAGUGAAAUUCCGAAGAGAUAUUCGAUUAUUUUGACCAAACGGGAAGUUGCAACCCAGCACGAUAGGGUACUAUUCCCCGAAUUGCCAAACAUCGAACACUUCUUUCGUUUAAAAGGGCUUUUAGAAAACGUGAAUGAAAUUCCGAAGGGAUCUUCGAUUGUUUAGACCAAAUGAAAAAAAAAAGCGCAACCCAGCACGAUAGGGUACGAUUCUCAAAUCGCCAAACAUCAAACAUCCUUUGUUUUGAAAAGUUUUUAAUAAACAUGAGUGAAAACCUAAAGGAAUAUUCGAUUGUUUUGAGCAAACGAGAAAUCACAACGCAGCACGAUAGGGCAUGAUUCUCGAAUUGUCAAAUGCCGAAUAUUGCCUUCAUUUUAAAGAAUUUUUUAAAAGGCAUGAGUGAAAUUUUGAAGGGAUAUUCGAUUAUUUUAAGCAAACGCGAAAUUGCAACCCAACACGUUAGGGCACUAUUCCGCGAUCGAAUUGUCAAAUACCGAAUCUCGUCUUUCUUUUUAAAGGAUUUUUAAAUGAAUACUUAUAAAACUAGCUUAAAACGUAUUAAUGCAUUUUUUGAAAUGAGACGAAAUUAAUCGUAAAAAUUUGAAUUUAUAAAACCACAUUUCUUAAACCAAGUGGAAAACAAUAAUAUAGGAUAACGUACACACCUAAGAUACAAUACUUGAUGAAUGAAGACAAUGUGUCUUAUUUAAACAACUAACAAAACAAAUAAUUAAAUAAAACUAACCAAAAAUAUAACCUAAUUUCAAAAAUGUACGGAGAAUAAUUAAUAUAACAAUACAAAAUAAUGAAUAAAUAAUAUGCAACAACAAUGUAUGGCACCAUAUAAAUCAAUCAACAAAACACGUACAAAACAAAAUGGAGUUUAGAAGUUGGUGUGGUAUACAACAUUUUCCAAAAUAAUGAUGAAUUAAUGAACACAUAAUAUAUAAGUUGACAAAUUUGCAUAAAGACUAGGGAUAUAUAUAAUUAUUGAAAUAGAUAUUAUAGAAUAAGAGCUUGAAUCAAAUUAUAUACAAAAUAUUUUAAACACAAAUUCAUUUAAAAAUCGACAGUGUACAUGAUAACUUAAAUAAUAUAUAUAAUAUGAAAGAAUUAAAAAUACAUGAUAAGAUAUAUAUAGGAAAUAAGUGGUAAAUAAAAUGAAUAUAUAUAUGGUUUAAGGUAGAUAUAUAUAUAUAUAAAAGUAUAAGAUACAUAAUACGAAAGAGGAAUCUUAAAAUGGGUAAUAAAUAAAAGAUUUUAAAAUAAAUAAAUAAAGUUUAAGAAUAUAUUUAAAAUAAAAUAUAAACAGUUUAAAAUAUAAUACAUAAAAGGAAAUCUGAAAUAGGACACUGUAUAUAUAAAAACGUUAAAGAUAGAGAAUGUUAAUAUAUACAUAAAAGUUUAAAAUAAUAAUAUACAAAUAAUAAAACUCACAACAAAUAAUAAAACAAUUUUUAAAAUAUAUAUGUAUAAAAAAAUAUGUAAAACAAAAUGUAUAUAAAACUAUUCAAAAUGAGUGACAUGAAACAGUUUAAUACAAAGUUUAAAAUAACUAAAAUGGUUUUAAAUAAAUAAAAAGGUUUAAAUAUAUACGAACAAGGGCUUGAUUGACAAAUAGAAUGCAAUUUUAAGGUCCAAAUUCUAAAAAGGCGAACACAUGUAUAUAAAAAGGGACUAAAUCAAAAUCCAAAUAAAAUUUUAAAGGAGAAUUCGGGUAUCAAAAUGUAACAAGGGAUUGAUUUGAAACAUGCGAAUAAUGAGUAAGGACUAAAGUGGGGAAUAACCCGCCCUCCAAAACGCGCUGUUUCAAACGGACCUCAUUGAAACUGAAAUGAAAUUCAAAGGCAUAAAUUAAGAAUAAAAAAAACUGAAUUAAAACAUAAUAAAAUAUGGAAGGACUUUAUUCGAAAAUAACCCAAAAAUCAAAAACACACGGAUCCCCUGGCGGGUCGGGUCACGCGCAUGGAUCAUGGCUUAAAACGGCGCCGUUUUAAGGCCAUUGUAACUGACCCAAAACGACGUCGUCUGUUCGUCCUACAAAAGCAAAAAUUUUCUGAAAAUUAUCAAUCUUCUACCCCUUUAAAGAAAAAAAAAAUUGAAACGCUCCUAAAUGCUCUCAAACCCCUUCGUCUGAAUGCUGAUUCCAGCGAGAAAAAGGGGGCACCACGGUGGCAACGGGCGAAACCCAGGUGAGAUCUUCGUUCUCUCUUUCUCCCCCUCUUAUAUUUCUUUCUUUUAAUCCCUAGAAAAAUAAUAGAAAUCGAUGCAAAAAAGGAAUGAAUAAAUUGAAGGUAAAGGCACCACCUUUAAAAACUUUUGCUUUUCUGAUUGCUUUGUAAAUCUAUUUUUUGUAUUCCAGUAUGUCUAAUAUAUGCGUAUUGCCUCCUCAUUACAAUGAAAAUAAGGCUUUUAUAUAGCCGAAAAUAAAAAAUAGAAAAAUACAAAGAAUUUCCUCUCUAUUGUUUUUCUCCUUGCUGAUUUUUUUGCUGUGCUGUUCUUGUCUUCAUGCAGGUACGAAUGUACGGAGCUUGGUGGUCGUACGGUGCUGUGCUGGCAGUGAGGACAAAGGGCUUCUUGGUGGCUACUGCAGCGCGCCUUGCUGCUUAGGGUUUGCUGUUUGGCUAAACCUAUGUUUAGGUUUUGGGCCAUUGGGCCACAUUGUAAAUGGGUAUUUGGGUCUUGGCUUAGUUGGGCUAUUUGUAAUAGUUUUGGACUGUUAUAAGAUUUAAAUUUUGGUCUUGUAUUUGGGUUAAUAUCGGACUUUUAUUAUUGGGUUUUUAUUUUUUGUUUUUGGUUUGUUUGUAACGGGCCGGGCAAAUUUGGCCCACUACAGUAGGUAUGGUGAUUUCUAAUUUUAUAAAAUGAAAUAAUUAUUUCAAAUAUAAUUAUUAUUUUUAUAUAUAAAAUAUUUCAAAUAUCAUUGUUUUUUUUUUCUACAUUGUGGGUAUGAUAUUUCAAAUAUUUUUAUAUGUGAAAUAUUUUAAAUACACAUACAAAAAUAUUUACUACACAUAUGAUAUAGAUUGAAAAAUAAAUAUUAUACAUAUAAAAAUUUUAUGUACUAAAAAUAAUCAUAUUUGUAAUAAUUAUUUGAUUUUAUGAAUAAAAGAGUUAUUAAUUAAAAAGAUAAAUUAAAAUUAAAAAUUAAAAAUUGUUAUGAAUAUCUUAUUAAAUAGAUGUCCAUCAUAAUCAAGAUAAAGUUUUGAUGUAUUUUAAUAGUUAUUAGAAUUAGAUCUCUAUUUUUUUUAUACUUCUCAUACCUAUAAAUAAAGACUCUAAUGAAAUAUUAUAAUUAUACAUUUGAUGAAUAAAGUAGAUUUUCUAUUACUUUUAUAAUUUCUCUACUCUUUAUUCUCUUUUCUUUAUUUUAUAACAAAAUCAUUUUUUUUUAAUAAUAAGAUAGAACUACUAUUAACCGCAAGCAUGCCCGUCAAAUGAUCUGUUAGUAAUAUAAUAUUCCGAAUGAUCUUACUCGUAAAAGUAAAAAUUAUAUUCUGUGAAUGCUUAGCUUAUAUAAGAAAUAGGUGAUGUCAGCUGCUUUAACUCAUACACGUUUCCUUCUCUAGCGUCACCCUAGAGAUAAAUAUUAUUCAAAGUACAAUUUUGGAAUAUUAAAGAGCCGAUGGAACAGAUAGGGUUUAAAUAAUUCAAGCUGUAUUUUAAAAAAAAAAAACAUUCUUCUGUAUGACAUGCCACAGGUAGUUUGUGUACAUUAUCAAGUUUCAGUUCAAGUAUAAUUAUGUGAAGAUGAAGAUAAACUCCACAUGAACCACAAUGGCAGAGAAUAAUCAAUUCAAGAAUGGGAAAGACUGUAUCUAACACUACCUCAUGCUAUCUGUAUUAUUUUUUUAAUAUUACAUUAAUAUUUUUAUUAUAUUUUUAUUCUGAAAUUAAAAUAAAAUUAUUAAGGUAACAUUAAAUUACUAGAAAUGAAUAAAAUCCCUCUCUUCGAGAAUGUUGGUGUCGGAUAAGACCUUUUACCAUCCUAUGAUCAGUUUACACCUGGCUACAAGCGUAGUUAUCAAUUGGUUUUUAUUAUUUAUGUUAUUACCUUUUUGUGGUUUGUUAAGAUAGUACUUAAGUUUCCCUGUUCAAAAGUUCAUUUCAUUUCACACACUUUGGUCCACAAGUGAUGUAAAAUAUCAGCCAUCUGUAAAUUUGGCCGUUUACAUAUAAAUUCAUACCUCUCACUUUCAAUUUUUAAAUAAUAGGUUAAUUUUUGUUAUGAAUUUAUUUUAUGUAUUUUUUUAAAUUUUGAGAUCUAAACGAUAAUCGUUAAAUUCGUAAAGUUAAAUUUUGUUGUUUCUAAAAUCUUAUGCGAACCACAAGUGUUCUUUUCUGUUUAACAGUUUGAGCCAAGUCCUAUCUAGAUUACCUAAUAAUGUCAAUUUUAGAACUUAAACUUUGUCAAGAUACCUAGGGAAGAAAUCUAAUUCCAUUUCUUUCAACCAUUUAUUGGUAAAGCUUAUAUAUGUCAUUUUAGUUGAUAGAUUUGACGACUAUUGAAUUGAAAUUUCAAAAUUCACAAAAUGUAAAAAUUGAAAAUGAUCAAAUUAGAGAAUAUAAACUAAAUUUACAAGUUAUACAUAGUUUAAUUAAGACGAAUAACAGAACUUAACCUAAUAGUUUUGACUGCAAUUACUUAAAUUAAAAUUGAUAUCCUAAAACUAAAAAUAAUAUUUAAUAACUAAAAUUAAUCAAACUACAUACACAACUUCCAAUAAAAGAUAAGUGUUACAUCAAAAAAAAAAAAAAGUAAUAGAGUUCUUUACAUGGCAUUAUUCAAGAGAAGAGUUAUGUACUUAAUAGAUAUGAAAUGAAAAUGAGUUAAGUUUAUCCUGGCUGGAUUAAAUUAACUAAUUACUCCUGAUUAUCAUGUCACUUCUACAAUUCAACAUAAAAAUUAUUAAUUACUUUGAAUAAUAUGAUUAGAAGAAUGGGUCAAGUCAUUUUAUAUUAGGUCAAUAUUUACAAAUAUAUUUCUUUUUCUCAUAUACGAAUAGAAACUAUACAGCAAUACAUAUAUCUUUAAAUACAAAUGCCGACAUCGAUUAAAAUAAAGCAGAACUGCCAGUCAACUACAUAAAAAAAAUCAAAGAGAAAAUAUAGUAAAAGUGUUCAUUUUAGUUUGAUUAUGAAUUUAUUUUUAAUAUUUUGAUAUCAAAUGUAUAUGGAAUGAGUGUAUGGUCGAACCCCAAGUUUGGGUCAUGUUUAAUUGCACGUUGAGUGAAGUAUAAAGGGUAGGAAAGUAAGAGUUAGGAACCAAACAGGAGGAGUCAUGAUUCAAAGAGACAUAUUAUAAAUGACCUUCACCAUUAACCUCUUAACAUGUGGGUGGAUAAGAUGCUGCAACGAUGUUCAUUGGAGGAUUCUCUUUACCAUGCUAGAAAUUUCCCUCUCUAUCUAUAUUUUUAUUUUACCAAGUUGAUGUCCAUCAUAUCUCAUGUGACAUUUCUAUGAAGUCUCCUCGUUCACUCUUUUAGCAUUAUUAUGUAACCCGGACAGCUUUGUCAUUAUUCAAAGCUCUAUACUGUUUAGCGGUAAGUAACAUUAAUUAUAGAGGUUGCAAGUCCAUAUCACUAAUGUAAACACAUUCAAUUUUCCAAUCUGGGCUAUGAGUAUAUAAAUGAAACCCUAUAUAUCCAGCUAACUGUACUAGGGAAGUUGACCUUGUACAGACAACAUUUCUGUAAUAGAAAGAAGUUAAAGAAAGAGGUGGUGGAAGAUGGUGAGAGCUCCCUUCUAUGAUAAAAAUGGGAUGAAGAAGGGUGAAUGGAGUGCUGAAGAAGAUCACAAACUAAGAUCUUAUAUACAAAGAUAUGGCCAUUGGAACUGGCGUGAACUCCCCAAGUAUGCUGGUAUGAUUUUAUGUAGAAAACUAUAGUUCUUUUUUUCCGCAAUAAAUUCAUUUCUAGGCUUCAAUCAUGUUAUUUAAGAAUUUUUUUUUUUUGGUUGUCUAAAUUGUGUAUAGGGCUUAAAAGGUGCGGAAAGAGUUGCAGGUUAAGAUGGAUGAAUUACCUCCGGCCUGAACUAAAGCGCGGCAACUUCACUGAAGAAGAAGAUGCAUUGAUCGUCAACUUACAUGAUGAAAUGGGAAACAGGUAAGAAUAUCCAAUUAAACCAUCAUCAUUAUAAUAUUGCGUAUUUAAUUAAGAAUAUUUUUAACCUUAUGUGUAUAUAUUACAGAUGGUCCACCAUAGCUAAAAGUUUUCCAGGACGAACAGAUAAUGAAAUAAAAAACCACUGGCACGCUCAUCUAAAGAAACGUACAAAGCGUGAUGAGAAAGAAAAGUCCGAUUGUUGGCAAAGUGAAGCCAUCCGGAAUGAGAAUAUUUGUGAAGGUGAAGGUGAAGGUGAUAGCAAUAGCAUCCUUGUUGAUACUCCCAACAACAUGAUCUUAGAGAGUUCACCUUUGUCUCCAGCAACAUCUACAUGUACUGAACAGUCCUCCUUCAGCUCCGGUAGUGCAUCUAUGUUCAGCUUCAAUGUUGUUGGCGGCUUAGAGGAUAAUUGCCUUCCAUGUUCGGGAACAUAUGAAGCUGAAAGCAGUGGAGAUUUCUGGAGUCAACCCUUUGUUGCAGACAAUACAUCAUCCUUGGAAAAGGGUGGAUUUGAGAUGCUUUUGGAAUAUGAGGACAUGUAUCAUGACGAUUCCGCAUAUUUGCUUUACGAAUUGACGCAAGGAUGGAUAUAAAGUCGGUUUUCCAGUUUUUUUUUUUUUUUAAUUCUAACAUGAGGGUGGACUUGGAUCAUGGUACAUUUAUAUAUAAUUAGGAUAAAAACAAUAAUAACAAUAAAAUUAAAAUUAAAUAUGGUAGGGUGAGAUAAAAAAUAACUAAAAAUUACAGGUAUGUUAGUAAGCACUUGGGGUUAAAUUUUGCGGGUUUUUUCCAUUUUAGAUCAUUUAUUGCAAAUCAUAAUAAUUAUCAUUAUCAAAUAAUAUUUUCAACGAUAUUUAAUAUAUUUUAUGGAUACGUUUUUGUAAUUGAUUUAAUAUCAAAAAAAUAUUUUUAUUGUGGAGUAAUAUUUUAAUUUGUUUAUUAUAGACCAAAAUAAUUUAUUCUCUAGAUAUAGUUAUAAUUUAGAACCAAUAUCUAUAUAUAUUAAGUUUUUAAUGGAGUUGGUGUUGUUAACUAAAUCACAUUUAACUUGGAUUAGUGUCACCCAUCAACCAAAUUCUAACUUAAUAUGAAAGUGCUACAAAAAAAGUCAUUAUAUUUGUUUAUAUAUAUAUAAAUAAAAUGAAAAUUGUGAGAUUUAGACUCAAGAUAUCUUAAUCUUCAUCAUCUUACUUAAUCAUUUCAACUAAGUCAUAUUUAACUUAUAUAUAUAUAUAUAUUAACAUAAAUAUUUUCACUCACACCAUGAGUGUGUUAUAAUCUAGUUAAUAGUAAAGUGUCGGCUGAGUUGGUGUCACUCGUUAGCUGAGUGCCAACUCAGUUAUGAAUUUAUCAAAAACCAUUCCUUUUUGCAAUACAAGUUAUAUCAUUUUAAAGGUAUUUUUAUCUUUUUAUAUUUCUAUAAAUUAAUAAAAACUUGCAUAUGAUAGGAUUUGAAGUAAAAAGACAUUAAGGAUGUAAAUCUUCAACUUUAUCGUUUUAACUAAAACACCAUUUAGUUUUUAUAUAAACAUUUAAUAAAUAUAUUUUUUACAUAAUUUUUUUCACCUAUGAGUGUAUCAUAAUCUAGCUAUUAAUAAAAAUGGUUGAUUGAGAUGGUAUCAUUAGUUAACUUAACAUCGACUCAAUUAAUUAAAUAUAAAAUAAAAUCAAAAUUUAUUAUGUAAUAUUAUAUCAAUUAAGACUAUUACUAUAAUUAAUUUUUUAAAAAAUAAUUUAAUACAUGAGACAACUAUUUUAUUUUAAAAAAAAACUACGAACAAUAAAAGUGCAAUUGAAAUAAAAAAAAAGUAAGGGUGAAGUUAAAAAAAAAUCCUCAAAUGUAAGGAUGACUUUUACAAUUAUGAAUGUUGACUAUGUUUUUGUAGAAUUUAUUUUAAGGUAGCAAUUGGUGGUUUCCAUGUUUUGAUUAUGGAAUGUGAUUCUUUUAAAUGUCAUUGUUGGAAAUGUGAUAUCAGAAAUCUUACUUUACAACAUUUGGUAUGUAUCGAAAGAUAUUGAUUAAAAUAUUAGGAAAGUUACAUUAUCACAUUUGGUUCACUAAGUAAUUUCCUAGGAAUGUACCGAUAAUUUACGAAUUUAUCUAUCACACUCGAAUCGUAAGGUCUUAAGUAGCAAAAGAGUUUGGUGUACUAAAUUAAAGGGUUAUCUAAUCUGACAGGUUCUUUUUGCAAAUAAGAACAAAUAGUGGGCUGGUUGAGGUAAAGUUGGAUUUCAACCAUAGUUCGGUUGGCUAUGAACUAGAAAUAAGUUAUUGGGAGACAUGACGAUUAAGGUAUUUUCAGGUGGCUGUAAAUUGAUCUUGGUGAUAGGGGUCAGAAGAUCUAUAUAUAUAUAGGAUAAGCAUUCUUCUUCGAGGAUGAUUUUUUUGUUUUUCUAUUCUUCUUUUCUCUGAUUUGUCAUGGAAGAGAGAAAGAUUGAGAAAUAUCCGUGUGUGAAGGGGGAGAGACUAAGGAUUUAGUCUUAGAAAUAGAAAAUCUUGCAUGUUGGUAAGUUUCCUAAUCUCUCUGCAUUGGCAGAUUCAAGAAAAAAAAAUAAGGUAGUUAAGUAUUUCAGUAAAAUCUUGUGGCAUGAUUUUUCUCAAAAUACCCCUUUGUAUGGCAUGCAUGUAGACUCACUUAAAAAUCCACAGUCCGAGUUUAAAAAAUCUAAGCUCUAAUACUACUAAAUGUAACCUCCCCAACUCGGCCUAGACUCUAAACCCGAAUUUAAAAGAUUACAUUGACCACCAAAAUGGCCUAACAAAACUAUUAGAGUUUAAAACAGUUGUUUAAAACAUCUAUUUUACUUUCCAAAGAAAAGUUGGCAAGUUUCAAAAAGAUUGUGAUUUAGUUUCAAAACUAAUUGCUUUUAACGAUUAAUUUAUAAAAGUGUUUGUCAAAUUAAAUGCCUUUUAAAGUCUACUUACGUAAUAAUGCAGCGGAAAAGUGAUGUUUAAAUAGCCUAAUAAAAACCAAAUUUUAUGCAUAAAUAAUUAGAAUCCAUAUUUUAUAAAUAAAUUUAACACUUAUUUAUGAGCUACCUCAAAUUAACUUUGUUGAAAAGCUAUACCAAUACUACAGAGACAUAUACCACAAACAUAGCUAGGACUACAUCUGGAUAUGAAUGCAAUUAUGUCUCUAUUGUAGCCCUUGUAUACCAUGCGACUUGCUCCUCCUUCUUCAUCAUCACAUGCUAUUCUAAAAUCAAAUCAAACGUUGAAAGCAUGUUAAAUCAUGAAAUUUAUGAUUUGCAUGCAACCAAAUUCUGCAUGGCAUCACUCAAAGGCUUAAAUUUAUGUCAUAACCUUUAACAUGUUCAUAUCAAAUCCUACUAUUAUGAAUAAAGUCUCUAAGCAUUUGCUUUCAUACCAUUAUUAACAAUAACAAUUCUUCAACUCUGAGCAUUUUUUUCAGAACUUUCUUUCCUCUCCACAUCCAAUUAGGUAUUCAACAACACAUCUCGAAACCAUUUUUUAAUGUACUUGCCAAGUAAAAACAUUUUUUAAACAAAAAACUUAAUGGUGGAAUGUUAAUGCAUGCAUAAGUUGCGCAAACCACCAAUAAUCAGACAUCAAACGUAGCCCCUGUAUAAAUACAAUUUAUACCCGGUUGUAGUCCUAGUUAUUUUUGUGGUAUUUGUCUCUAUGGCUUUGGUGUUGCUUUUCUAACAAAGUUAAUCCCACAAAUUUUGUAAAUAUUAAGGUUUAAAUUUACUGAAUUUUUUAUAAUUGAAAGUAAAUGAUAAAUUUUGUAAAUAUUGAGGCUAAAUCUGUUGAGUAUUUUAUAUUUAAGAUGAGAUAGAAUGUGUAAACAUUGAAAGGCUAAAUUUAUUAUUAGACUGAUAAAAAAAGCUCACAUUAACUUUCCGUCACUCACCUAAUGGCAAUUAUCGAAAGAGUAACUAAAAUAUUUGAUUUCGAAAAUUUUAAUGAUUAAAUCAGAAAACUUAAUAAUUUAAUAUCCAAAAUAAAACGAAGACAUAUUUUUAAGUAUCAUUUUUAUAUUUUACCCUAAAACAACUUAAAAUUCGCAAAAAAUAAUAAUUUAAAUAAUUUUUAAUAUUAUUGAUGCAUUAAUUAGUACAAUUAGAAUUAGACAUAAUGAAUCGAUAUAACUAAUAUAAAAUAAAAGCUUUAACAGUGCAAAAUUUUAAAAAAAAAUAAUUAUCCUAAAAUGGUGCAUAUCGGUGAGUACAACCGAAAGCGAUACAUAACCCACCACAUUGGCAUCAGCCCCAUGCCUCUCCCUGGACAUGGAUAGGAUCAUGGAUAAGAAUAGCGAAAGGAAAGGAAAUAUUUUAAGGUUAUAUCAGCAGCAAGUAAUGUCACCUACUUAACUCAUGCGCGUCUUCUUUCCUAGCGUCACUCGAUAUGUAAUAUAAAGAGCAGAUUCAUCAACCAUUCAUAGAUGGAUAAUUUAGUGUCUUUCCUUGCGUUUCGUUUUGGCCGAAAGCUGUUGGAUUCUACUCUAUGUGAAUCAUAAAUAAUACUAGAAAAGACGAAAAAUGUUGCAGCUGUGGAAAAAAAAAAAGAAGAGGAGGUUGAAAAGUAUUUUAAAGUGUGAAUCAAAUGCUGAAAAUAAAGCAUAUAUAUAUAUACUGAAAUCAAAGCUUAAUUUUUGUUGGUAAACAUAAGUAUUCUUUGCGAAUAAAAAAUGAAAGCUUUCAUUUGUCUUUUUUGUCCAUUCAUUAUGAAGAAGAUAGUUGAUAGCUUGAUAGCAUGGAAAAUAUGCUCUUUACUCUCCUAUCAUUGCUUUACACCUAGCUAUAUACCAACGUAAUUAUCAAGUUUCAAUAUUUAUGUGAUAACAAUUCAUAACCUUAUAAUCACGGUUAAUUAGUAGAUUUAGUAUUAGUUACUGUAAGAGAACAUAAGUUUAAAUGUAUUAAAGUGUAUUAUCUUCUUAUUUAAAAGUUGAAGUUUGAGAUAUUGUAUUAAAAUUAUUAUUAAAAAGAAACUGUGACCAACUACAUUUAAUUGCUAAUAUACUUACAAGUCCUUAAACAAAUAGAUUAUUUUCAUGUUACUUCUUAUUUUUUCCCUUUUUUUAAAACUAUAUGACGCCCUUUUUUUUUCAUUUAUGAGAGUCAUUGACUUUUCACGUUAAAUUACUAAUGUGAUAUAAUAAGUAAAUAUUUGUUAAUUUCAAAAAACAUAAAAAUAUUUUUUUAAAAUUUUUCUUGAUUGGACAUAUAUCACUAUUUUAUUGGCUAUAAAAGGUUUUAAUCUAAAUUUCUGACUACAUGAUUAAAAUUUAUUUUAAGCUAUUAAUUUUUUUUAAAUGAAAUUGAAUAUGGGCUAUUUAAUUUUGGGCUAUUUAGGGUUCUCUAAAUUCAAGGUAUUUUAUUUUGAAUGAUUCAAGAUUUAGGUUUGGGAUUUAAAAUUUUGAAUUUUGAGUAUUGAGUUUGGCAUUUGGGGUUCUUAUGUUUAAGGUUUAGAUUCAGGGUAAAAAAUUAUUAAAAUUAUAUAUUAAUGACUUGAAAAAAAAAAUUAAAAUGUCAUUAAAUAAUUGAAAAAAAAUUAUAUAUAAAUAAUGUGGUGGGAAUAUACAACUUUUAUAUUAGGGCACAAUCAACUACUUUUCUCUGUUAGCUGGCUAAGUCUUUUUGUGAAGAACGUUAUAUUGGAAUUUUAUGCUAACCUGCAGAAAUAAAUCCUAAAUGCAAACCAUGAAUAUUAUAUGCAGGUACUUGUGCGAGGGCACCAUUUUAGAUUCAAUAUUCUAGAGCCAUUAGUGACUUCACCAUCAACUAAUGGAUGGUGAUCAAACCGUUGUUGACUAUGAUGAAAGUAAUCAAUUAAAAUAUUAUAACUUUCCUAAUAUUUUAAAUUUAUCAUUUCAAUUAUAAUUUAGUUUAAUUUUUAUAUAAUAGUUUGUACUCACGGAUGUGCCAAAAUCUAACAAACAGUUGACAAGUAUUUGAAAAUUACUUAAAUUAGAAGAAAGUUAUUAUGGAUAAGAUAUUUUACUAAGGGCUUCGCCGUUUAAGCCAGUCCAAAAAGUCAAACAAACUCCAAAUACAUGGAAAAUGGGUUAAUUCCAGCAAAAAUACUCUAAAUAUUAAAUUGCUCUUUAUUUUUUAAAAUUUUCUAAUUUAAGUCCUUAAAGUCUCCGUAUUGAUUAUUGAUUAACCAAAUCAUUUAAUUAGUGCCAGUUCAGAUAUAACAUAUAGAUCAAAAUGUAAAAAAGAAAAAAAAUAAUCUUCAUAAAUUUUAUUAUAACUGUAUAACUUUUAUAACACGUCAAAUUUAAAUUAUUUAUAUGGUAGGCAUUCAUGUAUUUAUAAUUUUCUGUUCCAAAUAUGCUUUACAUUAUAUUCAAAUUGACAUUUAAUGCUUAAAUUAAUGAUAGAUUGAUGGAACAACUUACUUUUUUUUAUAAUAUUGAUACUUAAUUAAAUGUUUUGAAGUUUAAAGACUGAUUUAAAAUUUAAACAAUAGUUUGAGGAUGUUUGAAGAAAUUAACCCUCAUAAAAAACUAGCUAAAGGAGUAAAGUAAAAGGUUGGCGUAUCAAUAUCGUGUUGCUUUGUGGCGCAGUUUAGAAGCUGGUAACGCAUCAGCUGUUUCAUAGAGCUCUCAUCGCAAUUUUUUCUGUUUCCCCGCAAAACGACUACUUUCCUUGCAAUGAAUCCACAACACCAUCCUCAAUCUAACCGGACCUUCCGGUUCCACCCCUCGCGUCUCUCCGGAUCGAACCCACGUCGCCACGUGUCCCGUUGACCGUUACUCCUACCGCUGGUGCCCAAGGUCGCCUCGCCAUCGCCGUCGACUUGAGCGACGAGAGCGCUUACGCCGUCCGAAGGUCUGUUCAGAACUACCUUCGUCCCGGAGACGCCGUGAUACUCCUCCACGUGCGCCCGACGUCCGUCCUUUACGGAGCCGACUGGGGGUCCGUCCAAGUCCAAACCAUCCCUAACUCCACAACUAAUCACGAAAAUGCCACCGCCGACGAAGAGUCGCAGCAGAAGCUCGAGAACGAGUUCGACCUUUUCACGACGACGAAAGCGAGCAUGCUGGCGCAGCCGUUAGUGGAUGCUCAGAUUCCGUUUAAGAUUCACAUAGUGAAAGACCAUGACCUGAAAGAGAGAUUGUGUUUCGAAGUGGAGAGGUUAGGGCUGAGUGCGGUGAUCAUGGGCAGCAGAGGGUUUGGAGCCGCUAGGAGGACCAGCAAAGGAAGGCUUGGAAGUGUUAGUGAUUAUUGCGUCCACCACUGUAUUUGUCCGGUGGUGGUGGUCCGGUACCCCGGUGAGGAGGAGAGCGGAAAAAAGAAGAUUGCCGGAGAAGAUGCGGAGCUGCAGCCGGUACCGGAAGAGGAACUUGAGUAUUAUGAUGCGGAGGAGGAGCACGGAGGUUUGAGUUGAUUUUAUAUUUAAUUUUAUGGUAAUGAACAGCUUUAAUUGGGUCUUAUAAUUUAUAAAGCUUUCUACAGUAAUUUCUGGACUUUAUUUUUAUUUUUUUGCUUUAUGCACAUGAUGAAGUUCUUGUUAGAGCUCUAAUUGAGAAGCUCGAUUCGAAACUCACUGCUCGAAGGUCGAUUUGAUCUCGAAAUAAAAUUGAACUAGGUGAUUGAACUCAAGAUCGGCCAUAGUAAAAUUCAACUACUUCAGCUUGGCUUAAUUAAGUUUGUUUAUACCAUUUAUACUCUAACUCAAGCUCCAUCCAUAAAUUAAAAGCUUUAUUAUGCUUGUGAAUUGCUUGAAUUAAAUAUUAAAUAUUCAAACUAGGUUGGCUUGAUACCUCAAGCUGCUUGAAACUGACCCAAUAAGUUUAAAAUUUUCUCAAAUCCAACUUGAAUAGUUUGGGAGUAGAAGAGUUUGAUUUACGCCCUAGUUCUUGUUAAAAGUUAAAAGAACAGUAGUCCAAUUGGAGGAAUGAAAACAGUUUUGAGAAGUAGUAAGUUGCAGGAGAAGUGAGGGUAUCGGCUUGGAAGAUAUUAUGGAAAUACUACAGUUAUUAAGGGGAUUGUUCAUCGUGAUAAACAUAAAAUUUUGAUGUAUUUUAAAUUCUAAUAAUUAUUAGAAUUAGAUCUCUAGUUCUUUUAUACUUAUUAUGCGUAUAAAUAGAGACUUUGAUAAAGCAUUGUAAUUAUAUCUUUGAUUAAUAAAGUAUAUUCUCUAUUACUUUCAUAUUUUCUUUGUUCUUUAUUCUCCCCAUCUCUCUUUAUUUUAUAACACGUUAUCAGCACGAUGAUUCUCUAUUUUUUUCAAAUCUUUCGAAGUUGUCCCAUAGAUCAAAUUCUUUUUCACCUUAAACUUUCACCCUUACAACUUUAUCUUUGGGAUAUUGAAGUCCCAUAGAUCAAAUUCUUUUUCACCUUAAACUUUCACCCUUACAACUUUAUCUUUGGGAUAUUGAAAGAUUCAAUCUUAAAAUGGAUUAUAGUUCUUAUUCCCGAUCUUUGAUUUAUUGUACAAGCAUGGGUAAAGUAUAGAUUUGGUAAGAAACUUUUAUAUUUCGACCAUAUUUUCUUUUUCAAUUAAGAAAUGACUACUAUUAAUUUUUAUUUGAUAUCACUACAAGAAAAUAGACUUUUAGCGGCGCUUUUUUUAGUCUUUAGCGACGCUUUUCAAAACGCCGCUAUAGGUAACGCUACAAAAAUUUGUGGCGUUUAUUUAAAAAAAACGCCGCUAAAAGCCAUUACAUUUAGCGGCACUUUUCCCACAAACGCCGCUAAUUUUGACAGAUUUGCAAUAUAUUUUUUUCACCAAUAUCCAGCCCUUUGUGCAUUAAAAUCCAACCAAAUACAACAAAUAUAGUAUAAAAUGCAGCCAAAAACAGUAAAUUUAGCAUAAAAAAUACAACAAAAAACAUUAAUUCUAAAUGAUACUUCAAAUUUAACGAAAGAUAUAUGAUAUAAUUAAUAAAUAAAGUAUAAUUUAAAAUAUUCUUACAAUAAUGUUAAACGUGACAAAGUUAAAAACAUUCUUACAAUAAGAAAACUAAUGUCUAAGAUGGCGGCUUUUGCGAUUGCUGAAACAUCUGCAUCAUCUGCUGAAGCUGUAGCUGGAGGUCAUCGUACUUUUUGCUCUGCUCUGCUGCCAUCGCUGCUGCCUCUGCCUCCCUCGCUGUUGCCGCUGCCUCCCUCUUUGCUGCCUCCACUCUGAGUUGUUGCUGGAGUUCUUCAUAUUUUCGUUGAACCUCAGCAAUUUGCUCAACCGUGUUCGCUUGCAUCUGAGCUAUCUGGUCUCUUAACCUCUGAACUUCAGCUUGAGCUUGACUUCCGGAAGGCAUGUAUUGCUGGGAGCCGAAUCCAAAAUAUUGGGUCGGGGUAACACCAGAUCCUUGAAAUCGAACCCGACCGUACCUUUCAGGACCUAAAACUUCAGUGAUAAUUUUGUUAUCAAUGUUCUCAAUAUUAACAGAACUACCAGUCGAAGCAAUCGCUUCAUAUUCCGCCUUCUUCUCCUUUAGUUUCUCCUAAAAAAGCAAUUAAACAGUUAGAAAUGAAAUAUAUAAUAAAAAUGAAUACAACAUAACUUAACAUUAUUUAAAACUACUAAUGAUGAAUUGAAUUAAACAAUUAUAAUUAAAGAUUAUAAAUAUUUAGAAAAAAAUAAAAUAUUAUUAAGUAAAUAUACCAUAAUUUCUCCAACUUCGGAUGUCAUAGGAGGUCCAUCUUUCUUCCUAUGCGUAAUCUCAAAAAGCUAAAGGCGUCCAACUUUUUAUCCAGAUUUGACUUCCUACAAUAUAGUAGUAAACAUAUUAUUUAAUAGUAGAAAGUUAUUAAUAUUUGAAAGAAUUAAUAAAUUCAUAAUACAUCGGCCUCAGCUACAGAAGCAAAACUUCUCAAACCUACCGUGUGCGUGAAUUUUUGUUUUUGCUUGCUGCUUGUUCCAACUCGCUCACGGUCCUACAUAAUGAAAUUAUUAUUACGUAUAUAGUAAACACUAUAUAUAAGAGUUUGGAAAUACGUAAUACCUCUCAUUUCUUUGAAUUCCAGAAUCUAACCGCAUCUUCCCAUUGGUACCUCAGCAUUCCCGGCAGGACAUUUCUCAAUUUUUCCUCGAGGCUUAUGUCUUUCUUAAAAUAUUGUUUUUUUAAAGUGAUUUUAUUGUCUCUCCAUUUUUUACCCAAUACCUUCUUGAUAUAAUUAUCGGAGACCUCAAAACCAAAUGUCUCCUAAAAAAACACAAGUUUAGAAUGUAAAUAUAAAUGAAACUUAAACCAAAGUAUUAUAAAUUACAUUCACAUUUUGUUACCUUAAUAUUAGCGAGAGCCUGAUUUUUGUUGCUAUCAAGCAUGUGAUGCCAUGAUUCCUAGUUGAUGGGCAAUAUAUUGGCAUUUCAUGCUAAAAUGCCCAAAUAGCCUGCUAAAAGUUGAGCUUCAGAUCCAACAGGCUAACCAUGAGUAUUUCUACUUACUUUGACACGCUCGACAGGAUCUAAGUCGUAUAAAUCUCUAAGCAGCGUACGUCCUCGAACUCUGCGCGUCCCACCACUUUCAGCUGAAAAAUGAUAUACUAUUAUUAUAUUAAAAUUGAUAAAUAAAUCAAUAAUAAAAGUCAACACAUGUAAAAUGAACUUAACAUUACUUUGAAAUUCUUCAGGUUCGUCAAGUGUCUCCGGCACAUUCGAAGAUCCAACAACUGUCUGCUGUUCACUAUUUCCUUCUUCUGAAUUUGGAGUAUUCUGGACAAUACUUAAAUCUCGUAAUCUUCUUCUACGCAUUUUUCCUGCAAUACACAUAAAAUAGUUAAAGUUUUAGUAACAAAUUACAACAAUAAUAGUACAUAUAAAAUAGUUAAAUUAUAUAACAUGACCAAGAUUAAAAUUAUAAUAUUACAUAUAAUAAAAAAAUCGUAAAAUCUUACUACAUCAUUAUUCGUAAAUAUCUUCAUCCACAUCAUGUCGAACCCAUUGAUGUUGUGUACUAGUACUAGGGAUAUUUUCAUCUAAGUUUUGUUUUGGAAAAGGUAAUGUUUCUGAUCUUUCGACGAUGUCAUCUCUACUUCCGUUACCCAUGUCAAACAAGUCUCUAGGGGUGUUCCGGAGUACAACAUACCAACCCUCAUCAGUUGGAUCUUUCGAAUAAAAAAACUUGUUUCACUUGAGAGGAAAAUACAUAUGGCUCGUCCAUCAAUUGUUGUCCAGUGUGAAUCAAGUGAGAGAAAUUCACCAUUGUAAAACCAAAUUGAUCUUUUUUAAUUCCUCGAGCAGUAUUAACAUUAGCCCAAUCACACCAAAAUAAGACAACUUUCCAUCUGCCAUAGUAAUCCAACUUAAUAAUGUCGGUAAGAAGUCUGUAAUACUCCACAUUACCCUCAACCGAAUUACUGUCCCUAGAAUUAGCAUAACUUGUAAUUGAAAAAUUAACAACAACUCCACAAUUUUGAGUUCUCCUCAUUCUCUCGCAAUACUUUGUAUGAAAUCUAUAUCUAAGGAAGACACUAUAUCUUUUUAUUACUCUGUUCAGACAUUGGGAAAGCCAUUUAACUUCGUCAUUGACGUCCUUCCCACUCUAAACCUAUUGAAUCGAAAGUAAAUUGAAUAAUUAUAAAUGUUUUAUGUAAAAACAUUCUUAUUUGAUUAACUAAAUUUCGCGAAUAUAUGUAACUUAUUAACUUUAGUUACAUACCGUUUGGCUUAACCAUUCAUGAAAAGAUUCUGUAAAUAACUUAUCAAUCUCUCGAUGUUGUAAUCUUCGAGAGCAUGCACGAGAUCUGAAAAUUUUUUUGUACUCACUAUGUUAAAAACAAGUUUAAUUGGUUAGAAGAUAAACAAAUCAAAACGACGAAUAUAUGAGGAAAUUUUAGAACUUACUUGCGUAACAGUUCAACUAAAUCGUGGUGAAAAAGUACAUAUCGAUGUGCUUGUAUCCACGAUAUAUCAUCUAAUUCUGCAAUUUCAACUUUGCUGAUUGGUUUUCCAUAACUUUGGAAUAAAAAAGUUUCGACCAAGUUAUGAUCAUUGAGCCUAGCAUUUCUAGUUGGUCUAUUCAAUCGUGUUUCAAAAUCUUCUAAAUAUCUAGAACAGAAGGUCAUGCACUCCUCUGCCAAGUAGCCUUCAGUAAUUGAUCCUUCUGGAUAACGCUUAUUGCGACAAUAAGAUUUCAAUUUGCUUAGAAACCUAAACACGAUAUACAAUAUUUAUCAAAAGUUGUAACUAAAUGUAUAGAGGCGAAUGAAUAAAUACUUGACAAAUAAAUUAGCACCUUUCUAUAGGAUACAUCCAUCGAUAAAAAACCGGUCCACCAAGUAUUGCUUCGUGAGGGAGAUGGAUUACCAAGUGCACCAUAAUAGUGAAGAAGGAAGGUGGAAAGAUCUUCUCCAAAUUACAUAAAGUUAAAGCAGCUCGAUCCUGUACUUUCUUAAGUUCUUCAACAUCCAAAACUUUGCCACAAAUAGCUUUCAUUAUAUUGUAUAGUUCAAUUAUAUAGGACGUCACAUAUUUUGACAUGCAACACCGUAAAGCAACUGGAGUAAAUCUUGCAUUAAGAUGUGAUAAUCAUGUGAUUCUAAUGAAUAUAAUCUUCGAUCUUUAAGACUCACACAUCGAGAUAUAUUUGACGCAUACGCAUCUGGGACAUUUAUAUCCUUCAACACCAUGCAAAACACCUCUUUCUCUUUCUUUGACAUUGAAAAAAUAGUAGGCGGUAACCGACAUUUCCCAUUCGGAAUACUUGAGGAUGAAGAUCACGUCGAAUUCUCAUGUCAACUAAAUCAAGUCGACUCUGAAGAUUGUUUUUUGAUUUUCCAUCGACAUUUAAAAUUAUCCCAAUUAUGUUCUCGCAGGCAUUCUUAUCAAUAUGCAUGACAUCAAGAUUGUGGCGUAAAAUGUUGUGCUCCCAAUAAGGCAACUAAAAAAAAUACUCCUUUUUUUCCACAAGUCUGCCUCAUUAGGAUCAUCCUCUUCGUCAGAUUCAUCCUUCGAUAUUCUCCUUGUUUGUGUGAUAGGUGGUUGAUUCAUCUUCCCGUAACUAAAGUUGAUAUCUUUUAACAUAAACAAGAUUUCAGAUCCAACGGUCUACUCAGGAGCUCCUCUAUACUAUUCAGUACCGUCAAAUAAAGUCCUCUAAAAUCUAAAUUUAUGAUUUCCAUCUAAUCACCGACGAUGGCCCAUGUAAGAGAACUUCUUCCCAUUAUACAACCACUUCGAACAAGUUUGCGCAGCACAACAAGGACAUGCAUAACGUCCUUUAGUACUCCAACCCGAUAAAUUAGCAUAAGUCGGGAAAUCAUUAAUUGUCCACAAUAAAGCUGCACGUAAAUUAAAGUUCUCCUUUCUUAAUCCAUCAUAUGUCUCAACACCCGACCAUAAUUGUUUUAACUCUUCAAUAAGUGGUUGCAAAUAGAUGUCAAUAUCAUUUUCGGGACCUUUCUCUCCAGGGAUAAUCAUUGAUAAAAUAAAUGAAGAUUGCUUCAUGCAAAUCCAUGGAGGCAAAUUGUAAGGAACAAGCACUACAGGCCAAGUACUGUAUGAAGUACUCAUGAUUUUAAAAGGAUUAAAGCCAUCAGCUGCUAGCCCAAGCCUCACAUUCCGAGGAUUGCUUGCAAAGCUUGGAAAUUUACUGUCAAACGAUUUCCAAGCUAAAGAAUCAGCAGGAUGCCUUAAUAAUCCAUCAUCGGUUCGCUGAUCAUUAUGCCACCUCAUAGAAUCGGCCGUCUUUGACGACAUGAAAAGCCUUUGAAGUUUUGGUAUUAGGGGAAAAUAUCGCAUAACCUUGACUGGCUUCUUUCUUAAAUGUGCCCCACCUUCAUCCCCAUUCACAUCUUCUGUAUUCCCAUUCAUCCAACGAGACUUACAGCAAAAAAUGACAAGACUGUUGGUUCUUCUGAUCACCCCAGUACAACAUGCAGUCAUUUGGGCAACUAUGAAUUUUAUCGUACCCAAGGCCCAAAUAUUUUAUUAGUCUCUUCAUAUCUUGACAAGACUGGGGGAUUUUUGCAAACGGAAACAUCUCUCUCAGAAACUCUAGCAGCAUUGUAAAAGAGUUUCCGGUCCACCCUCCCUGUAACACCCCGUACCCGAGACCGUUGCCGGAGUCGGACACGAGGGGUUCACAGACUAAAUUCGCUGACUAUCGCAGUCCAUUUUAAAAUUUUCCAGGCAGUUGGCUAACUGCGACACUGUCACCUUAAAAAUCAUAUCUUGAGUUUCACAACUCAAAAAUCAGUUUCGUAAUUUUUACCUGAAACUAGACUCAUAUUCCCAUCUACAUAUUUUUUUCUAGAAUUUUUGGUCAGGCCAAUUAGUACAGUUUAUUAGUCAAAGUCUCCCAUGUUACAGGGAUCGACUACACUGACCUUUGCGCAUUACGACUUGGAUAUCUCCCUGCACAGAGCUUCAAUAUUGAUGCCGUUUGUUUCUAUAGAAACUAGACUCAGAUAGGAAUCUAUACAUAUAUGGAAUGACUCCUAAUUAUCUCUGGUUAAUUUAUAAUGAAUUUCCAAAGUAGGAACAGGGAAUCCAGAAACCGUUCUGGCCCUGUCUCACGAGAACCUGAAUAUCUCUUAACAUACUAUCCAUAUGAUCGUUUCGUUACUUUCCUAUGAAAAUAGAUUCAUCAAGGUUCAUUUACAUAAUUUAUUCAUUAUUUAAUUCCAAUCCUACUAUUUUUAGUGAUUUUCCAAAUCUACAUCACUGCUGCUGCCAGCAUCUGCCUUUAAGGUAGACUUUACCUAUUUCAUAGUUUCCAUGAUUCAACUAGCCCUUUUAGCAUAAAUAGCACAAAUUAUGAUAGUGAUUAACCAUUCCAUACCAAAUGAUUAUAACAUUAUGCUCAAACAUAUAUAAGCCAUUUUCGCAUGGCUAUAUACAUUAACCAAAAUAUUCUUCCGCCACUAGUCUAUUUUAUACAUGCCAUAAGAUAAUCCAAAACAUAGCAGUACCAAACAGUGGAUAGUGAUAGUGUGACUAGUUGCUGACGAUCCCCGAGCCUGUAGCUUCGCAAUGAGAUCUAUAAAACAGAGGAAACAGAGUAAACGGAGUAAGCAUUACAAUGCUUAGUAAGUUUUAAGCAGUGUCAACAGAUAACAAUCGAAUUAUAACAUAGUUGUUCGUAUUUUUAUUUCACUCUUCCUUCGGGCAUACCAUCCCUUUACCGAAUAUGCACAUCUCAUCAUAUACAAUAGGCAGAUAAACUUUCACAUAAAAGUGAGCUCAUGUGACAUAGAUAUAUCGUAUGAUUUCACAUCACCUCUCACACUGAUCUGAUGUCACAUAAUCAUAGGAAUAGUCUCAUAGAUUGCUCUCGUAUGCAUCACAUAACUACCUUAUGAUUUAGUGCAAAUCAAGCUCACAUAUAAACUUGGAGUACAUACCUGUUUAACCUUUCGCAUUGAAUAUAUUUAUAAGCAAUUCUUAUUACGAAGUCUUACCCGGACAUAAUCUCCACACGAAGUUAUCGGGUCUUACCCGGACAAAAUUCCCACACGUAGUCAUCGGGUCUUUAGAGCUCGGAUAUAGUACGAGCACGAAGCUUACGGACAUUAAUCAGUGAUAAUAUUCUCGCAUAAAGCCUGCGGGGUUUUAACCCGGAUAUAGUACUGACACAAAUGCCCUUCGGGACUUAUCACAUUUAUGCACUUUCACAUCCAUCACGUUGGCCACUCGGCCCUGUCACAUAUAUACACUUUCACAUUCAUCACAUCGGCCAUUAGGCCUUACCACAUAUAUACACUUUCACAUUCAUCACAUCGGCCAUUAGGCCUUAUUACAUACAUACACUUUCACAUUCAUCACAUCGGCUAUUAGGCCUUAUCACAUAUAUACACUUUCACAUUCAUCACAUCGGCCAUUAGGCCUUAUCACACAUAUACACUUUCACAUUCAUCACAUCGGCCAUUAGGCCUUAUCACAUAUAUACACUUUCACAUUCAUCACAUCGGCCAUUAGGCCUUAUCACAUAUAUACACUUUCACAUUCAUCACAUCGGCGAUUAGGCCUUAUCACAUAUAUACACUUUCACAUUCAUCACAUCGGCCAUUAGGCCUUAUCACAUAUAUACACUUUCACAUUCAUCACAUCGGCUAUUAGGCCUUAUCACAUAUAUACACUGUCUUGGCUGAAUCUACAUCUAUCAUUUUCCAAUAUCACAAUUUAGAAUUCACGUAUGGGUUUAAUCAAUAGCUUAUGAGCAACUAGAACAAGUUUAUCAAGGUUUGCAACACAAUCUCAAAUUCAGCACAAGCUGUUUUUCCUGAGCAAUAGUCACUAAAUCAUUUAUAACUGGAGAUACAAAACUCCAAAUCACUUUCCGUUAAUUUUUCCUGAAUAUAGACUCGUAUAUCUUCCAUCCAUAAAAUUUCCAGAAUUUUAGGUUUGGCCAAUCAAUACCAGAUUUUUCUUAAAGUUUCCCCUGUUUCACUGUUUGACUAAUCUGACCACUCUUCACUACGAAUCAGAUUUCUCAUUUUACAGAAUUCAAAAUGUGUUGUAUUUGAUUUCAUUUGAAACUAGACUCAUUAAGGAGUCUAAGCAUAUAAAUUUUAUCUUAUAACCAUUUUUUUUACAAUUUAUAAUGAUUUUCUAAAAACGGAACAGAGGAUUACAGUGUCAUUCUGCACUGUCUCACACAACUUUAAAUAUCUCAUUAUCGGAAAUAAAUUUUCUUACACGGUUUCUUUUAUAAGAAACUAGACUCAUUAAGCUUUAAUUUCAUAAUUUAUUCAGCCUCCCAUUCAACUCCAACAAUUUAUGGUGAUUUUCUAAAUUCAUGUUACUGCUGCUGUCCUGAGCAGGUUUAUCACAAUUUUACUCUUCUGACAUAUCCUUUUAGCACUUCAUAAUAUCAUAUCCAUUUGGCAACAUAUCAUAUCAAUAACUUACCUAUACUUCAUAAUAGCCAUUAGGCUAUAUGCAUAAAAAUUUACCAUAGAGUUAUGAUUCUUUUAAUAUGUGCUUAACAUAUCAUACUCAAUCACAUUAUAGGCUUUAAUACUUAAAACUUACCUCGAUCGCUAAUGUACGUCAAUUCCGACUAUUCGACCAAUUUCCCUUUUUCCACGAUCCGACUUUGUUUCCAUAAGCUCUUGAUGCUCAAUCAACAAUUUUUAACUUAGCCUAGUUACAUGCAUGGCCGAACCUCUUCAAUCUUUCUUCUUCCUUCCUCCUUAAAAUUUUCGGCCAAGGAUGAACCAAAGGAUGAACACUUUUUUUUUUGUUUUUCUUUCCUUCAACUCACGGCAAGGGGGGGGGGGACAAUCACACAUAUCCUUUCUUUUUUUUUUGUUUCUCAUCCUACUAACACUAAUAUUUUAUUGCCCAUGCUCUUUAUUUUAUUGUUUCCUCCCAUGAUGCACCAACACAACAUGUCUAUGACAUGUUUUGCCCAUCACCCUUUGUCCAUCCUAAUGUCAUGGCCGGCCACUACUAGAUGGGGGGGAAAAUUGACAUGCAAGUCCCCCCUUUUUCAACAUGCACUAAUAGGUCCUUAUGUUUUGAUCUAUCACAUUUCAAAAAUGUCACACAUAAGUCCUAUUGACUAAAUUCACAUGAAAUUUACUAAAUCGAAGCUUAAAAUUUUCACACAUUUAUUUUAGACAAUAAAUAUCAUGUUCAAAUAAUUUGGUUACUCAGUUUAGCGGUCCCGAAACCGCUUUCCGACUAGGGUCAAAUUAGGGGUGUCACACUCCCAAACAUUUUAAGUGAAAUAGACGAAUACAGAAAGACAAUUUCGAAUAUUUUGAUCCCUCAUAAAGUUCUUCGUUCAUUUCGUUAAGUAAAUUGUAGAACGUCGCCGCUUCUUCAUUUGGCUCCUCAUCAGGUGCACUUGUUCCCGUUUCGCAAAAAACAUUUCCACCAAUAUUACAAUCGUCGGAUGCAAUAAAGUUAGGUGGAAACGAUUGCUCACCAUGACUGUGCAUAUUAAAUGCAUCCCGCAACAUACCUUUCAUGUCAUCUUCUCUAACAUACUGAUGGUAAGUAGUAUCAGGAUAAAUCGGAUUAAUCGUUGAAGAAGUUCCACUAGAUGUACACUCUCCAUAGAAAAUCCCUUUUUUAUACCCCCGAAUAAAGCCAUCAACAAUUAGAUGUUCGUGGACAACUUCACGAAAAUGCCAAUUUAUGUUGCCACACCUCUUACACGGGCAAAGAAUCAUAUUCUCUUGGCUUGCAUUUUGAAAUGCAAAAUUUAGAAAAGUUUGAACUCCAUUUUGAUAGCCGUUACUUACCCUUGACAAAUUCAUCCAACUCCUAUCCAUAUCGUUGUUCUUGAAGUCUAAAGUUGACAAUAAAUUACACGGAUAAAUUGUUUAUUUAUAAGUAUAAUUAAGUUAUGUAAGUCAUGUAUUAUGUAAGUUAUGUAUUAUGUAAGUUAUGUAAAUUAUGUAAAUCAUGAAUUUUGAUCUUUAAAUUAUGUAAGUUAUGUAUUAUGUAAGUUAUGAAAUUUGAACUUUAAAUUAUUAUGUAAGUUAUGUAAAUUAUGUAACUUAUGAAAUUUGGUCUUUAAAUUAUGUAAGUUAUGAAAUUUGAACUUCAAAUUAUUAUGUAAAUUAUGUAACUUAUGAAAUUUGAUCUUUAAAUUAUGUAAGUUAUGUAUCAUGUAAGUUAUGAAAUUUGAUCUUUAAAUUAUGUAAGUCAUGUAUUAUGUAAGUUCAGUAAAUUAUGUAAAUUAUGUGAGUUGCUGGUGAACUUGAAAAAAAUAUAUUACUUUUGAAUUAGAAACAUUUAAUACAUAAUUUCCUUCUUUAAAAAAAUUGUAAUUUUCUAAACAGCAACAUGGUCAAAUUCAAAUAAAAUUUUGGAAUUCCCAUCAAAUUUGAAAAGCUUUAUUUUUAAAUACACUAAAUGAAAAGUCAAAUUGAAAGUAUGGGAGAAACCACCAAAAAGAAGAAGAAUGAUAUUUUACUAAAAGAGAUUGUUGAAAGUAAAAAGGAAGUCUUGAGAAAAAAAAUUGGUGGUCAAAAUCCAAGAAGGAACAUGGAAAUUCUUUUCAUGUUUUGGCUUUUACACUUAAACAUGGGCUAAGUGUCAUCCCAAUUUUUUCAAUUUGUCAAUUUGGAAUUGCUGCUUUAUGAUGUUGAAAUUUCCAUAUAUUUUAUUUUUUUAUAAAUUGUUUAGGAUUUGAUUGGAUUUUGUGAUGAAAAUAUUUUUAAUAAGAUUUUUGUAUGUGCUGAGAGUGCGUAAAAAGCAACUAUUGAAUUUGGAGUAGUGCUCAGAGAAAAAUUGAGAAAAUAAAAGAUAAAUUUGGAUCAUAAUAGGGUUAAUAUUUGAUAUAUUGACGGUAUGUUUGCUUCACAAGUAAUUUUAAAAAAUUAACAUAUGUCUUUAUUUUUUAGUAUUUUACUCAAUUUAAAAUUUUAUCGAGUUAAACAAAAUGAAAUUUGAGUCGUAUCGAAUAAAAUUGAGUGAAAUUAUUCGAAUUCAAUUAAAAAAGAAAAUAUAUCAAAUUAAAAACUUAUUAUAGUGUAACUAAUUUAAAAAUACUUUCAAAAGCCAAAAAUUUAAAAUUAAUUUGGAAACAAAAUAGUUCUGCUCCAAACAGAACUAGCAAUUAAAUCUUUACAAAUUGCAACCCCAAAAUAUUAAUUUUUCCAAAAUCAUCAUGAUAAAACUAUUAUUGAUUAGAAUUUUGAACUAAAACGUACCUUAAUAAUUUCAACAACUUGGUUUGCUCCACUCUCACUAGCAAACAGAGGCUGGCGUCAAAAAAGUAAUAUUUGUUAAGUGAUUUAAAGUGAAAAUGCAUAAAAAUAAGGAAAAAAAUUUAGCAACGAAACCUGUACCUAGAACAGAUGUCAAUGGCUGUGGUGUAUUUAGUUGCACCAAAUAUUAAUUCAGGUGCUCGACAGUACCUAGAACAGAUGUAAAAUUAUAAGAGUAGCACCAAAUAUAUUUCAGUUUAAGCAAAUAUAAAAACUUUAUCUAUAUCAGUACCAAAUAUUAAUUCGAAGAUUAAAUGGCAGCUUCAGUUGAACCAAUAGUUGCAAGAGGAGCAGGAAGCAGUAACUGAAAUACAUACAACAUUAAUUCAAUAAUACAGACACAUGGAACUAUAUCCUAAAAGUCAAAACACAAGGAAUUAAAGUAUAUGUACCAUAUUUAGUAUACAAUAUAAUUUUACUUCAUAUAUAUUACUUCAUAUAAUUAUUAUAGUAAUAAUUAAUUUAUUAACAAUCGUCAUAGUACAAAAAUAGGGUAGAAAAAAAUUAGGUUUUGGUUAAAAGCAGUCAAAAAAAUAUUUUUGUACAAAAUUAAUUCAAAUACUAUGAUAUAUUAAUUUGGUAACAGGUACUCGGUAUCAUGAAGUUUAGUACAUUAGUUAAUAUUGUAAAAUAGAAUAGUUUCUAAGUAAAUCUUGACAGAAUAACCCAAACAAGAAGGAAUUAAAUAACCAACCUGCAGUGUACAAGAAGUAACAGAUAGGCAUUUGAUACUUGAUAAGGAUGCUAACAAACUGAUACAAAAAUUAUCAAUCUGAAUGGCUGAUCAUUUUUUCAAUUGCUCCCUGGAAUGCAUUGCCUUAUCAAAUUAGAUUCAAUACACAGAACAUAAAUGUAAAAGUAAUUAAGUAAAAAACUUACUUGCGUCUCAGAAACAGAUACAGAAGAAUAAUCCUGAAAAAGUUUAAAAAUUAAAUGUCAGCAAAACCCAACUGAUUUGUACCAAAAUAGAUCAUCUUCAAACUACAACCAUCUAAAUUGAAAAUUGAUAUAAGGCAUAAUGUGAGUAAUCCAGUCAAUGUUCAAGAUCAAGUGAUGGAGAAUUGAAAGACAAUGACAUUUCCUUAGUAAAAUUUCAUGUCAGUUUUGCGAUAUAAUUCAGUCAAAAUAAACUUCUCAGCCCAAAAAUAUGCAAUAGUUGUUGCAAAUGUUUUUACUUUACACGUUCAAGUAGCUUUUGUAUGUAAUGUUUCCUCGAAUGACUAUAGUUAAUUAGAGAAUUUGAGGGAUUAAGAAAUGUAUAAACAAGUUAUUAAUAAAUUUUACAUAGAAUUGACCCUUUUGAAUAUUAUAUAAUUAGAAUACAAAAAACAAUAAUGUAAUACAAAUAUAGGAACCUGUUAAAAAUAUUUCUAAAUACAAUAUAUUUUAAACGAAAUUAUAUAUAAAAGAUAGGAGACAAAAAACUUAACAAAUCCAACACUCAUUGGGUAAUGUCUCGUAGCGAUGGAAUCCCACUAGAUGGAUCACUUGGGCUCGAUUUUAUGUUUGAAACAAUGGAAGUCUGCUCCCACAGCCAAUUUCCCACUUGGGCUCGACCUCUGCCAUUGUUUUUUUUUUACCAAACUGGAAGGAACCCAUUUUUUUCGUAUGUUAACUAACCCAUUAAGUUUAAAGCACUCAGAUAAGUUUAAAGCACAACUAAAACACUUGAAAUUAAGUUCCUAAUAACAAGACUUGGUUUUCAAGAUUUUGAGUUUAAAUCUCAAAAUUGAUGACUAGAAUUGUCUACCAUAGAGUGCAAUAUUAGAUAUUAGAAAAGAGAAAUGGAAGCUAGCAAGAAGGUACAUGAUAACCUUUUUCAAAGAUUUAUAGCAAGGAGCAUUGAGGUUUAGUUGGAAAACUAGGGAACUUGAAGCACUUAAUAACAAGGUAUUGGCAAAAGAAAAGCAAAAAAAGGCAUCUAGUUUAAGUGUGAAAAGAGAAAGAUAUCUUUUCUCAUUUAUAAAAAUGGGUUAAUAUAUGAUGAUACAUCGUCAUGUUAUGUAUAAGACUAAUAAAGUGUGUGCAAAACUUUUGUAAAAGCAAUGACUUGUGAGCAACCAAAGAACAAUUCUAGACUCUGCACUCUCCCUUUAGUAAAAGAGUUGAAUUAACAUCAAAGAAUCAGUAAAACAGAAUAUUGGUUUAGAAGAUACGAUUGAAACUUGAAGUUGUAGUUUCAAAUACCAAUCUGCAACUUGUAACAAUGGCAAAAGAAAAGCUAAAACUUCAUUCAAAGUACUUACAGAAGUUAAUAUGAUGAAUCUUCAGAGUCUCCUUAACAAAAAUUUUCUGCUAUAAAUGCUUGAAUGGGUGCUUAUGAUUUGAACGUCUUCAAAAUUCAAUCUUCUGGUUUAACACACAACUUGCCCGAACUUGGACUCUUCUAGAAUGAAGUCAUCAAUGAUUCUGAAGAUUUUGUAAGCUUCAAGAACAGAGAUAUCCCAAAGUUAGAUGAGACAGCUUGAUUAAAAUCUCCAAUAAAACAUGGAGUUUGAAGGUUCUUUAUUACUGAACCCACUUCUGAAACAACUCCUCAUCGGGUGUACCAAAUAUAUAAAUAAAUGGAACUAAUAUUAACCAAAACAAUUUGGUUUGUCUCUGUCUUUUGCCAAAGUCAAGAAAAAACCAAGUUUAGUUUAUUAUUAAAUGGUCAAAAUGGUUGCCUUUCCGUCAAGAUUGUGGACAUUCGUCUGCAACCUUUUCUCCUUUUUCAAAAGAAAACGUAUGCGGGUGCACCAAAGUCCAACUCUCAAUCUAAAAUGAUUGCUUAUUAAUUUGUCUAACUUCUUAUUAAUUUAUUGAUUUUUUCUAAAAUCAUCAUCAUAAAAUAUUAUUGAUUAGAAAAAAAAAAUGAAAUCAAACUUAAUAACGCCGUUUAAGUUAAAAAAAUUAAAAGUUUGCGGCGUUUUCAGAAACCGCCAUUAAUAAAAAUAACAAAAAACGACGACGUUUCCCACCAACCCCCUAAAAGAUAUUUGUGGUGUUUCCUUCAAAAACGCCGGUAAUGACAACUUUUUGCAGCGUUUGAGAUAAAGUGCCACUAAUAACAAAACACUAAACAACGUCGUCUGCUGUCUAUUGACAGAUAUUUGUGGCGUUUUAUAGGGUUCGCCACUAAAAAAAAUGAAAACGACGACGUUUCAAUUGACAUAACUUUGUGGUGUUUCUGAAAAACGCCGGUAAUUCAUGCCUUUUGUGGCGUUUUCACUAAAAGCGCCACUAAUAACAAAGUUUCAAACGACAACGGUUUGCUUCCAUGGAUAUUUGUGGUGUUUUUCAAUAAAACGCCGGUAAAAUUUAAUAUCAUUUAGUCUUUAUAUUUUUAUAAUAUUAUUAAUUAAUCAAAAUACUUAAUAUUAUUAACACUAAUUAAUCAAAACUCUAAACCUUAAACCAUUAAACUAUAUCCCCAUAACCUUAAACCCUAAACUAUAUCCCCUAACCAUAAACCACAAAACAAUAACCCCUAAGCCUUAACCACAAAAUGUAUGAAUUAAUCAUAACCCUAAACUAUAUCCCUUAAUCCUUAAACCACAAAAUAAUAACACUAAUUAAUCAAUACUCUAAACCUUAAACCAUUAAACUAUAUCCCCUACUAACGUACCUUAAACUAUAUCCGUUAAACCCUGAACUAUAUCCCCUAACCAUAAACCACAAAAUAAUAACCCCUAAGCCUUAACCACCAAAUGUAUGAAUUAAUCAUAACCCUAAACUAUAUCCUCUGAUUCUUAAAUCACAAAAUAAUAACACUAAUUAAUCAAUACUCUAAACCUUAAUCCAGUAAACUAUAUCCCCUACUAAAGUACCCUAAACUAUAUCCCGUAAACCUUAAACCACAAAAUAAAAACCCCUAAGCAUUAACCCCUAAACCAUUUAACCCAUAACCCAUAACCCAUAAACCCCUAACCACUAACCCAUAACCCUUAAACCAUAAGCCAUAAACAUAAUCCUUAAACCCAUAAACCCUAAACCUUUAAAUAGUAAAUUUUAAACCUUUAACCCUAAAUUAUACACCCUAAACCAUAAAAUGGGCAAAUAAUGUAGUGUUUUAGUUUUUUUUUAAAUUGAGUUUUAAGCGGUCUAAUUUCAAUAUUAUUUAGGUCUAGUCGAGAUUGAUAUAAUCGUAAAAUUUUCCCUUCUAAUAUAAUUACCAAAAUACUUUUAUAUCUAAUAUUAGUUUAAAAUAGAUGAUGAUAAAAUUCAUAUCAUUAUUUUCUCUAGCAUAAUGUUAUAAUUAUAAAAUGAUUAAUGAUAUCGUUAAAAAUAUAAUAAAAUUUUAAAAAUAUUUGUUGUAUUUUGAUUAAAAUAUAAAAAAAUUCAAAUACAUCAUAACGUACUUAUAAGUUAUUUGUUCUAUUUUGAUAAAAAAAUAUAUAUUAAAAAUUUAAAAUUUUGACAUAAUUGCGGCGUUUAUAACCCCAAAUGCCACUAACAAGCAUAUAUAAAAACGCUAACGUUUUUGGUCAAUCUUAAACAUAUUUGCGGCGUUUUAGAGGAAAACGCCGCUAAAGACAAAUAUAUUGCGGCGUUUUUCAAUAAACGCCGCUAAUGCCAGUAUAGCUCAACCACGAAACGACGUCGUCCUUCUCAUCACUUUUGUGGCGUUUUCGACUAAGCGCCACUACUACUCGACAUAUAGCGGCGUUUUCUUGGAAGCGCUGCUAAUUCCACGUAACCUUAAUUUAAACGACGUCGUUAACCUUAAUAUUUUAGCGGCGCUUUUCUUAAAACGCAACUAAUGCUGAUAUUUUGUGGCGUUUUUGCCUAAGCGCCACUAAUUCCGUGGAAACUCAACAUAAACAACGUCAUUUUGCUGAACCUUUUAGCGGCGCUUUAUUUAAAACGCCGCUAAUGCUCGAUCUUUUGAGGCGUUUUGUUGAAGCGCCGCUAAUGCUCAACCUUUAGUGGCGUUUUCUAUUAAAACGCCGCUAAAAACCUGUUUUGCUGUAGUGUAUAAAUUUUACAUUGUGAGAGUAUUUGAUUUUUGUCUUUCUAUGUUAAAAAUUAUUUUUAUGUAAAAGACAUAAUUGUUGAUUAGAUAUGUUUGCUAUUAAUUUAGUAUGUUUUCCCUAUUUUUUUGGUAAAUCAUUCUUUUUGAAUUUUUUUAAUUAAGUUAUAUUAUGCAUAAUAUUUAGAUGUUUAAAAUUUUGAUUAUUAAAUUUUUGUUAUUAAAUAUUUUUAAAAUUUUAUUAAAAUUAUAGUGGAAAAUGUUAUUAACCUACCAUUGUUGAUUAUAGGGAAAUUUGAUAUCUAUUGAGUCUUAUUAACUUGUUAAUGUUAAAUGAUUGUAUGAUAUCUUUUAAAUUGAACUUAUAAAUAUUUUACUAGAGCAAGAUAAGAUUUUAUAAUAUAUAUGUGAUAUUGAAAUUUGAUACAAUGUGUAUCGGAUAAUUUUCUAGCAUCGUACAUAAAAAUUUUGAUUAUUUAUUAAAUGAUUUUUACUAUUAGAUUAUAAAUGUUAUUAAAGAAGCAAAGUUGUUUUACUACUUGUAAUAGUACUCGUGAUAAUAGUCAAGGUGAUGACGAUGAUGUUAAAGAUUUUCAGGUAUAUUUUAUUUAUUAUAUCAUGUUUAUUAUAAUUGGAGAAUAAUCAUGAUAACAUGAAUGGAUAGAUUCUGCUUUAAAAUCCACACAUGUUUACGAUGGUAAUUAUGAAAUAAAAAAAUCAAUAGAAGCGUUUAAAAGUUUGUCCUACGAGAUUUGUUACAUUCUCUAAAUUGAAUGCAAACAUAAAAAAAAAAAAAGAUAUAAUUAUGGACCACUAAAAGUGGGAAUAUAGUAAUAAAUAAUAGAACAAUGAGAGUUCUCAAUAUAACUCUUCAAAGGGUAAAGAUAAUUUAUGUUAUCAAUGUGAUAUGAAAUAUUAUUGACCACAUAUGUGCCGUAUGCCCAAAUAUUUUAUUUCUAUUAAUAUUUUUUGAGGAAGUAGAUGAAAAUGUAGUAAUGAAUUCCAUCAUUACAGAUAGAAAAUAUUUAUCUUAUUUAAUACUGAAACAAACAAAUAUUAUCAAAUAUUUGAUAGUAUAAAUUAGUUGAAAGCUUCAGAAGAGCUAAUAUAUCAAUAUUUAAAAAGCACAAAAUUUAUGAUGGUUAAUGCAUUACUUUUAAAAUAUAUUUGUAAUGGAUCUCAUAUUGAGAUUGUGAAUGAGGAAAAUAUUAUAUUUCAUAUGAAUAAAAAAGGGGAUUGGGUUAUUAAUUUAUAUUUAUUUUAUAAUAUUUAUGAUAUCUUUUGUCAUCAUCCCUAUUAAAGGGUUAAAAGCAAAAUAUUUGAUUGUGAAAGAUUUACUUAUGAGUAAUAGAAUAUGAUAAUUCUAUCUAAAGCUUGUUAUGGUUGGAUGCACCUAAAGUCACAAGUUUUUUAAAAACCGUGAGUAUAACUCUACAUUAUUCAGAAUAAGUUCUCAAUUAAAUUUACGUGGUAAAAUAUUAUUGAUGAGAACUUGCAAGAGAGAAAACUUAUCUAUGUAAAGUCAUUGGUUAUGUACCUGUUAUACACCUGGAAAAUAAGAUCCACUCUCAAAGUUUGCUAUUAAUAGAUUUUUAGGUAUUUGAAGAUUUUGGCACAUUCCCUGAAGCAAAUACUACAUAUAAUUAUUUGGAAAUUAUAUUUAUUGACUUAGUGACAUUAUAGACUUCACAUUGAUUUAGACAUUUUCAGUAAUACAUGUCACAAUAAAUUAAAAUGAAUGAUAAUAAAAUUAUCAAUUUGUUACAAUUUAGUACAAAUGAAACAUAUGUUAAAGUAAACCAGAAGUUUACUAAUACAAAUACAUUUACUAUUUGACGUGACCAGUUAGACCAUCCUGGAUCAUAUAUGAUGCGAAAAUUAAUUGAGAAUUUAUAUGGACAUUCAUUAAAGAACCAAAAGAUUCUUUAAUUUAAAGAAUUCUCAUUUGUUGUUUGUUCUCAAUGAAAAUUGAUUCUUAGAAACUCACUAGCUAAAGUUGAGAUCUAAUGUCUUAUAUUUCUAAAAUGAAUAUGGGCUCAUUCAUCCACUAUGUGGAUGGUUUUGAUAUUAUAUGAUUUUGGUAGAUGCAUCUACAAAAUAAUCACAUGCAUUAUCAACUCGCAACCUGUUGUUUGUGAGAUUGCUUGUUUAAAUGAUUAAUUUCAGAUUAUGCAAUUAAAACAAUUCAUCUUGCUAAUUUUGGUGUGUAACACCCCUAACCCGUAUCAGUUGCCAGAACAAGGUUAUGGAGCAUUACCGGAGUUUACAUUUCAGAACUAUCAAAAAUUUUAAAACAUUUAAUUCAUAUCAUCAAUCACUAUAAAACCAAUCAAUAGGAUACAUAUUAUGCCUCAUACGAGCCCUCGAGGCCCUAAAAACACAUUAGAAACAAAUUGAGACUAAAUCAGAAACAUAUAUAAAUUUCAGGGAAAAGAUGAAAAUUUACAAACUGCAGGGUCAUACGGCCGUGUGGCCAGGCCGUGUAACUUACACGGCUAGGAGACACGCCUAUGUAUUAGGCCAUGUAAGCAUUCAAAAUAGGGACACACGGUUGUGUCCCAGCCCGUGUAACUCACUGACUUGGGUCACACGGCCAAACCAUACGCUCGUGUGCUAGGCCGUGUACCCUUUGAAAUAACCUCACACGCCUGAGUGCUAGGCCGUGUGCUAGGCCGUUUAAAACCUGGCUUGCAACCUUUUGAAAACUAUAAGGGACACACGGCCAUGCUACCUGGCCAUGUGUCACACACGGCUGAGACACAUGCCCAUGUCUCUGCCCAUGUGGACGAAGAUAGGCCAUUUUACAAGCCAUUUUUCUCACCUUUUUCAACAUGUUCCUAUAAUCCCUUUUGCACAUAUACUUAAGCCCUCAAAAUGCACCAAAAUCAUGCAUAAUCUAACUUUAUACAUAUAGUAUAACCACACUCAACCAAUAUUGUAAUGGCCUAAAUUCAAAGUUAUCGGAACAGUGGUUUCGUAACCACAAAUAUGAUUUAAAGAGAAAUUUAUUUCAAUAUUUUUGCAUUAAAAUUGAUAUGAUAGGAAAAUCGUAUGAAAAUAUUGAUAGAAAAUUUUACCGAUUUAAUGGUUAGUUAGAAAAAGAAAUUAUUGAAGAAAUUGGGUAAAAACAAGGUAUUGGGACCUCUAUCUCGUAAAACUGAGUCGAAAAUAAUUUUAUAAAUAUUUAUGAAAUGUUAGUAAUGUGGUAUUAAAAUUUCGUUAGGAAAUUUUAAUGUUUGGGUAGUCAAUUAAAUGAAAAGGACUAAAUUGUAAUAGGUGUAAAAGUUGCUAGAAUGAUUAAAUAGCUUAAGAGUCUAAUGAGAAAGGAUUUAAAAGGCAAUUAGACCCAAAAUUUAUUUGGGCUGGACGGCAAGGGCAUGAAAUCAGUAGGAAAAUUGAUAAAUUAAGGGCAAAAUUGGAAUAUUGCAAAAUUAACUAAAUAAAACUAGGACUAAAUAGGAAAUAUCUAGAUUUCUCUUCAUUUCUCUUCAAUUCCAGCAGCUAAAAAUGCCAUAGGAGGGUUCUCUAAGCUGGUAUUUCAUAGUUUUUGCACCAAGUGAGUUAAUCCUUGCCUUUUUCUUGUAAUUUUUGUGUUUCUAAGACUUUUACAACUAGGUCCUACUAUUAAAUUCAUUAGUUUUUGAUUUCAUGGAUGAAAUUGAAAGUCACCAUGGUUUAGUGUUGUAAUUUUAUGAUGAAAUAGAAUGAAAUUAAAGCUUUAAUUUGUUUAUUAGAUUAUUUUAUUAGGUAAUUUCAAUAGAAAUUGAUUUUUAGGACGUAAUUCUGAAAAUGCUUAGAAUUAAAGUCUAUUACUGAAAUUCUGAUUCCUAAAGGUUUUAAACUAGUUUAAGGUGAUAGAAUAAAAUGUUAAUUGAUAAAAAUCAGCUCAAUUGAGAGGCUAAUUGAGUAGGGACGAAAUUAUCAUUUAUUAAAAGCUUAAGGGAAAAAUGGUAAUAAACCGCUUGCACAAAAACAGUUUGGACAGCAGCAGUAGACUAACUUUGAAAAAUCACCAUAAAUUGUAUAAAUCGAAUUAGAAGAUUAAAAAAUAUGGAAUUAAAGAUUAUUGAGUCUAGUUUCUCAUAGAAGAAAUAGUGUAAGCAAUGGAUUUGUAAAUUUUGAGAUAUAAUGAAUUUUGUGAGACAGGGUCAGAAUGAAUUUGGGUUCCCCUGUUCUGACUUUGAAAAAUCAUAAAAAAUUGAAAACAAAUAAUUAGGGGCUUAAAUUUAUAUUUAUAGAAUCCUGAAUGAUUCUAUUUUUAAGAGAAACAAACAAGAAUAUCAUUUGAAUCCUGUAUGAAGAGAUAAUUAAUUUUUAGUGAAGAAGGGUCAGAACUGUCAGACAGCAGAAUAGGGGUUACUUUAAAGAAUAAAAUGUACUUAUUUUAUAAACUAAAAAUUAUAAUAAUUUUAUGGUAAGAAUAUAUAUGAGUCUAGUUUCAGUUAAAAUUAACGGAUCUUAAUUUGGAGUUCCGUAGCUCGAUUUAUAAAUAAUUUAGUGACUAUAACUCAAAUAGGCAGCUUUGAAUAAACUAUUAAUAUUAAUAGUUGAAUUAUAGAGAAUGUUGCAUAUGAACAUGAAAUGUAUUAAAUUGAUAAUUAAAUUUAUUUAUUUAGAUCUAGAAGAUUCAAAUAUGAAGCUAGAUUGAGGAAAGGAAAAAGUUCGAGAUUAGUAGAUUUUUUUUACAAACAAGUAUCAAGGUAAGUUCGUGUAACUUGAAUUAUAUUCUUAAAUGCUUGAGAUUGUAUGUUAUUGAUGUGAAUAUGAUUUGAAUGUUCAUUGUACGAAAAUUAAUGACACAUUGAUAUAUUUGAUAAAAUGGGAAGAAAUCCCGUUUGAAUAAAAGGAAAAUUCGAUGGAUCUCUGAAAAGAAAUUGACGGUAAAAAGGAUCUAGCCCGGACGGGUGAUCCUAUCCUGAUCUAGCCCUCCCGAAGAAUAUGUGUAAAAUGGAUUUAGCCCGGACGGGUAAUCUGAAUUAGGGUCUGAAUUUAGCUUGGACUAGUAAUUCUGAUCCAAGCUCAUUAGAGUAAUUGUCGUUGCAGGGGAUUUCUCCUGGACUGGUAAUCCCGCUGCAAGGUUGAGGUUCGCGGGAGUGUGCUCUCUGAAAUGGAAAUGUGCGCACAUGAAUAUGAUUUGACGGACCCGGAAUUGUACACUAAAAGUGUAUCUCUGAAAAAUCCAUCGAAAUUCCGAUAAAUUCAACUGGAUAAAUAUGGAAAAAUAACAAGGAAAUGGAAAUUAUGAUAUUGAUGAACUCAUCAAUCAUAGUAUAUAUUAUUGGUACAUGGAAAUUAUUGUACUAACUUGAAUGUUGAGUUUGUGCAUGUUAGGGUAAUAAUGCAUUGAAUGGAUAUAGGAAUGUUUAUUGUAUUGUAUUGAAAAUAUUAGGUAAGUAUAAUUCUUGUUACAUGAGCUUACUAAGCACAAAGUGCUUACUCUGUUUCAUUUUCCCCUAUUUUGUAGUGUUAAGAGCUCGGAGGUCGGAUUUGGUCGGAGACACAUCACACUAUCAACCUCAGGAUUUCGGUAUAUAAAGAAAAUAUAUUUUGGAAAUCAAUGGCAUGUAUAAGCUAAUAAAGUAAAUUAUUCUGUGAAAUGAAUGUAGAGUUAGUCAUUGGUAUAGCUAACAAAUCUUGGUUUUGGGUAUGUGAUGACGUUAUUUUAUAAAUAUGCAUGAAUUUAUCUUGAAAAUAUGUUGAAUUGGAUUGGUUGAUGUGGAUUGUUUCUGGUUUAAAAUUUUAGGGAAGAUUAGAUAUUUAUAAAGGGUUAUAUUGAGUUAAAAAAAAUUAAUUCGUAAACUUCGGUAAUACUUCGUACCCUAUUUCGGCAAUGAAUACGGGUAGGGGUAUUACAAAUAUGCACAUAGGCAUCUCAAAUAACAAUUUAUAAACAUGUAUCACCAAGUACUCCAUUUGGUCAAAAUAAACAACUAACUUCCAAUUUGAUUUGCAUCCAUACAUACCAUAAAUCUUACUUAUCAAAACACAAACCACUUGGUACCAAAAUGUCAUUCUUUAACUAAUAUCAAUUAACUAAAUACUUAUACAUAACAAGGUACCAAAUCACCACAUAUACCACAUAUCAUAAAGCACCUAUACCAUAUGCAUAUUCAACUACCAUUUCAUAUUUUAUCAUUCAAACAAACAAGCCAAACAUUAACCAUAAUAAUGCUACUCAUAUACAUGUCAAACUUUACCAUUAUAUCAUCAAUGUACCAAAACUCAACGAAGUCAAAUGGCCAUUUCGACAUUCAAACACAUAGACCAAUAUUAAUUAGAAUACCUAUACAUGCCAUUAUAACCAAAAUAAAAACAUUUGAAAGUAGUGAUAGAGCCGGUGGAUAAUGUGAUACAACUCCGACUAGCUUCCAACCCGAUCGAGCUUUUGAUAGUUUGAAAAGUAAAGAAAAACAACUACGUAAGCAAUGAAUGCUUAGUAAGCUCGUAUAAACUUUAAUCAUAUCAAUAUAUUUCCAAUAUAAAAUUUAUACAUAUCAAGAAUAAUCAUAUACCGAUACCACAUAAUUCAUGAAACCAAAUUCAACAACUUGCAAAAUGAGUAAAUCCACAGCAUCACUUAUACAUAUUAUCCCUAGCAUAGUAGGAUUUUAGACAACUUUAUACUCUUUCAAAUUUCUUUAUUUUCAUUUGCAUUUCAUUACUGUCCACCCCCGUUCCAUAUGCAUAACACACAAGUCAUAAGCAUAUCAUUUAACCAUAGCCACAAGCUAGUGCAUUUAAACAUAUCCCUUUUCUAAUUAAUCACAUGAUAAGCCAUUUCAUAAGAAAUUGCAUAAUUUAGACCUUACCACUUUUUCAUGAGCAGAAGCAUAUUUUCAUUUGAGCACUUACCAUUUCAAUGCAACUUAUAAGUAAACAGAAUACCAUUCAACCAACAGCUUGACAAUUGCCUAAGCAUCAAACAACAACUCAUGUUAGCUUACUUGAACAUAUUUCAUAUAAAUUCAACAUUUGAUAACCUUAUUUUCUCAGCAUGUCACACCUGAGUUUAUUACUCGUCUCCAAUUACAUAAUUUCCAUGUAUCAACAUAUCAAAGAUAUUCAUAUAUGUACAUGUCAUGAUACAUAUCAUUCUUUUAUCGUUUCUUCAUAUAUAUAUCAUCCAUUUCAAUAUAUCAAUAUAUCAUGUACUAUCAUUUCCAUGUAUUUCAUGUAUAUACUUGUAUUAGUUCGUAUCGAACUCAUAUAACCUCGUAAUAGAACUGUGCCCAUUGAACCAUUUAGAAUAAUAUUAGAUACGCGAGAAUCUCGCACACUAAAUGCCAACACGUGGUUGAAACCAAUACUAUCUCAUAUGUCAUAUCAGUGCUCUCUCUUGAGCCAUAAUUGGGUCUGCUCACACAAGUUGUCAGACAAGAUGUAGCUACACGGUGUUGCUCACACAAGCUGUAAAGUAAUCGCAACACAUGUUGGAAACUCAACCACCGAUAGGACGUACGAGACCAGCACCCAAAACACGAUAACCCCUAAUGACAUGUCAUUUGUAUCCUAAAUAUUCCUAAGGUUCAAAUGGGACUUGAUAGUCGUCAUGCGUCGUUGAAUUUUCAUUGUUUCGUUAUAAGUUAAAUUGUAUACUAACAUAUAUAUUAAUUCAUUUUCAAUAAAAUUUCAUAUAAUAAUCAAUUUAAUUAACAUUACACAUAGUAUAGUUCAUACAAAUUUACUUGGCUAAAUUACAAAAAUACCAAAUUUUGGGGCAUUUUAGUAAUAUUCCAUUUUCCUCAAUUUUUCACCCGGUCUUGAUCUAAAUUAAUAAUUUCAUUCAAUAUAUUAAUUUAGACAAUAAAACAUUUCAUUUCAUACAAUUUGGUCAUUUUUGACAUUUUACAAAAUUACGCCUAAAGUUUUACUUUUAUUCAAUUUAGUCCCUGAGCCCAAAACAUGCAAAUUAACCAUUUUUACCCAAAAUUAUGCUUAGCCAAAUGUUCAUGGUAUCUAAAGCAACCCAUUCAUGCAACAAUUUCACAUUAAAUCCUUGUACUUCUAUUAAUUUAACAAAUUAGUCCCUAAUUGAAAAUUUUCAUCAAAAUCACUUAACAAAAUACUUUUAAAUAUAAAUCAACAUUCCAAAUUCAUCAUCUAAAAAAAUCACAAGAUUCAUCAAUAGAAACAUUCAAAAUCUUUAACAGUUUCAAGAUCGAAGGUCGCUGGACCUAAUUGUAACGAUCUCAAAAACAUAAAAAUUACAAGAAACUGAUAGUUUAGGGGCUUACAUGCAAGGAAUUUACUUAAGCAAAAUUUUAAAGCUUCCAUGGCUCUUUCUUGCUAUAAAUUUCGGUUGAAAGAUGAAACAAAAAAGAUGACAACUUUGUUUUAUUUAUUUAAUAUAUCUUUAAUUGCCUAAUUAUCAAAUUACCCUUACCUAACUUUAAAAGUUUCAUAAUUGCCAAGCCAUGCACAUCCUGUAACUCAUUUAAUGGUCUAAUUAUCAUAUAAGAACUUCCAUUUUAAAUAUCUAUAGUUAUUUAAUGUCUUUAGCUUAUAGAACACAACUUUUGCACAUUACAUGAUUUAGUCCUUUUUGCUUAAUUAACUAUCAAAAUGAUAAAAUUUUUCAACGAAACUUUACUACCACCUUAAUUACACUCCAUAAAUAUUUAUAAAAAUAUUUACAGCUCGGUUUAUGGAAACGAGGUCCCGAUGCCUCAUUUUCUAAAACCACUUGACCUUAGGGUCAUACCACUUGAACUUAAUAAAUCACUUAUAAAACAAAUCACAAUAUUAAAAACCUUUUUAAAAUCACAAUUAACUCGUAAAUAUUAAAUAUAAUAUUUACAAACUUACUCAUAGGAUCUGGUGGCCUCGAAACCACUGUUUCUGACACCACUAAAAAACGGGCUAUUACAUGGUGAGUUUACUUCCCAAGUUUUCAAUGAUUAUUGCAUGUCAAUUGGGAUAAAAGUUGAACAUCCUGUAGCUCAUGUUCACACACAAAAUGAUUUAACUGAAAUUUUUUAUCAAAUGGCUCCAACUAAUAGCUAAAUCAUUACUUAUGAGAACAAAACUUUCUAUUUCAGCAUGAGAUUUUAUUGAUUUACAUGUUGUACGCAUCAAGCUAAUAAAUUAUAAAUACUCCCCAUUACAAUUGAUUUUUGGUAAGAGCCAAAUAUUUCCCAUCUUACAAUUUUUGGAUGUGCGGUAUAUGUUCCAACUGCUCCACCACAAUGCACAAAGAUGGGUCAUUAUAAGAGAUUGAGAAUGUAUAUUUAUAUGAGUCUCCUUAUAAUAUUUUUGAGCUAUCAAUUUGAUAUUUAGUUAUGACAUUAGUUGUUAGUUUUUCCAACAUUAGAGGGAAAGAAUAAAAAGUUGGAUUAAUAAAGUACUUGAAAUGAAUUAUUAAUGUCUAAGAUUCUCGUACAAAGCAAUGUGAACUAGAAGUUCAACAGAUAAUUCAUUUUUCAAAUCAGCUGCCAAAUUCAUUAAAUUUCACAUACCAGCUAAAAAUGCUCCAAUAUGAAUUGAUGUCCUAACAGGGAAAAUUGUUAGUGUAAAAGAAAGCAAUUCAUAUCUAAAGUGUGGAAGACAAGUCGGUCCCAAAGAUAAAAAUCCUCUUAAAAGAAAAGAAGCAAACAUUCAAUAUGAUCAUAUAGUGGAGGCGGGGGGUUCCUGAAGAGACCCAUGACAUAUAUAAAACUCGAGAAGAGAUUCAGGUACCUAAAACUGAAAAUGGAAAUGAUGAAAAUAAAUAGGUCUUGGCAAAUUAUGUUAAUAUGAGAAAAAGAUGGAAACGAAAAAAAUUUAGUUGUUGACGACAAUUUUGCUUAUAAUUCUACUAUUGAAAUAAUAAAAGAAAAUGAGGAUCUUGAGUCUAAAUCUACUAAGGAAUGUAAAAAUAGAAAAGAUUGACCAAAACGGAAAGAUGCAAUUCAUACAGAAUUGAAUUCACUUUCUAAACGUGAAGUUUUUAGACUUGUAGUCCAAACACCUAAAGUGUAAAGUUGGUAGGAUAUAAAUGAGUAUUUGUGUGAAAACGAAAUGAAAUUGAUGAAGUCAUAAUAUAUAAAGCUCGACUUGUAGCAUAAGGAUUCUCGCAAAUGCCCAACAUUGAUUAAGAAGAGACAUAUUCUCCUGUGGUGGAUGCAAUCACGUUUAAAUAUCUUAUCAGUUUAGUAGUACGUGAAAAACUUGAUAUGCAUCUAAUGGAUGUUGUUACAGCCUAUUUAUAUGGUACACUUGAUAGUGAAAUUUAUAUGAAAAUCGCUGAAGGAUUUAAAAUCCCAGAAGGAUAUAGAGUUUUUUGAGAAAAUUGCUUGAUCAGAUUAAAGAAAAAUUUAUAUGGAUUAAAACAACCUGAACGUAUGUGGUACAAUUGUUAGUGAAUACUUGUUAAAAGAAGGUUACAAAAAUGAUCCAAUUUGUCUAUGUGUCUUUAUCAAAAGGUUUGGAUCAAAUUUUGUGAUAAUUGUUGUUUAUGUUGAUGAUCUAAAUAUUAUUGGAACUCCAGAAGAGUUUCAAAAUACAAUAAAUUGUUUAAAGAAAGAUAAAUUUUAUAUUGGCUUACAAAUUGAGCAUUUUAAAAAUGAAAUUCAUGUUCAUUAAUCAACUUAUAUGGAAAAGAUAUUACAGAAAUUUUACAUGGAUAAAGUACACCCAUUAAGUACUCCAAUGGUUGUACGAUCAUUAGAUGUGAAUAAAGAUAAAUUUUUUCGUUGCAAGAAUGAUGAAGAGUUUCUUGGUCUUGAAGUACCAUAUCUAAGUGCCAUAGGGGCAUUGAUGUAUCUUGCAAACAACACAAGACCUGAUAUAGUUUUUUGUUGUAAACCUGUUAGCAAGAUUUAGUUCUUCUCCAACAUGUAGACAUUGGAAUGAAAUUAACAUGUAUUCAGAUAUUUCAGAGGGACCAUUGAUAUGGGGUUAUUUCAUUCAAAUGAUUCAAAAUCCCUAUUAGUUGGUUAUGUUGAUGCUGGAUACUUUUUAUAUCCACAUAAAGGUCAAUCUCAAAUAGGAUAUUUAUUUGUAUGUAGGGGUACUACCAUAUUAUGGUGCUCGACAAAGCAAACAUUAGUUGCUGCUGAUUCUUCAAAUCAUGCAAAAAUAAUUACAAUUCAUGAGGCAAGUCGAGAGUGUGUUUGUCUAAGGUUAUUGACCCAACAUAUCCAGAAGAUAUGUAAUUUGUAUUUACAGGAAAAGAUGUUAAUUAUCUUAUAUGAAGAUUGUAACGGCCCAAUUUUUUCUGGGCUCAAACCAAAAAUAAACCAAAAAUAAAAAAUAACAGAAUCUAUUACAGUCCAAUUACAAAAUUACAAGCCUAAAACAAGAGAAAAAACCCUAAUGGCCCAGGCCCAAUAGCCUAAACUAUUUCUAGAAAAAAAAACCCUAGCUGCUAGCCGUCGCUUCCACGUAGCCAUAACAGCGCAAACGUUGCCCAAGGUUUAACGCAUUGGGAGCGCCUUUCCCCACCGUCGACUCCAUCGCCACUUGCAAAAAAAAAAGGGGGAACGCAAGGACAGAGGCAGCAAAGAAACAACAUGCAAUAAACAGUAGCCAACAAACAGUAGAAAAAAUAGGAAAAAAAUGUAUAAUGAACAGUAGAUAAUGGCUAUAAAAGUCGAAGAAGAGAUUGUAUUCGGAGGAUUUUUUUGUUUUUGGAAGACAAAGAAAUAGAGAAAGCAAUCAAAAAAUAUAUAAAAAAAUACAAAAGGUGAUUUUUUUUUUACUUUUUUAAAUAAAUAAAGAAUAAAAAAGGGAGUUUUUUUACCCUUUUUAAUCGUUAGUGACAGACUAGAGGAGAGAAUUCAAGAGGUUUCUUGACUAUUGGUCCAAUUUUCACCAAUUUUUUGAUGAUUUUAAACCCAAAACAGGGUUUUAAAAAAAAGAAUCAAAAAGAGAGGUUUUAAUUUUUUCAGGCCACCAGAGACGACGGUCGCCAUCGCCGACGGCCGGGGGCCGCAGCGGAGCACGGUAGUCCUAUGGCCGGACAUGAAGAACGCUUUAGAGGGAAAAAAAGGGAGUUUUUUUUAACAGUUGAGAAAUGAUUUUUUUGAAGGAAUUUUGACUUAAAUAAGGUGCCAAAACGGCAUCGUUUCAAGAUGGUCUGAAGUGCCCCAAAAUGACAAAACGACGUCAUUUUGGGGCCGACCCGAUUCCUGACCUGACCCGCCUUAGGAUCCGCGUUUUUUUAAGGAGGGUUUAUUCGCAUUUUUUUAAGAAGGGUCUCUUUGCGCUUUUAGUCCUUCCGCUUUUAUGGCCUGUUUCAAUUUAGUCCUAUUUCUUUUUUUAAUUUUUACCCCGUAAUUUUGGUUUUUUUCAUUUUGGUCCUUCACAGAACCGUGCGUUUGGUGGUCUGGGAAUAAUUUCCCAGUUGGUCCCUCCCUUUUCUUAUCGCAUUUAGUUUUAGUUCUUUAUUCGAUUUUAUUAUUUAAUUUAUUAUGAUUUAUACCUUUAAUUUCGUUUAAAUUUCAAUUUAGUCCUUCAUUCAAUUAAUUUCAUCCAUUUAUAUUUGUUUUAUCUAUUUAUUUAUUUAUUUAUUUAUUUGUUAUUCUUUUACAUUUUAAAUAUUAAAUUUGAUAUUACUUAUAUUUGUAUUAUCUAUUUAUUUAUUUGUUAUUAUUUUACUUUUUAAACAUUUUAAAUUUGAUAUUAUUUAUAUUUGUUUUAUUUGUUUAUUUUUUUAGCUAUUAUUCUUUUACUUUUUAAAUACUUAAAUUUAAUAUUAUUUAUAUUUAUUUUAUCUAUCUAUUUAUUUAUUUACUAUUCAUUUACUUUUUAAAUACUUAAAUUUAAUAUUAUUUAUAUUUGUUUUAUCUAUUUAUCUAUUUAUUAUUCUUUUACUUUUUAAAUACUUAAAUUUAAUAUUUUUUAUAUUUUUAUCUAGUUAUUUAUUUAUUAUUCUUUUACUUUUUAAAUAUUUAAAUUUGAUAUUACUUAUAUUUCUUUUUCAUUAUCCAUUUAUAUAUAUAUAUUUGCCCUUAUUAUCAUGAUCAUUAUUAUUUCAUUAUUCAUGUUAUAAUAAGCAAUCACAAUAUGAUAUCAUCGUUAUAAAUUGAUGUUGCACUUUCAUUGUAUUUGCUUUAUUAUUACUCCCGAGCAUGACAUUUUAUUUUUCGUAUAUCAUCGUUCCACUUUUAUACACUACCAUUUCAUGUUAUUUCACUAUAAUCAUGUCACGAAUUGUGUUUAGAUAUAUUUAUUCAUUACUGCAUUAUACCCAAAUAAGACAAAUACGCAUUGUGUAACGCCCCAAAUUUUAUGUUUAGGCUUUUGUGAUUAAUUCAUGUAAUUGUGCAUCUGCUUCAGUGGUUAAGUGUUCUGGGUGUGUGUGAGAGGUCCUGAGUUCAAACCUUAGCUUGGGAAAAAUUUUGGUUUUUUAGAUGUAUAAAGCCUUGUCUUAAGUUAUAGGGCUUAUAAGUAAUUGGUUGGAAAAGCUUACAAGAAUGGGCCUGCUGGUCUAGUGGAUAAAGGGAGUGUAGAUGUAAGGGAGGUCUUAGGUUCGAGUCUGAAUGAAGGCAUUAUUUUUACUACUAAUGCCGUCGGAGUGUUUGAGUUGGCUUGGGCGCCGGAGUGUUUGAGUUGGCUUGGGAUACUGAGUGUUUGCAACAACUGAGGUUUAGUGGGAGUAAAACAAAGGAUUUGGGAAUAACCCAAAUCAUUCCACUCUCUCCCUGUCGAAAUUCCCCUCUCCAUAUUUUCUCUAUUUUUUCUUUCCAAUCGAAAAUCCCCUGUUGCUACCGAUUUUUGCUUUAUUUUAAUAUUAGUUUUUGGUCCUUUUUCGUCAUCGUUACUUACCUCUGUAUUCAGCGUGAAUUCGAUAAGUGUUGGGGUGCUUUUUGUCUCGUUUUUGUGUUUGUUGAGUGGUUAAGAGACUCUUUUCUAUUUAGGAGACAAUCUAGGCACUGUGGAUUGCUAAAACGACACUUUAGAUAGUAAGGAACUACCGUUGAUUGUUAGAGGUAUGGACAUCGUUAACUUUUAGGAUUUUCCCGUUCUUAGAAACUUAGUUUAAGUGACUAACUAAGGGAUGUGUUGUUUGAUAUUAGGUUCUGGAGUAUUCCUGGUUGCGUUAGCUUCGAAUCGAUACCAGGUGUGUACUCCGAUUACACAGAAAAUGAGAUUUGCCCAAAGCCGAAAAGUAAACUAUCGACGCCACACGGGCGUGUGGACUGCCAGUGUGGUAGGCCAUGUGGCGAUACACGACUGCGUGGUCGACGAAUCAGGCUGUGCGCAUGCAACACAGGUGCACGACAUGACCGUGUGAUGACCGAUGAGGUUGUGUGUGAGACACGGGCUCAACCAAUUGGGCCGUGUGGGCCAUACAGGUAUGUGAGUCCACAGGGGUGAACCACACGGACGUGUGGGAAUUUGGGCCAAGCCGUGUGAUCCACAUGGCCAAGGCUGAUUUGGGCUGUGUGGACCACACGAACAUGUCACAUGGGUGUGUGAGCCCAUUUUUCUGAAAUGUUCUGUAAUGUUGCACAGGUCGCCCAAGUUGACUGUAACUGGUUAUAAGGUCGGUAAGUAUUACUUAGACCUCUAAUUUCUGUAGAUCUGAUCUGAUUAUGUGAUGUAUGAUUAACGCAUGUGCUAGUUAGCAUGUAUAUAUGUUAUGUUCUGUAUAUGGGUAUAUGUCUGUUAAUUUGUUUAUUAGCAUGCCAUGUUUGUAUGCUGCAUUGCAUUGGGGUGGGUUUGAUGAAGUGAAGGAAGUAUCUGAAAGGCUUCAUAAACCUGUUGUCUGGCAGCUAAGCUACAUAUUUAUGACGUGUGCUGCAUUGCGGUAUCUUAUGGUGUGUAAGGUUGGAUGGGUCGAUAUUAUCCCCAUAUUUGGUGUGCAGGGAUGGGUGGAUCGAUUUUAUCCCGACAUGGUGUGUUUGAUUGGACGGAGUUAGUGUGCAAGGUUAGUGGGUAUAUUUUUUUGUAUAUCUGAUCUGUUGCAUGCUAUAUCUGACUUCGUGGGCUAAGGCCCAACUUUAUAUAUGCAUCUGAUUUUGUUUCUGAGUGGGUUAAAGCUCACACCAAUUCUGUAAAGGGCUCAAGCCCGAAGUAUGACUAUUUUCUGAUAUCUGUCUGUAUGCAUGUUGAACUGUGGGGAUGUACAAACUGAGUUGUGAAACUCACCCUUUUCUAUUUUGUCAGUCCAGGUAAUCCCCAGCAGUAGUUGGAUUGGUGCAGCGGAGGACUCGAUGGUGACCCCAGCUUCCCACUUAUGGGUUUUAUAGUUUAAACAUUUUAUUUCGUUCCUUCUUAAUUAUUUUGGGAAUUUUGGAUAUAAUCUUGGACUUGGAUUUUCGAUUUUGAUUUGGGAUUUGAACUGUGAAUUCAGAUUUUAGAACUGCAAUGCUAGAGAAUGGUUUUCUCAAAAUAACUAAGGUUUUUCGUAAAUUAAAUUGAUUUUGAAAGCUUUCCGAUUUGAAAUAGGACUCUAGACUAAAUUAAAGAUUACAACUGAAACAGUUUUCAAGUAGAAAAAAAGGGUUUUCUAAAAACACUAUUAUGUGACAUCGUCAGAUUCAGUGGUAUCAGAGUCAGGUUUGUAAAAACUCGACUGUGGAUUUGGGCGGUAAAAAGAAUGAUUUUUGAAAAAAAUAAAAAAUGAUUUGUAAAAUGUUUUGAAAUAUUUUUGAUAAAUAAGUGGUACAUCGAGUCUCCAGUACUGAUCUUGUAAGUUUCUGGAACUCUAUUUAGAAUUAUAUGAAAGCAUGCUUAGAAUAUACUGAAAUUCUGUUUGAAUCUAUCUGAAAUUACUGUUAAAAUGCUAUGAAACUGCUAUAGGUAGUAAACCUUACUGAAACACUCUAGGUUGUGUAAACUGAAAUCUGUAGCAAACAGCGACUUUGCGACAACAAACCAUGAAUACUCUGAUAACUUUACUGCAUAAAAUAUUUGUUAAAAAUUAUCAAAAUUGUAAACUGAUUUGUAUAAAACUGUUACUACAGAUUAAUCUGAAAAAUACGAUGAGUGCACGUGGUACUCGUGGACGGGGUUCUAGAGGCCGUGGUAGGGCUGUAAAGGGGCUCGAGCUGAGUCCUUCACAUUUGAUACAAUUUCAAAUUUGGAUACUAGAGAGACACCGGUAUCCCCUGUUACUGAGACUAGGUUUAGGACUGGGUCUAAUGAUCGUGCGGUUGGGGACGACGCACUGUCCCAAGCCAUGUUUUGGAUUUUGGAGAGGGUCGCUGGCCCAACACUGGUUCUAGGGGCUGUGGGUCGAUUACGGGAUGACUCCGGUCCAAUAGGGCUGAGGUAUUUAGGGGCAUCGCUGGAGUUGCUCCUAACAUGGCCGAGUACUGGAUGGAGGCCACAGUACGCAUUAUGGAUGAUUUGGAUUUCACUGCUGAGCAAAAUCUGAAAGAGGUUGUAUCUCUGCUUCGCGAUGAAGCGUAUCAGUGGUGGUUGACGGUUAAGGAGGGCACUCAGCCCGAUAGACUGACAUGGGAUCUGUUUAAGACAACUUUCCAGAGUAAGUAUGUGGGAGCCAAUUAUACUGAUGCGAGACGACGUGAGUUCCUGAAUCUUACUCAGGGAGAUCGUUCAUUGGCCGAGUAUGAGGCUGAGUUUUUGAGGUUGAGCCACUAUGCGCGAGGUAUGGUGGCAACCGACUAUGAGCACUGUGUCCGAUUUGAGGAUGGUCUUCGAGACAGUCUUCGGGUUCUGAUAGCUCCUCAGAGGGAGCGGGGUUUCUCCGUACUGGUGGAGAAAGUUAAGAUUGCUGAGGAGGUUAAGCGCGCUGAGCACUAAAAUCGAGACAGAGAGAAGGCUAAAAGAGAUGCUGGGUCUUCGAAUACUGGGAUGAGGCCUAGAAAAAAGUCAGGUCUGAUGGGCCCGUGAGAGUUGGGCCUACUGCUGCACCAAUGAGGGUGGAGAUCUACCAGCUCUAUAAUAGGUGCCAUCCGGACAAGUGUUGGAGGACUACUGGGGUUUGUCUUAGAUAUGGGUCUACUGAGUAUUGAGUUAAGGAUUGUCUGUUGAGAGCUAAUUAGAUGCAAGCUCCGGUUAAAAAGACUGCACAGCCUUCGAGAGGGGUUCAAUAGCCACCUAGGGGCCGAGGACAGACCAGGGGUGGUAAUGGCAUGGGCUGAGGGUAGAGAGCACUGGCCAGAGAUGCUGGGUCAACUGAGGCGAGGCAGGCUACUUUGGUUUACGCUGCUCGUCGCUGUGAGGAUGGAGAUGCUCCGGACGUCAUCACGAGUAUGUUUUAAAUUUUUAAUGUACCUUACUUUGCAUUGAUAGACAUAGGUUCUACACACUCUUAUGUAGCUAGUACCAUGUCUGAGACCUUGGGGUUAUCGUCUGGGAGCACUUCGAGUGAGAUAACUGUGGUGAGUCCAUUGGGGCAGUCUAUUAGAGUUAGUAAAUUAUUUAAAGACGUUCCAUUGAAAGUCCAAGAGACAGUAUUUUUGGCUGAUCUGAUGGAGCUUUCGUUUGGGGAGUUCAACAUAAUUUUGGGCAUGGACUGAUUAAUUAAACACCGAGUGAGUCUGGACUGUACAACGAAAAGGGUGGUUCUGAGGACCGAGGAGAAUAACGAAGUAGUUGUAAUUAGAGAAUGACGACAUUAUCUAAGUAAUGUGAUUUCUGCGUUGGCAGCAAGAAAGUUAGCGAGGAAAAGAUGUGAGGCAUAUCUGGCCUACAUCAGUGUUUCUGAUUUUGUGGACUCUUUGGUUAAUGAUAUCAAAACUGUGAGGGGCUUUCCAAAUAUAUUUUCAGAGGAACUACCGGGACUGCCUCCUAGCCGAGAGGUAGAAUUUGGUAUCGAGUUGAUUCCUGGUACAGCUCCGAUGUCUAUCGCCUUUUAACGUAUGGCACCGAAAAAGCUGACUGAACUUAAGGCUCAAAUACAUGAGUUGUUGGAUUGUGGAUUUAUUCAGCCUAGUGUGUCUCCGUGGGGAGCACCUAUUCUAUUCGUAAAGAAAAAAGAUAGUACAAUAAGGAUGUGUAUCGAUUACCGUCAGUUGAAUAAAUUAUGAUCAAGAAUAAGUAUCUACUUUCGAGGAUAGACGACUUAUUCGAUCAGUACAGAGGGGCUUCAGUGUUCUCUAAGAUCGGUCUGCAGUCAGGUUACCAUCAGUUGAGAGUAAAGGAGGCCGAUAUGCAUAAGACGACAUUUAGGACUCAGUAUGGACAUUACGAGUUCCUAGUUAUGCCCUUUGGGUUGACUAAUGCACCAGCGGCAUUCAUAGACUUGAUGAAUCGAGUGUUCUAGCCCUACUUAGAUCAGUUUGUGGUAGUGUUCAUCAACGACAUCUUGGUAUAUUCUAAGACCGAGAAUGAACACGAUAUGCAUCUGCGAGUGGUACUGCAGAUUCUUCGUGAGAAGUAGCUGUAUGCGAAGUUUAGUAAGUGUGAAUUCUGGGUUCGAGAAGUAGACCCUCGUAAGGUUGAGGCCGUGUUGGAUUAGAAACAGCCGAAGAAUGUGUCUGAGGCUUGCAGUUUUCUGGGGAUGGCAGGAUAUUGUAGACGGUUCGUAGAGGGGUUCUUCUUGAUUACAGCUCCAUUGACUAAGCUUUUACGUAAGGGAGUUCCUUUCGUUUGGACUGAUGCACAGCAAGAGAGGUUUGAUAAGCUCAAGACGGUGUUAACUCAGGCUCUUGUUUUGAUUCAGCCUGAAUCUGGUAAGGAUUUUGUAGUUUUCAGCAAUGUGUCACAUGUAGGUUUGGGUUGUGUUCUAAUGCAAGAUGGUAAAGCUGUUGCUUAUGCAUCUCGGCAGCUCAAGACUUAUGAGGUUUAUUAUCCGACGCACGAUUUGGAGUUGGCGGCAGUAGUCUUUGCUCUUAAGAUAUUGAGGCACUAUCUGUACGGUGAGAAGUAUACCAUCUACACUGACCAUAAGAGCCUCAAGUAUCUCCUCACUCAGAAGGAGUUAAACCUUAGGCAGCGUUGAUGGGUUAAACUAUUUAAGGAUUAUGACUGUUGUAUCGAGUAUCAUCUAGUAAGGUCAAUAUGGUGGCUGAUGCAUUAAGCUGUAGAGCUAUGACCGACUUGAGAGCGAUGUUCACUCGAAUCAGUUUAUUUGAUGAUGGGAGUCUAUUAGCUGAGCUACAAGUAAGACUGACAUAGAUUGAUAAGAUCAGGGAUAAAUAGAAGGGAGAUAAGUCUCUUGAGUCGAGGUUCCGUCAGGUGGAGGGUGGGAUCACUUUAGAUUUUAGGAUUAAUAAUGAUAGGGUAUUGUGUUUCUGAGGACAGAUCUGUGUGCCGAAUGAUGAGGACUUAAGACAGUUGAUUCUAAGAAAGGCGCAUAGUAGCCCUUAUGUUUUGCACCCCGAUGGAAAUAAAAUGUACUGAGACUGUGAGAGUUAUAUUGGUGGCCAGAGUUGAAACGUGAGGUUACCGACUUUGUUGCUCACUGUUUGACGUGUCAGCAGGUUGAGGUUGAACAUUAUUUACCUAUGGGUUUACUACAGCCAGUUAAGAUACCGAUGUAGAAAUAGAAGCGGGUAACGAUGUACUUCGUUAGUAGGUUACCUUUAACACCUACUAAAAAAGAUUUUGUUUAGGUCAUCGUGGAUCGAUUGACCAAGACUGCACAAUUCAUUCUUGUCAAGACAUCUCCUUACAAAAGUUGGUUAAGCUUUACAUUUCAGAGAUAGUGAGACUUCAUGGGGUUCCUGUUUCGAUCAUUUCUGAUAAGGAUCCUCAGUUUAUGUCUCGGUUCUGGCAGAAGCUUCGCAAGGUUUUGGGUUCGAGAUUAGACUUCAGUACUACUUUCCAUCCUCAUAUAGAUGGUCAGUCAGAGAAGGUGAUCCAGAUACUGGAGGACAUGUUGAGGGGUUGCAUUAUAGAUUUACGAGGUAGUUGGGAGGAGUACUUACCGUUAGCAGAGUUCGCUUACAAUAACAGCUAUCAGUCUAGUAUAUAAAUGGCACCAUAUGAGGCAAUGUAUGGUCCUAAGUGUCACACUCCCUUAUGCUGGACUGACUUAGAUGAGCGACGUGUUCUGAGUCCGGAGUUGGUAUUAGAGACUGAGGAUAAAGUUCAUUUGAUUCGAGAUCGACUGAAAGCGGCGUCUGAUAGACAGAAGUCCUAUGCUAAUUUGAAGAGGAGAGACAUUGAGUAUUCUGUGGGGAACAUGGUUUUUCUUAAGGUCUCGCCAUGAAAAAAGGUGUUGAGGUUCGAUCGCAAGGGUAAGCUGAGUCUUUGGUUUAUUGGGUCGUACUAAAUUCUAAAGCGAGUAGGACUAGUCGUAUAUCAGUUGGAGCUACCUCCAGAGUUAGAUCGUAUACAUGAUGUGUUCCACGUCUCAAUGUUGAGAUACUACCGCUCUAAUCCCACACAGAUUGUGCAUGUGGAGAAAAUUGAGGUUCGAUCAGAUCUGACUUUUGAAGUAAAGCCAGUUCAGAUUUUGAAUCGCGACUUAAAGUUAUACGUAGGAAAUCCAUCCCUUAGUGAAGGUGCUGUGGCGGAAUUAUAGCAUUGAGGAGGCUAUUUGGGAGCCAGAGAAUUCGAUAUGUCAGUAGUAUCCUCACCUUUUCUGAUUAGGUAAAUUUUGAGGAUGAAAUUUUCUUUUAGUGGGUAGAGUUGUAACGCCCUAAAUUUUAUGUUUCGACUUUUGUGAUUAAUUGACAUAAUUAUAUAUCUGCUUCAGUGGUUAAGUGUUCUGGGUGUGUGUGUGAGGUCUUGAGUUCAAACCUUAGCUUGGGAAAAAUUUUAGUUUUUAUAUGUAUGAAGCCUUGUCUUGGGUUAUAGGGCUUAUAAGUAAUUGGUUGGAAAAGCUUGCAAGAAUGGACCUGUUGGUCUAGUGGAUAAGGGGAGUAUGGAUGUGAGGGAGGUAUUGGGUUCGAGUCUGAAUGAAGGCAUUAUUUUUAAUACUAAUGCCCUAGGAGUGUUUGAGUUGGCUUGGGAUACUGAGUGUUUGCAACAGCUAAGGUUUAAUGGGAGCAAAACAAGGGAUUUGAGAGUAACCCAAAUCAUUCCACUCUCUCCCUGCCAAAUUUCCCCUCUCCAUAUUUUCUCUAUUUUCUUUUUCUUUCCAGCAGAAAAUCCCCUGUUGCUACCGAUUUUUUACUUUAUUUUAAUAUUAUUUUUUGGUCCUUUUUCGUCAUCGUUACUUAUCUCUGCAUUUAGUGAGAAUUCCGUAAGUGUUGGGCUGUUUUUUGUCUCGUUUUUAUGUUUGUUGAGUGGUUAAGAGACUCUAUUCUAUUUAUGAGACAAUCUAGGCAAUGUGGAUUGCUAAAACGGCACUUUAACAACAAGGAACUGUCGUUGAUCGUUAGAGGUAUCGACAUCGUUAACUUUUAGGAUUUGGCCGUUCUUAGAAACUUGGUUUAAGUGACUAACUAAGAGUUGUGUUGUUUGAUAUUAGGUUCUAGAGUGUUCGUGGUUCUGUUAGCUUCGAAUCGAUACCAGGUGUGUACUCCGAUUACACAAAAAACAAAAUUCGACAAAAAUAGAAAAGUAAACUGUCGACGCCACACGGGCAUGUGGACUGCUCGUGUGGUAGGCCAUGUAGCGAUACACGAUCGUAUGGUCGACGAAUCAGGCCAUGCGAAUGUGACACGGGCGCAUGACAUGGCCGUGUGAUGACCGGCGAGGCUGUGUGUGAGACACGGGCUCGACCAAUUGGGCCGUAUGGGCCACACGGGCGUGUAAGAAUUUAGGCCAGGCCAUGUGAUCCACACGGCCAAGGCUGAUUUUGGCCGUGUGGGUCACACAGGCGUGUGGGCCCACACGGGCAUGUCACAUGGAUGUGUGAGCCCAUUUUUUGAAAUAUUUUGUAAGGUUGCACGACUGCCCAAGUCUACUAUGACCGGUUAUAGGGUCGGUAAGCAUUACUUAGACCUCUAAUUUCUGUAGAUCUGAUCUGAUUAUGUGAUGUAUGAUUAACGUAUGUGUUAGUUAGCAUGUAUAUUUGUUCUGUUUUGUAUAUGGGUAUAUGUCUGUUAAUCUGUUUAUUAGCAUGCCAUGUUUGUAUGCUGCGUUGCAUUGGGGUGGGUUUGAUGAAGUGAAUGAAGUAUCUGAAAGGCUUCAUAAGCCUGUUGUCUGGCAGCUAAGCUGCAUAUUUAUGACGUGUGUUGCAUUGUGGUACCUUAUGGUGUGUAGGGUUGGAUGGGUGGAUAUUAUCCCCAUAUUUGGUGUAUAGGGAUUAGUGGGUCGAUUUUAUCUCCACAUAGUGUGUUGGGUUGGACAGAGUUAGUGUGCAGCGUUGGUGGGCAUAUUUUUCUGUAUAUCUGAUCUGUUGCAUGCUAUAUCUGACUUCGUGGGCUAAGGCUCAACUUUAUAUAUGCAUCUGAUUAUAUUUUUGAGUGGGCUAAAGCUCACAUCAAUUUUGUAAAGGGCUCAAGCACGAAGUAUGACUAUUUUCUAAUAUCUGUCUGUAUGCAUGUUGAAAUGUGGGGAUGUAUACACUGAGUUGCGAAACUCACUUUUUUCUGUUAUGUCUAUCCAGGUAAUCCUCAGCAGUAGUUAGAUUGGUGCAGUGGAGGACUCGAUGGUGACCUCAACUUUCCACUUAUGGGUUUUAUAGUUUAAACAUUUUAUUUCGUUCCUUCUUAACUAUUUUGGGAAUUUUGGAUGUAAUCUUGGACUUGGACUUUCGGUUUUGAUUUGGGAUUUGAAUUGUUAAUUCAGAUUUUAGAACUGCAAUGCUAAUGAAUAGUUUUCUUAAAAUAACUAAGGUUUUUCGUAAAUUAAAUUGGUUUUGAAAGUUUUCGCGAUUUGAAAUAUGACUCUAGACUAAAUUAAAGAUUAUAACUGGAACGAUUUUCACGUAGCAAAAAGGGUUUUCCAAAAACACUCUCAUGUGAUAUCGCUAGAUUCGGCUAUAACGUCUAGGCCAGAUUUGGAGUGUUACACAUUGUUUUAAAUGUUACAUUUGUUAUUUAUUUGAAAAAAGGAAAUUUUUAAAAUUACGGAAAUGUUCCGUAUUUGGAGAUUCGAAAAGUCGUGCCCUAAUUUACAGGGUUCGACUUUCUCUUUGAACCUAGAUAACCGGACAUCUUUUUAUAAAAUUAAAAUACAUGAGAUUUAAUUAAAUAAUCGAAUAUUUAGCAAGCUUAUUUUUGAGGAUUCGAGAUGUCGUGUACUAACUUACGUGACGUGAUCCUUUUGUUUACCUCGAGAUAAGAAGGGCUAUUACAUUUGUUUUAAUUUACUUAGGUGAUUUUAUUAAAAAUAUCGUUAUGCAAGGUGGGUUUUAGUUUUAAAUUCUCUUCAAAUUUUCAAUUCUCGACAUUAAGACAUCAAUUAAUCAACUAGGACCAAUUUUAGGCGCCACAAGGGUGCUAAUCCUUCCUCAUGUGUAACCCGCUCCCGAACCCAUUUCUUGGAUUUUAUAGACCAAAUAUCAUUGUUUUAGUAAAAUAAACCUUUAAUUAAAACGAUAAAAUUACGAGGUGGUCCGAUCACACCUCAUAAAAAAGAUUGGUGGCAACUCUAUUUUCGUUUUUUAUAAAAAGUCAAAUUUUCAAAAAAAGGUUUCGGCAAAGAUAAUAUAGUAUGUAUAGCUCAAUUAAAGGGUGGUUACAUCAAAGAUGAUAGAAUGAAACAGAUUUCACCAAAAUUAUUCUUCACCCAUGACCUUGAGAAAAGAGGUGAUAUAAAUGUUCAAGAAAUUCGUUCUAGUGAUAAUUUAGUAGAUCUUUUUACUAAGGCAUUGUCAACUUCAACAUUUGAAAGACUACUAUACAAAACUGGAUUGUGUCAACUCAAAGAUGUAAUGUAAUGUAAUGUAAUGUUGCCAUUAGGGGGAGUGUAACGUCCCAAAAUUUAAAUUUUUGUUUUUGCGAAUGUGUGACACAUAUGUGUAUCUGGUUCAGUGGUUAAGUGUUCUGAGUGUGUGUGGGAGGUCCCAAGUUCAAGCCAUGAUUUUUAUUUAAUUGUUGAUAAGCUUAUAUCAGAAUGGGCUUGUUGGUCUGGUGGUUAAGUAGUGUGUUGGCUUGUUGAUGGUCCUGUGUUCGAAUUCCUGCAUGAGCAAAGGAGAUUAUUUUUUGCUCAGUUUGGUGGCUGAGAGAUUGAGUUGUAGUGGAAAUCUGAGUAGUGAAAGUUUGAUGGAGAGAAUUUAUGAGUGAAUUAAGGGAUUUUAGGGUUAUUAGGAUUCUUAUCAAAUUAUUCUGUUCAUAUUUUUUUCUUUUCUUUUCUUUUCCCCAAAAAUAAAUUUUUUGGUUUUCCAUUCUCCUAUUCUCCCUUUUUGCUACCAUUUUCCUUUUCCAUUAUUUUCCCCUGCUACUGAAAUUCUUGUGCUUUCCCAUUCUUUUUCUCCUCAACUUCUUUCCACUCGGUCUCAUGUCGUUCCAUGAUCGUUCUGUAAGUACUCAUCUUUUUUAAGUUUUUUCUCUCCAAAAACUCUGUCGAUUUUUCCAUUGGGAUUUCCUCUCUCUGUUGUUGAAGCCUACCCUUCUCUUUCAAUUUUAUUUCGAUUUCGCUCUCAUCUCGAUUGCAAUUGCACUUUUGUUCCUUAUUUUGACGUUUUGUGGACAACUUCGGUAAGUGAUUUUAUGUGGUUUGUAGUUGAGAAUGUUAAGUUUCUGAUUAGGGGUUAUUCUAAUGUUUAGGCAGCAUCAUUUCACUAGGAUCGAGCCUCUUCUGGUACUACUUUUUAAGCAAAUUGAUUUGCAGUGUUGGGGGUAAGUUUCAAUUGCUCAAUAGUUGAGUAACCUGCAGGUUGGUUUUAACUCAUCGGUUAAGUGAUUAACUGAGUAGUAUUUUGGUUAAUUAUAGGUUUGGGAUUACCUGGAAUUGCUUUUGCAUAAAAAACGAUACAGGUGUGUACCCAAAACAUAGAAAAUGGGGUUUUGGCAAAAGCCAAAAACCCCAUGUCAAUACCACACGGCCAUGCGAUCAAUGAGGCCAGGCCGUGCGCGCAAGACACGGCUGUAUAAUGGCCAAGGACAAAUUGGGUAGUGCAGGCCACACAAGCGUGUGGGCCCAGACAGACAGGCCACAUGGGCGUGUGAGCCCAGUUUCAUUGAGUUGAUUGCUAAGGUUGCACGGGUCACCCAAGUCGACUGUGAACCUAUUGUAUGGCCGGUAAGCAUCACUUAGACCUCUAAUUGUGUGAACUGAUUGUUUGAUUUAUAUAUAUUGAGCAUGAUGAUAGUAUGCAUGUGUACUGAACUGGUUAUAUGUACUGAUAUCAUGAGAUAGCAUGUCAUGAUUUGUAUGUUGCAUUGCAUGAGUUUGGGUUGAUUAUAUUUGGAAGAAGUGUACUGAAAGGCUCUUAAGCCUAAUAAACUAGCAGUUUAGCUGCAAAUUGCUAUUUUGUACCGUAUUCGAUGCUACCUAGAGUGUAGGGAUAGGUGGGUUGAUUUAAUCCCCACAUGGAGUAUAGGGUUGGACGAAGAUGGUGUGUAGAGGCUGGUUGGGUAAGACUUUGUUACUGAAUACUGCAUGACUGCUAUUGAUACUGUGAUGGGCUAAGGCCCUAAUGCAUACUGAUACUGUGAUGGGCUAAGGCCCUACUGCAUAUUUGAUACUGUAUUGAGAUGGGAUAAGGCCCAAACCGUUACUGAUACUGAAAGGAGUUUAGGCCCAAAAAUAUAUUUGACUGUGCACUAUAUCUACUAUUUUUUGUUUUCUGUGGGAUUACACACUGAGUUUAGAUAAACUCACCCCUCUCUAUUUAAUGUGCACAGGUAAUCCCCAGACCUAGACAGAUCGGUGCGGCGGAGGACUCGACAGUGACCACAGUUUUUGGAUUUUAUGUUUCUUCUAAUUUAUGUUUUAUGGUUUUAUUAUUAUUGGGAUGUAAUUUGAGGACUCUUGGGACUUUUGCUUAAAUUUGGUUUUUAUUUUUUUGUGGAAUUAUAACUGCUAGUCGUAGGAAGUUUGAUUUUUAAAAAGCUAACAUAUUUUCUAAACUUACGAUUACUUAAACUGUUUUGUUUUAAAAGCUUUCGCAACGAGAAACUUUUUAAAGCAAAUGUUUUAAAUAAGUAAAAUGAUUACCUUUAGAACUAAUAAAAGAUAAAGAUAGGCAAUAACAUGGAAGUGAUUUUAUUGUAAUAAUUUAGUUUUCGAACACACUAUCAUGUGACAUCGCCAGAUUCAGCCAUAACGUCUAAGCCAUAUUUGGGGUGUUACAUUUAGUGGUAUCAGAGUCAGGUUACCAAACUCAGCUAUGGAUUAUCGGUUUUAAAUUUGGUCUUUGAAGAAUUGGUUUUCAAAUGAUUUGAAAUGUUUCUACUAAGUAUGUGCUACACCGAGUCUCCGACGCCGAUCCUGUAAGUAUUUUCGAAACUGAUAUAUGCUUUAAUUGAAAAUGAUAUGCUAUUUUGAAACUAUUAUAGGUAGUAUACUAUGAAAAUACUCUAGUUAAUAUAUACUGAAAACUGUAGUUAAACUAAAACUAUAGUAAACUACUAGAGACUGCGACAAACGAAAACAAACUCUGAACUUCUGGUACUGUUUUACAUAAAAUAUUUGUUAAUAAACACUAGAACUGUAACUGAUUCAUAAAACUUUUAAUAAAGAUAAAUUUGAUUAGAUAUAAGCACACAAGGUAUCCACAGACGGGGUACUAGAGACCGAGGUAGAGGCCGUAAAAGGGCUCGAGCUGAGUCAUCGUCAUUAGGUAGCCUACCAAAUUUGGAUACGAAUGAGACGCUAGUGUCGUCUGCUACUAAGACUGGGUCUCAAGAUCGCAUGGCUGGGGACGACGUAUUGUCCCAGGCUAUGCUCAGGAUUUUGGAGAGGGUCGCUGGAUCCAAUACUAGAUACUUUGAUCCAAUGGAGUUGAGUUAUUCAGGGGUGUCACCGGAGUCACCCCUAAUGUGGUCGAGUACUGGAUUGAGGCCACGGAGAGGAUCAUGGAUAACCUGGAUUGCACCCUCGAGCAGAAAUUUAAGGGUGCAGUCUCACUAUUGAGGGAUGAGGCUUAUCAAUGGUAGCUUACUAUUAAGGAGGGCACUUUACAAACGUCUAGCCUGGGAGUUCUUUAAGAUCACCUUCUAGGGUAAAUAUGUGGGAGCCAGUUAUGUGGACACCCGUAGGAGGGAGUUUCUGAAUCUGACACAGGGAGAUCAAAUAGUGGCCGAGUAUGAGGCCGAGUUUCUAAGACUGAGCCACUAUGCGCGAGGUAUGGUGGCAUCUAAUUACGAGCGAUGUGUCUGCUUUGAGGAUGGCCUCAGGGAUAACUUGAAGGCUCUGAUAGCUCCGCAGAGGGAGCGAGAUUUUUCUGCCUUGGUCGAAAAGGCCAAGAUCACCGAGGAGGUUAAGCGCACUGAGCGUCAAAACGGCGAUAGAGAGAGAGGUAGGAACAACAUGGAAAUAAUUUUAUUGUAAUAGUUUAGUUUUCGAACACACUAUCAUGUGACAUCGCCAGAUUCGGCCAUCACGUCUAGGCCAGGUUUGGAGUGUUACAGGGAGUCUAAAACAAGUUGUACUCUUUUCCUUUAACUAAGGUUUUGUCCCACUAGGUUUUCUUGGUAAAGGUUUUUAAUGAGACAAAUUGUAAUAGAAGAUUGUGUACUCUUUUUCCUUCAUCAGGUUUUUAUCCCACAGGGUUUUUCCUAAUAAGGUUUUAAUGAGGCACAUUAUCUAUCAAUUAACAUCUAAGGGGGAGUGUUAUGAAUAUCUCAUUAAGUAGAUGUCCAUCAUGAUCAAGAUAAAGUUUUGAUGUACUUUAAUAGUUAUUAGAAUUAGAUAUUUACUUCUUUUUCCUAUAAAUAGAGACUCUGAUGAAGUAUUGUAAUCAUCCUUUUGAUUAAUAAAGUACAUUCUCUAUUGCUUUCAUAUUUUCUUUGUUCUUUAUUCUCCACAUCUCUCUUUAUUUUAUAACAAAAACAAUAUAUUUAUUAAUUAGAAAAAAGCUUGAAAUAAUAUGGAAUAAAAAUUACAAAUGUGUUUAGAAAAGGAAAAUUGCACCUAGGUCCCAAUAAUGAAAGCAUUAUUAUUUAACCAUUUUGCUAAAUAAGUUAAUAUGUUAAAAACAUUCAUUAAAAAAAAGCUUAAAACAAUAUAAAAUAAAAAAUAUAAAUGUGGGUGGGAGAAUAAUCAAACCUAAGACUUAAGGACAAAAUUACCAACAUUUAACCAUUCAAGUAAAGAAACUAAUUAUAUAAAAAAGUAAAAAAAUUACUAUUUAAAGGGAAAGCAUAUCCAGUUAGGUACCUUUUUCUACCAAAUAUGUAGAAAGCACGCUCAGUUGGACGUGCUUUUACACACACUCUCUAAAAAUAAUCUAUUUCUCUAAUUAAAGUUAAAAUCCACCUAAAGACCUAAUUAAAAAAAUAAAAUUGGCCUAUAAGACUUAUUUAGCGUAAUAUUUGUGAUAAUAAUUCUUAUUUUAAAAAUGUGUAAAAUGUUAAUUAUAUGCAUGGUAACUAGACAUUUUAUUUUAAUAACAAAAAGAGUACAAUUAUUGCCUUAUUAAAUGCGUGCAAAGGUCUUUGUCAAAAAUAAAAAUACGUGCAAAGGAGUAGGGUGAGCAAAACUCGAUUCGACUCAAAAAAAUUGAAAAAAGUUCAAAUUUCGAGUUAAACGAAUCGAGUUAUUCAAGUUAAUUGAGUUAUUCGAGUCAACUCGAUUUUUUUUGAAUUUCGAGUUCGAAUCGAGUUGAGUUUUCGAAUUCGAAUAACUCAAAUAAUUCAAAUAAUUCGAAUGACAAACUAUAAUAGUUUAUAUUUUUACCCCAAACUCUCAAACCUUUUUACUUUUUCCUCAAAAUUUUUACUCCUUCUCACUUUUCCCCCAAAACUUUUACUCCCCUUCCAUCCCAAUCUACCCAAAAUCCAUUUCCCACCAAAAUCUUACUCUCCCAUUUACUUUUUCUCAAAAUUUUACUCCCAAAAACCCUCAAAACUUUUUAUUUUCCCCCCAAAUUUUUACUCCCUUCCACAUUCCACCUAAAAUUUUUACUUCUUUCCCAUCUCACCUUCCAUCUACCUCAAAUCCAUCCCCUCUAAUUUUUCUUUAAUAUUUUCCCUCCAAAGUUUUACUCUCCCCUAUUUACUUUCCCUCAAAGUUUUAUUCCUCAAAACUUUUUAUUUUCCCCUUAAACUUUUACUUUUCACCCUUGACUCUUAAAUAAAAAAUCAAAAUUUUAUCCAAAAAAAUUUACUAAACAUAAAUAGUAAUAAUUUUAUUUAUAUCUACUAUUUAUAUUAUUAAAUUGGAUUUCACAUUUUGUAUUAUUUAUAUUAUUGAAUUUUUUAGUCAUAUUGAAUAUUUAUAUUAAAAUUGAAUUAUUAAUUAUGCCAUUAAAUAUUCAUGUUAAAAUUUUAUAUUGGUAUCAAUUUCACAUUUCAUCUUUAAAAUAACUUUUAUUAAAAAAUCACAUUUUUACAUUUAAUAUAUUUUUUAAUUAUAAAAUACAUAAUGGCAAGAAUCUAAAAAUAUUGAAACAACUAAGCAAGCAAAUAAGUUAACCCGUGUAUAAAAUAUUAAUAAAUAAAUUAUGAGGUGAUGAAAGUUAAUAAAAAUUUUGAUUAAGGUGGACAAAUUUUAUUACGAUGGGUGACAGUGGUUACAAGGACCCAAAAUUAUUUUUUAAAAUUUAACUCGAACAAAUAUAUUCGAUUUGAUUCGAUUCGAAUUUCAUUUUACUCGACUCAAUUCGAGAAAAUUUCAAAUCAAAUUACGAUAAUAAAAUAUGAUUCGUUAACUCGAUUAACUCAAAAAAUUUUUAUUCGAUUUGAUCGAACGCUCACCCUUACAAAGGAGGCCAAACCGAAUCACAAAAGUCAAAGUUAUCGUUUUAUUAUUGUUAUUAUAAGUAAUUGUCUUUAAACUACACUAAAUGGCUAGUUCUCGAAGAACUGGGCCUUAGUUAAUGGCCCAUUAUCGUUUUUCAUCAAAUUUAGGGUAACUUGCGUACUUCAUUACUUAGGAAGUUUUUAUUUUGAUUACUCAAAAUAAAAUUUUUGUAAUUUUAUUUGUCUAAUUUUUAAUAUGUUUUCAUUUUAUUUAUUUAAGUAUUAAUUUUUGAUUUCUACAUGUCAUAUUUAUUCUUUCAUUUUAAUCACUCAAUUUUCAAAUUGCUUUCAUUUUAGCCACUCAAAAUAAAAAAAUAAGUAUUUAUUGGGAUAAAAAUCCUUAAAAAUUGAAGUGAAAAAAUAAAUGUCCAUUGUGGUCAUUUUUAACGAUAAUUCUAAAUAAAUUAUAAAGAUAUAAAAAAAAAUUUAAAAUAUAAAAUUAUUCAAUUUUUUUGAAAUUAUAAUUAUGUAAAAAUUUAAAAAAAAUUCAUGAUAUCCUUUAAAAAAUUAACCUAAGUAGAGGGUUAAAUUUCAAAAUUUAUUAAAAAAAUAAAAUUUAAAAAUUCUGAAAUUUCACUAUUUUGUUUUAAAAGUUAUAAUCUAUACAAGUUUAUGUAAAAGGAAGGUCCUAAAGCCUUCCAUUCAAGACAACUAUCCUUUUUCCUUUUUUUUCUUUAUUAUAUGAAAAAGAUUAUGGUCAAAUUUCAUCUUUAAUCCCUUUAUUUUUUUGAAAUUAUAUAAAAAUAUUACAUUUCAAUUUUAAUCCCUAAGUCCUCCUUUCAUGACAACGGUUCUUUUCCAUUUUUUUAUAUGAAAAGAUUAUGGUUAAAUUUCAUUUUUAAUCUCUUUACUUUGUUUUUUUUGAGAUUAUAUAAGACUGGUUAAAUUUCAAUUUUAAUUUCUAAAUUUCACUUAAAUUUGAAAUCGAAUAUCUGUACUUUAAUUUUGACAUAAUUUGACACAUCGAUUCUUAUAAAGUCAUUAGUUAGUCUAAAUACCUUUUCCUGAUUAAAAUACUUACAUGAUUUUUUAAGGAUUUUUAUCACCAUUAAAAUUUUCUAUUAAAUUCAGGUCCAUAACUGUGUCAUUUUUUUUGUUAUAUGGAUAUCAAGUGAAAAUCUUUUUAAUUUCUAAAUGUCAUGCUAGCAAAUUUAACAAAAGAAUUAUAAAAGUGUUAACAAAUUGACCUAAAUUUUUUAUUUCAAAAAGUAGACAGACUAAAUUUUUGAAAAUGAAAGUAUGAAAAUUGAAUUCCAAAUAUACGAUGUAACAGCCUUAUACCCAACCAAAUUGUUGGGUCAAUAUAUAGAGAUGUUACAUUUGUUGCCAAAGCAAUUUCAAAGAAAUUUAAUUCAAAUACUCUUUCAAGUUAAGUAAACAAAACAAUUUAUAGUUAAUACAAAAUUUCCAUCUUCAUUCCAAGUUUUAUUUGAAGUUUCAUUAGCUCUUUGAACCAUUUAUAGGCCAUUUAGGACCUAUUUGCAAUUUAAUAACUAUAUCAUAUUAUUUAAUUUAAUAUUUCAACAAAGCAUUUAUACUAUUCUGAUGUGUUAGCAAAUCUGUUACUUAUAACAAUUUAUUGCCAUCACAUUCUUCUACUAUUCCCCCCUCCUUUCUUCUCCUCUUCAUUCCAUAUCUUUUAUGUACAUGUAUUUAUAUAAGAAUCUUUAACCUUAUGACAUGCUUAUAUGUAACAUUAAUUAUUCUUUCACUGUUUACACAUAUACUUUUAAUAGAGUUGUGUUUUUGACUAGCAAUUACUAAAUUACUUAUAUCUUGACCUAAAAAGUUUAAAAUUAAGAUUUGCCUUUUGUUUUUAAAACUAGACUCGACGAAAAAAAUUAAGAAUUUUUACUUCAGCCAAUUAAUAUAGUUUUUUCUUCAAAUCUUCCCACGUUCUGCUGCUAGACAACUCUGACCCUUCUUAACUAAUAAUUAAAUAUCUUUUAGUACAACCCUCUUAAUAUGUUGUCAUUUUUUUCCCUUAAAAAUAAGCUCCUUAAGAUUUUUGACAUAUAAAUUUAAUCAUCUAACAUUUUUUUACAAUUUAUAAUGAUUUUUCAAAAUUAGAACAGGGAAACCUAGAAUCAUUCUGACAUUGUCUUAUAAAAAUUACUAUACCACAUAAUCUACAAUAUCUAUUGCUUACACCGUUGCUUUUAUGCAAAACUAAACUCAAUAAACUUCAUUUCCAUAUUUAAUUCAACUCCCAAAUCAAUCUCUACAAUUUUUGGUGAAUUUUCAAAGUUAAACCACUAUUGCAAUCCAAAAUUGUUUUGAUGCAUAUAUUUGCCUAAAGUAUCAAUAACUUCUUUAAAGUAUAUGUACUUCGCUUAAAGUAUUGAUACUUUUUUCAAAUAAUCGAUACCUUUUUUCAAAGUAUUGAUACUUUUAUUCUGUUAGCGAUAUCAUUUUACGGUUCGAGAGAAAAUCAAAGAAAAAUUCAAUUUGGGUUAUUUCAUCAAACAAAAUUAUUCAGAUUCUACAAUUAACUCCACUUAUGUUCACAAUUAAAAUUUUGUAUUUAUUUCAAUUUAGUCCCUAAUGUAAGUAUAUCAUUUAUAUUUUUUAAAAUUGUAUGUAAGUGCCCAAAUUUACUGGAGCCCAAAACCAUUAACCAGCCCAAACAAAAAACAUAAAAACAAAAGCCAAAUAACAAAUAGUCCAAAGUCCAAAUUACCUAAUUAUAAAAAACCAGCAGGCCCAAACCCCUAACUCAAUUCCUACAGGCCCAAAAGGUCCAAUGGCCUAAAACAAUCCAGAAACCCUAGGGUUUCUGAAUCACCCUCGCGCCGUACACCCUCCAUGUGCGCCCUUGGCAUACACAUCUCCCAAAGUUCGACAUUGCCUUCUACCUUACACCAAAAUAGCAUGAUUUCACCGCCGUUGACCCCCCUAGGCCUGCAAAACAGGAGCAAAAAAAUAGAAAGCAAAAAAGAAAGCAAAGCAAAACAGUAACAAAUAGUAAACAAGAGUCAUUGUAUUCGGCUAUAAAGAGGCCUCAAACAAACAAUGUAAUUUUUUUUACAGAGAGAUAUCAAUCAAAAUAGAGAAUUUUUGAAAGAAAAAGGUGAUUUUUAUCUUCUUUGUAAGUUUAUUCCAGAUAACGCAUACAUAUAUAUACUUUAAAUAAAAAGGGGAUUUUUCUCACCUUCUUCAAGUCGGCGAAGUCGGAACCGAAGAGUUGCCUUGGUUUUUUUCGUUUCUCUAGCGGUUUAUGGUCGUUUUAAACCCAGAUUUGGGUCAGGGAAGGAAACCGGGUUGAAAAGGGGCCGAUUUCGUGCCUCCGGCCACCGUGUACGGUGGUCGCUGGCGACAGACCAACGGUGGUCCGAUAGCCGGAGAAGGAACACCUAGAGAAACCCCUUCCCUUUUUUUUGUUCUUUUUUUUCAGAAACCAUGAGAGAAUGAGUUUUUUUUAAUUCCUUUUAUAAGCUGUUGGAACGGCAUCGUUUGGGGCUGAGUUCAAUAGCCCCAAAACGGCUUCGUUUAGCGACCCAAACCUGAGAUUCGACCAUAACCCGCCAAGGAUCCACGCGUUUUUGGACUGGGGGUCUAUUUGCGCCCUCAGUCCUUCCGCUUUUGAGGCUGGUUUCAAUGUGGUCUCAUUUCCCUUUCAUUCCUUUUUUUAAUUUUACCCCUGAAAUUUCUUUACUAUUUCAUUCGGGCCCCUGACAAGACAACGCGCUUUGGGGAAUGGGUUUAUUGCCCAUCUGGUCCUCUUAUUUUAUUCGCGUCUUCAAAUGGGUCCUUCUCUCUUUUAUUUUUUUUGAAUUUGUCUUAAAUUUCUGCUUUAAGUUCAAAUUGGUCCCUUUUCGUUCUUUUAACUAUUUUAAUAACUAAUUUAAUAUUAUUGUUACUAUAAUUAUAUUUUAUUUUCGUGCUUAUUAUUUGUUAUUGUUAUUAUUACCUUCAUUCCAUUACUAUUAUUGUUGUUGCUAUUUUUUUUGUUGUUUGUAUUAUUAUUUAUAUUAUUGUUAGUAUCAUUGUUAUUCCUUAGUUUAUUAUUAUUAUUUUAUCAUUUUUUUUCUUUUUGUAUUUAUCUACAUUAUUAUUACUAUUAUUAUUGUAAUUACUUUUGAACAUACCAUGCAUUUUAAAUUAUUAUCAAUUUUAAAUAUUUUACAUAUAUAAUUUCUUUUAAAUCAUCAUACGUAGUAUUUAUUUUGAUAUUCUUAUAUGUAUCUUUGUAUUUUAAAUUAUUACAUGUAUGCAUAUAUUUUUUAUUUUAAAUGUUUUUCUAUACAUCAUUUUACCUCAAAUUUCUCUUUUCACAUUAUUUAUUCUAAAUAUUUUAGACGUCAUUUAAAUUAAACCAUCUUAUAUAUUAUCUAUUUUUAAUUUUUAUAUGUUAUUCUGUUAUACUAUUUUACAUGUAAACGAUUUUAAAUUCUUUUAUUAUUUAUUGCAAACUUUUUAUCAUUAUUUGCCUUAAGAUUUCAUAUAUAUAUAUGUUACUUACAUUAAAUUGUUUUCUAUACCUUUUAUAUAUUAUAUUUUUUUAAAUUUGUUUUGCACAUAUUAUUUUAGAUAUUCUAUGUAUUCUUUUAAAUUGUUAUAUACUAUUUAUUUUAGAUUGCAUUUUUAAAUUAUUUUAUGUAUCAAUUAUUUUAGGUUGUAUUAUGCCGUUCCCUUUAAUUUGUUUCUUUUUAUUAUAUCUAUUUCAAAACUUAUUUUUAUGUAUUAUUUAUUUAAAAUUGUCUCAUUAUUUACCUUAAAAGGUUUCAUGUUGUUUAUUCCAUUCUUUUGAUUGUUAAUGUUGGUAUUUAAGUGACAUAUGUUAUGUGGUUAUUGUCAUUUAUGUAUGUUAUAAUCCGUUCGUUUGUAUUUUCACAUUAUUUUCACCCAUUUGCAUAGUAUCUUAUCCAUGAAUAUUAUUCCAUGUUUAUUCGCCUUUCAUUCGCAAUUGUCGCAUUGUAGUUUUCAACUUAUUAAUCUAAGAUUAAUGAUUCCACCUUAUUUCAAGUCAAAUUCAUGCAUUUCAAGUUGGUUUUAUAAUUAUUCGUUUGAAAAUUCCUUAAAACGAAGGCAAUGUUUGAUGUUUGAAAAUUUGGGAAAUCGUGCCCUACCGUGCUGGGUUUCGAUUUCCUGUUUGUUCAAAACAAUCGAAUAUUCCUUUAGAAUUUCACACGUGUUUUCCAAAUUCUAAAACAAGGCAAUGCUCAAGGUUUGGAAAUUCAGGGAAUCGUGCCCUAUCGUGCUGGGUUUCGAUUUCUCGUUUGUUCAAAAUAAUCGAAUAUUCUUUUAGAAUUUCAUUCGUAUUCUUUAAAUUCUAAAACAAAGCAAUGUUCAAUGUUUGGAAGUUCGAAGAAUCGUGCCCUACAGUGCUGGGUUUCGGUUUUUUUGUUGGACUAAAUAAUUGGGCAUCAUUUUGUAAUUUUCAAUGUAUAAAUUUUUGGAAGUGAAAGAUUUAUCGUGUUCUCGAGGGAAUAAAGGAUCGUGUCCUAUCGUGUUGGAUAUGGUGCUGCAUUCCUUUGAAACAAGAGAAUUUUGACGACCAAAUUCAGCUAUUCAAAUGUUUUCAAAGGAACCAUACUUCGAAAAUAGCUUCAAAUCUCAGACGUAAUGAUAGUACUUAAUCAAUUUGGUACCAAUUUUGGGUGUAGUGAGGGUGCUAAUCCUUCCCCAUACGUAACCGGCUCCCGAACCCAUUUUCUCAAAUUUACGUAGGCCAAAAAUUGAUUUAAAUGGAAUAAAAGGUUUAAUCAGGUGAGCCAAUCGCACCUAAACAAAAGAUUGGUGGCGACUCCACGCUUUGUGUUCAAAAAGUCGAUCCUCAUUUUUUAAAAUCAAAAAUGGUUUCGACAGCUUGGCUACUCCACUGGGGAUCGAACAAGAGAGUCAAGCUAUAAAAUUGAUUAUUUGCUAUCCUUUGUCAAAGAAUUGAAAAUUUGUUUUAAAAAUCAUGAUUUUUUCGAUUGCAUUCGAUUGAAUGAUUGUUGUGGUUCAGGUUUUGUAGAAUGAUAUUGUAUUGCAUUGCACGACCACUGUGGUCAAACCUUCUAAGUGGGGGCAAAAAGCUAUGCUUUCGUGAGGUUUUCACCUCCAUAUGGGCUAGUGGAUUGGUUCCGGGAUACAUCCGUACCUAUGAUUUCGUGAGAUCUUCAUCUCCGCAUGGUCAUAGGGAAAUGUAUUCCCCUGAACCAAACUCGAUCCAUAUGAGCCUAUAAUGGGUGAGGAUUGAGGAAUCUGUUGGUUCAGGUACCUUCUCUCUAGAACCGAACCACAUAUAGUGAACCUUAAGAGCUAUCCUUGGGUAGAGCCGCAUCAAGCCUUAGUAUUUGCCUGUAUGUGUGUUGUAAUUAUCUUUGUUGUGUUUUUAUUUUAUCACUUAUAUUUGAUACUAACUGGUGUUUUGUUUUGAUUGUGUUUUGCAUGACAUUGCAUACUAAAAGAGGAGUUGAUUCGUAUUCAAUUACUAAGUUACAAAGUUUAACAUGGAGAAUGAAUUUCUUAAUAAAGUUGAGGAUAAUGCGGCCGUCCGCGCAUGAUCAGAGAAGUUACAAUCGGAGAAAGGGGAUAGCUUGGCAGAAGGAUAUACAUCAGAGUUCCAGGAAUUCACUCGCGUCAAUGUAGCACAGAAUGAGUUGCAAGAGUUGAGAGAUAUCUAGGCUCGUUGGGAUGAAGGAACCAAACAGUUGUUCUAUCAAAGCUAUGGUGAUAUAUCUUACUUGCUAGAUAUUAAGGUGGACAAGCAUCUAUUCAGAGUUAUGGUUCAAUUUUGGAAUUCUGCUUACAAGUGUUUCACUUUUGGUGAAGUGGAUUUAGUGCCUACCAUGGAGGAAUAAACUACCCUGCUCAGGUGUCCGAAAGUGUAAGUUAGAAAAGCUUAUGCCAAGGUUUUUAAUGGUCAAACUUUCGCGAAGAAAUUGAUGAAUAUUUUAGGAAUGAGCGAGCCUUGGGUCACUGCUCGGAUUCAACAAAAGGGUGAUAGUAAAUGUAUCCCUUGGGAGAAUUUGAAAGAUUUGGUUUUAACACAUCCGGAUGAAAGAAAGAGGGUCGAUAUCUUCACCUUAAGCAUCUAUGGAUUAGUAAUUUUUCCUAAAGCUUUAAGGUAUGUGGAUGAGACAGUCACUGACUUAUUCGAUCGUCUUGAGAAGGGAAUCACACCUGUACCUGCAAUAUUGGCUGAGACGUUCAGAUCCUUGAGCAUGUGUCAGAAGUCAGGUGAUGGGCGGUUUAUUGGAUGUGCACAGCUGUUGAUGGUGUGGUUUCAUGGGCAUUUUUGGAAAGUGAAAGAAGUUUCUUACCGGGUCUUUUUUGAAAGUUAUUCCCCGUUAAAAGAGGAGGCAGCCAUGCAGAGGAGAGACAAUAUUUCAGAAGAGAAAUGGAUGGAAAUUGUUCUAAACCUCAAGGAGGGGGAUAUAGAGUAGAGAGCAUUUUGGAUAGUUCCCGAUGAGAUCCUGUAUCGAUGUAAGAGCUUUGGUUGGGUGCCGUUGUUAGGAAUUUGGGGAGCUACUGGGUAUACUCCAUUGCUUACAUUAAGGCAAUACAAAUCGAGGCAGUUUGUACCCACGACUUACGAACUUGCUCAAUGUGAAUUCUCCUAUAAAGGUGACUACUAUAAGAAGAAAGUUCGGGAACUAUCAGAUGCUUGGAAGCAAACUCGCUGGAUGAAGAGGUUGGCUGCUGGUUUCAUAGUGACACCUAAAUAUAAUGGAUGGUUUAGAAAAAGAGUCAAUGACAAUAUUUCUAGACCAAAUUUAGAAAACACCCGACCAAUGGAGGAACAAUUACAAGUCCCCACGUCAGAGUUGGAAAUAUAAAGCAAGACUUCAAGAAGAAGAGUUCUGAGCUUGGGAAAAAGAUCGAACAAUUGGAGGAAGAAAAGAUGCAUCUGAGAUUAGACGUUGAUUUCAGAGGUCAGAAGCUGAAAAGUUAAUAAAAGGGAAAAGUAAGGCCGAAGAAGAUCUGGACAGUUUGAAGACAGAUUAUAAGAAGUUACGCCUGUCUAUGAGGACUGCUGGGUUAGGUAAAACUUUAGAACAAUGGCGUAAUGAAAUUCAAGAGGAAAAGACCAAGGCCGACUGUGACAGCCCAAAAUUGACCCUAGUCGGGAAGUGGUCUCGGGACCACAAAACCGAGUCUUAUAAAUAAUUAAAGAUUAUAUUCUGUGUUUAUGAUGUGCGUAAAUGCUUGUGUGAUAGUUCCAUACUUUAAUUUGGUCAGUGUAUGUGGAAUUUAUUAGUAGGGACUUAUGUGAGACAAUUUAGAAAUAUGCUAGGCAAGUGUUCAAGUGGCCCAUUAAUAUAUGUGGGAAAGUGUUUGUCCUUGCAUGUCAAAUUAGCCAAAUUAAAGCAUAGUGGCUGGCCAUGCUAUGGGUGGAAACAUGUCACCAACAUGUUAUGCUAGUGAUGUAUGCUAAGAAAAAUAAAAUAAAGAGCAUGGUAAUUAAACAAUGAAAAGGAAGGGUGAUGAAAAAAAAAUGGUCUCAUCCAUACCCCCCCUUGUUGCCGUGAGUUGAGGAAAGAAAACAAAAAAAAAAUGUGUUCAUUCUUGAACACCUUUGGCCGAAUAGAGGAAAGAAAGGAAGGGGAAGAGCUUGAGAAAAUCGGCUAUGGUGGUUUGCUAGACUAAGGUAUGUUUGAUGUUGUUCUUGAGAUGCAUGCAUGUUUUAGUAGUUGACUUGAGUUCUAAAAAACCCAUGGUUCAAUUUUGUGGAUUGAUGAUGAUUUUGUGUUUUGCCAUUGAUGAGUGCUUGAGCUUUUUGAUAGUUGUUGAUGAAAAGUGAAAGAUAUGUUAAAGAUUAAUAUGUUAAAUUAAGGCUUGGUAAGCUAGCUAUUAAGGUGAAAUGCUAAUGUUAGUAUUUGAUUUGGUAAUAAUCUGUUUGGGGACAGCAGCAGUAAGGUGAUUUUGGAAAAUCGCCAUAAUUUGUAGGAGUUGAAUUAGAAGCUGAGUGAAUUAUGCCAUUAAAUCUUGAAGAGCCUAUUUUCUUAUAAAAGAAACUAUAAAAACAAAAGAGUUACCGAUCUUGAGAUAUUUGAAGUAUUGUGGGGCUGAGUCAAAAUGACUACUAGAUUCCCUGUUCUGUUUUUAGGAAAUCAUUAUAAAUUGUAAAAAAAUGAUUAUAAGAUAAAAUUUAUAUGCUUAGACUCCUUAAUGAGUCUAGUUUCAAAUGAGAUCAAAUACAACACAUUUUGAAUUCUGUAAAAUGAGAAAUUUGAUUCGUAGUGAAGAGUGGUCAGAAUAGUCAAACAGUGAAACAGGGGAAACUUUAAGAAAAAUCUAGUAUUGAUUGGCCAAGCCAAAAAUUCUGAAAAUUUUAUGGAUGGAAGAUAUACGAGUCUAUAUUCAGGGAAAAUUAACGGCUAGUGAUUUGGAGUUUUGUAGCUCCAGUUAUAAACAAUUUAGCGACUACUGCUCAGGAAAACAGCUCGUAGUGAAUAUGUGAUUUUGUUGUAAACAUUAAUGAAAAUUUGCCAAUGAGUUAUUUAUUGAAUAUUAUAAAGCUUACUAUAAUCUAUGUGUGUGAAGGUCAAAUCAAUAUAUAUAUUAUUCUGAAAGUAAUACUUGAAUAGUCGAUUAAUGACUAUUUUAAAUUUUGUUGAACUUAAGCUCAAGAGCAAAAGGGAACUAGAUCCGAUAAAGGCAAAGAAAAGAUCACUGAGUAGUCGAGUUGGAACCGUCUUACCCAACACAAGGUAAGUCAUUAAGCAUGUAGUUGGUAUUGUUUCAAAUGGUCAUAAUGUUUAUGUAUUGAUGCUGAAUGGAAUGAAUAAAUAUACAUAUAUAUAUAUGCAUGUACGUAUGUGAUGAUGAAAUUGUUGAAUGAAAAGAAAAGAGGUAAGAUGUACUGAGUUGUUGAUCUCGGCACUAAACGUGCGGGUAUAACCAUUUAUGACCAUGAGAUUGGUGCUAAGUGCGCGGGAUUAAAUUGUACAGCACUAAGUGUGCGAUUUGACUAUGUUGCACUAAGUGUGCAAAAUGAAUAUGAUGCACUAAGUGUGCGAAUUGACCAUGCGGCACUAAGUGUGCGAGUUUGACUAUGUAGCACUAAGUGUGCGAUUUGAUUACGUAGCACUAAGUGUGCGAGUUGAUUAUAUAGCACUGAGUGUGCGGACUCAAUAUGCAUUCGUGAAUCAUUAUGGACACUAUGUGUGCGACACUAUUGAGUCGAUCGCGGACAGCGGAUCGGGUAAGUGUCUUGAGUACAUGGCUAAUAGGUGCUAUGCUUAUACUUGGUGUUGAGCUCGGUAAGUUUGAACCUAUGUGACAACCAUACUUGAAGUCACGUACAUAAAAUUUAUCGUAGGAUGGGUGAAAGGCCGUUUAGUCGUUUGAUUGUAACGAAAAUAAAUUGAUUUAUGAAAAUGCUUCAAUGUCCUAUUGAUGAGUAUAUGGAAUGUGAAUGCAUGAAUUGAUAUGAAAUUGAAUCGAUAGGUUGGAGGAACUAUGGUAUGGUUCGGAAUGGAUGGAGUAAUUAGCCUCGUUCCAUUUUGUUUUCUCUUGUGAUAAUGUUAUGGAUGGAUGGUAGUGCAUAGCUUAUGACUUACUGAGUUAUAAACUCACUCGGUGUUUCCUUGUCACCUAUUCUAGGUUUCUUGGACACAUCUCUUUUUGCGUGAUCGGGCCAUCAUCGAAGUCAUCACACCGGAUAGCAAGUUUUGGUACUUUCUUCUUAGUUGGCUUAGAAGAACAUUUUGGCAUGUAUAAGCUAUUACGUUGUGUUUGAACUUUGGCAUGUAAACUUUAAGCCAUGCGAAAAUGGCACGAAUGGUCGAUUGAGUUGGAUCAAGGGUAGGCAUGAAAUGGACCUAGUUACUUUCGUAACAGAUGCUGGCAGCAGCAGUGUCAUGAGAUUGAAAAAUCACUAAAAAUAGUAGGAGUGGAAUUAAUUGAUGAAUAAAUUAUGUAAUCGAAGCUCGAUGAGUCUGUUUUCAUGAGGAAGUAACGAAAAGAUCAUAUGGGCAGUAUAUUAAGAGAUAAUCAGAUUUUUGUGGGACAGGGCCAGAACGGUUUCUGGAUUCCCUACUCCGACUUUGGAAAUUCAUUAUAAAUUAACCAGAGAUAAUUAGGGGUCGUACCAUAUAUGUAUAGAUUCCUCUCUGAGUCUAGUUUUCAUAGAAACAAACGGCAUCAGUAUUGAAGCCCCGUGCAGGGAGAUAUCCAAGUCGUAAUGGGCAAAGGUCAGUGUAGUCGACCCCUGCAACAUGGGAGACUUUGACUAAUAAACUGUACUAAUUGGCCCGACCAAAAAUUCUAGAAAAAAAUACAUAGAUGGGCACAUGAGUCUAGUUUCUGGGAAAAAUUACGAAACUCAAGAUAUGAUUUUUAAAACGACUAGUACACAGAUUGGGCAGUGUCUGGAAAAUAAAUUUUAUAAGGGGUUAAAGUCAGUUAACACCUCGUGUUCGACUCCGGUGUCGGUUUCGGGUUCGGGGUGUUACAUUUGAUUGGUAUCAGAGCUAUGGUUUAGUCGGUUCUAGGACUACCAUAGCACGUAUGAGUCUAGCUAUACAUGCCUUAAUGUUAAUGUUUAAAAGGGUGAUGACUUCUGACGGUUGAAAUGUUUUUGUUUUGAUUAGUAAAUGGAUCCCGGUGUAGAAAGAACCCUAGCGGAUGACGUUGAGAGCGUAGCGGCUGCUCCUGCACAAGGGACGCCGCCUGUUGAACCUCAGUCAUCUGCGAAUAAUCAAGGUGAGGGGGCUAAACAAGCCUUCUUUACCAUGAUGAAUGAGUGGGUCGCGCAAUAUGCCCGAACCAACCCGGCUGUCCAACAAUUCCCAAAUUUGAAUAAUCCACCCCAAGAGCCUGUAAUGCCAUCAGUCGCUGAUCCUGUGAGGCUGAGUAAGCCACCUGUAGACUUGAUUAGGAAGCAUGGGGCCGAGGAGUUCAAGGCCAUAGUAACUGAUGAUGCCGAAAGGGCCGAGUUCUGGCUUGAUAACACCAUUCGGGUGUUCGAUGAAUUGUCAUGCACACCUGACGAAUGUCUAAAAUGUGCUGUAUCUUUGUUGCGAGACUCAGCCUACUAUUGGUGGAGGACCUUGAUUUCCAUAGUCCCGAACGAGCGAGUAACUUGGGACUUCUUUCAAACGGAAUUCCGAAAGAAAUUUAUUAGCCAACGGUUCAUUGAUCAGAAGCGUAAGGAGUUCUUGGAACUCAAGCAAGGCCGUAUGACUGUAUCUGAAUACGAACAUGAAUUCGUAAGACUCAGUAGGUAUGCCCGGGAGUGUGUAGCUGAUGAGGUUGCUAUGUGCAAAAGAUUCAAGGAAGGAUUGAAUGAAGAUUUAAAGCUACUAAUGGGUAUUUUGGAAAUAAAAGAAUUCGUAACAUUAGUCGAACGAGCCUGCAAGGCGAAAGAACUUGGAAAGGAGAAGAGGAAGGCUGAAUUUGAAGCUAGAGAUUAUCGUAAAAGAUCGACGGGUAAAGCUCCGUUCUCAGCUGUAAAGAAGUUCAGGGAGGACAUUAAUAAGUCGAGGGCGACUGCGGGAAUUUCCAUCAGGGCAAGACCAUCGAUGGGCUCCCGAGCUACUUCGGUAGCUAGUGUGGGCAAUAAUCGUCACGAGAAACCUGAAUGUCCCCAAUGUGGAAGACGACACCUAGGUGAAUGUUGGGGCAAGUCUACUAGCAGGGCCUGUUACGGAUGCGGUUCGAAGGACCACUUCAUUAGAGAUUGCACGGAGCUGGAUGAGAAGAAUAAGAUUCAAGGUGCAAGACCUAGUGGAGUGACAUCUAGAGGUAGACCACCGAGAAUUUUAGGAGGCAGGGGUGGUAGUCAGAGGGGGGCCUCUGAUACGGCCGAUCGAGCCGAGAACCGUACUCCUGCUAGAGCAUAUGCCAUUCGCGCACGAGAGGAGACAUCCUCCCCCGACGUCAUCACUGGUACCUUCACUCUUUUUGAUACUAAUGUGAUUGCAUUGAUUGACCCUGGUUCUACUCAUUCAUAUGUAUGCAAAACCUUAGCAACCAGUAAGACUCUACCUGUUGAGUCUACUGAGCUCGUAAUUCGAGUAUCAAACCCUUUGGGUCAAUGCGUACUUGUUGAUAAAGUGUGUAAGAGAUGCCCUCUAAUAAUCCGAGAAUCCUAUUUUCCGGCCGAUUUGAUGCUUUUGCCGUUCGAUGAGUUUGAUGUUAUUCUUGGUUUGGAUUGGUUAACCGCGCAUGAUGCGGUUGUGAAUUGCAAAAGCAAGACUAUCGAUUUGAGGUACGCAAAUAACGAAAUAAUCUGAGUUGAGUCUGCGGACUUAAGGGGGUUGCCAGCUGUAAUAUCAGCAAUGUUGGCCCAGAAAUAUGUAAGGAAAGGGUGCGAAGCAUACCUCGCGUAUGUACUUGAUGACAAGGAGUUAGAAAAGAAACCCGAAUCGAUGCCGGUGGUUUGUGAAUACUCGGAUGUUUUUCCUGAAGAGUUACCGGGUUUGCCACCUGUUCGGGAGGUAGAGUUUGGUAUUGAGCUUGUACCUGGAACUACGCCAAUUUCGAUCGCUCCGUAUCGUAUGGCACUAACCGAGUUAAAAGAGUUGAAAGCUCAGUUGCAAGAAUUGACGGAUAGAGGUUUCGCUCGACCGAGUUUCUCACCUUGGGGUGCACCAGUAUUGUUCGUGAAAAAGAAGGACGGAACCAUGAGGUUGUGCAUUGACUAUCGUCAACUGAAUAAAGUGACGAUAAAGAAUAAGUAUCCGUUACCGCGUAUUGAUGAUCUGUUCGAUCAAUUAAAGGGAGCAUCGGUGUUUUCAAAGAUAGAUUUGAGAUCGGGUUAUUAUCAGUUGCGGAUUCGAGAUUCGGACGUACCCAAAACUGCUUUCAGAACGAGGUACGGUCACUACGAGUUCUUAGUGAUGCCGUUCGGGCUCACUAAUGCCCCUGCGGUGUUUAUGGAUUUGAUGAAUCGGAUCUUCAGGCCGUAUUUGGAUCGGUUCGUAGUUGUGUUUAUUGAUGACAUCUUGGUCUAUUCAAGAGAUGAGACCGAACAUGCUGAGCAUCUGAGGCAAGUGUUGCAAAUUUUGCAGGAUAAGCAGUUAUAUGCUAAGUUCAGUAAGUGUGAGUUCUGGUUAAGAGAGGUUAGCUUCUUGGGUCAUGUGGUAUCCGCAUCGGGUAUUCGAGUUGACCCGAGCAAAAUUUCAGCCAUACUUAACUGGAAGCCUCCGAGAAAUGUUACCGAAGUCCGGAGCUUUCUAGGGCUCGCCGGUUAUUACCGACGAUUUGUCAAAGGUUUCUCGAUGAUAGCCACACCAAUGACGAAGCUACUUCAAAAGGAUGUUAAGUUCGAAUGGACGAAGAAAUGUCAGAAAAGCUUCGAUCAACUGAAAACUCAUUUGACUGAAGCUCCAAUUUUGGUGCAACCCGAAUCGGGUAAAGAGUUUGUCAUUUAUAGUGACGCAUCCCUACUUGGGUUGGGUUGCGUAUUGAUGCAAGAAGGUCGAGUUGUGGCCUAUGCGUCAAGACAAUUAAAGCCACACGAGAGAAAUUAUCUGACCCAUGAUCUCGAACUAGCCGCCAUUGUGUUUGCAUUGAAAAUAUGGCGACAUUAUUUGUUUGGUGAGAAGUGCCAUGUGUUUUCGGAUCACAAAAGUCUCAAAUAUUUGAUGACUCAACGAGACUUGAAUCUGCGACAAAGACGUUGGCUUGAGUUGUUGAAAGAUUACGAGCUUGUCAUUGAUUACCACCCGGGAAAGGCUAAUGUGGUUGCGGACGCCUUAAGCCGGAAAUCACUGUUUGCUUUGCGAGCGAUGAAUGUACACUUGUCUGUUCUAUCUGACAAUGUGUUAGUAGCUGAAUUAAAAGCCAAACCAUUAUUGACUCAUCAAAUUCUUGAAGCUCAGGAAGUCGAUGAUGAAUUGGUUGCAAAACGAGCUGAGUGUGUUCCGAACAAGGGAUCAGAGUUUCAGAUUGAUGAUGAUGGUUGUUUGAGGUUUAGAAGUCGUUUGUGUGUUCCAAAGAAUUCGGAACUCAUUCCGAUGAUUCUGAACGAAGCCCAUUGUAGCCGAAUGUCAAUUCACCCGGGGAGCACGAAAAUGUACAACGACUUGAAACGUCGGUUUUGGUGGCAUGGUAUGAAACGAGACAUCUCCGACUUUGUUUCGAGAUGUUUAAUAUGUCAACAAGUGAAAGCGGAACAUCAAGUGCCUUCAGGGUUACUUCAGCCGAUCAUGAUACCCGAGUGGAAAUGGGACCGAGUCACAAUGGACUUUGUGUCCGGACUGCCAUUGUCCGCAAGUAAGAAGGAUGCGAUUUGGAUUGUUGUUGAUAGGCUGACUAAGUCGGCUCACUUUAUCCCCGUGCGUACGGAUUUUUCAUUGGAUAAACUAGCCGAAUUGUAUGUUUCUCAGAUUGUGAGGUUACAUGGAGUACCUAUUUCUAUCGUGUCGGAUAGAGAUCCGAGAUUCACCUCGCAAUUUUGGAAGAAAUUGCAAGAAGCUUUGGGUACCAAGCUGCAUUUUAGCACCGCUUUUCAUCCCCAAACCGAUGGUCAAUCCGAGCGGAUAAUUCAGAUACUCGAGGAUAUGCUGAGAUGCUGCAUCCUUGAGUUUAGUGGUUCAUGGGAACGGUAUGUACCUUUGAUUGAAUUCGCUUACAACAAUAGUUUUCAAUCAAGUAUUAAGAUGGCACCUUACGAGGCUUUGUACGAUCGUAAAUGCCGUACACCAUUGUUUUGGACCGAGCUCGGUGAAAGUAAAAUUUUCGGAGUUGAUUUGAUUAAAGAUGCCGAACAGAAAGUAAAAGUAAUCCGUGAAAGUCUGAAAGCAGCCACAGAUCGUCAGAAAUCGUAUGCGGAUUUGAAACGAAAAGACAUUGAAUAUCAGGUGGGAGAUAAAGUGUUUCUUAAAGUUUCGCCUUGGAAAAAGGUACUUAGGUUUGGCCGUAAGGGCAAGUUGAGCCCGAGAUUCAUUGGGCCGUACGAAAUCUCCGAACGAGUGGGGCCAGUUGCGUAUAGAUUGAUUUUGCCCCCUGAGCUUGAAAAGAUCCAUGACGUCUUUCAUGUUUCGAUGCUUCGACGCUAUAGAUCUGAUCCAUCGCACAUAAUUAGCCCAUCAGAGGUUGAAAUUCAAGCCGAUAUGAGUUAUGAAGAAGAACCGAUGCGUAUCCUAGCUCGUGAAAUGAAGGAGUUACGAAACAAAAGAGUUCCGCUAGUAAAGGUGUUAUGGCUCAAACACGGGAUCGAGGAAGCUACUUGGGAAACCGAGAGCUCGAUGAAAGAACGAUAUCCAAACCUAUUUACCGGUAAGAUUUUCGGGGACGAAAAUUUCUUAAGUGGGGGAGAGUUGUGACAGCCCAAAAUUGACCCUAGUCGGGAAGUGGUCUCGGGACCACAAAACCGAGUCUUAUAAAUAAUUAAAGAUUAUAUUCUGUGUUUAUGAUGUGCGUAAAUGCUUGUGUGAUAGUUCCAUACUUUAAUUUGGUCAGUGUAUGUGGAAUUUAUUAGUAGGGACUUAUGUGAGACAAUUUAGAAAUAUGCUAGGCAAGUGUUCAAGUGGCCCAUUAAUAUAUGUGGGAAAGUGUUUGUCCUUGCAUGUCAAAUUAGCCAAAUUAAAGCAUAGUGGCUGGCCAUGCUAUGGGUGGAAACAUGUCACCAACAUGUUAUGCUAGUGAUGUAUGCUAAGAAAAAUAAAAUAAAGAGCAUGGUAAUUAAACAAUGAAAAGGAAGGGUGAUGAAAAAAAAAUGGUCUCAUCCAUACCCCCCCUUGUUGCCGUGAGUUGAGGAAAGAAAACAAAAAAAAAAUGUGUUCAUUCUUGAACACCUUUGGCCGAAUAGAGGAAAGAAAGGAAGGGGAAGAGCUUGAGAAAAUCGGCUAUGGUGGUUUGCUAGACUAAGGUAUGUUUGAUGUUGUUCUUGAGAUGCAUGCAUGUUUUAGUAGUUGACUUGAGUUCUAAAAAACCCAUGGUUCAAUUUUGUGGAUUGAUGAUGAUUUUGUGUUUUGCCAUUGAUGAGUGCUUGAGCUUUUUGAUAGUUGUUGAUGAAAAGUGAAAGAUAUGUUAAAGAUUAAUAUGUUAAAUUAAGGCUUGGUAAGCUAGCUAUUAAGGUGAAAUGCUAAUGUUAGUAUUUGAUUUGGUAAUAAUCUGUUUGGGGACAGCAGCAGUAAGGUGAUUUUGGAAAAUCGCCAUAAUUUGUAGGAGUUGAAUUAGAAGCUGAGUGAAUUAUGCCAUUAAAUCUUGAAGAGCCUAUUUUCUUAUAAAAGAAACUAUAAAAACAAAAGAGUUACCGAUCUUGAGAUAUUUGAAGUAUUGUGGGGCUGAGUCAAAAUGACUACUAGAUUCCCUGUUCUGUUUUUAGGAAAUCAUUAUAAAUUGUAAAAAAAUGAUUAUAAGAUAAAAUUUAUAUGCUUAGACUCCUUAAUGAGUCUAGUUUCAAAUGAGAUCAAAUACAACACAUUUUGAAUUCUGUAAAAUGAGAAAUUUGAUUCGUAGUGAAGAGUGGUCAGAAUAGUCAAACAGUGAAACAGGGGAAACUUUAAGAAAAAUCUAGUAUUGAUUGGCCAAGCCAAAAAUUCUGAAAAUUUUAUGGAUGGAAGAUAUACGAGUCUAUAUUCAGGGAAAAUUAACGGCUAGUGAUUUGGAGUUUUGUAGCUCCAGUUAUAAACAAUUUAGCGACUACUGCUCAGGAAAACAGCUCGUAGUGAAUAUGUGAUUUUGUUGUAAACAUUAAUGAAAAUUUGCCAAUGAGUUAUUUAUUGAAUAUUAUAAAGCUUACUAUAAUCUAUGUGUGUGAAGGUCAAAUCAAUAUAUAUAUUAUUCUGAAAGUAAUACUUGAAUAGUCGAUUAAUGACUAUUUUAAAUUUUGUUGAACUUAAGCUCAAGAGCAAAAGGGAACUAGAUCCGAUAAAGGCAAAGAAAAGAUCACUGAGUAGUCGAGUUGGAACCGUCUUACCCAACACAAGGUAAGUCAUUAAGCAUGUAGUUGGUAUUGUUUCAAAUGGUCAUAAUGUUUAUGUAUUGAUGCUGAAUGGAAUGAAUAAAUAUACAUAUAUAUAUAUGCAUGUACGUAUGUGAUGAUGAAAUUGUUGAAUGAAAAGAAAAGAGGUAAGAUGUACUGAGUUGUUGAUCUCGGCACUAAACGUGCGGGUAUAACCAUUUAUGACCAUGAGAUUGGUGCUAAGUGCGCGGGAUUAAAUUGUACAGCACUAAGUGUGCGAUUUGACUAUGUUGCACUAAGUGUGCAAAAUGAAUAUGAUGCACUAAGUGUGCGAAUUGACCAUGCGGCACUAAGUGUGCGAGUUUGACUAUGUAGCACUAAGUGUGCGAUUUGAUUACGUAGCACUAAGUGUGCGAGUUGAUUAUAUAGCACUGAGUGUGCGGACUCAAUAUGCAUUCGUGAAUCAUUAUGGACACUAUGUGUGCGACACUAUUGAGUCGAUCGCGGACAGCGGAUCGGGUAAGUGUCUUGAGUACAUGGCUAAUAGGUGCUAUGCUUAUACUUGGUGUUGAGCUCGGUAAGUUUGAACCUAUGUGACAACCAUACUUGAAGUCACGUACAUAAAAUUUAUCGUAGGAUGGGUGAAAGGCCGUUUAGUCGUUUGAUUGUAACGAAAAUAAAUUGAUUUAUGAAAAUGCUUCAAUGUCCUAUUGAUGAGUAUAUGGAAUGUGAAUGCAUGAAUUGAUAUGAAAUUGAAUCGAUAGGUUGGAGGAACUAUGGUAUGGUUCGGAAUGGAUGGAGUAAUUAGCCUCGUUCCAUUUUGUUUUCUCUUGUGAUAAUGUUAUGGAUGGAUGGUAGUGCAUAGCUUAUGACUUACUGAGUUAUAAACUCACUCGGUGUUUCCUUGUCACCUAUUCUAGGUUUCUUGGACACAUCUCUUUUUGCGUGAUCGGGCCAUCAUCGAAGUCAUCACACCGGAUAGCAAGUUUUGGUACUUUCUUCUUAGUUGGCUUAGAAGAACAUUUUGGCAUGUAUAAGCUAUUACGUUGUGUUUGAACUUUGGCAUGUAAACUUUAAGCCAUGCGAAAAUGGCACGAAUGGUCGAUUGAGUUGGAUCAAGGGUAGGCAUGAAAUGGACCUAGUUACUUUCGUAACAGAUGCUGGCAGCAGCAGUGUCAUGAGAUUGAAAAAUCACUAAAAAUAGUAGGAGUGGAAUUAAUUGAUGAAUAAAUUAUGUAAUCGAAGCUCGAUGAGUCUGUUUUCAUGAGGAAGUAACGAAAAGAUCAUAUGGGCAGUAUAUUAAGAGAUAAUCAGAUUUUUGUGGGACAGGGCCAGAACGGUUUCUGGAUUCCCUACUCCGACUUUGGAAAUUCAUUAUAAAUUAACCAGAGAUAAUUAGGGGUCGUACCAUAUAUGUAUAGAUUCCUCUCUGAGUCUAGUUUUCAUAGAAACAAACGGCAUCAGUAUUGAAGCCCCGUGCAGGGAGAUAUCCAAGUCGUAAUGGGCAAAGGUCAGUGUAGUCGACCCCUGCAACAUGGGAGACUUUGACUAAUAAACUGUACUAAUUGGCCCGACCAAAAAUUCUAGAAAAAAAUACAUAGAUGGGCACAUGAGUCUAGUUUCUGGGAAAAAUUACGAAACUCAAGAUAUGAUUUUUAAAACGACUAGUACACAGAUUGGGCAGUGUCUGGAAAAUAAAUUUUAUAAGGGGUUAAAGUCAGUUAACACCUCGUGUUCGACUCCGGUGUCGGUUUCGGGUUCGGGGUGUUACACCGACCGAUGGGAAAGGAAAUUUCGAGAGACUCAGGCACUAAAUGAGGAUUUAGAGAAGAGUCUGUCAGAAAGUAAAAGUGAACGAGGUGAAUUAAGGGCUAGAGUGGCAGAGCUCGAGAAGUCUCUUCAUCAGUACCGAAGCCAUAAUACCGCAAUGGAGUUGAGAGUAAGCUUGAGUAAGGUAGAAGAAAUGAAAGGAAAAGUAGGAGAAUUAGAAGCGUUAUUACAAAGCUGUGAGAUGCGGAUUCAGCUUUUCGAAGAAAGUGAGGAGCGUUGGAAAGAACAGCUUCACCAUUCGUAAGACCAAGUCAGAAACAGGGACUACAUCAUGGGAGAAGCCGUGACCCAGAUUCGAGAGGUAGCCGAUUACUUGCAUGCUUUAGUAGUACAAGCGGACAUACUGAGUGUGAAGUACGAGUUGGAGUUAGAUCGGGGGCAGGAGCUAGCCUCUUUGUUUAGGAAAAUUAAGGCUCUGAGCAUUAGGGCGAAGUCUUAUUUGUAACUCAGUUUUAUGUAAAGACUUUUAUUUUCUAGUGAAGUUUUCUAAAUGGAAUCGAAUCAAAAUUGAUGCCUUUUUUACAAUCAUGCAUUUACAUUACAUUACAUCAUAUGCAUUAAAGUCCCAAAAAAGAUUCUAAUUAAUUAAAAAUGUUUCAGUAAUCUGGAAACUGACAAAAAUCUCACAAAUACACAUCCCUACGGUACAAGAAGAAAAACUAAAAUAAUGGAUAAAAAACUAGAGAGACUGGAGCAAAUGCAGAAAGAGAUGCAGGAGCAGAUGCAAGCAUAAGUGCAAGAACAGAUAGCUAAAAUCCAGCAGAAAAUGAGGGACCAGAUGCUGGAAUCACAAAAAAAUAUGAUGGAAGAGCUAACCCGACUACUGACUAGUAGGCCGGACAAAGAAAAGGGCCCUAUGGCCAAUAUGGGAAAUAACAAUGGAGAAAACACUCAAAUGCAACAUGAGACACACACGCAGAGGCCAUCCAUUACUGAAGAUCCCCUCUACCCCCUGGUUUUACCCCGACGAAUGCUCAAACGCAACCCGAGCUACACACGCGAAGGUCGUCCGUUACAAUCAGGCCCCAACAAUUUCAAGCCGAUACCUCGAUGCCAAUCAACUAUGAAACGGGCUCAGGCUCUAAUUCUGGGGAUAACCCUAUUAAUCCUAUAAUCCCUGAUUUGGAUAACAUGGCAGAAGAAGAGAGAGUAAGAACGGGGCUCUCGAAAGAAUUGGAAGACCGAUGGAAGUGGUUAGAGGAAAAGUUUAGAGUGAUGGAAAGUGCUGAUUAUCAUUGUAGGAUCGACGCUAAAGAUUUGAGCUUGGUCCUAGACCUAGUCCUCUCUCCUAAGUUCAAAAUCCCAGACUUUGAAAAAUAUAAUGGAACUAGCUAUCUAGAGGCUCACAUCACUAUGUUUUGUUGAAGAAUGGCAGGGUACAUUUACAAUGAUCAACUAUUGAUCCACUGCUUCCAAGAUAGUUUGGUCGGGUCUGCGGCCAAAUGGUACAACAAACUAAGUCGCGCUCAAAUCCAUUCAUGGAAAGACUUGGCACAAGAUUUCAUGAAGCAAUACGGCCACGUGACAGACAUAGCACCCUAUUGAAUCACGUUGCAAAACAUGGAGAAGAAACAAAAUGAGAGCUUCAGGCAGUACGCCCAAAGAUGGAGAGAGGUGGCGACACAUGUCCAACCACCUCUUCUGGAGAAAGAAACGACUAUGCUCUUUAUCAACACUUUGAAAGCUCCGUUUAUCAACCACAUGCUGGAAAGCGCUACUAAGAGCUUCUCAGACAUAGUAAUGUCAGGAGAGAUGAUAGAGAACGCGAUAAGAUGCGGGAAGAUCGAAAUAGGGGAAAAUGCCAAGAAAUCAGCUCCGAUAAGGAAAUAAAAUGAGGUGAACAACGCGGGCAUAUACAAUAAAAGUUAUUCUAAGCCAGUCACUGUGAGCCAACCAAAGACAGUGACUACCAGCCAUCAGGGCUCUGCAAGACAAGAUUCAAACCCGAGACCUAACACAAAAAGAGUCUAGUUUAUGCCUAUCCCAAUGUCAUACAGAGAGUUGUAUCAGAGUUUAUUCGAUGCCCAUGUGGUGUCACCUUACUACUUGAAACCCCUGCAACCUCCAUUCCCUAAGUGGUAUGACGCAAACGCUCAAUGCGAAUACCCUGCAGGAAUCUCGGGACACACGAUUAAGAACUGCACUGCCUUCAAAAAGGUAGUCGAAAGGCUCAUAGGCAUGGGCGUUGUGAAGUUUGAUGAGCCCACAGGACCUAAUGUGGCGGGGAAUCCGCUACCUAAUCAUUCAGACAAAGAGGUAAAUGUGAUAAUUGAAAAUGGAAGAAGGAGAACCAAGAUGGAUGUAUCAGAGGUAAAAACCCCGUUGACAUGGGUUUGGCAGAGGAUGGUGGAUGGAGGUUUAGUCACACAAGAUUCAAGGGAAAGGCUUAGAGAAGCGAGAAGAUACUGCGAGUUUCAUGCCGAUGAAGGCCAUGACAUCCAAGAGUGAAAUAAGUUGAGGUUCAUAGUGCAAAAUCUGAUGGACAAUAAGGAGAUGGAAUUUUACGAAGAAAUCGAAGGAUCAGAAGAAGGAGAGGUUUACGCCUUAAAGGAAGGAACAACAGAAGGGGUCCAAAGAGUUAAUCAUCCUAUGGUGAUAAUUUCGCGACCAAAGAACAAUGAAGCAAGAGUACAAAUGGCGCCGAGAGUCAUAAUCUAGAAGCCGGUAUCCUUCCCUUACAAGGAUAGUAAAAGGGUUCUUUGGAAUUACGACUGCAACGUAACGAUCCCAGGUGGGGAGAACCCAGCUAGUGCUUCAAGGGAGAACCAAGAUGUGGGUUUCUAUACACGCAGCGGGAGACGUUAUGAUCCUGCAGGUAUAGGAACUGAAACUGUUAAAGGAAAGACCCCAAUAGAUGAGCGAAGGAAGGAAACGACAACCAGACCUGAAUCACCAGUCAAUGAGCCGGUUAUUGAAAAGGAGGCUAAAGAAUUUUUAAAGUUCUUAAAGCACAGCGAAUAUAGCAUUGUAGAACAGCUACAUAAGCACUCAGCUCGUAUCUCAGUGCUAACCUUACUUUUGAGCUCGGAGACACAUGGAGCGCAUUAGUAAAGGUACUAAACGAAACCUAUGUCGCGGAUGAUAUCUUUGUCAACAAGCUGGACCGACUCGUCAAUAAUAUAAGCACCGAUAAUUUCAUAUUCUUCAAUGACAAUGAAAUACCACCGGGGGAAUGGGGUCAACUAAGGCGCUACACAUCACCACCCGCUGUAAAGGAAAUACACUACCGGGAGUAUUGGUUGACAAUAGGUAUGCACUAAAUGUCUUACCCCUAUCCACACUAAAUAGGUUGCUAGUGGAUAGUUCCCACAUGAAGACGUGCCAAAAUAUAGUAAGAGCAUUUGACAGCACCGAGAGAAAAGUAAUGGGAAGGAUUGAAAUACCCCUUUUGAUCGGUCCAAGCACAUACGAGAUAGAUUUCUUAGUGAUGGACAUCAAGUCCUCUUACAAUUGCUUACUGGGAAGGCCAUGGAUUCAUUCGGCAGGAGCGGUGCCAUUAUCAUUACAUCAAAAGCUCAAAUUUGUAACUGAAGGCCGAUUGGUAACCAUAAACGCGGAGGAAGAUAUCAUUGCGUCUGUUACCAGCGAGGCACCUUAUGUGGGGACAGAUGAUGAAGUAAUUGAAUGCUCUUUUCAAUCAUUAGAAUUUGUGAAUGCAACCUUCAUUGUUGAAGGGAAUAAGGUCCCAGUGCCUAAAAUCUCCAAAACUACCAGGAUGGGCUUGCGACUAACAAUUGGGAAAGGAGCUUUGCCCGAAAAGGGGCUUGGAAGAAAUUUACAAUGAAGGAUCGAGGCACCCAUGCUCACGGACAAACGAGACCGUUUUGGCUUAAGGUACAAACCAGAUGCAAGGCAAAAGAAAAAGGAGAUAGAGAAGAGGCAAGAGAGGAGAAUAGCUCGUUUAAACGGAGAAGAGGUCAAAUGGGAGCCAAUGACCUUUCCUCAUAUAUCCAGAACAUUCAUGUCGGGAGGGACCAUUUACUCUGAAGGAAAAUCGACAAGGAAAGGGUCUACUUUGAGUAUUAAUGCCAUAUCCAAGGAAGAGACGAGAGAAGGGAAUCAAGAAGGCAUUUGCCCAUACGUGCCUAGGAGCGUUUUAAACAAUUGGACCGCGGAGGAUAUCCUUGUAACUUUUAAAAUUAAUUCAGAGUAAUGUCCAAAACAAGCUUAUUGCUCUAAGCCUAGGGGCAAUAAGAAUACUUUUGUGAAAUAGGCUCUUAUCCAAUAUCGCUAUUUCAAUAAAAAUGCAUCUUUGCGUAUCAUCUUGAGUAAAUAUUCUUUUAUUUUUCCAUUUCAUUCAUAAUCAUACCACCAAUAAAUAUUCUUAGAUUCUUUUAUUUUUUGGACUUUUCUUCAUCUCUAUAAUAGGUCUCUAGAUAUCAAUGAUAUGAGUAACGUUGCUACUGACUCAGAGUCUCCGUUUGAGUAAGAUGUGUGUACGAAGGAUUCUCAGGACUUUGAAGAUGACCGAAACUGUAACCUAUCUUCGAAUUUGUUAAGGAUGGUAGAACAAGAUGAGAAACAAAUCCUACCUCACAAGGAAUCAGUGGAAAUUAUGAUCUUAGGGGAGGGAAAAGAGGUGAAGAUUGGAGUUUGUAUUGUCGCAGAAACAAGACAAGACCUCAUUGAGUUACUACAAGAAUUCAAGGACGUCUUCGCAUGGUCAUAUUAAGACAUGUCCGGGUUAAAUACCGAUAUUGUGAUACACUGACUCCCUAUAAAGGAAGAGUGCAAACUAGUCUAACAAAAACUUCGAAGAAUGAGACAUGAUGUUUUGUUGAAGAUAAAAGAGGAGGUCAAGAAACAAUUUGAUGCCUGUUUCUUACAAGUGGUUAAAUACUCAGAAUGGGUAGCCAAUAUAGUCCCAGUUCCUAAAAAAGAUGAAAAAGUACGAAUAUGCGUGAACUAUCGAGAUCUGAACAAAGCCAGCCCAAAAGACAAUUUUCCAUUGCCUCACAUUGACACAUUAGUGGAUAACACGGCAGGUUACUCACUUUUCUCCUUCAUGGACGGUUUCUCGGGAUACAACUAGAUAAAUAUGCAUCCCGAAAACAUGGAAAAGACUACAUUCGUGACCAUGUGGGGAAUGUUUUGUUAUAAGGUGAUGCCAUUCGAACUGAAAAUGCAGGAGCGACAUAUCAGAGAGCCAUAGUAACUCUUUUCCAUGAUAUGAUGCACAAGGAGAUUGAAGUUUACGUCGACGAUAUGAUUGUGAAAUCCAGGACAGAAAAAGAGCACACACAAGUCUUGAAGAAACUGUUCUUUAGGUUAAGAAAGUUUCAACUGAAGCUCAAUCCCGCAAAAUGUACCUUCGGGGCCAGGUCAGGAAAGCUGUUAGGAUUCGUAGUCAAUGAAAAGGAGAUCGAGAUCGACCCAGAUAAAGUCAAAGCCAUACAAGAUUUACCUCUGCCAUGCACUUAAAAAGAGGUUCGAGGCUUCCUAGGAAGGCUAAAUUACAUUUCCCUGUUCAUUUCACAACUAACGGAGAAAUGUGACUCGAUAUUCUGUCUCCUUAGGAAACACAACCCAGGCGUAUGGGAUGAGGAGUGCCAAAGAACUUUUGAUAAGGUCAAGCAUUACCUGUCCAAUGCCCCAGUGCUAAUGCCACCUUGCCCAAAUAAGCCACUGAUAUUGUAUUUAGCAGUGUUCAAAAACUCCAUGGGAUGCGUGUUAGGCCAACAUGAUGAGUCAGGAAGAAAAGAGAAAGUGAUAUAUUAUCUCAGUAAGAAAUUCACCGAAUGUGAGACAAGAUAUUCACCAAUCGAGAAAUUAUGUUAUGCUUUGAUUUGGACAACCCGGAGACUGAGACAGUAUAUGUUGUACCACACAACUUGGCUCAUCUCAAAACUAGACCCUCUAAAGUAAUGAUGGAGUCAAAUGCUUUGAACAGAAGAAUGGCUCGUUGGCAAAUUUUGCUUUCUGAAUUUGACAUAGUCUACGUGAACCAGAAGGCUAUAAAAGCGAGUACGAUAGUAGAUUUUUUGGCCAGUAGGGCUCUAGAAGAUUAUGAGCCUUUGAGCUUUGAUUUCCCAAAUAAAGACUUAAUGUAUGUUGCGGCGACGGAAGAAGACUCUCAAGAAGAUCAUCCUUGGAGACUGAAUUUUGACGGAGCCUCAAAUGCUAUGGGUAAUGGAAUCGGGGCAGUUCUGGUAUCCCUAAAUGGAGAUCAUUAUCCCUUUACUAGUAAAUUGGAAUUUGAUUGCACAAAUAACAUGGCGGAGUAUGAAGCAUGCAUCAUGGGUAUCCAUGCGGCUAUUGAAUGCAAAAUCAAGGUGCUAGAAGUAUAUGGGGAUUCUGCAUUAGUGAUUUAUCAGCUCAAAGGUGAAUGGGAGACGAGAGACCCUAAGUUGAUCAAUUAUCGAAAGCUGGUUUUGGAGUUAAUCGAGGAAUUUGACGAUAUCACUUUCUGUUACCUCCUGCGAGAUGAAAAUCAAAUAGCUGAUGCUUUGGCAACUUUAGCUUCUAUGAUCAAAGUAAAUAAGUAGGAGGAUAUGAAGCCUAUCCAGAUGAGUAUCUAUGAGGCUCCGGCUCAUUUCUACAACAUUGACAAAGAAGAAGAAAAAGAUGAUCACCCUUGGUAUCGAGAUAUACUGCAAUAUUGAAGAAUCGUGAAUACCCAGACCAGGGGACUGAGAAUGAUAAAAGGACGUUGAGAAGGCUGGCUAGUGACUAUGUCUUAGAUGGAGAGAUCCUAUAUAAAAGAAGAAAAGAUCAGGUGCUCCUAAGAUGCGUGGAUGCUGUCGAGGCUAAGAAAAUCUUGGAAGAGGUCCAUGAGGGUGUCUGCGGAACACAAGCUAAUAGUUUCACAAUAGCCAGAUAAAUCAUGAGAUUCGGAUAUUACUGGUCCACUAUGGAAGGGGGUUGCAUCAACUAUGCAAAAAGGUGCCAUAAGUGCCAAGUCUACGGAGAUAAGAUUCAUGUACCUCCUUCACCUCUUCAUGUCAUGACUUCCCCAUAGCUUUUCUCCAUGUGGGGCAUAGAUGUCAUCGGGCCAAUCUCACUGAAAGUGACUAACGGGCAUCAAUUCAUCUUUGUGGUCAUCGAUUACUUCACCAAGUAGGUAGAGGCCACUUCUUAUGCCAACGUCACGAAAUCAGCAGUUAGCAAGUUCUUAAAAAAGGAGAUUAUAUAUCGAUAUGGGAUGCCUGAGAGGAUUAUAUCCGAUAAUGCACUGAACCUGAACAACAGCAUGAUAGCAGAGGUCUGUAGCCAAUUCAAGAUCAAACACCAUAACUUGUCACCGUAUCACCCAAAGACGAAUGGUGCGGUAGAAGCAUCAAAUAAGAACAUCAAGAAGAUUGUGGGGAAAGUGACUGAGACUUACAAAGAUUGGCACGAGAAAUUACUAUUUGCCCUCUACGCCUACCGAACGUCAGUCAGAACCUCUACCAGGGUAACACCUUUCUCUUUGGUUUAUGGAAUGGAAGCGGUUUUACUUGUUGAGGUUGAAAUUCCUUCUCUACGAGUGCUAUCAGAACUAAUGUUAGAUGAAGCGGAAUGGACCCAGUCACGGUACGAUCAACUGAACUUAAUUGAAGAAAAGAGGCUGAAAGCUAUUCGCCAUGGUCAAAUGUACCAAAAACAAAUGAUGCGGGCUUAUAACAAGAAUGUGCGCCCUAGAGAAUUCCAUGAGGGGGACCUGGUUUUGAAAAAGAUCCUCCCCAUACAAAAAGAUUUCAGAGGGAAAUGGAUGCCAAACUGGGAAGGACCUUAUGUGGUGAAGAAAGCCUUUUCUAGAGGAGCACUGAUUCUAACCGAAGUGGAUGACAAAAGUUUGCUUAACCUCGUGAACUCAGAUUCAGUCAAGAGGUACUUCACCUAAAAAAAAGAGAGGCCAAGGCGAAAACCCGCAAAAGGGAGUUUUGAGACCAAAGGGGUUUUGAGUUGAAAACCCAGGAAUGGGCAAUUCAAAUUUUGAUCAGAAAUGAGGCAUAAAGUAUUCUUGUCUUCUCUGAAUUAAUAGGAAGGAGGAAUGCUACAUCUUGGGGCAUUAACAAAGUACUUUUGGUCUUCUAAGCACAUAUUAAGUUUAAAGGGUCCUCAAAAGGUUUUGUGCAGAGAAGCUCAUGCUAUGAUAUCUGGGGCACCUAUUUUCAUUUUUAUUCAUUUUGUAUCUUAUAAAAAUUUUCUAUUUUGAUUACUUGAUUCAUUUCGAGCAUUGCUCUCAAUAAAAUUCCAUCUUGCCCAUUGCGACAAUCUUUUUCAAGUAUUUUUCAUUGAAAUAAUAAUUAAUGGACUAAUGACAUUCAAAAAGAGUUCUGCAUAUUACUUUGAAAUGAUUCUAAAUGAUACAAGGACCUGAAACAAGACUAAUUAUUUUGAAUUACCCAAAUUCAAGGAAAUGUUGGGAAAAGAAUAACCCAAAUUGCGAUUGUCCUUCGGAUUUUCUAUCAAAGAUACCAGCUGAAGAAAAGAAAGGAGUAAUACGUCAAUGAUAAAAAUUCGAUGAAAAUGACAUUUUGCACUCACGCUAACAUCAUCCAUACACAUCUAGCUAGGAGCAUUUGAUUCAUUCAUCAUUUGGCAUAAGCCUAGAAAUCGAUUCUGUGAAUCAUGUCCCCUAGAAGAUAGUAUAGCAAGAAUCGAUUGAAGCUACGAAUUACGGCGAAUGUUAUCUUCCUGAAGUUGCAGUGAAGCAGAUUAAAAUCAUCAAUCUUAUCUCCCUGAGAUUGCAGUGGAACAGGUUGAAAUUGUAGAUCUUAUCUCCCUGAAGUUGUAGUGGAAUAGAUCAAAAAUAGCAAAUCUUAUUUCCCUGAAGUUUCAGUGAAAUAGAUUGAAGCUAUAUACUACAGAUCUUAUCUCUCUGAAGUUGCAGUAGAGCACGUCAAAACAAGUCUUAUUUCCCUGAAGUUGCAGUGGAACAGAUUGAAACUAUAAACUACAGAUCCUAUCUCUCUGAAGUUGCAGUAGAACAGGUCAAAACAAAUCUUGUUUCCCUGAAGUUGCAGUAGAAUAGAUUGAAGCUAUAAGCUACAGAUCCUAUCUCUCUGAAGUUGUUGUAGGGUAGGUCAAAACAAGCCUUAUCUCUCUGAUGUUGUAGUGGAGCAGACUGAAGAUAGCAAAUCUUAUUUUCCUGAAGUUGCAGUGGAACAAAUUGAAGCUAUAAAUUGCAGAUCUUAUCCCUCUGAAGUUGAAGUGGGGCAGUUCGAAAUUACAAACCUCAUCUCCCUGAAGUUGCAGUGGAGCAGACUGGAGUGGGGCAUAUUAAAGCUACUUGAAGAAAAGAAGCGCCAAGAGAAGUCAAGACUUAGUAGGUCCCGGAAAAUUUGGCCCUUUUUAUAGUCUUUUCUCGAUUCUCAUUGCACGACAAGGGCCCAAAACCAUUAACCAGCCCAAACAAAAAAAAUAAAAACAAAAGCCAAAUAACAAAUAGUCCAAAGUUCAAAUUACCCAAUUACAAAAAACCAGCAAGCCCAAACCCCUAACCCAAUUCUUACAGGCCCAAAAGGCCCAAUGGCCUAAAACAAUCUAGAAACCCUAGGGUUUCUGAAUCACCCUCGCGCCGUAUACCCUCCAUGUGCGCCAUCGGCAUACACACCACCCAAAGUUUGACUUUACCUUCGACCUUACACCAAAAUAGCAUGUUUUCACCGCCGUUGACCCCUCUAGGCCUGCAAAACAGAAGCAAAAAAAGAGAAAGCAAAAAAGAAAGCAAAGCAAAACAGUAACAAAUAGUAAACAAGAGUCAUUGUAUUCAGCUAUAAAGAGGCCUCAAACAAACAAUGUAAUUUUUUUUACGGAGAGAUAUCAAUCAAAAUAGAGAAUUUUUGAAAGAAAAAGGUGAUUUUUAUCUUCUUUAUAAGUUUAUUCCAGAUAACGCAUACAUAUAUAUAUACUUUAAAUAAAAAAGGGGAUUUUUCUCACCUUCUUCAAGUCGUCGAAGUUGGAACUGAAGAGUUCCCUUGGUUUUUUUCGAUUCUCUAGCGGUUUCUGGUUGUUUUAAACCUAGAUUUGGGUCGAGGAAGGAAAUUGGGUUGAAAAGGGGCCGAUUUCGUGCCUUUGGCCACCGUGUACAGUUGUCGCCGGUGACAGACCAACGGUGGUCCGAUCGCCGAAAAAGGAACACCUAGAGAAACCCCUUCCCCUUUUUUUCUUUUUUUUCAGAAACCAUGAGAGAAUGAGUUUUUUUUAAAAAAAAUCCUUUUAUAAGCUGUUGGAACGGCGUCGUUUGGGGCUGAGUUCAAUAGCCCUAAAACGGCGUCGUUUAGCGACCCAGACCCGAGAUCCGACCCUAACUCGCUAAUGAUCCGCGCUUUUUUGGAUUGGGGGUCUAUUUGCGCCCCUAGUCCUUCCGUUUUUGAGGCCAGUUUCAAUGUGGUCCCAUUUCCCUUUCAUUUAUUUUUUUAAUUUUACCCCUGAAAUUUCUUUACUAUUUCAUUAGGGCCCCUGACAAGACAGCACGUUUUGGGGAAUGGGUUUAUUGCCCAUCUGGUCCUCUCAUUUUAUUCGUGUCUUCAAAUGGGUCCUUCUCUCUUUUAUUUUUUUUGAAUUUGCCUCGAAUUUCUGCUUUAAGUUCAAAUUGGUCCCUUUUCGUUCUUUUAACUAUUUUAUUAACUAAUUUAAUAUUAUUGUUACUAUAAUUAUAUUUUAUUUUCAUGCUUAUUAUUUGUUAUUAUUAUUAUUACCUUCAUUCCAUUAUUAUUAUUGUUGUUGCUAUUUUUUUGUUGUUUGUAUUAUUAUUUAUAUUAUUGUUAGUAUCAUUGUUAUUCCUUAGUUUAUUAUUAUUAUUUUAUCAUUUUUUUUCUUUUUGUAUUUAUCUACAUUAUUAUUACUAUUAUUAUUGUAAUUACUUUUGAACAUACCAUGCAUUUUAAAUUAUUAUUGAUUUUAAAUAUUUUACAUAUAUCAUUUCUUUUAAAUCAUCAUACGUAGUAUUUAUUUUGAUAUUCUUAUAUGUAUCUUUGUAUUUUAAAUUAUUACAUGUAUGCAUAUGUUUUUUAUUUUAAACGUUUUUCUAUACAUCAUUUUACGUCAAAUUUCUCUUUUCACAUUAUUUAUUCUAAAUAUUUUACACGUUAUUUAAGUUAAACCAUCUUAUAUAUUAUAUAUUUUUAAUUUUUAUAUGUUAUUCUGUUAUACUAUUUUACAUGUAAACGAUUUUAAAUUCUUUUAUUAUUUAUUGCAAACCUUUUAUCAUUAUUUGCCUUAAAAUUUCAUAUAUAUAUAUAUAUAUAUAUAUAUAUGUUACUUACAUUAAAUUGUUUUCUAUACCUUUUAUAUAUUAUAUAUUUUUAAAUUUGUUUUGCACAUAUUAUUUUAGAUUUCUAUGUAUUCUUUUAAAUUAUUAUAUACUAUUCAUUUUAGAUUGCAUUUUUAAAUUAUUUUAUGUAUCAAUUAUUUUAGGUUGUAUUAUGUCGUUCCCUUUAAUUUGUUUCUUUUUAUAAUAUCUAUUUCAAAACUUGUUUUUAUGUAUUAUUUAUUUAAAAUUGUCUCAUUAUUUACCUUAAAAGGUUUCAUGUUGUUUAUUCCAUUCUUUUUAUUGUUAAUGUUGGUAUUUAAGUGACAUAUGUUAUAUGGUUAUUGUCAUUUAUGUAUGUUAUAAUUCAUUCGUUUGUAUUUUCACAUUAUUGUCACCCAUUUGCAUAGUAUCUUAUCCAUGAAUAUCAUUCCAUGUUUAUUCGCCUUUCAUUCGCAAUUGUCGCAUUGUAGUUUUCAACUUAUUAAUCUAAGAUUAAUGAUUCCACCUUAUUUCAAGUCAAAUUAAUGCAUUUCAAGUUGGUUUUAUAAUUAUUCGUUUGAAAAUUCCUUAAAAUGAAGGUAGUGUUUGAUGUUUGGAAAUUCGGGAAAUCGUGCCCUACCGUGCUGGGUUUCGAUUUCCUGUUUGUUCAAAACAAUCGAAUAUUCCUUUAGAAUUUCACACGUGUUUUUCAAAUUCUAAAACAAGGCAAUGCUCAAGGUUUGGAAAUUCGGGGAAUCGUGCCUUAUCGUGUUGGGUUUCGAUUUCUCGUUUGUUCAAAAUAAUCGAAUAUUCUUUUAGAAUUUCGUUUGUAUUCUUUAAAUUCUAAAACAAAGCAAUGUUCAAUGUUUGGAAGUUCGAAGAAUCGUGCCUUACCGUGCUAGGUUUCAGUUUUUUUGUUGGACUAAAUAAUUGGGCAUCAUUUUGUAAUUUUCAAUGUAUAAAUUUUUGGAAGUGAAAGAUUUAUCGUGUUCUCGAGGGAAUAAAGGAUCGUGUCCUAUCGUGUUGGAUAUGGUGCUGCAUUCCUUUGAAACAAGAGAAUUUUGACGACCAAAUUCAGCUAUUCAAAUGUUUUCAAAGGAACCAUACUUUGAAAAUAACUUCAAAUCUUAGACGUAAGGACGGUACUUAAUCAAUUUGGUACCAAUUUUGGGCGUAGUGAGGGUGUGAAUCCUUCCUCAUACGUAACUGGCUCCCGAACCCGUUUUCUCAAAUUUACGUAGGCCAAAAAUUGAUUUAAAUGGAAUAAAAGGUUUCAUCAGGUGAGCCAAUCGCACCUAAACAAAAGAUUGGUGGCGACUCCACGCUUUGUGUUCAAAAAGUCGAUCCCCGCUUUUUAAAAUCAAAAAUGGUUUCGACAUUAUAAAUAAAAAUUUAAAAUUAAUAACUUUUAAAUAUAUAUUAAUGAUUCACUAUAAGAUUUUAGAAGGUUUUCCUUUCAAAAUACUAAAAUUGACAAAACAAAAAUAAAUAUAAUGAAGUAGAUUAAAAAAAAGACAUGAUACUAAUAAUGUAAGCGAAAAUACUUAAAUUAGAGAAACAAAUACAAAGUUAAUAAAAGUGAACAAAUAUAGAAUAAUAAUAAACAACCAAAAAAUUGUUACAAAAUAAUAUGUAAAGCUUAAAAUAUGUAAAACUUAUAUUAAUAGCUACUUUUGAGUGGUGAAUAUAAAUUUUAUUAUUACAAAAUAAUAAAGUAGAUUAUGAGAGUAAAAAAAUAAUUCCUAAUGUAAAUUAUAUAAAUUUAAAUAUUUGGGAAUAUUUUUUUUAAAAAAAAACUAAAAAUACCGAAAGUUAAACAAUACAAAAUCGGAGGAUAGAGUACCCCUUACGAUAUCUUCUUCUAAAAUUUCUUAGAUCUCUAAAGACAAGACAUCAAAUAAACAUAACUCUCCCUCAUUCGCGAAGGUCAUUUUAACUAAUAUAGUGUUCAAUUUUGCAAUUACCAUUUAUUUCAGUUAAACAAAGUACCCGUGUCGAUGAUUUGUGGUGUCAAUUGUUAAAGGAAGAACCAAGCUAACAAACUAAAAUAACCAUAUUUACUUAAAAGCCUAUUUAUAUAUUAAAUAUAUUAGAUGUCGCAUCUUUUAAAAAAUUUAAAUUUAAUCUUUAUACUUUUAUUUUAAAUUUUAAAUUUUAAAUAGAAUUGCUAACACUGUUAACAUUUUUUUUCAAUCUAACCCGAGCUUGAGAGUUUCCACCACAAUUAUCCUUAUUUUGAUAAUAUUUUUAAUUACUCCAAUUCUAAUCAUAUUUGUUUUAAAAAAUCAAUCUAAAAUGUUCUAAAACAUAUCUUUGCUUUAACUUUUAUUAAAAUAACAACCAAAAUUACACGAAGGUAGAAACAUCCCACACAAUCCAAACACAAAGAUGGUGAUCCAUUGAAAAAUGUGGUCUUUAUUUCAUUAAUUUAUUAUGUUAACAGACCUGGUGAGGUUAGAUUUGUAUUAAACUUUUGGAUAGUAUUAAUCCGAUAUGUUUUUGCCCAAACUUCGCUAAGUUUAAAAUAUGAGUUUUACACUUUAAUGCAAUUCAUUUCUAUUUGUAAAUAGUUAAUUUAAAUUUAUUUUAUAUACAUUUAUAUAUAUUUUUAAAAAAUAGAUUAAAUUAUUUUAAUUUAAUAUUAAAUAAUAUUAUAUAUAAAAAUUUUAAAUAUAGACAAUUAAAUUUUGGGUAAACUAUUAAAAUAGUCACUUUUUUUUGUCUUAGGUUACAUUUUAGUCAAUUAUAUUUGAAAUGUUACAUUUUAGUCAUUUAUGUUAUCGUGUUGUAAUAUUUUAGUCACUGAGCGUUAAUUAUUGUUAAUGUUGUAACGGUAAGCUAACGUGACAUGUUAAAUCAUCAUUUCAAACAAAAAUUUAGGUUAAAUUAUACAAUUGGUCCUUAUAUUUUUCGUUUUGAGUAAUUUAAUCUUUCAUUUUUUUUUCUUUUUUUUCCAUUCUCUCUCCUUCCCCCUCUGUUUUCCUCCCUUCUCCAUUUAUUUUAACGUAGUUUUUUCUAUGUUUUGCAUUUGUUAAAACUAGUCCCCAUACUAUGUUUCUGAACAAUUUGAUUUUUUUUCUUUAUUUUCCUUUUCUUUUUUCCUUUUAUUUAUCUCUCUUCCCAUAUUCUUCACCACAAAAACAUAAUCUUUGCCCACCAAAUAAAUUAAAUCCUUGUUUUUCUCACAUGAUUCCUAAAUUGAAUUUCAAUCAUAACCAAAUAUCAAUCAUUCUUAAUCACAUCUCGAUUUUAAUAUAACCUAAUUUUGAAACUAAAAUUGGAUCUAACUAAUCUGUAUAAAAAAACCAUAUCCUUAAUCAAAUCUAAACAUAAAUUGAAUUAUUUAUAUUCAAAAUCAAUUUUUUUCGUAUCCAAACUUUUACAGAAUCGUGUAGAUUAUUCCUUUCCUUUUUUUCUAACAAAUAAAAUUCAGCCCGCAAUAAAAUUGAUCUAAACCUUCUUGGAUAUUCCCAAAUAAGCUUGAUUGGAAGCCGAGCAUUGAUGAACUCACACUCAAAGUAGUUCAUGGUUGAAAGCUAGAAAACAUUAAGGAUCCGCUUAUCUAAAAACACAGGCACGAAUUCGGUUUAGGUUUAUUUCUAUAAAUAUCACAAAUCAGGUAGGUUUUCAAAAUUUUAAUUUUAUGUUGUGCAAGAAAACCGUUUUCAAACAUGAUUUUUUUCCAACAUUUUAACUUAUUCUUAAACAAACAUCACAUCUCAUCACAUCAGUGUAUCAAAAUGACAUGUCCCUUUAAGCUUUGAUAUCACUAAAUGUAACACCCUUAUACCUGACUCGACUACCAAGUUAGAUAUAGAAAUGCUACAUUUGAGUGCCAAAAAAUUCUUGACCAAAUCAUUUUAUCUGAACCCUUUUUUGGUCAUAUUUUAAAACUUAUGAUUGCGUUAUUUUCAUAAUACAACCGUAUCAGACCAACCCGGCUAAAAUUUUUUUGUAAAAGUUUAUUUUAGGGUCUCGUUUUACACAAAACAAGGUACAUGUAUGGAACUGCCACUAAGGUAUCGAUACUUGAGCUUAGGUGUUGAUAUCCUAUGUUGUAUUAAUACCAUUUUAAACUUCGAAGUUGAAAGAUUUAAGAAAAAAAUACCUAAGGUACCUAUACCUUGUCAAGGUAUCGAUACUCCCACUUAAAAAUCAAUACUUUGCCCAUAGUAUCAAUUUCCAAUUAAGGUUUUUUCAUUUUUAGGAAUCUAGGGUCUAUUUACCAGCUUAAUCAUUCAUAUUAUACCAGUUUUAGCCCUUGUUGUAACUCCCCAAAUUUCUAUAGUUUCUACUUUAGUGAUGGUUGAGCAUAGAAAUAUCUGAACAAUUGGGUUUGUGUUAUUUUGGGAUUUAAAUGUGCUGGCUUAAGUGGUUAUGUACUUUGGGAUGUGUUUGGGAGGUCCCAAGUUCAAGCAUUAACUUGGGCUAAAUUUUGGGUUUUUAUUUGAAUAGAGCUUGACUUUAGGUCAGUGGGCGUAUAAGGAGUUGUUGGUAAAAACUUAACAGAAUGGGCCUGUUGGUCUGGUGGUUAAGUAGAGUGCUAGUCUGCUCAGAGUCCUGAGUUCAAAUCUCUGCAGUGGCUUUGGGAUUAUUUUUGCUGCAAGUUUUUGCUAAAUUUUGGGCUUUAUCAAAAUUUGAGUUUAGGGCUUACUGAAAAUUAGAGGUUUGCGAUAUGUCCUUUUUUUUUUUUAACAAAAGCUUUUUCCUCUACCGUUUUCUUCUCCCAAACCCUUGCUGCUGAAAAUUCUUUUCUCUUUUUCCCCAUUUCCUUUAUUUUUCUUCUUUUUUGAUAAGCUUAGGCGUAUUACUAGCGGUUCUGUCGAUUCGGUAAGUAUGGUUUUAUUAAAUUGUGUAAUUUCUUUUAGAGAUUGUUUAAGAGGGAUUUUAUUUGCUAUUUAGGAGAUUAUCAAAUUUUUGUGGAUCGCUAAUCGGGUUCUAAACAGCAAGGAAUCACUGUAUUCAUUGAAGGUAAGUAGAUCACUCUCUUAGGAUUUGGCAGUUCUUAAGGGAGUCGAUUUAAGUAAUUGAUAUUGGACUCAGUUUUGUUAAUUUUAGGCUUUGGAGUGCUCGUGGUUGGAUUAGCAGUGAAAACGAACCAGGUGUGUACUCCGAUUACCCAAAAAAUGAGUUUUGGCAAAAGCCAAAAAGUGGCCUGUCGACGAAACACAGGCGAGUGGUCUGCCUGUGUGGUAGCCUGCGUCGUGAGACACGAGCGUGUCACUGGCGAGCCAGGCCGUGUGCGUGCCACACGGGCACGAUACACACGGGCGUGUGGCCUACAUGGGUGAACCACACGAGCAUGUAAAAAUCUGAGCUAGGCUGUGUGAUCCACACAGGCAAGGCCAAUUUGGGCCGUGUGACCCACACUAGCAUGUGGGCCCAUAUGGGCAAGGCACACGGGCGUGUGAGCCCUUUUAAUCUGAAAUGUUCUGUAAGGUUGCACGGGUCGCCCAAGUCGACUAUGACCUGUAGUAGGGUCGGUAAGCCUUAUCUAGACUUCUAAUUCUGUGAUGUAUGUGCUCGCAUGAUUUAUUUAGCAUGAUUAUCUGAUCUAUUCUAUAAAUAAAGGUACGAUUUGUUUGUCUACAUUAUAACAUGUCAUAUUUGUAUGAUGCAUUGCAUCGAGGUGGGUUUGACGAAGUGAAGGGAGUAUCUGAAGGGCUUCAUAAGUACGUUAUUUGGCGGUUAAGCUGCAUAUUUAUGAUAUGAGUCGCGAUGCAGUACCUUAUGGUGUGUAGGAUUGGAUGGGUCGAUUAUAUCCACAUAUAUGGUGUGCAGGGAUGGGUGGGUCAAUUUUAUCCCCAAAUGGUGUGAUGGGUUGGACGGAGAUGGUGUGCAAGGUUGGUAGGCAUGAUAUUUCUGAUUUUUGAUCUGUUAUGCAUACGAUAUCUAUAUGGCUAAGGCCGAAUAACUAUAUUUUGUUAUCUGUUUGUAUGCAUGAUGUUUGUGGGGAUGUACACACUGAGUUUGCGAAAACUCACCCCUUUGUUUAUUUUGAUUGUCAGGUAAUCCUCAGCAGUAGCUGGAUCAGUGUGACAGAGGGCUCGAUGGUGACCACUGGUAGACAUACACAGAUUUUUGAGUAACACUUUAUUUUGUCUAUUUUAUCUAGAUAUAUGUUUUGGGAUUUUUAAAUUGUUAAAUUAUGGAUUCAUGAAUUAAUGAUGUUUUAGCUUUCGUGUUAUUAAAAUGUUUUCACUUAAUAUUUGGAAUAGAGAUUUCAUGACUUAAGUAUGGAUAACAAACUGAACAUUUUUUACUUGCUAAGUUUUUCUAAAAGCACUCACAUGUGACACCGCUAGAUUCGGUCAUAGCGUCUGGGCCAGGUUUGGGGUGUUACAUUUAGUGGUUCAGAGCCAGGUUCAAAACUCGGCUGUGAAUUUUGGGUUCCAAAAUUUGGUUUUAGAGAAACACUUUCAAAUGUUUUCAAAUACUCUGAUUAAGUAUGUGGUACAUCGAGUGUCCAGCACUAUUCCUGUAAGUUCUCUGAAACUCUGAUAUGUAUUGUCUGAAAGCAUGCUUAUACUGAAAUUUUUGUCUGUAUCUGUCAGAAGUACUAUGUAUGCAUUAUGAAACACUCUAGGUAGUGUAAACUGAAAACCGUAAUGAGCUUGUUACUCGCAAUAAUUGACUCUGAAACUCUAAUGCUGUUCUGCAUAAAAUAUCUGUUAAUAAUUAUCGAAACUGUAAACUAAUGUGCAUAAAACUUCUAAAUAACAGAUUAAUUCAAUAGUUAUGAUGAGCACACGUGGUACUCAUGGACGGGGUACUAGAGGUCGAGGUAGAGGCCGUAAAGAGAUUCGAGCUGAGUCAUUCGCCUCAGCUACGAUCCCUAAUCUGGACACUAGCAAGACGCCAGUGUUACCUAUUACUGAGACUGGUGCUGAGUCUCAGGACUGUAAAGCUGGAGAUGAUGCAUUGUCCCAGGCCAUGCUGCGAAUUUUGGAGAGGGUCGCUGGGGCUAAUGCUAGAUCUAGAGGCCAUGGGUCGGUUACGGAACGACUUUGGUCCAAUGGGGCUGAGGUAUUCAAGGGCAUCGCUGGAGUUGCUCCUAAUGUGGCUGAGUACUGGAUGGUGGCCACAGAGUGUAUUAUGGAUGAUCUGGAUUUUAGUGCUGAGUAAAAGCUCAAGAGAGUUGUUUCAUUGCUUCGCGAUGAAGCAUAUUAGUGGUGGCUGAAGUUAGGGAUGACACUCAGCCUGAUAGUCUGACGUGGGAUUUGUUUAGGACGGCUUUUCAGAGCAAAUAUGUGGGGUCCAGUUAUAUCAACACUAGGAGGCGUGAGUUCUUGAAUCUUACUCAGGGAGACUGUUCGGUGGUCGAGUAUGAGGCUGACUUUCUGAGGCUGAGCCGUUAUGCAUGAGGCAUGGUGGCAACUGAGUAUGAGCGCUGUGUUCGUUUUGAGGACGGCCUCAGGGAUAACUUAAGGGUCUUGAUGGCUCUACAGAGGGAGCGUGAGUUUGCCGUGUUGGUCGAGAAGGCUAAGAUCACGAAGGAGGUUAAGCGUGUUAAGCGCCAGGAUCGUGACAGAGAGAAGGCUAAGAGGGAUGUAGAGUCUUCGAAUGCUGGGGUGAGGCCUACGAAAAAGGCCAGAUCUGAUGGGCCCGUGAGAGUUGGGCCUACUGUUGCACCUGCGAGGCGAUUUGUCAGCUUUGUAAUAAACGCCAUCCGGACGAGUGUUAGAGGUCUACUGGAGCUUGUUUUAGAUGUAAAUCUUUUGAGCAUCAUGUUAAGUACUGCUCAUUGAGGACUAAUCAGAUGCAAGCUUUGGCUACUAAGACUGCACAACCGCCGAGGGUAGUUUAGUAGCCACCUAGGGCCGAGGUAGGCUAGGGGUGGUAAUAGUAUGGGCCAAGGACAGAGAGCAUCGGGCCGAGGUGCUAGGUUGACUGAGGUGAGGCAGCCUGUGCUUGUGUAUGCUACACGUCAUCGUGAGGAUGGAGAUGCUCCAGACAUCAUCACAAGUACAUUCUUAAUCCUUAAUGUACUUUAGUUACAUUGAUAGACAUAACUCUAUACAUUUUUACGUUGUAUGUUCUGUGUUUGAGACUUUGGGAAUACCAUAUGAGAGCACUUCUAGUGAGAUUUCAGUGAUAAGUCCGUUGGGGCAGUCUAUUAGGGUUAGUAAACUGUUGAGAGACGUUCUAUUGGAAGUCCAAGGGAUGAUAUUUUUGGUUGAUCUGAUAGAACUUUUGUUUGUGGAGUUCGACUUAAUUCUGGGCAUGGACUAGUUGGUGAAGCAUCGAGUAAGUCUGGAUUGUGCUAGAGAAAAGGGUUAUUCUGAGGACCGAAGAAGAUAAUGAGAUAGUCGUGAUUGGGGAAUGACGAGAUUAUCUGACUAAUGUGAUAUCUGCAUUAGUGGCAGAAAAGUUGGUAAGGAGGGAAUGCGAGGCGUACUUGGCAUAUAUCAGUGUGGCUGAUUCUGAGAACUCUUUAAUUAAGAACAUCCAAACAGUGAGGGACUUUCCAGAUGUAUUUCCAGAGGAACUACCAGGAUUACCUCUGAAUCGUGAGGUAGAAUUCGGGAUUGAGUUGUUUCUGGGCACAGCUCCGAUGUCGAUUGCCCCUUACCGAAUGGCACCGAAACAGCUAACGGAACUUAAGGCUCAAAUUCAGGAGCUAUUGGAUCGUGUUUUAUUCAUCCCAAUGUAUCUCCGUGGGGAGCACCUGUUCUGUUCGUAAAGAAGAAGGACGGUACAAUGAGGACGUAUAUCGACUACCGUCAAUUGAACAAGUUGACGAUUAAGAAUAAGUAGCCACUUCCGAGGAUAGACUACUUAUUCGAUUAGUUUAAAGGGGCUUUAGUGUUUUCUAAAAUCGACCUGCGGUUAGGUUAUCAUCAGUUGAGGGUGAAGGAGGCCGAUGUGUAUAAGACGACAUUUAGGACUCGUUAUGGGCAUUACGAGUUUCUAGUCAUACCUUUUGAGUUGACUAAUACACCAGCAGCAUUCAUGGACUUGAUGAACCAUGUGUUUUAGCCCUACUUGGAUCAGUUUACGAUGGUGUUUAUCGAUGACAUUUUGGUGUAUUCUAAGUUGGAGGACGAGCACGACGAGCAUUUAAGAGUGGUUUUGCAGAUCCUUCGUGAGAAACAGUUGUAUGCGAAGUUCAGCAAGUGUGAGUUCUGGCUUCGGGAAGUGACGUUUCUGGGUCAUGUAGUUUUUGCUGAGGGGAUUCAAGUAGAUCCUUGUAAGAUUGAGGCUAUGUUGAAUUGGAAACAGCUGAAGAGUGUGUCAAAAAUCUGCAGUUUUCUAGGACUGGUAGGAUAUUACCGACAUUUCAUAGAGGGGUUCUCGAUGAUCACAGUGCCGUUGACUUAGUUGUUGCAUAAAGGGGUUCCUUUCAUUUGUGCUGACAUGCAGUAGGAGAGCUUCACAAAGCUCGAGAAAAUUUUGACUCAAGCUCCAGUUCUGAUACAGCCUGAGCCUGGUAGGGACUUCGUGGUUUACAGUGAUGUGUCACAUAUGGGUUUGGGUUGCUUCUUGAUUCAAGAUGGUAAGGUAGUUGCCUAUGCGUCUCGACAACUUAAGACUCAUGAGGCUAAUUAUCUGACACAUGAUUUGGAGUUGGCUGUAGUGGUCUUUGCAUUAAAGAUUUGGAGGCAUUAUCUGUAUAGAGAGAAAUGUAACAUUUACACUGAUCACAAGAGCAUCAAGUAUCUCUUCACUCAGAAGGAGUUAAAACUUGGUAGCGUCGGUGGGUCGAGCUGCUUAAGGACUAUGAGUGCAGUAUUGAGUAUUAACCUAGAAAGGCCAAUGUGGUGGCCGAUGCAUUAAGCCAUAGGGUUGUGGCUAAUUUGAAAGCAUUGUUCACUAAACUGAGUCUUUAUGACGAUGAGAGUCUCCUGGCUGAGUUGUAGAUUAGGCCGACGUUGCUGGGUCAGAUAAAGGAUAAGCAGUUAGGAGAUGAGUCUCUUCAGUUGUGAUUUCGUCAAGUUGAGACUGGGACUACUACUGACUUUGAGAUUAAUAGUGAUAGGGUACUGUGUUUCUGAGGUAGGAUCUGUGUACCUAAUGAUGAGGAUUUGAGACUGUCGAUUUUGAAAGAGGUACAUAGUAGCCCUUACGCUAUGCAUUCUGGUGGGAACAAGAUGUAUAAGGAUCUCCAAGAAUUGUACUGGUGGCCAAGGUUGAAACGUGAAGUGGCAGACUAUAUUGCUCUUUGUUUGACUUGUCAGCAGGUUAAGGCUGAGCACCAGUUACCUUCAGGCUUGCUAUAGCUAGUAAAGAUACUGAUGUAGAAAUAGGAACGAGUAACGAUGGACUUCGUUAGUGGGUUGCCUUUGACACCCACUAAGAAGAAUUCUGUUUGGGUCGUCGUGGAUCAAUUGACCAAGUCGGCACAUUUCAUUCCGUUAAGACAGACUUCUCCCUAAAAAAGUUGGCUAGGUUGUACAUUUUCGAGAUAGUGAGGUUGCCUGGGGUUCCUGUUUCAAUCAUUUCCGAUAAGGAUCCUAGUUUUACGUCUCGAUUUUGGGGAAAGCUUCAUAAGGCUUUGGGUUCACGACUUGACUUCAGUACUGCAUUUCAUCCUCAAACAGAUGGUUAGUCGGAGAGGGUGAUUCAGGUACUGGAGGAUAUGUUGAGGGGAUGUGCUAUCGAUUUUCAAGGUAGUUGGGAGGAGUACUUGCCUCUAGUGGAGUUCGCUUACAACAACAGUUAUCAGUCUAGUAUACAGAUGGCACCAUAUGAAGCACUUUAUGGUCGUAAGUGUUGCACUCCCUUGUGCUGAACUGAGUUGGGAGAGCGACGUGUUCUGGGUCUAAAUUUGGUAUCAGAAACAAAGGAUAAGGUCCGUUUGAUUCGAGAACGUCUAAAAGCGGCUUCUGGUAGACAGAAGUCCUAUGCUGAUCUAAAGAAGAAGGACAUCGAGUAUUCUGUAGGGGAUAUGGUUUUCCUUAGGGUCUUACCAUGGAAAAAUGUUCUAAGGUUCGGUCGCAAGGGAAAGCUAAGCCCUCGAUUUAUUGGGCCGUACCAGAUUCUGAAGCGAGUAGGGCCAGUCGCAUAUCAGUUAGAGCUACCUUCAGAGUUAGAUCGCAUACAUGACGUGUAUGUCUCGAUGUUGAGAUGCUACCACUCUAAUCCUAGGCUCAUUGUGCUCGUGGAGGAGAUUGAGAUGAGAUUAGAUCUGACGUUCGAAGAGAAGCCUAUUCAGAUUCUAGAUCGUGACGUUAAAUUCUUACAUAGGAAGUCUAUUCCCUUGAUGAAUGUGCUGUGCUGGAAUCAUAGCACUGAGGAGGUUACUUGGGAGUCAGAGGAUUCGAUGCGGCAGUAGUAUCCUCACAUUUUCUGAUUAGGUAAAAUUCAAAGACGAAUUUUCUUUGAGGGGGUAGAGUUGUAACGCCCUAAAUUUUUAUAGUUUUGGCUUUUGUGAUGGUUGAGCAUGGAAAUAACUGAACAAUUGGUUUUGUGUUAUUUUGGGAUUUAAAUGUGUUGGUUUAAGUGGUUAUGUGCUCUAGGGUGUGUUUGAGAGGUCCCAAGUUCAAGCGUUAACUUUGGUGGUAAACCGUAAUUUAUACAUAUUUUUACCCCAUGUUUAAUGCAUUUUAUGGAUGAUUUCCCACUAGAAUUGGUGAAUUCGAUGCUCUUAAUGUUUUAAUUUCAUGUUCUAUACUUAGGAGAGCAUAGGAGAAUGAAAGGAACGAGAAACGGGCCAAAAAUGAAGAAAAUGGGCCAAAGUACGAAAUCAACACGGCCUAGACCUCCUUACAAUGGCAGACUACACGGCCGUGUCAAUUUGGCAGGCUUGAACAUGGCCUGAAGUAAUCAAACACGAGUGUGUGCCAUGGGCGUGUCCUUGCCGAGCCCAAGUUGAGUCCAAUUCAAAAAAGGCUAAUUUUGAGGGCUCUUAGGCAUUCCAAAGCCUAUAAAUACACCAUAGAGGAGGAAGGAAAAGGAGAUGGAGAAUAGGGAGUGAGGAAUUACUACAAGGAAGUCGAUUGAUCCAUCUCAGAAGCUGGAUUCAUCAUCAAGAUUGAAGAUCUCUUCUCAAUUUCCUUUCAGAAGUUUUGGGUUUUCUUUAUGUUUUGUAUUCUUUAUUCUUCUGAGAUGUUUUCUUAUUUAGUUAUGAACUAAAUCCCCUAUGAGAAUGAAACCUAAGACGAAUCUCGUUAUUAUUUUCUGAAUCGUAUGAUAAAUAUUUAACUUGUUCUUAAUUAUGUGUUCUUAAUUCUUGUUUUGAUAUCCCAGGAUAUUGAUUCAAGAUAAGCUCUUAUUCGGAGGAGGAAUAGACCCUAUCUAAGAGUACUUUCGUCAUUAUUAAGCGAAGUUGAUUGCGGGCUUAGAAAUAGGGUGACAAGAUUUUGCCGGAUUAGGGUGAAACCUAAUAAGAAGAUCCAUAGAUCGAGUUAAUGCAACCCUAGAGUGUUAAUUAGAGAAAAGUCUCAGUUAUUCAAUUUAGGGAUUAGACGUUCCAAAUUAGCCAUUGCAUGUAAACCCUCGAUUUCGCUCGUACAGUAAGUUAUGAAUUGUUGUUUUGCGAUUAACGUUGUUCAAGUAAGUGUGUAAUGUGUGAAUUUGUUUUUGAUACCCUCAAUUAGGUGAAGGACAAGAUUCUAUUAGAAUUCCUAUAUCGGUUGAGCGUUAGCGAAUCUCUAUCGUUACUGGUAAGCGUUUGAAUAUGUUUCUAGGUUCCACGAAUUUUCAUUUAUGAGAUAUUUCUGUUGAAAAUCUCGAAUGUGUUACUAAAUCUGAGCAUUGUUAUGUCGAUUUAUAGGUUCCGGAGGCUCAUUGGUUGCGUUAGUAUCGAUACGAUACAAGGUGUGUACUCGUUUGGAAAGAAAAUGAGAAUCAGCGAAAGCCAAAAAAUGAAACUGUCAAGGCCACAUGGGCGUGUGGUCACCUAUGUGGGACACCGUGUGGCAAUACACGGCCGUGUGGUCAAUGAACUAGGCUGUAUGCGUGUGACAGGAGCACACGACAUGACCGUGUGAUGGGCUGAGAAGCCGUGUGCAAGACACGGGCCUGAUCAAGUAAGCCGUAUGGCAUCUCGGGCGUGUGGGCCCACACGGGCGCAUGGGAUUUUUGGGAUAGGCCGUGUGAUCCACACAGGCAGGCCACAUAGGCGUGUGAGCCCAUUUUUCUGAAAGAAUUCUGUAAUGUUGCACAGAUCGCCCAAGUUGACUAAGACCUACUAUAGGGUCGGUAAGCAUUAUUUGGACCCCUAUAUGUGUGAUCUAAUGUAUGAAAUCUGUACUGAGUCUGAUAAUACUGAACUGAUUGUGUGAUUGAUUAUUGCAUAUUAGCAUGCCAUUCAUUGUAUGUUGCAUUGCAUCGGGUUGGGUUGAUGAUUUAAUGGACGAAGUGUCUGAAAGGAUCUUAAGACUGUUACCUGGCAGUUCAGCUGCAAAUACCUGUUUAUGUGCCGCGUUUCAAUACAACAUGGUUUGUAGGGAUGGGUGGGUCAAUUUUAUCCCCACAUGGUGUGUAGGGUUGGAUGGAGAUGGUGUGUAAAGUCUGGUGGGUAGGAUUUUGAUAUUUUGUUCUGCAUCUGUAUCUGAUUGGGUAAAGCCCUAAUUUAUAUCUGAUUCUGCAUCUGAAUAGGCUAAGGCCCGAAAUAGUUCUGUAAUUGGCCUCAGACUGUUUAUUUCUGACUUCUGAUGAUUAUUCUGUAUGUUUGAUAUCUGUGAGGAUUACACACUGAGUUGCGAAACUCACCAUUUUCUAUUUAAUCUAUUCAGGUAAUCCCCAACUCUAGGCAGAUCGAUGUAGCGGAGAACUCGACAGUGGCCGCAUGUAAUAAUUUUAGACUAUUUCCAUUGGUUUUUUUUUGUUUUGAUAUAUUAUUUAUUUGGGGUUUUUGUUGUAAUUUUGGACUUUGGACUUUUUGGCUUUUAAUUUCGACUUUUGAACUGUUGAUGAUUUUAUUGCUGAUAAGCACGAUUAUAAUAUACUUUUCUCUAAAAACAAACAAUUUUCCUAAAAUAGAAGGGUUUCUAAAGCUUCCGCGUAAAAGAGACGUUUUAAUCACAAUAAAGACCAUUUGUUUUUUUUACUUCGUGGCCAAACAAAGAUUAAGCAACUGGAACAGAUUUUACUUGUCAAACCCGUUUUCAAAAACAUUCUCAUGUGACAUUGCCAGAUUCGGCCAUAACGUCCAGGCCGGGUUUAGGGUGUUACAGAGUAGGUUGAUGGUUGUGUGAUGAUGGUGGAUGAUAGGCAUUAUGAAUGUUAAAUUGAGGAUUUGUGGAUAUUGGUAUGCUAGUGAAAGUAAGCCAAAUAAUGCAUAUUCAUUAAUGGUUAUUUUGUUGAUUUGGGAAGAUAAGAUUUGGUAUGAAAUUGGUUAGCAUAAUAUGGUAUUUAUGUAUUGUGUUGAUUGGAGUUGAAAUAUAUGCCUAUUGAUAUUAUGAAUUGGUGCCAUUUUUGGUUGUGUAGGUGAGCACAAGUUUGGGUGGAAAAUUGGCUUGGUAAAUAGCCUAUUUUUGUUCACACGGGUAGAGACACGGGUGUGUCUCAGCCGUGUGUGACAGACGAUUAUGUUACACAAUUGUGUGUCCCUUAGUGUGGUUUUUGAAUUCAAGUAGUAUGCUCCAUAGGGCCUUACACAUGGGCGAGUGACUUGGCCAUGUGACAUAAGUUAAUAUACCCUACAAGUUUGGCACGGCCUAGCAUAUGACCUAGCACACGGGCGUGUAUGGCCAUUUUUAGGGCACACGGGCGUGUGUGUUGGCUGUGUGACCCAAGUCAGAGAGUUACACAGGGUCGAACACGCGCUGGGGUAUAGCCAUGUGCUCUAAUUUCGAAUGUUCACGCGGCCUAUGACACGGGUGUGUCUGGUGGCCGUGUGAGACACACGGUCUGGCCAUACAGGCAUGUGUCCCCUAUUUUGAGAAAAAAUUUCAAAGUUUCGUGAAAGUUUCUUGAGUUAUCAGUUUAGUCUCGAACCAUUCCCAAAGCAUUUUUGGGGCCUUAUAGGCUCGUAUUUGGGACAAAUUGUUUGAGAUUGAAUGAUGAAUGGUUGAAUUGAGAAAAUGUAUGCUAAAUGAAUGUUUAAUUAUCUUGUAAGUUUGGUAAUGCUCCGUAACCCUAUUCCAGCGUUGAAUAUGAGUGAAGGCUGUUACAUUUAUGGGUAUCAGAGCUACGGUUUAGUCGAUUCUAUGACUAAUGUAGCGUAUGUGAAAAUCUAGCUAUACAUGCCAUAUAUAAACUGUGAUAGUGUGAUGACUCCUGGCAUUUUAAAAUGUGUUUUCAUAUAGUAAAUGGAUCUCGAUCGAGCUGUAGUUGAUGAGGUUUAGAGUAAUGCGCCUGCUCCUACUCAAGGGACAGAGCUGUCUGAUUCUAGACCCAUAAGAGGAAGUCAGGGAGGAGAGGCUAAGGAAGCCUUCUUUCAAAUGAUAAACGAAUGGUUCACGUAAUAUAUUCGUACGGACCCAGCUGCUCAACAACCUCCACCCCCUCCUAGUCCCCAACCAAUUCCUGUAGCCCCCAAGGAGUCGAGCUUUUAAGAUUAAAUAAGCCUCCAGUUGACAAGAUCUGUAAACACAGCAUUCAAGAGUUCAGAGCUAAAUAUUGAUAAUGACCCUGAGAGAGUUGAGUUUUGGCUUGAAAAUACGAUUUGAGUGUUUGAUGAGCUUUCAUGCACACCGACUGAAUGUCUAAAAUGUGCUAUAUCACUUUUGAGGGAUAUCGCAUAUCAGUGGUAGAGUACAUUAAUAUCAAUGGUGCCGAGAGAGAGUCACCUGGGAGUUCUUUCAGACUGAGUUCCGAAAGAAAUACACUAGUCAACGGUUUCUAGAUCAAAAGCAUAAAGAGUUUUUUAAAACUGAAACAAGGCUGCAUGACUGUAACCGAGUACGAGAGAGAAUUUAUACAGUUGAGCAAGUACACUUGAGAGUAUGUUUCUACCGAAGAGAUUAUGUGUAAGCAGUUUGUUGACGUGUUGAACGAAGAUAUUAAACUUCUGGUCGGGAUAUUAGAUUUAAAAGAAUUUGUUGUAUUAGUUAAUCGGGCUCAUAAAGCCGAACACUUUAGCCGAGAAAAGAAGAAAGCUGAUUCAGAGGCUAGAUUUUCGAGGAAAAUAUCUAUGAAUAAACCUUAUUAUUCUUCAUCAAAGAAAUCUCAAGAUUUGUAUAGUCGAUCGAAUGCAUCAGUGGGGGUACCAGAGUAGAGAUUGUGGAAAUCAACCUGUGAAUUCUAAAGCUCAAGCUACUUCUUUCUCGAGCAUUGGCAGUGUGAGAAAUAACAAAUCCGAGUGUCAACAAUGUAGGAGACGACAUUUUGUAGAAUGCUGGAAUAAGAGUAGUAAAGCUUGUUUCAAAUGUGGCUCACUGGAUCAUUUUAUUGAAGACUAUCCUAAGAUGGUUUUGAAAGAUAAACCUCAGAAUAUGAGACCGAGUAAUUUUUCGACUAGAGGAAGACCGCCAAGAAAUGAUGCGAAUGUGAGUGGUAGUCGAGGGGUGACAAGAGACACCGCUGUGAGAUCCGAAGUUAGAGCACCUGCUAGAGCCUACGCUAUUUGCGCUCGCGAAUAAGUGUCAUCACCAGAUGUUAUUACUUGUACAUUUUCUCAUUACGACACUAAUGUGAUUGAUUUAAUUGGUCCUGGAUCAACCCAUUCAUGUGUAUGUGAAUUUAGUGUCUUGUAAGAAAUUUCCUAUUGAAAUUACUGAGUUUAUGAUUAAAGUAUCGAACCCCUUAGGCAAGUAUGUUCUAGUUGACAAAAUAUACAAGAAUUGUCCCUAAAUGACUUGGGGUUACUAUUUUCCUUCUGACUUGAUGCUUUUACCAUUUGAUGAGUUCGAUGUGAUUCUGGGUAUGGAUUGGUUGACUCUACAUAAUGCCGUUGUGAACUGUAGAUGAAAGAUUAUAGAAUUGAAGUGUCAGAAUAAUAAUAUUCUUCGAAUUGAAUCUGAUGAGUCGGGUGGAUUGCCAAUAGUAAUUUCAUCGAUGUUGGCUCAGAAAUAUGUGAGAAAAGGUUGUGAUGCAUACCUAGCAUAUGUUUUAGAUACCAAAGUGUUUGAAAAAAAGAUUGAAUCGGUGCCUGUAGUUUGUGAAUAUCCGGAUGUUUUCCAGAAGAAUUGCCUCGGUUGCCACCAGUUAGAGAGGUUGAGUUUGUUAUUAAGUUAAUACUAGGCACUUCACCGAUAUCUAUAGCUCUGUACAGAAUGACUCCAACAGAGUUGAAAGAGUUGAAAGCUCAGUUGCAAUAGUUAACAGAUAGAGGUUUUGCACGACCUAGUUUUUCGCCUUGGGGUGCGCCUGUAUUGUUCGUAAAAGGGAAAGAUAGGUUAAUAGGAAUGUGUAUUGAUUAUUUUCAACUCAACAAGGUUACAAUAAAGAAUAAGUAUAUGUUACUGAGAAUGGAUGAUUUGUUUGACCAGUUGAAAGGUGCAACAGUGUUUUCAAAGAUUGAUUUUAGAUCGAGUUAUUAUCAGUUGUGAGUUAAAGACUUAGAUGUGCCGAAGAUUGCGUUCAGAACGAGGUACGGACACUAUGAAUUCCUUGUUAUGCCUUUUGGACUAACUAAUGCUCUUGCCAUUUUUAUAGAUUUGAUGAAUCAGAUUUUUAGGCUGUAUUUAGACAGAUUUGUUGUUGUGUUCAUUGACGACAUUCUAAUCUAUUCACAAGAUGAGUCUGAGCAUGUUGAGCAUUUGAGAAUUGUGUUACAAACCUUGAGAGAUAAACAACUAUAUGCUAAAUUCAGCAAAUGUGAGUUUUGGCUCUGGAAAGUUGUAUUUUUUGGACAUAUUGUAUCGGCAGAUGGCAUUCGAGUUGAUCCGAGCAAGAUUUCUGUAGUUGUUGACUCAAAACCACCUAAAAAUGUAUCCGAGGUUAGAAGUUUUAUGGGAUUGGCUGGUUACUAUCGACAUUUUGUUAAAGGGUUUUCAAUGAUUGCUACACCGAUGACUAGACUGCUAUAGAAAGAUGUAAAGUUUGAAUGGUCUGAGAAAUGUCAACAAAGCUUUGAUCAAUUGAAAGCAUUGUUAAUUGAGGCAUCAGUGUUGGUUCAAACUGAGUCUGGUAAAGAAUUUUUGAUUUACAGUGAUGUGUCAUUGAAUGGAUUGGGUUGCAUAUUGAUGCAAGAAGAAAAAGUGAUAGCCUAUACUUCCAAACAGUUGAAACCGUAUUAAAAGAAUUACACGACGCAUGAUUUGGAGUUGUCUACUAUAGUUUUUGCAUUGAAAAUUUGGCGUCAUCAUUUGUACGAUGAAAAAUGUCACACCUUUACUGAUCAUAAAAGCUUAAAAUAUAUUAUGACUCAGAAAUAUUUGAAUUUGUGACAAAGGAGAUGGCUCGAGCUACUAAAAGAUUAUGAGUUAGUAAUCGAUUAUCAUCCGGGGAAAGAAAAUGUAGCCGCAGAUGCUUUGAGUAGAAAAUCCUUGUUUGCUUUGGGAACGAUGAAUACGAGAUUGACUAUGACUGAUGAUGGUUCGAUAUUAGCCGAGUUGAAAGCUAAAACGAUUUUUCUUCAGCAAAUUUGUGAAGCUUAGAAGUGUGAUACUAAGUUACAAGCUAAAAGAAUGCAAUAUGAGUUGAAUAGUGAUUCAGAGUACAAAAUCGGAUCCGAUGACUGUUUGAUGUUCCGAGAUAGAAUAUGUGUACCGAAAAAUCCAGAGUUGAUUUAGAAAAUUUUACAUGAGGCACAUACUGGCUGCUUAUUCGUUCAUCCUAGGAGUACCAAAAUGUAUAAUGAUUUGAAGAAGUCGUAUUCGUGGUCGGGUAUGAAACAAGAUAUUUCUGAAUUUGUAUCUAAGUAUUUGAUUUGUUAGCAAGUGAAAGCAGAGCAUCAAGUGCCUUCAGGAUUGCUUCAGCCUAUGAUGAUACCAGAAUGAAAAUGGGACCGAGUUACGGUGGAUUUCGUAUCGGGUUUGCCUCUGUCAUCGAAAAAGAAAGAUUCUAUCUGGGUUGUCGUUUAUCGAUUAACGAAAUCAGCACAUUUCAUUCCGGUACGUACUAACUAUUCACUUGAUAGAUUAGCUGAAUUGUACAUUGCUGAGAUCAUUAGAUUGUACGGGGUGCCAAUUUUGAUUAUUUCAUAUAGAGAUCCGAGGUUUACAUCUCGAUUUUAGAAGAAAUUGCAAGAAGUUGUGGGUACGAAGUUGAAUAACUUUUCAUCCGCAAACCGAUAGUCAGUCUGAGAGAGUAAUUCAGAUUCUCGAAGAUAUGCUCAGAUGUUGUGUUUUAGAAUUCGAAGGCAAUUGGGAGAAAUAUUUACCACUGGUUGAAUUUGUGUAUAAUAAUUUCUUUCAAUCGAGCAUAAAGAUGGCACCGUACGAACCUUUGUAUGGUCUUAAAUGUCGAACUCCAUUGUACUAAACCAAGCUUAGCGAAAUAUAGAUUCACGGGGUUGAUUUGGUUAGAGAAACCGAAGAGAAAGUGAAAGUAAUUCGCGACUGUUUGAAAGUAGCUUCAGAUUGAUAGAAAUCGUAUGCUGAUUUGAAACAAAAAGACUUUGAAUUUCAAAUUGGUGAUAAACUAUUUUGGAAAGUAUCUCUGUGGAAGAAAAUACUUCGUUUUGGUCAAAAAGGCAAACUAAUUCCACGUUUCAUUGGGCCGUAUGAGAUUAUUAAACGAAUAGGGCCAGUGGCAUAUCGAUUAGCCUUACCAUCGAAAUUAGAAAAGAUUCAUAAUGUAUUUCAUAUAUCGGUGUUGUGACGAUAUAGAUCUGAUCCAUCACAUGUGAUUUCUCCAUCUGAAAUUAAAAUUCAACCUAAUUUGACGUACAACGAAGAACCGAUCAAAAUUCUAGCACAUGAGGUUAAACAAUUGAGAAAUAAAUGCAUAGCUUUAGUGAAAUUCUUAUGGCAACAUCAUGGUGUUGAAGAGGCUAUGGGAGCCUGAGGAAGCUAUGAGGAAGCAGUACCCUAAAUUAUUCAUUAGUAAGAUUUUUUGGGAUGAAAAUCCCUAAAGGGGGAGAGUUGUAACAAUCUGUUUUUAGACAAAUCAAAAAAGUGGUUUCGGGACCACAAAUUUGAGGUCAAAAUAUUUAUUUUAUUAUUAUUUUAAUUUCUACAGCAUGAUAAUGUGAUUGUGUGAAAAUUUCAUUAAGAAAUUUUAUCAUUUGGUUGGUGAAUUCGAUAAAAAUGACAAAAUCGCGUAAAGUGUAAAAGUGGAGUUCCAUUAGCAAAAGGUAUUAAUAGCUAUGGAAUCUUAAUUUAGAGGUCCUUAUGUGGUAAAUAUACCAUUGACAUUGUGGGUGGACAUUUAUGGACACAUUAACAUGUGUAUUAAUGAUUCAUUAUAAGGUUAAAUUGGUAAUUAGUUUUAAAAGUUAAUUAAUUAAAACAAAACAAAAAUUUAGUUCAUUCAUCUUCUUCAUUGUCGUUUCUUAAGGAGAGAAAAACAGCAUAUUUAGGUUUUCAUUCUGCUAGAUUAUCUGUGCUCAUUAAGGUAUGAUUUUUGUCCCGUUUUUAAUGAUUUCUAUGUUUUUGUGAUCAUUGCAACUAGUACUAGCUAGCCCAGGGGCUAAUUUGCAAAAUUGUUAAAGAUUUUGAAUGAUGCCAUGGUUGAAUACAUGUGUAUCUUGAAGUUUCUUGAUAUAUUAUGAAUACUUGUUGAUAGAUAUACAAGUUUUGUAAAAUAAUUUUUAGUGAAAAUGCAAAAUAGGGAUUAAAUUGAAAAAUGUGUAAAGUUAGUGGUUAAAAUGUGAAAUAAAUGAAAAUUAUGGGCUGCUAGGGGCAUUAUGGUAAUUCGGAUAGCAUGGGUCUAUUGUGAAUUUCAUUAAUUAGUGAUUUUAUGAAAUAAGGACUAAAUUGUAAAAAAUGUAAAAUUUACAGAGUAAAAGUGUAAAUGUAUUUUAAAGUGUAUUUUGGACUAAAUUGAAUGAAUAUAUGAUUAAAUAAGUUAAUUUUAAAUAUAUUUAGAUUAAGAAAGGAGAAAUACGGAUUUGGAUAAGGGAAAAAGAUAAAGUUAUCGACUAAUCGACUCGAUUCGUCGUUUUAACAUCCAAGGUAAGUUCGUAUGUUAUAAUUUCAUUUUAAAUGUAUUUGAUAUGCUUUGAUUUCGUAUGAAUUAUGAUCAUGUGAUUACGAGCAAGUUUGAAAAUGAUUCGAAGAUGAUUCGACAGUUGGAAUCCCGGUUGAACCUUAGGAAUAGUUUAGGAUGCUAGUGACAUGUCAUUAGGCAUACUUUGAGUUGGCUUUGGGCCACGUUAUUAGCACUUUGAGUGCGAGAUAUACCGGUUUAGCUUUGGGCCAUGAUAUCAGAAUUUUGGAUAAGUUAUCUUGAUUUAGCUUCGGGUCAUGGUAUAGGUACUUAUCAUGUGAGACCUUGAGUAUCCGACUUUUGUUCCAAAUGGUUCAACGGGUAAAUGAAAGAUGUGGUUGAGUAUGAGAUUGGUACGAGUUGGUACAGGUACGUACGGUAAUGCAUUGAGUAUUGAAACUAUGGAAUUGAUAAGUUCCUUGGUAAGUUAUGUGAAUGAUCAUUUGAUAGCUUUGAGAUUUAAUAGAAUUGUCCUAUAUUGUUUUCUAUUAUUUGAAAGAUUAAUGAGUAGUGAUAGUUGUUCAUUAUUAACAUACGAGCUUACUAAGCUUUAUAGCUUUUUUGUUUAUUUUUCCCAUGUUUUAUAGUGUUUACAAGCUAGCUCGAAUUCGGAGAUUGUCGGAGAUCGUUUCACACUACCACCUAUCACUUGGUACCUUUAAACUUUGAUAUUUUAAGUAUAUAGCAUGUAUAGGUAUUUUGAGUCAUUUUGAUUAUGGGUUGAUAGUGAGUUUGGUUAAUUGUAAUGACUUGUAAAUGGUUAUAUUUUGGUAUGUAUAUAUAGCCAUGACUGAUGGCUUAUUUUGGUAUAUUUGGUAUGCUUAUACCAUGUACGUUUGUGUAUGAUCAUAUCUUGUGAAGUGAGUUGGUUGAUGGUUGUGUGAUGAUAGUGGAUGAUAGGCAUUAUGAAUGUUAAAUUGAAGAUUUUUGGAUAUUGGUAUGCUAGUGAAAGUAAGCCAAAUAAUGCAUAUUCAUUAAUGGUCAUUUUGUUGAAUUGGUAUGAAAUUGGUUAGCAUAAUAUGGUAUUUAUGUAUUGUGUUGAUUGGAGUUGAAAUAUAUGCCUAUUGAUGUUAUGAAUUGGUGCCAUGUUUGGUUGUGUAGGUGAACACAAGUUUGGGUAGCAAAUUGGCUUAGUAAAUAGCCUAUUUUUGUCCACAUCUCAUAUAAUAACGAAAUAUAAUAACAUAAAAAGAAUCGAUAUAUUAUUUACAUACAAACUACCUCGAAUGCGAGCAUGACUAUAUAUUCCGAUUUAAUCCAUAAUCUCAUUCAUUUCCAAUCUAUGCUUGAAUCUUAUUUUCCUCGAUCUAUAAUAUCACAUUUAGCUUAUUAAUUAGUCACAUUAUUCAUAUGGGUCCAAAAAUCAUAUUUUUACAAAUUUGCAUUUUAACCUCUAAACUUUCACAUAUUUGCACUUUUGCCUCAAGGCUCGUAAAAUGAUUUUUAUCCAAUUUCCUUGCAUUUUAAGUGUAGCUGAAUCAUUUUCAUAACUAUAGCAGUCCCUAAUUUCCACUAAAUCACACUUUUAUGACAAAUUUUGUAACUUUUGCAAAACGGUCUUUUUUGACAAUUUCACCGAAAAUCACUUAGUAAAAGUCAUUUAUUACACGCCGAGCAUUCAUUUUCUGCCAUUAGACAUCAAAACACAUGCAUGUCAUCCAUGGGUAAAUUUUUAAACACAAACCCUAGCUCAAAAUAUGGGUAGAAAUGAGUAGAUCUUGUUACAAGGACUUCAAAAACGUAAAAAUCAUUAAAAACGAGAUUAGAAUGGACUUAAAAUCGAGAUUGGAAGCUUGAAAAACCCUAGCUAUGUCUUCUCCAUGCAAGUUUCAGCCAUGGGGUAGAAGAUGGACAAAAAUUGACUUUUAAUUUUGUUUUUAAUUCAUUUUAAUUACUAGAUUACCAAAAUACCCCUAACUUAAAAAUAUUCUAUUUCACCCAUUUCAUGUCCAUUUUUGUCCAAUAAAUUUUCCAAUGGUCUAAUUACCAUUUAAGGGCCUCCAAUUUAAAAUUUCAUAACAAUUAGACACCUCUAACAUGUAGAACUCAACUUUUGUACUUUUUACAAUUUAGUCCUUUUGACCAAAUUGAGUGCCCAAACGUCAAAAUUUUCAAACAAAAUUUUCAUAAAAUCAUCCCGAGAAAUUUUAGACCGUAAAAAUAUAAUAAAAAAAAUUUUACUGUGUCGAAUUUGUGGUCCCAAAACCACUGUUCCGAUUUGGCCCUAAUUCGGGAUGUUACAUGUAUAACACUUUCUAAAAUAUUUGUAGCUUAGCUGCCAGAUUAUUAGGUGAUUUAUCGUCUUUUAUAGAAAUAUGUGUUGCUAUGUCACCAAAUACGAUAGGUUAUUGUACUGUCCAUACUUCCUCCAUAUCACAAAUUCCACCCUCAAAGAUAACUGCCUACCAACAGGUUCUAACUCGCCAAAAAAUUGAUUGUCUCGUGUACUUCACCUAAAAGACCUAAACGAUUAAGAACAAAAUUUAUAACCAUUAAAAAGAUAAUUCACACAAGAAACAACUAAAUUUUUUUAUUGGAAAUAACGUCACUUACACCUAGAACCAAGUUAUCAAUAGUUAAACCGACACCCACCACCAAAAUUGAAAAGCACAAGAAAGUAAGAAACAAAAUCAAGAAAAGAAGAAAGAAAAUUAAAGUCCCUCCUUUGCUAAUAUCCAUGCAAAAAGCAAGAGCAAACAAAAAAAAAGUGAUUUGACCAGAAUAAAGGAAAUAAAAAUUGAAAAGUAGUACGGAAUAGAUCUAUGACAAAAUAAAAUUUUUGGCAAUUUCAAAGAGUCCCAAAAUCAAAUGAAACAAAAAGAAACAGUGGAGUUAUGGGAUGACAAGCAAGGGAGGUUGUUGAGAUAAUUUCUUAUCUUUUUUUAAAAAAAAAAGAAGAAAAACAAGAUAAAUACUAUUAAAUCCAACAAACUGUUCAAAAUUCUAUCCAACUAUUAGCAAUUUGAACUUAUCCGGUAAAACAAUACUAUGAUGACCCACUAUGAAAAAUAAAAAAUAAAUUUUACUUUGGACAUAAUGAAACUCAAACUCAAGACCUCACACACACAAGCACACUCCAACCCACUGAAUCAGAUCAAUUCACUUAAUCAACUCUAACAAUUCAUAAACUUAAAAGUUUGGGGUGCUACAAAUUUUUUUUUUCUUUUUAUUUCUUUAUUUCCUUUUUGUUCUUCCCCUUUAUUUAUCUCUCUACUCAUGUUCUUUUACCCACCAAAUAAACCAAAUCCUUAUUUUUCUUACAUGAUUCCUAAAUUGAAUUUCACUUAAAAUCGAAUAUCAAUCAUUCUUAAUCAAAUCUCGAUUUGAAUAUAACCUAAUUUUGAAAUUAAAAUUGGAUCUAACUAAUUAUUACAAAAAACCAUAUUCUUAAUCAAAUCUAAACAUAAAUUGAAUUAUUUAUAUUCAAAACAAAAAAUUUCCGUUUCCAAACUUUUACAAAAUCGUGUAUAUUAGUCAUUUCAUUUUCUUUUAUUUUCUGACGAAUAAAACUAAGCACACAAUAAAAUUGAUCAAACCUUCUUAGAUAUUCCCAAACAAGCUUGACCGAAAGCCGAGUAUGGAUAAACCAGAAAGAGAAAGGGAGUAUGGAACCAAACUGGUUUGGGUAAAUUUGAAGGUAAGUUUCGUAGGGUGGUCGUUUUAGUCAUUGAGAGUGUAGAGCUUGUUUGAUGAAUCUGUGAAAGAACGUAGUUUCGAGAGGGUGAGAAUGUUGUAGGUAAGAUAGAUAAUGUGGUCGUGAAUGUUGGUUAGUAGGUUAAGGGAACGGGCUCGAGAAACUUUGUUGAAGGUGAACUGCCAUAAGUCACCACUGGCGAGGUCUUCGAAUAAGGCGAGCUUGUGGACUAGGUCAUUGAGAGAUCUAAAUUAGUUUGUUAAAGCGAUGAUGGACGAUGAGUGUAACACCCCUUACCCAUAUCUAACGCCGGAACAGGGUACGAGGUAUUACCGGACUUGAGUACUUGUAAUCAUUUAAAACCGAGAUAUAAAAUUUCAUCAAUUUUAAACUUUUCAAACAUAUAUAAUUUGUCCCUUAAAAGGGCCUACGAGUCCCAAAACAAUCAUUGAAAUUGGUUCGGGAACAAACCGCAAUCUUUCAGACACUUAGAAAUAGGUUUACAUAACUUUAACCAUUAUGAGCCAAAUCUUAUGGCUAUAUACAAUGAAGCAAAAAUGAGCCUAUACAUUUGGCUAAAUCAUAAUAUUAUUUAAUAUCAAUAACUAAUUAUCUAUACAUGCCACUUAUUUGACAAUAAAUAAGAAUUACCAUUAUUCUAAUUUGAUAAACUAAUAGUGUGAUGAUACUUCCGACGAUCUCCAAACCCGAGCCAACCUGACAACACUAAGAGAAAUGGGAAAAUGGUGUAAGCUUAAAAGCUUAGUAAGUUGGCAUAUUAAUAAUAAUAAGCAAUUUAAUUAACAAAUAAUAAUAAGCAAUUUAAUUAACAAUAUUAUCCCACUUCUCAAUAAAUAUGCUCAAAAAAAUAGAAUCAUUAAUUACAUGAUUUCAUCUUUUUACACAAGAUCAGCUAAGGCUGUUUUCCUGAAUCAUGGUCACUAAUUUAAUUAUUUCUUAAGCUACAGAACUCAAAAUCAAGUUUCAUAAAUUUUCCUUGAAACUAGACUUAUAUAAAUUUUUACCAUAAAAUUUUUAGAAUUUUUGGUUUUUCCAAUUAAUACCAGAUUUUUCUUAAAAUUUCCUCUAUUUCACUGUCUGACAAUUCUGACCUCUCUAUAUAAAAACUCAGUUAUCUCAUUGUACAUAAUUCAAAUAAUGUUUUUGAUUAUUCCAAUAAAAAAUAGACUCAUUAAGGUUUCUAAGCAUAUAAACCAUGCCCCAUAAUUAUUUUACCAAGUCAGAACAGGGGAUCACGUAAUCAUUCUGAAUCAGUCUCAUAAAAAUAUAAAUAUCUCAAAAUAUAGAAUUCCUUUGCUUGCUCUAUUUCUUUUAUAUGAAAAUAGACUCAUUAAGAUUUAAUUUCAUAUCUUAUUUAGCCUCUAAUUAAAUUCCUACUAUUUUUGGUGAUUUUUCAAAGUCACAUCACUGCCACUGUCCAAAACAGUUUUAUUGCUAAUUCACUCUUUCACACUUUCUUUGUAUUAACCUCAUUUUAACAUACAUAUCACAAAUCAUUUUCACCACAUUUCAUACAUCACAAGUAUAGGCCCAUCAUUACAAGGUCACCAUAAAAUCAUCCUCAUGUAUAACUUACUUGUUUAUAACCUUACCACAUCCCGGUCACUUAAUGAACACAUCAUUCACAUAACCAAGUUCCUGCACUUAUUCAUCACAAAACUCACAAAGCAGUACAUAGUAAGUCUCCCGUUGAACACUUCGGAUCAAUCCUCGAUACUUGGUGGUUUCAGCACAUAGCCCCACCCAUCAUAUAGUUCGGCUCUCUUGUACACAUGGUGAACACUUAGUACCACCCAUGUGACCUAGCCAGUUUAUCUCGUAGCUCUCUUGUCUACAUGGUGUCCUUCACCUGGAACCACACAUGCGACCUAGCUAUAUAUAUCUCGUAGCUCUCUUGUCUACAUGGUGUACACAUAGUAUCACCCAUGCGACCUAGCUACAUCAUAAUGUCUCAUAGCACUCUUGUACACAUGAUGUGUACUCAGCACCAUACAUGUGACCUAGCUACAUAUCAUCUGUAUCAUCCAAUCUUUCCAAAGGUUCAACCAGGAUUUCUCUCUCUUUUCCAACAAUUUCACCAAUCAAGUAAUUAUCAACAAACAUAUUUCCAAUAUUAUUAUAAAAUAUCAUAAUACAAGUAAAAUUGAUGUAUUACUUACAUAUAACCUUACAUCUCAUUUAAUAUCAAGACAAUAGCAUUAAAUUACACAUUGCAUUAUUAAAAAUCAUAUGAACUUACAAUUGCUCAUAACAUCCAUAAUCAUAGAAAUCACAUUUAUGUAUGAUAAUUCAAUGCACUUCAUGUACCAUAGACAUAUUUUUAAAUCAAUUCAUAAACUUGGCACCAUAUCCUCUAAUUUAACAUAAUUCAAUUAAUUGACUAAAUUUAACUUUCAAAUAUAAAUUACAACAUUAUUGCAGUAUUAUUAUCAUACCAACUUACCUCAAAUGCCGAAACGACUAACUUUCCUGACUUAGCACACAACUUUGUUCUUCAAAAUCUUAAUCCAAAAUUUCAUGUUUUCUUGAUCUAACAUGUCAAAUAACACUUAUUUAACACAUUUUAUCAGCACACUAACCAAUUCAAUUCAUAUAUCAAAUUUUAGAAAAUUUACAAUUAUGCCCCCUAACUUUUCAAAAAUUACACUUUUACCCCUAAGCUCGUAAAGUAAUUUUUAUUCAAUUUCUAUAAAGUUUAAGACAUGCUGAACAUUUUUAUCUUCUAUGACAACUCCAAAUUUUCACUGAUUCACACACUUAUGAUCAAUUAUAACUUUUACAAUUUAACCCCUUUUGACAUUUUUACCGAAAUUCAUCGAAUAAAACUCGUAUUUAACACAUCAAACAUUCAUUAUCUACUAUAAAUCCUAAAAACACAACCAUAUCAUGAAUGGGUAAAUUUUUAAACUCUAAUUUCUCUUCAAUCAAUUGGUAGAAAUAGAAAAUUUAAGCUUCAGGAAUCUCAAAAAUACGAAAUCAUUAAAAACGGGACAAAAACCGUACCUAUAUAAGCCAUGGCAGCUUGGCCGAAUGGAGCUCAUCCAUGGCUGCCAUUUUUAGUUCUUUUCCACGGUUGAAGAAGAAAGAAUAAAAAAAAUAUGAUAGCUUUUAUCAUUUUUGUCUUAUUAGGUCAUUUUAAUGAAUUUACAAAAUUACCCUUUUUAUUUCAACCAAAUUUCAAAAAUACCAAACAAAUAUCCAUCCACUAACUUAUUAAAGGACUAAUUAUCACAUAAGGACUUUCAAUUUAAAACUCAUAACAAUUAGGCACCUCAUAUAUAAAGAACUCAACUUUUGCACUUUUUAUAAUUUAGUCCUUUUGACUAAAUUGAGUGCUCAAACAUCAAAAUUUUCGAACGAAAUUUUUACGAAAUAUUUCCAUAAAUUUAUAGACUAUAAAAAUAUAAUAAAAAUAAAAUUUUUCUCAUCGGGUUUGUGGUCCUGAAAUCACUGUUCUGACUAGACCCAAUUUCGGGCUGUUACAAUGAGGGUUUGUAAUUAUAGGGUGAGAAUAUGCGAAGCAAGUUUAUUUUGGUUUCAACUUUUGCCUUGUCUUUUUUCAUAAACAUAAAAAAGUUUUAAGAAAUGAAAAAUAUAGAAAAAACCAUGUUAAAAGAGACGGAAAAGGGAGAAAAACAGAGGGGGAAACAGAAGAGAACGAAAAAUGAAGAAAAGAAAGGAAAGUUAAGAGAACAUAAAAGAAAAAAAUUAACUUGUUCAAAAUGAAAAAUAUGGGGACCAAUUGUAUAAUUUAACCUAGAAUUUUUGUUUGAAAUGAGGAUUUAAGGUGCCAUAUCAGCUUACCGUUACACCAUUAAUAGCAAUUAACGGCUCAGUGGCUAAAUGUUACCACACGUUAACAUAAGUGACUAAAACAUAACAUUUCAAACAUAAGUGACUAAAAUGUAACCUGAGGUAAAUAAAAAUGACUAUUUUUAUAGUUUACCCUUAAACUUUUAAUGUUUAGAUUUGAUACAAAUUACAUGAUAAAUAAAAAUAAUAUAAUAUAAUAUAGUAUAUUACUAAAGCAAAUUAGAAUUAAAAAGCAUUAGAGCAUAUAUAAUCUUAGUGCCAAAACAUGAAAUCCCCAAACCAUAUAUCAUCAUAUGGUUGCAAAAUAGAGUAAAUCGACGAACAUUACAAGGAAUAGUUUCACAUCCACAUUUUAUUAUAUAAUACAAUAUUUUACAAAUUUUAAUGUAAUGAAUGAAACAAUACGUGAAGCCCAUGUUGUGGCUUGAGUGAAAGAUUUGGUAAAGGUGCGUGAACAUAAGUAGGGGAAAGGGUGAAAGUGUAGCGUUGUAGAAUCAUGGAAAGGGCGAUUUUGGUUUCAGUGAUUGCAAAGUUCAUUCCAACGCAAGUUCGAGGUCCCAAUCCAAAGGGCAUAAAUGCAGCUGCAUUAUUGUUAGUAGCUUUGGCAAUCCCUUCUGAAAACCUUUCUGGUUUGAAAAGAUGAACAUCAUCUCCCCAUAAAUCAGGGUCAUGGUGGAGUGCUAUAAAUCGGAUGUUGAGAUCUAAAUAAUUAGGUAGGACAAGUUUUCCUAAUUGGAUAUCUCUUACUGCCUUUCUUACCACACCAUUUAGAGGAGGAUAGAGCCGUAAAGUUUCAUUAAUAAUCAUGGUCAUCUGUUCAAGAAAAAAAAAUCAAACCAUAGGAAUUUGUAUAGUUUGCUUACAGUCUUUAAUUUGGCGAUCCCUUCAGGAUUUGGGUUUUGAUUACCAAAGAUCUCAAUCACCUCUGCUCUUGCUUUGUCUUGCCAAUCUGUAUAUAUUGCUAAAAGUAGGGUUGUCCAUGCAAGCAAGGAAUUGGUUGUUUCUUGCCCAGCAAAAUAGAAAGUUUUACACUCACCUACCACAUCUUGUAUCGAAAGCCUGUUUUUCUCAUCCGGAUCAUGAUAGGCAUUUACAAGUAAUCCUAGAAAAUCAUGGCCGAAGCUGUCAACUUCUCCGGUCAUUACUUUCUCUUCCCUUUGUUUAACAAUCUUCAUCACAGAAUCAUGUAUCAUUUUCUCAAGUUUAUCUGAUUCAAUUUCAUCAGCAGAUUUCCAAAACUUGCUGAAAAGGCAAAGCAUAUUAAAAUCAAUCCAUUGACUUCAUUGUGGUGGAAAAACACCAAUAUUUAGAAAGUACCAUCCAAACUACUAAUUUAAAAGUAUAUUAUUUAGCAAUACUUUUAUCGUUCCAAGUCACUUAAUCGUCGGUUGGACGGUUUGACAAAGGUAAUGGUUUCUUUAAUUUAAUUUUCAUCCUCCAUCUCUGUUUUUUUCUCCUCUUUUAUUUGAUAUAUUAAAAAAAAUGAUUCAGGAUUUCAGUCAAAUCUCAAAAAAAAAAAAACUGAAAUAAAAAGAAAAAAAUAAUCAAUUAUCAAUUUCUUACUGUUUAAAUAAUUUUCGGUUUGAUAAGAGUGACCGGACAAUCUUGAUCUAACCGAUUUAACUAAUAGUCUAGUUCAAUUUAGAAAAUACUUUUAAGCAAUGAAAAACACUUAAUUUUUGAAGAAAAAUAUGGUUAAAAACUGUUUUUUGAAACCCAAUUUAAUUGGGAGUAAAAAUUAAUAAAAUGUUUUUAUUUAUAUUAAUUAAUUAAAAGUAUAUAAAAAUAGAUUAUUUUAUAUUUUAUUAUAUUAAAUUAUUUAAAUAUUAUACAACUUACCAAAAUUUUUAUGUCUAAAAAAUUAACUUAAUCUUUAAUUAUAAUUUUUGACAAAAAUGAAAAAUAUUAAAAAUUAGCAAAUCACUUAAAUAGUUAAGGUUUAGAUGAAGUUACCCGAUGAUAGGAAACUUUGCUUUAUAAAAAUUUCUGCCUAUAAUUAGGGUCAACUUCGUCAACAUGUCAAAAAUCUUCUCUCCUUCCAAGUAACUGCUACCAAAGGCUGUUCUGGAUAUCACUUCUGAAGUCAAGAAUCUGAACUCUUGGAACACUUCCAUCUCUUUGCCUUCCUUAUCUUUCCAUUUCUCAAGCAUCGUUCCAAUGCUAGCAAUCAUUGCUGGAAUCAUAUUCUGCAAAAACUAUCAUCCAUUAUCAAUGUUCCACAACAAUAAUUAGAUUAGAAACUAGUGAUUUACUUUUAAGCUCUCCCCAUGGAAGGCAUGAUUGGCCAAUUUCCUAUGCCUUGCCCAUUUCUCACUUUUGAUUGUAGGAAUGCUGUCACCUAGUAGCUUCUUAAAGAAAUAUGAAGUCUUCGGCUUUGAAAAAGCUUUUUCACUGUUUUUCAGCACGUCUUUCACCAGUUCUGGGUCUGUUAUUACCAGUUGUGCUCGAACUCCAUUCCAACUAAGAUAAUUCUUCCCUAAAAAAGUGAUUUAAUUAAAAUCUCUUCAUGGAAAUCCGAAAAUACUACCAAAGCAACAAAUUCUCACCGUAUUUCUUGAUGCAGGAGUAAUCAUGUGGCAUUACUCUGGGAAAUGUAUCGUGUGUCAAGGCCAUAGGUUUGCCAGAUGCUUCCUUCUGCAUUUGGAGAGCUUCUUUGUUGUUUCCAUGGAUAAAUUCAAAAGUAGGUUCUCUGAUCCCCUGUGAAUUCAUGAUGAACUGUACAUUAUGAGGUACCCACCAAUACUUGUACAAAACAUAGAGCAAAGCUACGAAGAGGCAGAGGCACAAAGAAGCUGUAAAAAGGAUUAGAAGAUUUCCCAUGGUCUCUAUUUUCUUAUCUUCACUGAUGAAUCC